CAAAAAUUGUUGAUAAUAUUACUUAAGUAAGGUUACGAAUCCAUCCGCAAGACAGCUGUAAAUAGUCAUAUACCCUGACGUAUGAGCUUUUUAUAUGAUUAAUAAAGGAUAAGAGCAUAUUCAAAAAUCAAUUUCUACUUAAAUUGAUAGUGAAUGUGUAUAUCACUGUGCAGAAGUAAAUAAAGUAUGCAAGCAUGAUAAAACAAAGUUCAUGAUAUGUGCCUAUGAGAUUAUUAUAGAAUGAACCUGCUAUAAAAAAUGAUGCAGUGACUAAGCUGGAAGAAAAGGCCACUUAAGAUGUGAAUUUGCUGUUAUUUGAUUCAACUCUUGGCAUGGCUCUUGAGGUUUGAAUCAGCUUAUGGCAGGCAAGUGAGCAAGCUGAUAUUGCUGUUGUAGAUAGCUUGAUGCCCUUAUCAACAUUCUUCUUCCAUGAAUCUGAAUCUUUUGGUCGAAGAUAUUGAUAGCAAUGCACAUAGAAGUAAUACGGCACUGCAUGUUAUAAAGGAAAUUAUUAAUUUUGUAAAGUACCUUAGCGAUUCUGCUUUUGCUAACUUUGUUACUGUCUCCACUGCACUCUGUUCCACAUAGUCGAAAUCAUUCUGCAUUUUGACCUGAUUCUAACAAGACAAUCUAACUUCCAAGCUUUCAAAUUUCCCCAAGGUCUCUGGCACAUUUUUAAGUUUGGAGCAGCCAGAGAGAUACAAUGUUCUAAGCAAUCUCAAACCAUUUAUGGUACUUGGAAGACUCUUGAGAUUUUUACAAUCUUUCAAAUUCAACAAGACAUUGCCAGAAAGAAGUUCAAUAGAUGCUGGCAAUCCUCUUAUAGCAGUUCCUUCCAAAUGAAGCUCCAAGAGCUGAUCCCUGCUUGAAGUUUUCUCUGGGAACUCUCUGAAUUUCAAAGGGCUGGAGAGAUUCAAAGUUGAUAGAUAUUUUAGAGCACUUAUGGUCCGUGGAAGACACUCGAGAUUUUUGCAGCCAUUCAGAGUCAACUGAGCAAGUCCAAAUAGAAGUUCAAUUGAUAAUGUUAAUAUCAGUUCCAUCCGAAAGAACUUCCCACAACGUCUAGAAAUUUCUUCAAUUUCCAGCAACCAGAAAGAACAAGUGUCUUAAGAGAUUUCAUAAAGAUCUUGCCUGGAAGAGUUGAAAGACUUGUACAACCUUUCAAAUUCAACAAAAUCAGCUUCUUUGACGCAGAAAAAAUGAGUGAAUCUCCUGCAACCUUGUAAAUCUUUCAGAAAUCAUCUCCCCUAAAUUUGGUACUCUUGUGAAGUCUGAUUGGUCCUAUUAGAAAAGGCUUUAGCACUGACAUGCAUCUCUUUGUUGUUAAAGCGAUCAAAUAUGAUGCUUCAACUACAUCAGUUUCCUAAACAUUAUAACAAAAAAUAAGUGGGAACAAAAAAAAAAUGAAAGAAAGAAAAUAUUGAUAAAACUACGCAAAGGUUUCACUAGUUAAAUAAGUGAUCAUGAUCCCAAAAUUGCAAGUUUUCAACCUAACUGAACAUUUACUUGUGCUUUGUGAUAAUGCAUGGCAUAUAUCUGCUUCCUUCCACAAUCUAUUGCAGUUUCCAGGCUCCUGAGGGGAUUGCCUCCUAACAAUUUGUCUACCCCAUUUCUUGUAGCUACUCAUGCAUCCACAGUCUGCUGAAAUCAUCUACAGUUAAUAGAGAUUUUUCAAUAGGACCAACAAUUUCGAUAAUUGGGUCAAAAUCACAAUAUUUGAGAAUUUUUUUCACAUAAUCUCUAUACUUCCCUUCACAGAAACAUGCAAUAUCGAGAAAUAUUUUCUUCUCUGUUUCUUUUGACCCAUCAAAACUUAUUUGAAGAACAUCAAGAACCUCAUUUUCAGGAUCUCCCUAUAGUCAUUGUAGUAUAACUCUGAAAAUAUUUUCUUCUCAGCUUUGGAAAUUAAUGAUCUUCUUCUUCAUAUUUAUUCUGAAAAUUCAAAAACAUAAAUGAAAAUAAAGAGAACUGCAUGGCAUAAAAUUUACAACUUUGAUUAUGUUGCAACCAGCAUAGUAAUUUUCUUAAUAAGAAUUCCGACAGUUGUAGUUUUAAAUAUCAACUACAUGUCAACGAUGCAGAAUUCCAAGGCAUCUUCUAUUAAACAAAAACAAAUAAUAAGAACCAACAGUUGUCAAUUCUUAUCAACAAAGUCUUCAAAUUGACAUUGUGGUCUGUUGUUUAACGAAAAAAAGGAAAAUCAAUAGUUGUCAAUUCCUAUCAACCAAAUCCUCAGACCAAAAUUAAACAUGGGGGUGGAGAAAAGAAAAAUAAAAAUCAAAUGUUGAAUCCUCUUGAUUGUUUCAUGGAUAAAUCUGAUCUAGAUCUGAGUCCAUAUUUAACAUAUUCAUCUACCCAUUUUCAGACAUGCCAUGAAUUGUAAAUUAAGCCAAAGAUUCGCAAAAAGCAACAAAGAAACAAAAAACAGAUUCUAUGUUCAGCCACAAAUGGGGUAUUUCACAGCCAAGCACAAUGGUUAUGGAAGAUUGCUAGUAAACAAAUGAAGAAAAUUAAUUGCUUUUCACAGGUUCAAGAAUUAACACUAUUAUUGAUUGCUUCUCAAGUGGAAGAAAUAAUUUUGAAUAAAGCACAACAUCAUUCCUUCCAACAAGGGAGCGCCUAAGUUACGAUCAAUGUAUCUUACGUUUUUUCUUUUAUUCUUCUUGGUAAAUUUCAUUUGAGUCCCUUGAUGUUUCUUUAUUUUCUAUAAUUGAGGGAGUAUUUGUCUCCUUCCAUCUCUUCUACACCUAUUUUUUACCCUUUCCAGAGUUGUAUUUAUUUCUUUUAAUAACAACAAAUGAUUAUCAAACUCAUAUAGAUCUAUGAAUUCAGAAUAUAUUUCUGGUCCUAAAUUUAUUAAACCUAUUCUUUCUUGCUCUAAUAAAUCUAUUUUUUGAUUUAUUAAAUUUAUAUAUGUACUUACUAUAUUUUCCCAUCCUAAAUGCAUAUGUUCUGUACUGUUUAUUAAUUCCUGUAUUGUAUUAACUGCUUGGUUCAUAAUGUUUCAGUUUUAUACCAAUAUAUUAAAAAUUGUAUAAAUUUAUCAAUAAAUUUCAUUUUCUUUUCUAUCAAUAUUUCUCCUCCUGUGGUAUCUAUGUUUCUUUCUAUAAGUUCCUCAGUUAAUUCAAUUUCUAUAUUUCUUAUAUUAUUUUUAUCAGUUUUUAAAGCUUUUACCAAAUUCUUUAUUUCUUCUUUAUUAUAUACCUUUAAUGUAUACAAACUAUUAACUAUUGACUGUAUUGGGUCCAUAAUUUUGUUCUUAUGGCUCUGAUACCAUCUUGCACCGUGUGCCAAAAAAGUAACGAAAAGUAACGAAAAAUAGAAAAAACGAAUAAAAAUAAUAGAAUAAAGAAUUACAGAAAACUAAAAUGUAAAUAAAAAAAAUAUACAAUAAUGUUAAAAAUUUUUAUUUUAUAAGGUAUACAUAUCGUAACUUGUAUUACUAUUAUUUCUUACAUAUAAGGCAAUAACUGAUUCUCCUUCUAUUACCCUAGGUAUAUUAUUAAGAAGACUAGGAAAAUAAAAAUCAUAAUAAUUAUUAUUAGUUUCUAAAAUAUAUGCAGGAUUAUUAGUCAUAUCAUAAAAUAAUUCAAUCUGUAUAAAGUAUAUAUUAUUAUUUAUUAUACUAAAAUAGUAUCUAAUUUCCCUCUAAGUAUCUAUUUUUACAAAAUAUUCUGAUUACAGGUACGUGGCUUGUUAUCCCAAAGUGCAGAGGAUACUAACGCCCAAUAGGGAUCGUCUAUCCAAUUUACGUCAUGGGUUGCUUGCCGAUAUACCUUACAAUCAGUUUAUUUAUUUUAUUUUACUAAAUUCCUAUAUUUCAAGUUCUUCGUUAUCCGAAUUUUCUACGUAAUUUAUGUAUGAUGGUCCGAUUUCUCGAAUUUCAUGUUCCAUAUAUGCUAAAGCUAUGUCAAUUCCUUGCUCUAUUGUUAACAUAAUUAUAUUAUGUUUUAAAUUAUCUAUUUCGAUAUGGUUUAUAAUUUUUCUUUUUAUUUCUUUUGGUAAAUUAAGAGUAUAUACUGCUUGUAGAUCUUCUGUUCUAACUAGCUCUUCUUUACUUCAAAGAUAUGAACUUUGUUUAAAAGAUCCUAAGUUAAAGUCUAUUAUCAUCAUAUAGUCAUUAUAUGUAAUCCUAGUAGUAGAGUUUAUCAUAUAUUCUUUAGAAUUCCCAAGUAAAAUAUCGUUAUUCAUGUUUAAAUUAGCUCUUCCUCCAUCAAUCUCCUCAUCAUCAAUCAUCAACAAACUUCCACCAAAAGAUAAGGUUUGAGAAUUAUUACCUGAGUUGUUCUUAUUUCUUUGCCUUCCGAUCCUCUUCCAGUGACCUGCAGCCUGGUUGUCCUUAUUCCCUCAACGGCCUCCUUGCCUCAACGGGAUCAGCGGACUCGAGCGGCCUUACUGUAUGGAUUUUGAUCGUUGUGCUUGGAAACUUUGAACAAAUUUAGGUUUCUCUUUCCUUUCUUAGGUGUUUUUUUGUUUAUGAUUUCUGAUGGUUUGAUUCUGGAUUCUGAGCUGAAGAGUUGUUUAGUUAUUCAUUUUUGAGAGAGUUUUUUGGAAGAGAUUUCGUGAUUCAAGCUCUGAGAGCCUUUCUUCUUUUUUCUUCUAUUUAUCCAGAAAAAGAUUACAUUCUUGCCCUCUUAUGUUUGGGCUUUUUACAUUAUUGCCUACGUUUUAUUACAUUAUUGCCCUUCUAUCAUUGGGCUUCUUAAGUCACUGCUGACGUUACAUAUUACUUUAGCAUCUUUCUUUUUGCUGCCUGCCAUUUUCCUUAUCUUUGUCGGGCAUCUUCUUUAUGUUGUCUGCUUUAUCUUGUCGGACAUCUUCUUUAUGUUGUCUGCCACUUCCAUGAGUUGAUAAGCUUGAUCCAUAGUUUUACUGCUACUGGGGAAACGCAUAGUGCUUAUUUCAUUGAUGAAAUCUAAUAACAGGUUUGAUGGCGUAUGACUGUCUUCAGAGGUUAUGAGAAUGUAAUUCUGGAAUUUGAUGAUGGUUCUGAAAUUUCUUUUGUAUAGAUCCUUGGCUAUGCUCCAUAUGGCUUUUAUUCCUCUGGCUCUUCGUGUUCUGAUCCAAGGUUCAUUUAUGUGUGGAACAUUUGUGUAGUCUGUCCCAACUUCGACCUUGAAAUUCUUAGUGAGAUGACCUAUAGAGAUCAUAUAAAAGGCUUGAUAUUCUACGUUCUGAUAGUAUUCUGGACUUAUGGUGUAGAAUUUUAGAUAUAUGGGUCUUUUUGGGCGAACCUUGAUACUUCUUUUAUUAAUAAGUCAUCAAGGCUGGCUAUUUCCUGAAGAUUUAUAUCUGGAUAUACUAGAUCUAAAUACCCGUAUUUUGCUAUCUUUCCAACAAGGAGUGGGUCUGCUCCUUUUGUAGCAAUCAUUCUUGGAUACAUAUUUUUUCCUGGUGCUUUGAAAAUUGUAUUCUUGUGGGAACAAGUGGAGUACACCCAUGUCUGCCAUUUUCCUUAUCUUUGUUGGGCAUCUUUGUUUAUGCUGUCUGCUUUAUCUUGUCAGGCAUCUUCUUUAUGUUGUCUGCCACUUCCAUGAGUUGAUAAGCUUGAUCCAUAGUUUUACUGCUACUGGGGAAACGCAUAGUGCUUAUUUCAUUGAUGAAAUCUAAUAACAGGUUUGAUGGCGUAUGACUGUCUUCAGAGGUUAUGAGAAUGUAAUUCUGGAAUUUGAUGAUGGUUCUGAAAUUUCUUUUGUAUAGAUCCUUGGCUAUGCUCCAUAUGGCUUUUAUUCCUCUGGCUCUUCGUGUUCUGAUCCAAGGUUCAUUUAUGUGUGGAACAUUUGUGUAGUCUGUCCCAACUUCGACCUUGAAAUUCUUAGUGAGAUGACCUAUAGAGAUCAUAUAAAAGGCUUGAUAUUCUACGUUCUGAUAGUAUUCUGGACUUAUGGUGUAGAAUUUUAGAUAUAUGGGUCUUUUUGGGCGAACCUUGAUACUUCUUUUAUUAAUAAGUCAUCAAGGCUGGCUAUUUCCUGAAGAUUUAUAUCUGGAUAUACUAGAUCUAAAUACCCGUAUUUUGCUAUCUUUCCAACAAGGAGUGGGUCUGCUCCUUUUGUAGCAAUCAUUCUUGGAUACAUAUUUUUUCCUGGUGCCUUGAAAAUUGUAUUCUUAUGGGAACAAGUGGAGUAUACCCAUGUGGAGAAUUGUUUAUAUUCUUCUUCUUUUGGAUUCAGGGGUUUCUCCUCUUCUUCUGUAUAAGGGUUGUUUAUUUCUAUGAACUUUUUUGGANNNNNNNNNNNNNNNNNNNNNNNNNNNNNNNNNNNNNNNNNNNNNNNNNNNNNNNNNNNNNNNNNNNNNNNNNNNNNNNNNNNNNNNNNNNNNNNNNNNNCUUCCGAUAUUUAUUGGGUUAUGUUUAUUGGGCUCGUGUUUAUAGAGAGAGCUUUUGUUAGGUCGUCUAUGUAUGACUCUAACAAAUUUACUCCUUUUUCAUGAGCCUCAGAAGCUUCUUUUAAAUAGUUUAUUGCAUCAAUUAUGUCAGAUGCUUCUGUUUUGAGCCUUUGUACCUCAGCUUCUAUUUUCCCGAUGAUUCUAUUAACUUUGGGAUUCAUUCUCCAAAUUCUAUGUUCCUGCUUAGGAAAUCUGCAAGGAAAUUGUUAAUUCCUUUUAUAUGGACAAUUUUGAAAUUAUAAUAUGACAGAUAAACUUGCCAUCUAUGCAAUCUUCUAUACUGCGGUUCAUUUGGUAAAAUCCUAUUAAUAAGAGCGUUUACCUGAGAAUUAUCAGUUUCUACAAUAAAUUAUUUUUGGAGUAAAAAUAAUGAGAAUUUUUUAAUCCCUUUGUAUAUUUAUUUAGUUCUUUGUAGUUUAUUACCAUUCUUGCUUUUCCUCUAAUCUGUUCUGCUCUUUUCCUAACCAUAAAAACUGGACUAUUAUGCGGGCUAUUACUGCUUCUAAUAAGUUUUAAAUUUAAUAAUUCUUUUAUUUGAAUUUUAAAUUCUUCUCUAUCUUCUUCUGUAUACAUCAUAGGUUUAAGUCUUAUAAUCCUAUUUUCAAUUAAUUCUAUCUUUGCUCUAGGAUGAUCUGGUUUCCAUAAUGCUAAAGGAUUUUCUUUAUAAACUUGCUCAAGCUGUGAUUUUAUUGUUUCUAAUUGUAUAUUAUAACUUUGUCCUUUUUGUAUUAAAUAAUAUUUUUCAUAAAUAUACUUAUCACCACGCUGGGCUGGCUGAACUCUGUAGGGUUUGAAUUCGCGAGGGAUGCGGAGAAUAUGAUUACAAGGGGUUUUUAAAGUGAUCAUAUAAGGUGUUUGUUGGUAAUAUUGGAACUGUUGUAUGAAAUCAUUUCCUAAAAGGAUAUCACAAUCCAUAUUAUUGUAUUGGAAGAUUUGGUUAACACGUACUAUUUUACUUCCUAGUAAGAUUUCAAAAUUUAGAAUAGAUUGAUUUACAUGUUGUUUAUCUCCUGUAAUACCAAUAAUUUUCAAUUUUCCAUUUGAUUCCCAUUUAUUAGAUAAAAAGGAUUUCAUAAUAGUUAUUUCAUUACCAGUAUCUAUUAAAGCACAAGUAUCUAUAUAUUUUUCUGUUAUAUUUAUUUGUAUAUAUACAGACAUAGGGUACUUUAUAUAAGCUUGUUUUAACAUGUGUAACAAAUUAUUGUUUGGCCUUGGAUUAAGAAAGUUAUCUUAUUAGGUUCAAUUUUGUAAUAUUCUAAAUCAUUUAAAAAACUAUUUCCUAGUACUAUAUGUUUUUCUGGGUCUGUAGUCAUGAAUGAGUCUAUAUAAUAGGCUACUAUUAUUCUAAGUCCUUCUAUUAUUAUGGGGACUUUAACUUCUUGUUUACAAAUAUGUUUAUUCCCAUUGAAGUCAGUAUACUCAUAUGGAACUUCCUUUUCUUUUACUAAGAGUCCUUUAUUUUUUGUGUGAUUCAUAUAAUUAUGGUUUGUGCCAGUGUCUAAUAGUAUAGGUACUUUUGUUGUAUAAUCUAUUCCAUUAAAGUAUUGUCCAAGUAUUUUUACCACAUUAUUUGUUGGUACUGAUUUAAUUAUUUGCUUAUCAGUGUUUAAUCUUCUAGAAGAACUUCCUCUUAUUAAGGUUCUUCCAGCAAAGCUUAUAGGAAUAAUGGAUUUUUCAUUACUAUUAUUUAAAAAUUGUUUUUUAUCAUCGAUAUUUAAUUCAUAAUUUAUUGGGAUUUUGUAAUCUUGGAUUACUGGUUCUAUAAAUGUUGCGAUAUCUUCACAAUCUUUAUUUAUCUCGAUGUAAGGUUUAUUACCAUAUAUUUCUCCGUAAUUUGAAUUAUAGAAACUAUAUAAGGCUGAGUAAUGUAUUGUCAUUAUUCUGUUACCUUCUUUCAUUAAAUUUUUCUUUAAUAACUUAAAAUGUAAGCUUAAUGUUUCGUCUAUGUUUUUAUCUUUAAUGUGUACACAAUAUCUAGGGUGACAAGUAAAUAAUAAUUUAGUAUAACAUAAAUUUCCUUCUAUUGUUCCAAGAUGUCCUAUAUUAGGAUCUGUAAAUCUUUGAUCAUGUAAUGAAAAAACUAUUGGGUUAUCUAUUCCUUCUUUAAAAAGAGAUUUUAUUAAGAUUUGUAUCUCAGCGAGAUAUACAUAUUGAAUUUUUUCUUUAGUUGACUCAUUUUUUAUUUUUCUCAGUGCUAGUUCUAUGGAUUUUUUAUUUAUUAAACUAAAUCUAAUAUUUCCUUCAGCUUGUGUAAUUGUCACAGCAUUUUCUUGUUCAUAAUAUUCAUGUAAUAUUAUUCGUUUUCUUUUAAACAUAUCUCUAAAUCUAUGGAUUAUUCCAUAUUCUGGUUUUUCCAUAUUUAAUUUUAAAAGUUUAUUAUAUUUUUCUUUGUUAAAAGUAGCAACAAGGCUGUAUCCACUUUUGUUUUCUUCUUUUUCUAUUUCUUCUAUCUCUUCUAUGUUUUCAUUAUCUAAUAACUCUUCUUUAUUCUGAUUCAUUUUCAGAUUCUUCAGCCAUAUAAACUUCCUCUCCUAUAUAGUCAGAUAAAUUAUUUAUUUCUUCUAAGUCACUUUCUAUAUUUUCAAAAUCUUCUUUUAAGAGUUUAACUUUUUUCUUUCUUGUACAAUCUGUACUUAUAUGUCCUAUUUCUCCACAAUUCCAACAUUUACAUUUGGACUUAUCUAAUAUUUUUCUCUGGUUUUUAUAUUUUCUUUUAUAAUAUUUUCUUCCUAAUUUUUUAUAUUUUUUCUUAAAAUUAUUAUAUUUUUUAUAUCUCUUUUCUUUAUUAUAAGAUUUUCUGCGUCUUUUAUGAGGUACAUAACAUCCCCAUUGGGUAGGCAUUUCUGUCUUUUCACAACAUAUUUUUGUUAUAUUUUUACUCUUUUUUAUUAAACUUCUUUGGAUACAAAUUUCACUUAAUCUUGUAUUUAAAAAUCUGAUCCUAGAUCCUAAUGUAUCUGGGAUUCUACUAUCACUUUUAUUAGUAUGUUUUUCAUAUUCAUUUAUGAAAUAUCCAUUCCAUGGAUAAGGUAAUUUAGAAUAAUACAAAUUUUUAUAAAUGUUCUGGUCUUCAUGACUCAUGAAUUGUGUAUAAUAAUAUUUACUAAAUUCACAUGUAUAUUCUUUUACAAAACACAUAUUACAGAUUGUCAGGUUUAUUAAUUUCAUUCUAGCAUUUAAUUUAUCAUAUUUUGCUUCAUUUUCUGUAUUUUGUAACCAAUCUUCUCCUAAGAAUUCACUAGCAAUGUAUUCGAUUAUUCUUUCUAUACCUAAUCCUUUAUCUUUUCUUAAUGCUAUUUUGGUUGAGUCUUUUAUUAAUUUUUGUGUAUCGUCACUUAAUCCUUUCCACCAAUUAAAUACAUUUCCUGUAAAACUUGCUAUUAGAAUAUCUGUUAAUAUAUUUAUUUUUUCUUCUUCAGUAUCUACAUUCCAAUCAUCUUUGGAUCCAUUGAAUAUAAAAAAUAAUUUCAUUUGCAUUCCCCAUUCUACUAAAGCAUUUCGGGGGUCUAUUUUACAAUCUAAGUCUAAAAAUGUACCUGCAUUGCUUAUUGGCAUCAAAUGGUCAUUAUUAGGUUGGUAAUCUUUUUUCCAAGGGGUAUUUUUGACGGGCGGAUAGUAUUCAUAAAAAGGUCUAUUUUUCUUUUUAUUUGUUUCAUAUCUAUGGCUAGGUUCUCCAAUAUCAGGUUUUAAUUCUGGACCUCCAGCGACAUUCAUCUUUAAUUGGUAUUCUUUUUCAAAUUCUUCUAAAUUACUAAGGUUAAUAUCACUAAAUUUUUCUGUUAAUUCUUCUAAUGUAUUUUCCAUUAUUCUGUGUCACUAGGUGUGUUUUCGUUUAUCUCUAAUUUUUCUUUUCCCUUUUCUUCUCUUUUUAAUUAUGCUUUUAACUUUUCUGAUUCCUCUAAUAUUUUUGGAUACUGGGUUUUUAUAAACCAAUCAUCAUAACUUCCUGGUUGAGGUUUUGUCAUAUGUUUUUCAAUGCUUGUCUCUAUUAUUCCUGAUUUUAUUAUUUCAAGUUUCUCAACUUUUUUAUUUUUCUUUCGGCUUAUCUGAAUUGUUGAUAAUUCUAUUUUUAUCUUUCAUAUUUCUUGUUUAAUUUCUCUCAUUUCUUCUUUAAGAUUUAAAAGUAUUUCUUUUAAUUCGAUUAAUGUAGUUUCCAUAAAAUGUAGGGGUGCUAACAGAUAUUUUUACUUUUGAGUGUAUGUUACAUCCAACGUAACAUAGUGUUAGCCUUCCAACAAUUGUGAUGAUAUUUUUUUCAUUCAUUCUAUGGCCCGACUCUGUUUUAUGUCUAAAACUCAAGAAAUUCUACAAUUCCUUCGUUCUACCACAUCAUUCACCCAACAACAAAUAAUCAAAUUCUGUCAUGCAUAUUUUUAUAUAGAAAUUUGCAAAAAUGUUAGUCGAUAGAAAAAAAAAUAAUUGAUUAAAUAAACACUGGGUUUGCACUGUGUUUGUGGUAAAAUUCUGUUAAAGACACGUGUACAUAAACUACCAAGGCACUGAAGAUAUGGAAUUUGAUAGUGAAGGAAUGAAUUUCACAAGAGGAAAUGACAAGAAGGAGCGUGCUUAUUUUGUAGCUGACAAACGGACACAUUAAAGAUUGCCAAUAAAUCAUUGGUAUUCGAUCGAGUACCUGGGAUGCCCCUUUGUGCAGACCCUUCACUCUCUUCUUGGUUUUGCCUUCGAUCAUUAGAGUUCCUGGCUGACUCAUUAGUUUGGCUGGCUAUUUGUGCUGAUUAUCGAACACAUAAACAAUAUAUGUAAACAAUAUAUUGACAAUACAUAUUGAUAGUGAAGGAAUCUCAGAAUCUGCUCACUGGCCAUGACUCACGCAGGACAAACCGUCACGAAUUGACCUUGUUGAUUGAUUGCUUUUGCUUGGGAAACCAUAGAGUUGAUGCAACACAUCAGGUGGGAUGCACAUUCGUUCGUAGGCAUAUUAUCGAACACGUCCUAGGCACGAGAAUUAUACCAUAAUUCCUCAACAACUCCUCUCUUGAACCUGGCCUGCAAAUUCCAUAUAAUCAUUCCUUUGUCUAUUUAUCGUUUGUUCUGAGCCCAAAUCAAGCUGAGAUCGAUCAUAUUCAUAUAGAUAUUUGUCUUUCAAAAUGGAACACCAUGACCUUCUUUUAGCGAUAAUACCCUUUAACCUCUAUUAUCCCAAAAAAAAUCAACACUAACGUUUUAUAAUAAAUAGAGAUAUAACAUUAAAAUAAAUGUAAUAAUGUAUACAUUGUAAAAUAAUUUCAAUACUUAAAAAAUAUUUUAAUAUUUUGCAAUCUAUUAGAUAUAUUUUAGUAUAUGUAUUUAAAUUUUAUAAUAAAUAGAAUCAUAAUGUUAAAAAAAAGUGUAUUAAAAUUUAAAUUAUUUUGAAUAUUAUGUAAAAUAGUAAUAACAUUAGUAUGUGAGUUUUUUUAUUGUAAAAUAUAUUUAAUGCAAAUAUUUAUUUAAAAUAUCUAAAAUAAAUAAAAAAUAUUAUUAAAUAAAUAUAACAAUUUAUAUAUUUAAAUGUAUUAAAAUAUUAAACUAUUUUAAUAUUCUUAGUCUAUUGCGUAGAUUACAUUAUUUAUAUAAUAUUUCUAUUUAUUAAAAAUUUUAAAUUUAAUUGUUUAAAGGGUUAAUGGUCAAAAAAGGGUUUUGGUGUCUUUUUCAAAAGUUUUGGGAGUAUUGGUGAUCAUUUCCUAAAAUUUAGGGGGUGUAGUCGUCAUUUUUCCUAUUAUAAUUGAUAUAUUAGAAUGAAAGAAAUAAAAAACCAACAAGCACAAACUAGUGAUACAAAAAUCUUUAUAUUAAAUAAUUCAAAUGAAUAUAUAGUUUAUCAAGAAAUUGAAAAUCCAAGUUGGACUGCAAUUUCAAUUAGGUAAUAGCGAAACAUGAACAUAAUACUAAGCAUGAGUAUAAAAAGGCUUUGCUCUUUAUUAGAUUUCUUAAAUUCUUGUAGCAUGAGGUUCUUCAUAUCAGUAAGGCUUUGCUCAAAAAGAAAAAAAAGAAAAAAUCAAAACACAAACACAAUAUCUAGAGAUGUUUAGCUACAGUGGCCUAUGCCUUCUUUGGCAAGCUUUAUUUGUUUUCUCAGAACAACUUACAAACUUAGAGAGAAAAUUGCAAGCUACAGAAUGGACAUCAUACAAUAUACCUCAUCGGUCAUCAGCUUGUUAUGGGUUUGUAAUAAUUUCCCGCCCUUUCUAACCGAUUUAACAGCUACAUACUGAUACUAAUGCUCUUCAAUACGACAAUAUUUUCGGGUCGUUUGAUCAUUGUGUAUAAGUGAGUGCACGUGACCAACGCGUGCACUCACUUACUAAGUUUAGACGACUUGAGCCGGACGUCGUACACGAGUCCUCUAGGAGUAACCGAGAGAUCGUAUGCAAAGAAACAACAGUUCAUACUAUCAUUUAUUAUUCAGCCGACAUUGCAUCUAGUCUAGGAAUUAGAUUUUGGUUCAUUUUGAACAAUAGGCAUAUGUGGCAAAUAUCACUUGGGAUUUCUCCUCCUUCCACUGGUAGAUUACAGUCGUUGAGAUCCCAUUUUGUUAAAGAACAUAAGCCUGAUAGAGAAGGUAACAUCAAAUUAGUCAUAGGAUCUGAUCUCCUUCACAUCAUAUUGGUAGGGAAGCACAAAUCCCAUGAUGUAGAUGAUAGUGGUCCACUGCUUUAAGAUUCUUCAAGAUAGAAACAGACGUCGGAAGCUGCCUAAUUGUUGUUCCACUAUUAUCAAGCUCUUCCAAGCUAUCUACUUUCCCUAAGUUCUCUGACACAUUUUCAAGUUUGGAGCAGCCAGAGAGAUUCAGAAUUUUGAGAGAUUCAGAAUUUUAAGAGAUUUCAAACCACUGAUGGAACUUGGAAGACACUCGAGAUUUUGCCAAUCUUUAAAAUUCAACAAAACAAGGCCAGUUAGAUAUUUCAACUGACAAUGGCAAUUCUCAAAUAGCAAUUCCAUCUAAAAUGAGCAUAGUUAGAGAUUUCAUACUUCCCCAAAACUUUUCCAGCUUCGAGCAACCAGAGAGCGUUAGAGUUCUUAAACAUCUACUUAUAGUAAUUGGAAGACUCAAGAGAUAUUUACAACCUUUUAAAUUUUGCAAAAAAUGCCAGAGAGAUAUUCAAUUGACAUUGGCAAUCCUCUUAUAGCAGUUCCCAACAAUCGAAGCGCCAACAGAUGUUCCAUACGUCCCAUGAUCUCCGGAAACAAUCUGAAUUUCAAAAGGCCAAAGAAAUUCAAAGUGGAAGGAAAUUUUAGAGCACUUAUGGAAUUUGGAAGACACUCAAUAUUUUUACAACCUUUCAAAUUCAACUAAACAAUUCCAGAUAAAAGUACAAUUGAUAAUAGUAGUCCCUUAAUAUCAGUUAUGGAAUUUGGAAGACACUCAAUAUUUUUACAACCUUUCAAAUUCAACUAAACAAUUCCAGAUAAAAGUACAAUUGAUAAUAGUAGUCCCUUAAUAUCAGUUUCAUCCAAAAGAAGCUGCCACAAAAACUUCAUAUUUCCCACAAUCUCUAGAAAUUUCUUCAACUUUGAGCAACCAGAAAGUACCAAUGUUUUGGAGAUUUCAUAAAAAUUAACCUUAAGUUCUGAAAAGGAUGUGAAGAUGUCCAUAGAAUGAACAUUAAGUUAUGAAAAGUCAUAUACCAUGCAUUCGACUACUUCAGUUCCUUAAAAAUCAUAAAAGCAGAUGAUAAGUGCAAACUAGGAUGUGAAGAUGUCCAUAAAAUUAUUUAUGCAUAGAUUUAAAGCAUAGAAUGUCGAGCAAAACACAUGUUUGAUAGAAUGAGCAAUAUGCUCAAUGAAAUGCCUCUAUGAGUCAAGCAUGUCAGAUGACUCAUAAGAGUGAUUCAGCAAGAGAUGAGAAUAAUAUGGAAUAGUCAUGAAGAUAAGAUCAAAGAUUGAAUUAAGCAAAUGUGGGCAGACUUUUCUCAGGGCACAAAGUCAUUUCCUUCGGAUCAAUGUAACGAUGACCAAAAGAUCUCCUUAAAAGCCUACAUUGUGCAAUUGAUAGCUUGGGCAAAGGAAAACAUUUUGUACGUGUAUCAUUAAAAAAUGAAUAAAAUGUAGGCUGCAUUACAGAAUAUGUUUUACUUUGCAUUAUAUAAUGAUAGCAAUUUUAUACUUCAUUUCUUGACUUUUAGAAUCAUGAACUCAAAAUACAUGCAUUGCACUUUGCCACUUACCGUGUUUUUUGUCAACACAUGAUGUACAUCUGUUACGUUCCACAAUCUGCUGCUGUUGUUCAGCUAAUGUUCUUACAACAUUAGCUAAUUGGUUUACAACACUUUUCGACAGCUACGCAUAUCCUUUGCCUGGCUGAUUGGUUUUGAAGGCUUUCAUACAAAGAAGUCCAAGAGCUUUAUCAUAGUAUAGUUGCUUAAGGACCAAUAAUUCGUCCACUCUAUGUGUUGUCAACGUUGCUUAUCUUUGGAUGUUAUGAUGAUUCUGCUGCCUAAACUUUCUAGCUAACCUUUUUGUGUCGCAACCACUUCCAAUUAUGUUGAUAACAUUAUAUACAUUCCAUUUUGUUAGGAAAUCUGACCUCCUUUUUCUGAGGUUUAUCUAACGUUGGCAAGAAAACUACUUACUUCAAAUUCAUGAUAGAUCAAGUUAUAAACAACCUUUGCAAGAGUUGCCUUACCUAUACCUCCCAUAUCACAGAUCCCUAUCAUACGAACAUCAUUAGGCCUUUUAUCCAUUAGAAUCGUUAGCUUCUCCAAGUGUGAAUCCAUUCCUACUACCUUCUUAAGAGUCUCUGAUUUUAAAGGAAUUUUGCUUGAUAUCUCAUUGACAAUCUCCAUAAUAAAGUCCGAUUCAUUCCUGCGGGUUGAAUAGAACAAGAAAAGAUUUGUGUUGGUGAGCUAAAGCUAGUGUGAGCGUAACAUAGUGUCAAAAAAUUACAUAAUAUAUGUCUACAAAACGGAAGUGAUAAAGUCAUAACUUGUGUUUGAUUAAUCUCUAGGUUAUUCUUCAUGUAACUCUUCUCUAAUUUCGCCUAUAACUCUUCAUAUGUAGAUAUUCAUUGAUCAAGUUAUUAUUUCAAUUAAAUCCUAUAAUUUUAACAAAUUCUUAUACAUUUAUUCUACUGUCUCUCCCUGCUCUUAUGCCUAAAAACUUGAUAAGUUCUAGAAUCCCUCUGCUCUACCACAUCAUUCACCCAACAACAGUGUAUAAAAUCUUGUCAUGUAAAGUUUAUUGGAAAAUUGUAGGCAAGUUGGUUGUUGCUAUAACGAGAUGAAUAUGAACGCUAUUUUGGUAAAAUCUUAUUGUUGAUACAAAUAUACACAUGCACAUGCACACACUGAACAUGAAACUAGUAAAUAAAUAUACUGAAUAAAUAUUGGCAGUUUUUUAAUAGUGGAGAAAUCCAAACAUUUUCUCACUUAUUAUGAUUCAUGCAGAACAAACAAAAAUUAGUUGAUCCACAUCUUAGAAAAUUAAUCAUUGAGAAUAAGAAUGAUUACCUAUCUUUCAAUUCCUAGCCAAAGAUAUUAGCCACCUCCUGCGGAGCGCCUCUCCAUUUUUGCACCUUUUCUAUAUUCUCCUUUAAGAACUUCUUCAUGAUUAGCAAUCGCUUCUUGACAACUUCAUAUAUGUUUCCUUACCACUGUUGGUUCAACAUCAUAGAAAAUUGGAAAAACCAAUUGUUGGCGAACAUGACGUGUUCUUCCAUUCAACAAUCUUAAGAAGUACAGUUUCUUGAGAAGACAAUAACUGAAAUUCUUGAUUCUUCAAUUACUUUAGAUUGUGCUGGUGAAAUGGAUAUUCCCCUUUCACGUUCUUUUUCAUCACUGAAUACAUUAAUUCCAGUUUUAUUCAAAGUGGACUAGAGGUGAUCUGAAAAGUUCUUGCAGUGCGGGUGUCUUGUCUUCACCUCUGAAGCUCAAGCAGACAUCGUAGUUCCCGGGAUGCUCAUGAUGCAAGCAAUUGACUCCACAGCCUCUUAUUGCAAUAAGUAACUGGCUGUUAAAUAAUCGUACUUCAGCAAACGAAAAUAAAAUACCAGCAAGUAAAUUAAAACAGUGGAAAACACCCAUAGUAUACCAGUAAAGUGGCAACAGUUUUGGUUCUUGGCAACAAGAGAAAAAAACAAUUCCCAUUCAACUCUUUAAUUGAAUUUCUUAUGUGAAUAAAUUGUAGGAACAGAUGUAUCGUCUCAUUGUUCAACACAUCAGGUGGGAUGCAUUCCUUCUUGGGCAUUUUAUCGAACAUAAUUUCUCAAAAAUUCCUUCCUUGAACUUAGCUUGCAAUUCCAUUUAUGGUGAGAUCGAUCAUCUACAUAUUUGUUUUUCAUCCUUCCAAUGCUUGAAUUUCUUCGAAAAUCCCUGCGAUAUAAUUUACUUGAUCUAGGAUGUUCUAACUUUUUUUCCUUUUUUUUUUAUGAAUCCUCACCAAAGUGAGGAGGUUUUAUUAAAAUAAAAUAAAAAUAUAGCAAGAAAACCAGCCAAACUAAAAUUACAAAAGCUAGCUGAACAGAUAGCUAGGCAGCCUAAAAACAUCCUCAUGCAAAAGAGAAGCAACAUGAGGGGUGCAGAGUCCCACCAAGUAAAGGAAUCCACCAUGGCACCUAAAUUGCUCAAACAAUCAGCUACUCCAUCAGCCUCCCUGAAGACACGAGAAAAGCGCAACGUCAUGGAAUCCAUGAGAGCAAUACAAUUAUUCCAUCGAUGAAUAAGAAACCAUGGGCGGAAGCCGCUUUUUACGAAGAUAAAGCAUAGUUAAAGUAGAUUCACAUUUGAUCCACGGCAUAGUCCAACAUCCAAAAGAAGCAUGCUCAAUCGCCAAGAUAACAGCCAACAGUUCAGCAACAAAAGCCGUUUCAACAUGUAAUGGACAAGAGAAAUCCCCCAGAAAUUCUCCCUCACAGUUUCUGAACACAGCCCCACAAGUGAAAACAUGCAAAGAAUGAUACACCUCUACGCAACCAAGGAUGUAUCGGAUUAAAUUUGCACUCUUCGAGUGAGUGUUGAUUCCAAAAAUAGAAAGAUCAGAGAUGAAUAUUAAGAAUGGAAAGAGAGGUUGAGACAGAGUGAUGAAGAGUAGGAAUCCAUAUUAUACUAGGAUUAGUUUCCUUAUUAACUAAAGUUUAAGACUUUUAAAUUCCUUUCUAAUUUAGAAUUUUGUUUCCCUUUCAAUUUAGGAUUUUGUUUUACUUCAUGAAUUAGGAUAAUUACUACUACUAUAAAUAGCUCCCUCUUGUAGCCUUUGAAAGCAGAGAUUUUUGAGUUUAAUAAUAUUUCAAUUUUCAAAUCUCUUUGUGAGUAUUUGAACAGUUAAUUCUCGGUAUUCUGCGGAAUCAACGAGUCUUAAUUCCUAAAUUCGCGGUAUUCUUUUGAAUCAACGUGAAUUUAGUUGUUCUUUUGUUCCGGUAUUCUCUAAAAUCAACGGAAUAUUUUGAACAUUAAACUUCCGCUGCAUCAGUUUGGUAUCAGAGCCAAAACCUGGUAUCACCAAUCUAACUCCAUCUACCACCAAACCUUUCCUUUUUCCCUUUUUGAUUUUUUCCAUUUAGCUUAAAAAAAAAAAAAAACCCACUUUUUCAGACAAACCACCACCAUCAUCUUACCAACCCAAAAUCUUUCAGAUCCACCCACCCUUACUCGAUUUUCGACCACCAUCAUCGGCAAUCUAAAACUUUUUGCUUAAUUACAGUUUCGGCCUAAAAUUUUAUUUACUUUCAGUUUAACCCCACUACCUUUUUAAACCCGAAUUUGAAAAAAUGCCUCCAAGAAAAGCUCGUGAUGCUCAUACUACAACUUACAAUCAAGAAGAUGUUUCGAAAGAUGAAUCCCUGGCUAGUAUGACAGCCAGAAUUGAUAUGUUAGCUGAACAAAUGGCACGAAUAGCAGAGUUACUUGACGAACGCCAUCGUACUCCAGAACGUGAAGACAAAUCAAGUGUAAGCUUUGCUAACCCAUUCUCUGGGCGUCGACCUAGAACUGAGUCUACUGAUGACAGAAGAUGGGAAUCUGGGUUGAGAAUUGACAUUCCCGAAUUUCAAGGAAGUGGUCGACCUGAAGAAUUAUUAGACUGGAUUAACGCCAUUGAGGAAGUUUUCGAAUACAAAGAAGUUCCUGAAAAUAAACUAGUUUCGCUUGCUGCAACUCGAUUUCGUGGAAGAGCAGCAGCUUGGUGGCAACAAACUAAGCUCACAAGGAUUAGGCAAGGCAAAAAGAAGAUUGAUUCUUGGGAAAAGUUCAAGAAGCACUUGCGUGGAGCAUUCUUGCCUCAUAAUUACGCCAAACUGUUAUACCAACAGCUACAGAAUUUAAGGCAAGGUAAUUGAUCAGUGGAUGAUUACACUACAGAAUUUCAUUGGUUGGUGGCCCGCAAUGACUUGACAGAGACAGAAGAACAACAGGUUUCCCGCUACAUUGAAGGCCUACGAUCUCAAUUUCAAGACCAAUUAAAUUUACUUGACCCAUACUCUGUUUCAGAGGCACACCAACAAGCCUUGCAGUUGGAGAAGCAAUUUAGUCGACGUACUAAUGACUCAAGCUUUCGGGGUGCUCGAAGUGUUGUUCGUGAUAAUUCAAACCCAACUUCCCAAUUUCGUAAUUUCACUCCUCCAAAUCCUCCAAAUAAAACUAGUAAACCUAGUGAAAUCGGUCAAAGCAGCAAAACUCAAUCAUCGGGUUCGGGAUUACGCUGUUUUAAUUGCGGAGAAAAUGGGCACCGAAUGACAGAAUGUAAAAAGGGAGGAAAAUAUGGUAAAGGCUUAUUCGUAGGCACAGAGGAAAGUGAAAGUGAAGACUACCAGGAGGAAGAAACUGAAGAGUUCGCUGUAGAGCCAACUUUUGAUAGUAGUGGUAGCACUCAAUCUGUUGAAGAACAUGGUGAUAGCGGGCCAAUGUUGAUCGUGAACCGCACAUUCUUCACUCCUAAAGGUCAAGACAAAGACAAGUGGCUACGACAGAAUAUCUUUCAGACUACUUGCACAAUCGGGGGUAAAGUAUGUCGUAUGAUCAUAGACUCCGGCAGUUGCGAGAAUGUCAUUUCGGAAGAAGCCAUAACAAAGCUAAAUUUAAAGACAGAACCUCAUCAAACUCCAUACAAGCUCACAUGGCUGAAGAAGGGAAAUCAAGUGACAGUAUCGAAACGUUGCUUAGUUUCCUUAUCCAUUGGUUCAAUUUAUAAAGACAAAAUUUGGUGUGAUGUUGUGGCUAUGGAUGCUUGUCAUCUAUUACUGGGUAGACCUUGGCAAUAUGAUCGAAACGUAGUGCAUGAUGGGAAGAGAAACACCUACAGCUUUAUGUUUAACAACACCAAGAUCGUUCUCCUACCUAACAAAGAGUUUACUCUCCAGCAAGACUUGGGUAAUUAUUUGUUAGGAAAGAAGCAAUUUAUAGAUGUUGUAGCAGAGACAAAGAGAGUCUACAUUUUAUUGGGAAAAGAGAGUAACGGUGAUUCGAAGAUUCCUGAAGCUGUGACACCUAUUCUGGUGGAAUUUCAAGAUUUGUUCCCUAAUGAGCUACCACAGGGUUUACCACCUCUUCGAGAUAUACAACACCAAAUUGAUUUGGUACCAGGUUCUACAUUACCAAAUCAACCUCAUUAUCGUAUGAGUCCUACAGAACAUGAGGAAUUAAGGCGCCAAGUGGAAGAGUUACUAGAAAAGGGAUUUAUCCGUGAAAGUCUUAGUCCCUGUGCAGUCCCUGCUUUAUUGACUCCAAAAAAAGAUGGUUCUUGGAGGAUGUGCGUGGACAGUCGAGCUAUCAAUAAAAUUACAGUUCGAUAUCGUUUUCCAAUCCCUCGAUUAGACGACUUGUUAGAUCAACUCAGUGGAGCAACAAUUUUUACCAAACUUGAUUUGAAAAGUGGCUACCAUCAAAUUUGAAUACGGCCUGGAGAUGAAUGGAAAGCAGCUUUUAAAAUUCGCGAAGGGUUAUGCGAGUGGUUGGUAAUGCCGUUUGGCUUAUCUAAUGCUCCGAGUACUUUUAUGCGAGUCAUGAAUCAAGUUCUUCGCCCUUUCAUUGGAAAGUUUGUGGUUGUUUACUUCGAUGAUAUACUUAUAUAUAGCACCAGUCACGAGUUACAUCUACAACAUUUGAGAGAAGUGCUUUUAGCCUUAAGAGCAACAAGUUUAUACACAGCAGUAAACAAGUGUAUUUUCUUGACCGAGAAAGUAUUAUUUUUGGGAUAUGUGGUGUCGAAGGAUGGUAUAUCUGUUGACCAAUCAAAAGUGGAUGCUAUUCGAGAUUGGCCUCAGCCAACUACUUUAUCCGCCACCAGAAGUUUCCAUGGAUUGGCCUCUUUUUACAGGCGAUUCAUUCCUCAUUUCAGUACUAUUAUGGCACCAAUCACAAAUUGCAUGAAAGGAGGACAAUUCUCUUGGACAGAGGCAGCUACUAAGGCAUUCAAGAUUAUCAAAGAAAAGUUGAUUACUGCCCCAGUACUUGCCCUACCAGAUUUUUCGCUCACUUUUGAGGUACAUUGUGAUGCUUCUAAGGUCGGCAUUGGAGCUGUUCUUAGCCAACAGGGUAAGCCUAUAGCUUAUUUCAGUGAGAAGUUGAAUCAAGCAAAGGCACACUACAGCACUUAUGACGUGGAAUUUUACGCAGUAGUCCAAGCGUUAAAACAUUGGCGACAUUAUCUAAUUCAUAAAGACUUUGUUUUAUACACUGACCAUGCCACGUUAAAGUAUCUCAAUAGUCAAGACAAGCUCUCUCACAGACAUGCCACGUGGACAGCAUUCCUUCAACAAUUUACCUUUGUGGUGAAGCAUACCUCUGGUGAAUCCAACCGGGCAGCAGAUGCACUUAGUCGACGAACUUCGUUAUUGACACAGAUGCAUAAUCAAGUUCUUGGAUUUGACACAUUUCGAGAGUUAUAUGCUUCUGAUCCUUACUUUGCUCCUAUAUUAGAAGACGUUGUUGCAGGGUUUCGCUCAGAUUAUCAUUUACAUGACGAAUUCCUUUUCAAGAGUAAUCAGUUGUGUGUUCCUAACUCAAGUUUGAGAUUGAAAAUCAUUUCAGAGUUACAUAAUGAAGGGCACAUGGGUCGUGACAAAACUCUGGCUCUAAUCGCCAACACUUAUUUUUGGCCUACUAUGAGGCGUGAAGUCUAUCACUAUGUUGAGACUUGUCGCAUUUGUCAAGUUUCCAAGGGUGCAGCAACUAAUGCUGGGUUAUAUAUGCCGCUGCCAAUUCCAACACAACCUUGGGCUGACAUUAGCAUGGAUUUUGUUUUGGGAUUACCCCGCACUCAGAGGGGUAUGGAUUCAAUAUUUGUUGUUGUUGAUCGAUUCUCGAAAAUGGCUCACUUCAUUGCUUGCAAGAAGACUACAGACGCUUUGACUGUUGCUCGCCUAUUCUUCAAGGAAGUCUAUAGAUUGCACGGUUUACCAAGUUCUAUAGUAUCUGACCGGGAUACACGAUUUCUUAGCCAUUUUUGGAAGACAUUAUGGAAGUUGACUAACACUCGCCUGAAUUUUAGUAGUGCUUACCACCCACAAACAGAUGGUCAAACUGAAGUUGUCAACCGCUCUUUAGGAAACCAUUUACGUAGUCUAGUUGGUGAUAACUUGAAGAUGUGGGAUCAGAAGUUAUAUCAAGUCGAGUUUACUUAUAACCGUGCAGUUAAGCGUAGUACUGGUUUAAGCCCUUUUCAGGUGAAUUACGGAUAUAAUCCACGAGCUCCUAUCGACUUGGCUCCAGUUCCAGAUUUAGUUCGCAAAAGCGGUAAAGCAGAAGACUUUAUUGAGCAGCUUCAGCAGAUUCAUGAAACUACGCAAGAGUCUUUGAAGCAGACGACCGAAGGUUAUAAAAUUAUGGCAGACAAAAAACGUCGAGCUUUAGAAUUUCAAGUAGGAGAUCUUGUUUGGGCUAUCUUAACUAAAGAUAGAUUCUCAGUUGGUGAGUACAACAAGCUUUCUGCCAGGAAAAUUGGCCCUUUGGAGAUUAUCGAGAAGAUAAAUCCUAAUGCAUACCGAUUACAGCUUCCUAGUCAUAUCCGCACCGCAGAUGUCUUUAAUGUCAAGCAUCUUAUUCCUUACAGAGGUGAUCAUGAUGAAGAUGUUAUUGCUGACAAUCUGAAUUCGAGGGCGAAUUCUCUUCACCCUGGGGGGAAUGAUGAAGAGUAGGAAUCCAUAUUAUACUAGGAUUAGUUUCCUUAUUAACUAAAGUUUAAGACUUUUAAAUUCCUUUCUAAUUUAGAAUUUUGUUUCCCUUUCAAUUUAGGAUUUUGUUUUACUUCAUGAAUUAGGAUAAUUACUACUACUAUAAAUAGCUCCCUCUUGUAGCCUUUGAAAGCAAAGAUUUUUGAGUUUAAUAAUAUUUCAAUUUUCAAAUCUCUUUGUGAGUAUUUGAACAGUUAAUUCUCGGUAUUCUGCGGAAUCAACGAGUCUUAAUCCCUAAAUUCGCGGUAUUCUUUUGAAUCAACGUGAAUUUAGUUGUUCUUUUGUUCCAGUAUUCUCUAAAAUCAACGGAAUAUUUUGAACAUUAAACUUCCGCUGCAUCACAGAGAGAAGAGCCAAGAGAAAUAGAAAGAGAUAUUUUAUUUCCUGAUACCCCAUACACGAAUUUGUUCUGCUCUACAUAUAUUCCUCUGUCCAAGACGUUAGCAAAAAUAUUACAGCUCAGCAACUUCUAACAGAAAAUAUGAUAGCAAAAACAAACCAACAAUCAUAAGGUACUAGCAAUUUCACCACACGACAUAAUCCUUAAACCACCCAGGGGCUCUUCUAACUCGUGUGCUUGCGUACCGUUCCUCAUGAGCUGAUUCUUCCUCAACCUGUGAUGUGGCUUCCUUCAUGGGCUGUUCAUAAUUGGACUCGUUGUUGGGCUGCCCUUCUUGUAAGCAAUCCGGUUGAUCCGACUGAAUGUGGAAGGUUGUAUCAAAGAACCUUCAGCGAUUUUUUACUAUAAACGUAAGCAUAUUUUAAUUUUAAUAUACGCAUUAAUGAUUUAACUAAUUUUAUGUAUGUAUUUAUAUUUUUAAUUUUUUCUCAUUCCUUUUUAUGUAAGCGUGAGUUGAGGCUCGACCCCGAUCCGGCCUUUAAACUAGACCUUGUUCCUUAUACAUGGGCUCAAAUGGACUUGGGUCAUUUAUUUCAAGAGUAGCCUUUCGACAUCCCUUAAAAUUUCUUAUAAAACUCAUUUUCUAUUAAAACGACUUGAAUAACUAUAAAUAAAUAUUUUUUUAAAAUUUUAAAUGGGAUUUCAAUUAAAUACUUAAAUAAAUUAAGGUUUUAAUAAAUAAUUUACACCCACAUCAUUUCAUAAUUUAUAUCUAUAUUUAUGAGAAGAUAUUUAAUUUUAAUAAAUGAGUUUAUAUUUUAUAAAUUAAAUAAGAAGUAUUUUAGGAAAUAAAAUUCAAUAAGUGGUGUUGUCUAUUACGUUUCAGACAGAUCACCAAAACUAUUGGUGUGUUAAACUUCACUUACUUUCAAAUCUUAUUGAAGACAACAUGAAUUUGAUCCAACUUAAUGCUAGUUUAUAUGAUGUUGGUUUAAUGCCUAUGUUGGGGGUGUCAAUGCCUUUGCAUUCAACCAUUUCAACUAUAGACAACAGAUCUCUGAUGUAUUUUCUUUGUGAUAAAUAUACACAAUGUGCGUCUUGCGACACUUUAAUUCCAAGGAAAUAAGAUAAUAUUCCUAGGUCUUUUAAGGCAAAUGCUUUCCUAAACUGAGUUAUAAAACUUUUUAACUUUAUAGUACUUGGACUUGUAAUGAGUGUUUCUUCUUAUGAAAAGAGAGGCAUCCAAAUUAAUAUUAAUAAAACCCCAAUGCAAUAAACAGCUUUUCAGCUUAUCAAACUAAGCUCUAGGAACUUGUUUGAGUCUAUAUAGACAUUUGUACAAUUUGCACACAAAUUCAGGUUUCUCAGCAUUAAUAAAGCCUUCUGGCUAACACAUGAAUACCUCCUCAGUUAACUCUCCAUUAAAAAAGGCAUUGUUAACAUUAACUUGCCUUAUUUUCCAUUAGUUCAUCACUCCUAGGCUCAGCACCACUCUAAUAAUAGCUAAUUUAACCACUUGACUGAAUGUUUUAAAGUAAUUCACCCCUGCCACUUGCUAAAAUCCUUUUGCAAUAAGCUUGGAUUUAUACUUAGCUACACUUCCAUCUUUGUUAUACUUGAUCCUUCACACCCAUUUAUUGUCAGCAACGUCAUGACCAGCUUGUCUUGGAACUAAUGUCCAUGUAUUAUUCUUAAUCAAAGCAUCAUAUUCUUCUUUCAUAGCUUGCAGCCGUCUGGAGUCAUCUAAUGCCUCUUGCACAUUAUCUGGUUCUUUGUGAAUGAGAGUAUCAGUUGUUGUGUCUUUUUUUUUCAUUUUGUUUAUUCAAUAACCACAAAACUGAUGUUGGAGUAUCUUCCAGCAAAUUAUAUACAAAACAGAAAUGUAAGUACAGUAAUAUUAUAUUCUUAAAUUAUGUCUACAAAUACAAAGUAAAUUAAAAUAAGAUUAAUGAAAUAAUAAAAAUGUAAAUAUUAAUGAUAGAUAAAAAAAAUAUGGGAUAUGAUAGUAAUGCCUUAGUAAACAAUAUUAUAGUAUAUGGCAAGUCCAGCUAUUUGAAGAGAACUUUAAAACCAUAUGAAUCUCAAAAAUUACCAAAAAUAAACUUUAUUAUACACUAAUUAUUCCGUGCCAUUUUCCUGAGCACUUUUGUUUAUUUUAGGAACGCAUACUUAAACAAUCUGAUCAAGCAUGAAAGCAUUUUCGAUUCAUGGAAGGUAACAACUUUGGAGAUGAUAUUUUGGUUUUGUGGUAACUUAACAUAUAUAAAAUAAAAAUUGCCAACUGAAAUUGAAGAUGCAUGCUUACUGAAAUAUUCAGAGAAUACUAAGCUGGCUUCUCCCUUUAUUUGAGUUCACUAAAUGGAUCCUUGAGGUUAUGGUUCCUCAUCACCUCAACAUAUGCAGCAAGGCUUUGCCUUGACAUUGUUGCUACAUCCCUCUUUGAUGCAAAAAAAAUUUGAGGGGAUCUAUUCAGAUUAUGAGUGGUAAAGCGAUUCCAUUGGAUUGUAGUUUUGUCAAACUCCUCCAUAUAAACUGGGUGGAUAUCACACCUCUCACCUCCGAUCCUGGCCAAAACACACCCCUGAGAAGUUACAUAAUUUAUGAUUAUAGUCCUCAAAGCAUUUGUACUUUUCUUGGGAAUGAAUGGAAAAAAUAUUAUCUAUUUAUUACAGCCCACUGUAUGAUUUUAAAGUUUUCCCAGACUUUCCCGCACUUUAAAAUUCUGGACCUGAAAACUACUCUAUUUGGCAAUGACACAGUCCACAAAGCAUUUGUACUUUUCUUUGGCUACUAACGCAUGAUAGAUUGAAAACGAAAACGAAGCUAAUGAGGAGGCAUAUUCCAAUAGGCAUUAUAUAUGAUCAUUAUGUUUUUUCGGUGAAGGAUAUGUUGCAUGAUCUUAGGGAUUGGAUCGUUGAAAAAAGACUUUGGAAUUGAUUCCUCCCUGUGGCACAAUGCCAUCAAUUCUUUUCUCUUAAUCUAAAGGAAUGAACUUGUCAAAAUCUAUUGCGUAAAAGGCUGUUGGGUUCAAAUUUGAAGUGGAGUACUUGAGUACUUUGUUUGGAGCUUUGCAAGUUUGUUAGUGAACAUCAAGCUUGUUUGGCAUUGUUAAAGUCUUGAAAAUAUGACAGGUGACCUUCAAGUAGUUGGAAGAGUUAAAAAGCUCAACAAGGAAAAUUACAAUACAUGGGCAACAUUGAUGGAGUCUUGCUUACAGGGUCAAGAUCUCUAGGAGAUUGUUUGUGGUAAUAAUAUGAGACCACCAACUGAGGAUGCCGCUUUAAAGAAGUGAAGCAUUAUAGCUGGAAGGCCAUGUUCGCCAUCAAGACUACAAUUGAAGAAGAAAUGCUACAACACAUAAAAAAGGUUAAAAUACCUAAGAAAACUUGAGAUACUUCUACAAUGAGUUUUUCAAAGAAGAAUAACAUAUGGCUACAACUUUUGAAAAAUGAGCUACUAUCAAUUUCAUAAUGAAACAUGACGAUUGACGAAUACUUAAACAAGUUAAAGCCUCUAUGCUAUGAAAUUUCUGGGUUAGAUUCUACUGCUGUAAUUUCUAAAUUUAGAAUAAAGAGAAUUAUUGUCAAUGGGUUGAGGCUUGAGGCUUGAGCUUAAGAGCUUUGUUACAGCUAUCUAAGGUUGUCCAACUCAACCAACCAUUGAGAAUUUUGAAAACUUACUUGCUGAUCAAGAAGUAAUUGAUAAGCAAUUGAGUGGGGCCUUAGUAAUGGAUGAUGAGGAAGCGUUUUUUAUUGAUAACACUACUAGAAAAAUGUCUUUCACUGAUACUAAGUUGUUGAUACUAAAUAAAAAAGUAUCAGUAUUUGAUGACUUAAGUAACUUUUAGUGUAUUUUACAUAUUAGUGCCAGUGGUUAUUAAUAAUAUAGUAUCAUAAACUUUUACUGAUACUAACAUAUAUAUUUUUAAUUUUAAUUUUAAUUUUUCUUAUUCCAAACGACGUAGUUUUACUUUUAAAAUUAGGGUAUCUUAAAUUCAACACAUGUGAAAUUUUAUGGCCUUAACGAAUGUACUAUUCGUCUAUUCCCUCUUCAUCUUCCCUCUCUCCCGAAUCCUUCCCACUCAUUUCAAGAAACCCUAAAUUGAAACAAAACAAAUCACCCAGCCUUUUCAGUCUUAACAAAACAAUUACGGGGUUUUUAAUUAAAUACCCUUUAAUAGUUUCAAAAUUAUUUAAAUACCUCCUCCCUUUUUUGUUUUCAUAGAUACCCUAACAAAUGUGAGUAAAGUCUGAAAUGUCCCUAAUGAAUGCAUCAAAUUCACUCAACUUCAUUGUCUUUAUAUUUCUUUCACCCAAAUCUCUUCUUGUUGCCGAAAUUCUCUCAAAAUCUCCUAGAAUCUCUCAAAAUCUCUCAUAACUUCUUACACAAAUACAAUUAUAUAUUUAUUUUUUUUAACACCCACUCUUUCUUUAACUGAAAUGAAGUGCAUUACUCAUUAAACAACCCAAUAAGGUAUGUUAAUGUUGUUGGGUUUUAAGUUUUUUAAUCUUUAGGAAAAUUUAGAAAUUUUCCUCACAUUAUAAUGUUUUAUUUUCACCAUUUUUUCUUAUAUGUAGAAAUAUAUGCAAUGUAGGUCGUUUCAUUAUUUUUUUCAGCAAUAUAAUUUAUUUAUGGUGAAAAUAUUUCACGUCGUGCAUUCCUUUUGAUACUGUGUACGUCAUGUAAUUAGUCAUGUAGGUCAUGUAAGUAAUAUAACCGUGUAAGUCGUGUAGUUUAUGUAAGUAAUAUAGUCAUGUAGGUUGUGUAAGUCAUGUAAGUAAUGUAGUCGUGUAAGUCGUGUAAGUCAUGUAAGUAAUGUAGUCGUGUAGGUCGUGUAAUUACUUGUAUAUGAAAUUUGAUAUUAUUAUUUUUGUUGUAUCAUCAGAUAUGGUUUUGGUACGUGUGCCUAUUCUCUUCAAUGGUGAAUGGAUUGAGCAAAAUGAUAAGUAUGAGUUCAAAGGUUCCAAGGCUAAAGGGAUAAUGAUACCACAAUCGACAACAUAUGUCGAAUUGGUGGAGAAGAUAGCUCAAGUUAUUGAUAUAGACACGUCAGAAUUCGAAAUCACAAUGAAAUUCACGCUUAAGACAUUUGAUCGUAUGCCACCAGUUACAAUUCAAACCAAUGAUGAUGUUGAAUUUUUUUAGAUUCCAAUUUAAUUUCACUUCUUUUUUCUAAUAAUUUUCGUUGACAUUUUAUGACACCAAAUCGUGUGUUCAUAAAUUGCAGAAAAAAACUAAAUUUGCACAUCCGACAGUUUGAGAAAUGAUUAAAUUAAUUAGUAUAAAUAAACAAAGUUAUCAGUGCACAAAUUUUUCAAUAUUUGAAUAAGAUACACUAAUGAACAUCGCAAUUAAACAUAUUAUAACCAUUUAAAAAAGCUUUUUUUGUUUUAUCUUCAAAGUGCUUUCUUCCUCUGCCCAAGCAUACAUGAGGAAUGCAUGCAUAUAAUUAAUCCAUGAAAUCAAUUAAGAAAUAAACAUCAACUAUAGGAAAUUAAUGUAAUGUUAUACACAUACGAACACCAUUUGCAGUCGUGUAAUCGUGCAAUACAUGAAGGUCGUGUAAUCGUGCAAUACAUGAAGGUCGUGUAAUCUUGCAAUACAUGAAUGUCGUGUAGUCGUGCAAUACAUGAAGGUCGUGUAAUACACAAUUUUGAAUCUUACAUAACCUUACACGACCAAAUCGUGUGUUACAUGAUAAAAUUAUAAUUAGCACAAUCCAUUAAUUUUUCACAAUUUGCAUGCAGCAAAACAACUAAAAAUUUGUUUUUGAACAUGCUAUGAGAGACCCGUAACUAAUUAAUCUAUUUUUUCAAUAUAAAACCCUAACUUUUUGUUUUUGAACUAGGCUUCUCUUUCUCAGUUGUGGCAGCUUCCCAUUCUCAAGCUCAAUUUGCUCGUGUUGAAGUUCGAUUUAGCAUGUAUGGAGAAUGAAUGUUUGUUUUGGUAGAGGUGAUGCCGGUGAGCGAAUUGCAGAGGUGAUGCUGGUUGAUAUUCGAUUUAGCAUGUAUGAGAAUGGGGGAUGAAUGUUUGUUUGUUUGUUUGAGUAAAGAUAAUGGAGGGAAUUGCAGCCGAUAUGAGUGUUUGUUUGCUUGAGUAGAGGGGGGAGAGGUACUGUCCGUUGAGUUGAAAUGUUUUAAAAUGAGGAUAGUUUAGUAAUUUUGUAUCAGCUUUUAAAGGGUAUUGAUAAAAAUUUUGGCAAAAUUAAAUUUUAGGGUAUUGAGAUAAUUUUUUAAGUAUGGAGGUGUACCUGCUGCAAUUAACUCAACAAUUACUCUCAGUCUCCCAACAAAAUAAAAUCAUCCUAGUUUUACUUUAUGAAGCGUAUGGGUCUUGAUUCUUCGGUCACCACCGAAGACAACCAAAGGAUGAAAAAAGUCAAACAAGAUGAGGAGGAAUAAGAAAGAGGAAGAGCAAGUCAAAGAAACUAGCUUCACAAAUCUAUAUGAGAAUUCCCUGCUCGAGGUGUUGAAACACGCGGACACCAGGACUUCGUUGCAGGUGGCCUUGCGUCAACAAGCUAUGGCACAAGACACUCAAAAUGAGCACCUUUGGAAAUUAAUUUGCACCCACCACUUCGCUAACGUUGGGUGCACUGCCCAACAACUCAGAUCUGUUGUCCUGGCUCUUGGUGGCUCCCGUCGCCUUCACUCCCUCUAUCUCGGUGGCUCCCGUCGCUUUCUCUCUCUGCCAUUCUUUCUCUCACAGUCGAAACCAAAACUCAAAUCCCUAACUCCCCAGCCACAAAACCUCUCAUUUGCCUCAACAAAACAAAAUCAAUCCGUACUCCUUCUCUUUGAUUAUUCGAAAGUUAGAAGCACCUUAAAUAGUUCUCUCUGAAAAGCCAUUCACCCAAACCCUAACCUCACUAAUAAAAUUUUUAUUAAUAGUGAUUUUUUCAAUUAAUUAAGAUAUGGGUUCAUUGGCAGAGAAACAAAGGUUAGUGUUUGCUCUAUUUCUUUCAUCGAUUUUCUUUCUCUUUUUGAAAUUUUUCUAAUUUUCUCUUAAUUUCGACUGUGAUUUUAUUGUUUCUAUAGCUGUAGUUUGAUAAAUGUUUCUUGAUUUGAUGGAAAGCAUGAUUUAUUACAUGUCUGCUUGAGAUAAGCCGGUUAGUAAUUUGUUUUUUAAAUAAUUAUAUGUAAUAUUUGUUUUGAUUCGCAUAUCGUAAACACGAUGUUAUUGCCUACUAACUAAUUAUAGACUUCGAUUUACAUUCACUUAAAUAGGAUAUGAUUAUGUAUCCUUUUUUUUUUUUUUGGCUGUUUGCUGAUUGUGUUAUUUAUAGUGUUGUUAUUGGCGGUUUAUAUGGUGAGUAGGGCAGUAUUUUAAUUGAAACAAUUAAAGAUAUGGGGAAUUAUUAGGUAGAAAGUGGCUGCAGGAGGAGGUUCUCCUAUUGCAGUAUGCCUAAAUAGUAUUCAUUUUGCCCCUUUUUUUUUUACUGCUGACUAUUGUUCCUUGUGAAUGCGUUUCUAAUCCAGAGACUUCGCCCUGUGGUAUCCACUUUGAGAAACUACUCAUCUGCAACUAAACAGGUAAUUGUGCCUUUUAUAACUUAUUACUUGUAAUGCAAUGAUUUUGGCUGUAUGAUGAUUGUAUUCUUCUAUAUGUAUAGGCUUUUAUUAUUAUUAUUAGUGAAUCAGCUGAAUGCUUAAGAUAUUCUAAUACUAAUAGUUAUGUUCUUCAUUAUACUUACAAUGUAUGGAUUUUGAUGCAUUUUAAGAAGAAUAUGAAAUUAAAUAUUUGACUGUAGGGACAACAAAUAUGUUCGAGCUUUUAUUAGUAUAAUAGUAUGUGAAUUAAAAAUAUUAUAAUUUGAACAAACUCCGAAGCUUUGAAACUAUGCACUUUCAUGUUGCUAUUUGUGACAGUGGAUUUUGAUUGCUCUUUGUUAGCGACUCGCUUUUACUUGUUUGCUAAUGUUUAUAAUUCGUCCAUCUCAUUAUACUUGAAAGUUGGUGAUUCUAUGUAAUUUAUAAAUCCAACCGGUAUCUUCUUAUUUAAAUCCGUAGGCCAGAAGCAAAGCAAUCUUUUUAUGCAUUGGCUGUAUUAGUAAAUCACAUAGAUAAAAUCACAGGGUUUAUAUUGUUACUUAUUUCUUUUCUGUUUGCAGGAAAAUUCCUAGGGAUUUGACAGAGGCAUCACUAUCUGGUGCAGGAUUAUCCAUAAUAGCAGCCCUUUCUAUGUUGUUUUUAUUUGGAAUGGUAGGUUGCCACUUGCAUAGUUGUGCCUCUUUUGUCGGAUAUCAUGGGUGCAUUUUGCAUAUUCAGUGUAUAUUAUCGUCCACCUGGAUUGUUUGUGUAACAUGAUGCUUUCAUGGAGUUCUAUUUGGCUUUUCAUUGUUUCUAGAACAGAUUAAAUUUAACAAAAACUAUUCGCAAUUUUUCUGUAGGACCUGAUUUAAGACCCACUGGUUCUGAAUUCCACUCAAUGCUUGUUAUACAUUCGCUUAAGCAUGGAGAGGAAGCUGAUGAUGAUUCUGUUGAAGGUUCUCAUACGCUAACUGCCAAUAAUUUUGAUAGCUAUUCACAUGAGUAAGUGAGCCUUCUCUGAACCACAACUUAUAAUUUUUAUUUUCAAUUCUGUGAUCACAAUAUUUCUCUGCUAUGUGGCAAUUGCAAUGAUGCCUUCUUUGAUUUGUAUUAUAUUUCCUUUCCAGGUAUCCUAUUUUAGCUGUCAAUUUUUAUGAUCCAUGGUGCUACUGGAGUAAAUGCCUGGUAUUUUUAUUUUCACCUUUUGUUUCUCAAAUUUUGUCUUGUUGCUUUUUGAUUAUUGUUGUCUAGAUUUACCUUAUUGGAUCUAUUCUUUCUCAUGUUUGUGUUGAUGUAAUUGCCAGAUAUAAUAUUUUAAAUUUAUUCACUUGGAUGUCAUGUUUGUGCCUGCUCAUAUGCACACAUAUUAAGUUGAUUAACUCCAUUGCUCUGUGCGUCCACUGACAGUUGCACACAAAUUCCUUCAUUACUUUGGUUAACUCCAUUGGUCUCUGUGUUUGUGUUGAACUUUCCAUGCCUGUUAUACAACCAAGCAUGGGUUUUCUUUUGUUUGUUUGACUGUAUUGUUAGACUUCCCCUCAUGAUGUUGUUAAUAAUUUCUCCUCUUUCUCUUGGACAACGGUUAAAAUAAUUUUUAUUGUUAGUAUAAUAUGCUUGUCUUGCAUGCAUUUAUAUGCCAUUAGGAAACUAUGCAGAUUGCAGCAUGUAAAUUUUAUCAGUUUUUUUAUUGUGCAUGUCUUGAAUGGUGCAGGAUGACUUACAAUAAACCAAAGCAUGUAUAUGGGUCAAAACUAAAUAAUUAGAGCAAAUGUCAAAUUGGUACAUGGAAACAAUAAUAGAAGACUUCAUUUCGAUUACCGAAAGAAAGAAUCCGCGAAGCAAUAAACAUGUGUUGGAAGAUUGUGCUGUUACUAUAUAUCAGAUUAUAAAUUAUUUGUAGUUGGUAAACAAUGUAAUAAGUUUCAAACAAUGUAAUAAUUUUUAAAUUGUUCAUUGCAAUGUAAUAGUUUUCAUAUGGAUGAAUGUAAAUUUCAAUUCAAAUGCCAAUUGCAAAUUUUCAAUUUCUAUUAUAUGGAUUUCUAUUUUUUUUUUUAAUUUUUCUCAAAUAAACAUUGAUACCAAAUUAUCGUUAUAUUUAUUAUGCUUUUGUAUCAUUAUUUGUUUGAUACCAUAGUCUCAUUAUAUAUGUGAUGUUCAAGCAUCAAUAUUUUUUUGGUACUAUAGUGACAUAGAUUCGCUGAUACAAAAAACUUGUGUCAGUAAAUUUCUUGCACCGUAUUCAGUGACACUAAACUCGGUGUCAGUAAAACAAGCUCUUGAUAUCAAAAUAGUAUCAAAGAAGGCCAUUUUUUUACUAGUGUAAGAGACAUCGAUUCAGACAACAUAGCAAUGAAGUAAUGUAGGAAGUAUAUUAGAUAAAAUAAAUUAGAAUUUAUUAGGAAUUAUAAUAUUUGGGUAUUUAGUAUUUUAUUAGAAUUUAUCUUAUUUUUUAAACUUAUUCGAUCAUGUUUAGAAUUCUAAUCUAAUUAAGAUUUUAGAUUAUUUAUCUUAUUUAAGAAGGAUUAAGAUUAAGUUGGCUACUUAGUAUAUAUAGGCUUGUUACUGAUAGUUCUUUAUAACAUACAUAAGCUUCUCAUCAAUAAUAUUUAAUAUUUCUUAAUUGAGAUACUUUCUCCUUCGUGAGAGCAUUUUUUCUUGAAUUUUCAAGAACGUAUGUUAUAAUGAAAUUUAGUAUCGCUUAUGCGAUGCGUCAAGUGGUAUCAGAGCCUUUCUUUGUAUUAGGCAGAGCUUUCCUGACCAUCAACCAUUCCCCAUACACAAAUCCUCCCUCCAUCAUCCAUUACUUUCAUUAAAAAAAAAAAAAAAGAAGAAGAAGAAGAAAAAGUCAGAAAAAUAGCAAAACCCGAAGCCACCUCACGUCCACCAUCUCCAGCUGCUGCCUCUGUCAUUCUUCACCUUUUUCAUGCUUUAAUAAAAUUUAACAUAAUGCUCACUAUUUUGUAUAUUAUUAAGGACCAUUGUAUGAUUAAUCAUGAAGUGUAUAUUAUUUUUCACAUUAAUUUAGCACAACCUAUACCAUGAAAUUACGGAUUAUAUUACAGUGAAUACUUUUAUAUGGUAGGAAUAUAAAUUUAAGUUUUACAAGCCUAUUUUCAUUUAAUUUUCCAAUAUCACUUUGUUGAUUUCGUAAAGUUGAAAUUAACAUACAUUCUUAAUUAGUUAUAUAGUUUAUGAAUCAUGAAAGAUUUUUGUUGUUGAUAUUCAUUGAUUGUGGUUACAAAAUUUUAUGUCACUAAGAGGCUGAUUGCAUUUAUGAUGGUAAUUAAUAUAAUAAGUAAAUAUUACCUCCAAUAAUAUUCAUGAAAUAUUACCUAUUUAUUUUAUAUUCUCGUUAUAAAAGCAUGGUUUUGGAUAUUUUAACUUAAAUUUUGACACAAAAAAUGAGCCAUUAAUCUCUCACAAUCUAAUGGUUGAUAUUAAAAGUCAAUGUAAAAUUUUAAAUCAUCCACCAUAGUAACUGAAUUGUGUGAAAUCAAUAAUUUCAAUUUUGUAUUAAAAAUUUAAGAUAAAAUAACUUAAAAGCAAAAGGAUACCUAAACGCCCUUUUGGCUAUAAUACCCUACAUAGGUAGUAACUUUUAAAAAAAUUAACGUUAAAAUAUUUUUAAUAAACACAAAUAUACUUUAAAUAGUUUAUUUUGUCUAAUAGACUAAAAAUAAUGGAAUAUUUGUAAUAUGUAUAAAAUAAUUUUUAAAAUGUAAAUUAUAAUAUUAUUUUAAUAAUAUCUUUUUAUCUAUUAUAUAAUUUUUAAAUAAAUAUUUGGGUUAAAUAGAUUUUACAACUAAUAAAAAAAUCUCAUGUAUUGAUAAUAUUAAAAUUAUUUUAUAUAAAUUUAAAAUAAUUCGAAUCUUUAUAUAUUUAUUUUAAUAUUAUGUUUAUAUCCAUUAUAAAAUUUAGUUUAAUCUAAUAUAAUACUGUAAAGUAUUAAAAUAUUUUUUGAAGAUUAAAAUUAUUUUAAUAUACAUAUGUUUAUUUUAUUUUUUUCCUUUCGGAAGCGAAAGCAAGUCCAUGCCCGACAACUUGGGAGGAGAGGCUAAAGGCAAAAACUGGAACAUUUUUUUUUUAUGUGAUAAUUUCUUCUUUCUAUUAUAUAAUUUCUUUUCAAAGAAUUUGUUAUUUUGUUGCUUGUUUAAUGGUAAUUCGGCAAUUUUUUUUGAAAAAACAGAGUAUCAAUGACUCUUAGGUCUCAAAAGUGAUAAGCUAUCCGCAUAUUUUAAUAUUUAACACACAACAUUAAAUAAUUAGUAAUUCUGGUCUCGAGCCCCUUCAAGUAUACCAAACAACUCGCGCUCAUCGCAUCUAUGUACGGCAUCUUUUCCAGAAAAAACAGAGUAAUAAAACAAAGCAGAGUAUUUACUUCGGUCCUUUACUUUCCUUAAUUUUCACCUCAUGAGAAAUCAAAUCUCAAAAUUCAAAGCUUCGAUUUGAUGGGCCAAGAAUGCAAUUUUGAUUCAUGGAAGGCACAUUCUGAUUCUGUCCAACUUUUUUAACCCAAGCCAGGCAUUUUCUGGUAAUUUAACAGGGAAAUAAGCAGCAAGAACUGAUACAAUAAACAAAUACAAAGAAAGUAAAUGAAAUGCGAUCUGCAGAGAAAAUAAAAUUGAAACUGAGAUGCGCACUUACACUGUUACACGUAGACUCAGAGAAAAUAAUAUUCACUAGGCUGUGCCCUUCAUUCGAGUUGUUUAAAUCUUUUAGGUUGUGGUUCCUCAUCAUCAUUACAGCAGCCACUUCCACUAGCUUCAGCCGCCCCAACAUAUUCUUCAAGACUUCGCUUUAGAAAGCUUCGCUCAGACGACGUUGUUGAUCCUGCAUCAUCCCGGCGGCAACUUCCACUGCCUUCUGCCCUGUCUAAGUCAUCAUUACGGCUAUGCGUAAAGGAUGUUGAUCCUGAACAAUCGUGACCAAAUUCGUUCAAAUUCCAAACCGGAUCAGUUGUUUGGUUGAACUUAUCCCCUUGAUGCACAUAUAUUGGAUGGACACCACACCUCUUCAACUCCAAUCCUGACGGCGAAGAAAAUUCCACUUCACUAAUAUCUUCCCUAUUCUGGUAGUAUAGGAAAAGAUGGUCUGACAUAGCCUGACCGAAUUGCUUUCUCAAAUAAAUGCUACACAUACCCGAGGAGGUAGGCUUUCUAUCUAUGGACAGCUCAUGUACGGGAAGCCCUUGUAUAUAAUAAGGAAGUGAAUAUUUAGGGACAUGAAAAACACAGCACAUAGCAUAUCCCACAAGCUUACUAUUCUUAUACGUCUUUGGAGGCGUGCUUAUUGUUAUUGAAGAACCCUCAUUAUUCUGAUACUCGAACCACUCUGGGAUUUCACUUCCAGGAACAAUUAUGUAACAAUAUCUCAUAUAGUCCUGAAACCUCACAAAUAUAUAUAUAUAUAUUAGAAAGCCAUACCAAUGCAUAAUUUUUAGGCAUAAUUUUAGCAACAGGUGAGAGACAGUGUAAGAAACUGACAUUAGUCUGUUUAAUGUACUUGUCCGACAGUGACAUAUUCUGCAACCCCACGGAAAAAAAAAGUGAGUAAAUAAAUAAAAUAAAAAGACAUAACAUGUAUUGCAUCAGUUUUAGGCAUAAUGUUAGCACAGGUGAGAGUGAGAGACUGACCUCAGAAUUUUUAAUGUACUCUUUCAGCAGUGAAAGCGCCAAAUCAUAGUUGCCAGCCAAUUUCAAGCAAUCCACACAAGGAAGGUGUAAGUACGGGAGUUGAUGCUCGUUUAAAUUUAAUACAUCUGAUAAUGUCUUCAACGAAACACAACCGUCUAACGAAAUCCAAUGUAUACUGGCUGGAAGUCGAGGCAGAUUUUGAAGCAUUUUGCAUUCCUCUAAAUCAAUACUCGAAAGUUUAGAAAGAUGGUAAAUGCUUGCCGGCAGCGUAAAAAAAUUGUUUCCACUCAGAUGUAACUCUUCUAAUGAGCAUAAGUCGCCAAUACUACUUGGGAUUGCUCCUUCCCCUAGAUCACAGUCACUGAUAUCCAAUUUCGUUAAACUACACAAACCUGACAGAGAAGACGACAAACUCAAAGCCACCGGAUCUGAACUCCAUCGCAUCAAAUUGAUAGGGAAGCGCAGAAACCAUGAUGCAGAUGAUGGUGAUCCUUUGCACCCAUGAAAAGAUAGUUCUUUAAGAUUCUUCAUAAGAAAAAUUGACGAUUGAGGUUGCCUUAUAGCUGUACCACUUAUAUCAAGGAUUUCCAAACUUUCUACUUGCCCAAUCGUCUCAGGCACAUUUUCAAGUUUGAAGCAGCCUGAGAGAUUCAAAGUUUUGAGGGAUUUCAAACCAUUUAUACUGCUAGGAAGUCUCACGAGACUUCUGCAGUCAUUCAAAUUUAACAAUUCAAGUCUGGUCAAAAGUUCUAUUGAUGAUGGUACUUCUGCAAUAGAAGUUCCAUCUAAAAAGAGCUCUGACAGAUCUUCCAUACUUAUCACACUCUCUGGAAAUUUCACUAUUUUCGAGCAACCAGAGAGCGUUAGAGUUCUUAGACAUUUUAAGCUGCUUGCAGUAAUUGGAAGAGUCUCGAGAUUUCUGCAAUCCUUCAAAUUCAACAAGACAAGUUUGAAUAGAAGCUUAAUAGAUAAAGGUAGUUUUUUGAUAUCAGUUUCAUCCAAAAGAAGUUCCCGUAGACACUCCAUACUUCCCACAACGCGUGGAAGUUUCCUCAAUUUCAAGCAACCAGAAAGAACAAGUGUUUUAAGCGAUUUCAUAAAUAUCUCACCCGGAAGAGUUGUAAGACUUGUACAACCUUUCAAAUUCAACAAGAUCAGCUUAUUGUGACGUAGUAAAGACUGGUGAAUUUCACGCAACCUUGUACAUCCUUCAAGAUCCAACUCCUCUAAGUUUGGGACCUUUGUGAAGUCUGGUGUCUUAAUCAGAUUCUCUGAAUGGCUGAGUUUCAUGAGUCUCAACAUGUUUAAAGGCUGUUGAAAACAAAAAAGGAGCUAAAAUGAUAUUUCUUAAUUCAUAUACUACUAUAAUAAUAAAACUGUUAUCAACAAUUAUUCUCUCAAAAAUCUAAAUUUGUGACAAAAAAAAAUUGAACUUACUUUGAAUCCUUUCCAUAAUUCUUCAAUGCGGCUGUAACACAUUUUAAAUCCAACAAUUUCAUCCAAUUGCAAAUUUGAUGGCAAAGAUUUCAAAGGAUACCGACGCCAAUCAAGUAAUCGCAACCUGUUAGAGAGAUAUUCUAGGCCUCUAGGAAGUUGCACAUUACUGAUUUUGAGCAGUCUUAGGUUGGUCAUCUGCGAAAAUGCUUUAGCACUUGCACUUAAGUAAACCUCAUUUUCAGGAAAGUAGGCAUUAACUAUUAUUCCUUCCACUACUUCACCUCCCUAAAAAUUAUAAGCAAACAAUAAGUAGAUAAAACAAUAAUGUAAAGAUGUUGAAAAUUCGUCAGAGAUAUAAUUGGGAAAAAUAAAGUAGCAACCAUCAACAAGUUUUCCAUUUAAUAAUUCACUUACCGUAUUGUUUGUCAACACCUGGCGCACUUCUUCUUCCCUCCAUAUUCUGCUACGUUUCCCAGGUUCUUCGGGGGAUUGUCUCGUAACAAUCAGUUGUCCCAAUUCCUGUAACAAAUCAUGCAUCCCCAGUGUGUUGUUGUCAUCAACAGUUAAUAGAGACUUUUCGAUAAGAACUUCUAUUCCAAUGACUGGGGAAAAACCACAUCCCUCUAGAAUUUUUGUUACACCAUCUCUAUUCUUCCAUUUAAAGAAACAUGCAACAUCGAGAAAUAUUUUCUUCUCUGAAUCUUGUAGUCCUUCAAAACUUAUUUGAAGUAUACUCAUAAUCUUAUUUGAAGGAUCUUUUUUUAGUCUUUCUAGGGCACUUCUCCAUAGAUCUGCAGAUCUACCAAUUAGAAAGGAUCCCAAAACUUUUAGAGCUAAUGGAAGACCACCAGCAUACUCCAGAACACGUUUAGACAGCUCCACAUAUUCUCCCAUAGGCUGAUGGCUUUUAAAAGCUUUGGUACUAAAGAAUUGAAGAGCUUCAUCGUUAUUUAGUACAUCAAGGUCAAGAAUAUGCUCUUCAUCCACUUCAUGUGCCACCAACAACUGUCUAUCUCUCGUUGUUAUUAGAAUCCUGCUGCCUGGACCGAACCAAUCACGCCUUCCAACUAACCUUUGUAAUUGUUCAACAUCAGCCACAUCAUCGAUUAUGAGAAGAACUUUUUUCCGUUGCAGCCUACUUCCAAUUAUGUUAAUACCAUCGUAGACAUUCUGUAUGCUAUAAUCUGAAAGCUUCAGUAAAUCAGAAAGAAGCUGCUUUUGUAAAGAGAUUUCAUUGCCUUCUUUUUCAGAUUUUUCUCUAACAUCGGCAAGAAAACUACUCCCAUCAAACUCAUGAGACAUCAAGUCAUAAAAAACCUUUGCAAGAGUUGUCUUUCCUAGACCUCCCAUGCCCCAUAUCCCGAUCAUACGAACAUCAUUAGACCCCAUACCCAUAAGAAACCUCAGUUGCUCCAAGCGUGAUUCCAUUCCUACUAGCUCCUUAAGAAUCUCUGGUUCUAAACGAAUUUUACGAAAUAUGACAUUGGCAAUUUCCUCAAUAAAUUCUGACUCAUUGCUGCAGAUUGAAAACAACAAGAAAAGAUUGGCGUUGUUAAAUUAAAGUUAGUAUGAACGUAGUAGCAAAUCAAUUCCAUAUUGUGAAUAAAAUCCAAACUAUGCAAUAUUCAUUUCAUCAAAUUGAAGCCAUAUAAUUAAAUAAUAUGUUAUUAUUACAUCAGUCAACAACAAUUGGAAUGAGAAAUUCAAGCCCAACCCAAUAAAAAUUGGAUUGGGUUGCAUUGUGAUUGGUAAUUUCAAAAUUUAUAUAUUAAAAUUUAUAUAUUGUUUCUUUCUACAACAGGAUCAGUUAGUUGAAAAGACAAUUUAAAUCAAUUAGAUUAGCUAAAUAUGUAAUGAUAUUGAUAUCAUUCGUAUUGAGAUUAUUGCCAUUGUUAUUAUUAGUAUUUUGCAAAUCUAGGUCAAGAGUCAAUUCAUAGAAGAAAAUUAUAUUAAAAUAAAUAGCAAAUGACAAAACAGAGCAGUUUGCAAGCAAGGACGCGGAUAGAUUAAUCUAGGAAAUAAAUUGACUAAAAUUAUAAUCACAAGCUUAAAUCAUUAUAUUGAGAUGCCUAAGCUUGGGCAAUAAUCUAGGAAUAAAGUUUUAUUUUACUUUUUUUUUUUUUUGCAAAACUGAUAGCACAAAGCAUCGCAGCAUAAAAACAUUUAGUCAUCAAAAGUUCAAAAUACAAUAAUUCAACGUAUCAAUGUCCAUAUCUCUUUGUUUGCAGAUAUUAAUUCAUUUAUAAAUUUUAGAUUAUUCUCCUCAUGAUUUGAAUAUCUUCAAAUCACUCCCUUUUGAACACCUCAAUUACCCUAUUUUUGUUCAAAAGAGAAGGAAAAAUGGGGUGAGUUGAUGAAAUAUUUUUUUAUUCUUAACAAAAAUGGGAGGUAAAUUGAGAUUUUCAAAAUUAAAGGUAUAAUUUAAAGAUAUUCAAUUCAUGGGAGGAACCCUCUUCCUACACAUCAUAUGAUAUAUAUAUGUAUUAAAUAGAAGUUGUUUAAUUGAAAACAGUGUUGAAUGAAAAUCUGUUUUGUAGUUACUAAUCUUGCAAAACAAACAAAAUUAAUAGUUGAGAAAAAGAAUGAUUACCUAUCCUUAAAUUCCCAACCUGAUAUAUUGGCCACCACCUUUAAAGCGUGUCUCCACUUUUGCACUUUUUCUAUAUUAUCCUUGAAAAAUUCUUCAUGUUUAGCAAAAGCUUCUCCGAAACAUGUUGUUUGUUUUCUUACAACAGUUGGUUCCACUUCAUAAAAAAUUGGAAAAAUUUGAUCCUCUCUAUUUUUGCAUUCAACAAUCUUAAGAAGUUCAUCCAAGCACCAAGUGGAAGAAGCGUAAUUUUUUGAGAGAACAAUAAUUGAAAUUCUUGAUUCUUCAAUUGCUUUAAGGAGAUUUGGUGAAAUGGAUCCUCCUUUCUCAAGUUGUUUGUCAUCCCUGAAUACAUAAAUUCCUUUAUUGUUCAAAGCAGUGUAGAGAUGACCUAUGAACCCUUUACGGGUGUCUUCUCCUCUAAAGGUUAAGAAGGCAUCGUAUUCCCCAUGAGAGACAUUUUGGAAGCUCGUGGAAGCCAUUAUAUUAAUUUGUUCCUGAAAAUUUAGAAUAAAUCAAGUGAAAUCCAGUGAGCGUAAAAUACCAUGCAAACAAUAAGAUUCAUUCAAGAUUAUGGGCAGCACAAAAAUGAAAAUGUUAUAGAUUAUAUGUAAAUUCUACUUUUUUUAACCACCUAAAUGGUAACUCGAAUGAAUUGUGAUUGUAACUAGUAUUGCGUGACCAGUAUUGUAUAAGCAUUAAUCCGUGCACAGUAAUUUUAGGAGUAAUUAAUUAGAAAAAUUAAUAUAUCUAUUGUUUUAAUUUGCUUAUAGAUCUAAAUUAUUUACGCAUGAUAAAUCCCCAAAUGUAAUAGAAAUUUUUUCUAGAUGCUAAUCGGGGAUGCGCACACCGAUCUCUACUUAAGCAAAUCUUGAUUAGAGCCUCUAAAAGAAGGCAAAGAGUUUGUACAAAAUUAACAUUCAAAGAUUUCUUUCAAUUUUUUCAUUUUUUUCUUUUUCUGUACACUAAGAUGUGCAAAUUAAUUCUGAAAAUAAAAGAGAGAUUUAUGAGAUAGAACUUACAGCUUUUGAGUGUAUUGAAGGAAGCCACUUAAAUGAACUCCAAUGCAGUAUGAUUAUUAUAAUUACCACAAACUCCAAUGCAGUAUUUGUUUCAAAGAAUUUAUUCAUGCAAAUAUCUUUUGGGAAAAAAAAUAUUAAGCCAUUAGGAGUUGUGUGGUUGUACUAAUGUAUGAUUUUCCAAAAGCAAGUCUUGGUAAGAAAGUGACUUUCUUAAUAAUCAAUAAAUAUUGUCACUGUUUACUCACAUGAUGAAGUUAGCAUCGAACUUCCUGGAAGCUUCAAGAAUCUAAACGAAAAUUAUCAGGCUUUUCAAUUGAAUACGCGUCGUCCCCAUUCUGCCCAUUAGCCGUGUUGAAGCCAUUAAAAUGGAUUGGAAUCCAACGGUUGAUAUUAGUAAUUAAUUAAAAAUAGUUAAAAUUACCAGCAGUCUAUCGGAAUGGUAAACAUAGUGACCUUUAUUAGUAAAAUUUUAACGGAGUCCAAAUAGGUAGGGUUGGACAAACUCAAUCCAACCCAAUCUAAUCAAAUUAGAUUUAGAUGGAUUGAUUAGAUUAUAAUGGGCUAACUGACUCAAUUUUUUUUUUUUUCAAUUUGAUUAAUGAUUGAGUUAGGCUGGAUUCAUUAUCAUAAACUCGAAUAAUUCAACCAAACCCAAAAACAACAAAAAUCAUAAAAAAAAUUAACGUUCGGCUAUUAACUAUUCAAUCUUAAACCCAAUUUUGAACCCUAAAAGAGAUCUUGUUCAGUCUCUCUCAUUUAAACAUGAUAUUAAUUGAAUUCUCUAGACUAAAAUUCAAAAGUCAAAUCAAACUUUGACUAAAACUAAGUUGAUAGAUAUUCAAACAUUAAGUUAUAUUGUUUUAUUGACAGAUAUUGGAUAUAAUAGAUAACAUUUAAUGAUAUGAUGAAGAAUUAAUAUGUUUUUUUUACUAUUUGAAUGUGAUUUUAAGUACCAAAUAGCUUUUUUUCUUUUAACUUUGAUGUUUGAACUUUUUUCAUUUUUAAUUUUAAUCAAUUCGUUUGACCCAGUCCAAUGAUUUAAGGAUAAGAUUGGGUUGUCGUCAUAUUUAUUUGGUUGGGGAACUAAUCAAUAGUGGGUUGGGUUGGAUGCCCACUAAAGAGNNNNNNNNNNNNNNNNNNNNNNNNNNNNNNNNNNNNNNNNNNNNNNNNNNNNNNNNNNNNNNNNNNNNNNNNNNNNNNNNNNNNNNNNNNNNNNNNNNNNAAAUUAAAAAAUAAUAAUAAAUUAUAAUUUCUUCCACCAAUAUCAAUAAUUAAAUAAGAUUUAAUAUUAUAUCAACAAAAUAUGUUCAACUUAUGUUUAAUAAACUCCUAUUAAUUUUCACAAUUAUCCGUAAUUGUUGUGGGAUUUACUUUUAUCGUGUUUAGAACAAAAGAAAAAUUAAAUUUCUUUAUCAUAGAAAUAUGCAAAAUCCAUACACUGAAAAAAAAAAAAAGGUAUGCGAAACUGUAAUUACAAUUUAGAAGCUUCCAGUAAGAAUUGAUUCAACUUAUAAAAUCUGUGUUGUUUAUAAUUAAUAUAUAUACACCCUGAUCAACAAAUAUGGUAAAAUAUUAUUUAUCGAGAUCUAAAUUAAAAAAAUCUACAAACCUAAAGAUUCAUCGAGACUUACGAGAUUCAAGGAGAUAAAAUUAUUAAUGAUUAGUGUUAAAAAAGAGAAAAUAGAGAGAAAGAGAAAAAUAAUGUAAUAUAAUUACUACGAUAAUUUCUUUUAACAUGAAAUUAUCGAACAACAAAUUAAUAAUCUUCUUCUUAACUAAACAAACUAAUUAAAAGCCUCUCAUUUACUUCCAAAAUAUAAUUAAAAAAGUUUGUCAAAUGCUGAUUGGAGAGUGUGUUUGCCGACCUUUACUGAAGCAAAUCUUAAUUAGAGCCUCAAAGAGAAGCAAAUUAAAGGGUUGAGACAAGACAAAUUAAAUUACCAUUCAAAGCUUUCUUUCAAUUUUAUUUAUUUCCUGUUCUAAACAUCCAGGAUGUGCAAAUUAAUUCUGAGGAUAAAAGAGAAAUGUAUAAAAUAAAACUUACGGCUUUGAGUGUGUUGAACGAAGCCACCUAAUUGAUCUGCUCAACUCCAAUGAAGUGUUUUGAUUCAAAGGAAAGAAGGUUAAUCAGGCAAAUAUGCAAUUUCCAGCUCCCCAGAUUUAUUUGUACGUAUUCUAAAAGUAAGUCUUGGUCAUCUCAGAAAGUGGGUGGGAAAAAGCAAAAAAGGCCAAAGGAAUCUUUUUGACUACUUCAUAUACGUCUUGUGGGGUGGUUUUUUGUUUUUUGUUUUUGUUUUGGUUUGGGGAGAUAGGGGGGGGGUUCUCCGGGGAAUAAACCGGGUGUAUUUCGCAUGCCGCGUUAAAAGAUUGUAUUUGAGAUAAAAUAAAUCUUAAAGUUUUGAUUGCACAGGCAGCUACCUGUUGAAUUUCAAUGCAGUAUUGCUUCAAAGAAGCUAAGUUAAUCAGUGAAACAUAUUUGUGCAUAUGACGAUUAAAUAUGAAUUAUGUAGAUAAAACAUAAAACAUAUGAAUUUUAAAUUAAAACUUAUAAAUCAAUAUUAAAUAUAAAAUAAAACAUGGAUUGUGUAAUUAAAAUAUAAAACUUCUAAAAUAGAAGGUAAAAUAAGUAAAUUAAUUUAGAAGUGGUAAAUUAGUAAAUUAUGGGUACAUAAAAUAAAAAUUUAUAAAUAUAACAUAAAACUUGUAAACCAACAUUAUGUGUAAAAUAAAACAUAAGAUUUGUAAAUAGAAGGUAAAACAAGUUAAUUAAUAUAGGCAUGAUAAAUUGGUGUAUUAUUAUUAAACAAAACAAAAACUUACAAAUAUAACGUAAAGCUUACAAAUUAAUAUUAAAACAAAAACUGAGAAACAUAAUAUAAAACUUGUAAAUCAAUAAUAAGUUUAAAAUAAAACAUAAAUUAAGCAAAUGAAACAUGAGACUUGUAAACAGAAGGUAAAAUAAGUAAACUAACAAUAUAGGAGUGGUAAAUUGAUGUAUUAUUGGUAAACAAACAAAAACUUAUAGAUGUAACAUAAAAUUUUUAAAUUAGCAUAAAGUGUAAAAAUAAAAUAUAAAUUAUGUAACUAAAACAUAAGAUUUAUAAGAGGAAAGUAAAAUAAGUAAAUUAAUAUAAGAAUUAUUAAAAAAAUAAAAAGUUACAGAUGUAAAUUAAAAAAGAAUUAUAAUAAUGAUUCCCUUAUAUAUUUACUAAUUUUGUCUCUAAAUUGAAUAAUGAUAGUUUUGGGCUUAUGUAAUACAUGUGAUGAUAUAUUUAAAAUUUUAUUAAGAAUAAAACUCUUUUUAUAUUUUUUUAAAGUUGUUUUGUAAGAUAAGGUAAUUUUGCAUCAUUCUAAACCUCCUCGGCAAUAACUCAACGGUAUAAGAAGCAAAGCUUGAAACUAUAUAAAGUAUGCAUAAAACUGAAAAUUAAAUCAAUUUUAUUGAUAUAUCAUAUAUGUCUAGUACUAUAAAAAUAACUUUUAUUUUGUUUUGGCUUGAUCUACAUUAAGAAAAAUAAUUUUGCUUAAUUAACCGGUGUAGUAAGCAAAUAUGAUGAUUAAAAAUGAAAAAAAUUAUAAAUGUCUUAGGAUAAAUAUAGAAUUCAUGGUAUUCAUUAAAAUUUAUUCUAAAUUUGUUUUAAUAUAAUUUUUUCAUUUUCAAUUAAUAAGUGAUUUUUUUGCUUAAUAAGUGAUUUUUGCUUAAUUAAAAUAAAUAAAUCAACUAUUUUCUAGUCUAGUUAAAGUUUGAUGUUGAUUUAUAAGUUUUAUAUUAUUUUUACAAGUAUUUUUUAUUUUUAAUUUUAAAACAUCAAUUUACCACUUUUGUAUUAAUUUAUUUAUUUUAGUUUUUUUAUUAGUUAUAUGUGUAAAUUAUAAAAAUUUAUAUUUAUUACGCAAUUAAUUACGAUGUGAUAGAUUUUUCCUUGUGCACCUAUCUUUCAAGGGAAGGCAGAGGACUUUUAUUGAAUCUGGAAAAUUAAACCGAUUACACGGUUUCCAGCUCCCAGUUGUGUUGAAUCUUGGUCAAAAAGUGUGACUCUUUAAGUAGCGUUUACUUUUUGGAUUGGAGUGGGAAUCCUAGGAUUCAGAGUGUUGAGUGGGAGUGUGAGUAGGUUGUUUACUUGCACUGGAAUAGAAGCAUGGAAUGGAGAUCAGAAUCCAAUUUAUGUGUUUAUUUUAUUUUGAAUUGAGAGUAAAUAGUUUCAAAUUAUAAUUUUAUCCUUAUUUAAAGAAUUAGAGUUUUUAAUUACAAAGUUAAUAAAAAAUAUAUUUAAUGAAUAAACAUUUAUUUUAUUAUAUUUGUAAAUUUAUAAUAAUUAUUAAUAUUCUUAAUUAUGAACAUCACAAUUUUUUAUUAAUUUUAACUUUAAUUAUAUAAAUUAAAAAUUGUUGAUAAGGGCAAUAUAAAUGAAAUAUUUUUACUAUUAACAUAGUAUGAAAUUAAUAUUUUCUUAGAAUAAACUAUUUAUUAGUAUUAAUUAUUCAUAUUAAAUAAAUAUAAUACUAUUAUUUUUAAAUAAAUAUAAUAAUAUUAUAUUUUCAAAUAAAGAUGGUAUAUAGUAAUAUUAUUAAUUCUCUAUUAAUAUAGUAUUAUUAUUUUUAAGUAAAUUAAACUUAGAAUCAAACCCAAUUAUUAUUUAGUUAAAUAUAAUAAUAAUAUUUAAAUAUUUAUUAAAUAUAAUUAUAGUAAAUUUAAUAAAAAGAAGGGUAAAUAUAAAAUGCAACAUUAUUUUAUUUUAUUUUAUUUUACAUAAUUAUAUUAAUUCAUUAUUUAUUAAUAUAAUAUUAUUUAGUACAAAAUUAAUAUUUUCUUAGAAUAAACUAUUUUUAUUAUUAAUUAUUAAUAUUAAAUAAAUAUAGUACUAUUAUUUUUAAAAUAAAUAUAAUAAUAUUAUAUUAUUAAAUAAAGAUAGCAUAUAGUAACUUUUAUUAAUUCUCUAUUAAUAUAAUAAUAUUAUUUUUAAGUAAUUUUAACUUAUAAUCAAUGUAAAUUAUUAUUUAGUUAAAUAUAAUAAUAUUAUUUAAAUAAAGAUAAUAUAAUUUAUUUUAUUUUUGGAGUGGGGAGUGGGAGUGGGACUUCCAUAGGGAGAGGUGGGAGUGGGAUUCCCAAUCCUUCCCCAAUUUGUUGAAGUAAACACUAGAAUUGGAGGAAUCCACACUCUUCACUCCCACUCCAAAAAGUAAACACAACCUUAGUCUUUACCCUACAAUAUGAAACUACCGUUCAAUCAAACUUUCUCUCAAUGAUAAGUCUCUUUAAUUGAAAUUACACGUCGUCGCCACUCGGCCUUGUUAGAGAGCAAUAAUGUCUUCAUCUGCUAAUGUUCUAAUAAUUUGUAAUAAUUAACUCAUCGACUAUGAUUCUGCAAAGAUAUUCAGCUGUAAUCACUUGCUUCGGAUUCGUGUAGGUUUAUCUUUAAUAUUAGUAUUAAGCCUUUGCUUAUCAGCUUAAGCUUUCCGAUUAUAUAUUGGCAAAUGGGAGCUUGUUGUGAGCUGAUAAUAAUUAAAGGAAGUUAAACCAUUUCCUUCGAGCCUCUGUAGUGUAGCCUCCACUAAACUUUGUUAUUUGCUGGUUCUGUUCUUAGUUGAACUUUGCUGACUUUGUAAUUUGUAUGCUUAUUGCUAAUGAUCCUUGCACUUUGCUGCUAGUGUAACGUUGAUUCCAUCGCUGCUGUUGCGCUUACUAGCUAGGAAUUCCACGAACAAAUUUCACAAAAGGUUUGUUGAAAUUGUUGAAAAGGCAAAGAAUGUCUUGCAAAUUUCAAAAGGCAAAGUUGGUGGGUUUGCCAAAUUAAAAAAAGCAAACUUGGUUGGCUUGCUAAUUUCAAAAGACAAAGUUAGGUGUUGAAAAGCUUGUGCAUGCAAUACAAGAUCCAGCUCAAUGUUUUGACCAAUUGAACCCAACUUGGAGCAUAAUGCACUCUAUAAAUAGAGAAGUAUUUUGCAAUUGUAAGCAUCCCAAUUUGAGAGAAGUAGAGAGCAAUUGCAACUGAGUUCUUUGAGAGAAUUUGAGAGAGCUUCCACUUGAGUGUUCUAGUGAGGUUCCAUUUGGGUGUAUUCGGGUUGUGGGUUUUGUGAGUUUUUCCCACUUCUAUAAAUUUCCAUUUGUUAGUAAAAUUAUCUUCUAGUUUUUUACCCGUGAACGUAGGCAUUACGCUGAACCACGUAAAUUAUUGUGUUAUAUUUUCUUUGCAUUUGUUUAUCACAACAUUUAUAUUUCUCUAGAAUUUGCAGUAUUAGUAAUUGCUCAACCCACGAUUCUGCAACAAUUAGUAUCAGAGCCGAUGGUUCGUACUUGGGGGGAUACGAUAUUUGAAAUAUAAGUGUGCAACCCAAGAGGGGGGGUGAAUUGGAAUUUUAAAAAUUAUCCUAGCAAAUCCACACAACAAGCUAUCUAAUGUCUUAAUAAAAAUUGAAAGCAAUAAGUUCAAUAAAAGCACAAUAAUUAAAUAGUAAGGGAGAAGAGAAACAAACACACGAAUUUUUACGUGGUUCGGCAAUCCCCGCCUACGUCCACGCCUCUAAGCGAUCCAAGCUUGAGGAUUUCACUAUCCAAGGUUUCAACCGAUUACAAUUGACUUUGAGGUGUCAAUAAACCUUUACAACAAAGAGAUUAUAUCCCAAUCUCUUCACUCAAGUGUCUCACACACUCAAACUCUUACAAUUGAGAUGAAUAAAUGAAGGUUACAAUAAAACUCACUCAAUGAGUAGAUAUUCAAAAAUGAAGAACAAGAAAUGAUUCAAUGUUUGUAUUUUGCAAGUUUUAAGGCUUAAGAUAUCACGUGUGCUUUUUGUUUUUGCUUAUUGGAGAAAUUCAAAAUGAGUUGGAUUUGAGUUCUUAUAGUUUGAGCUCAAAAAUUAGCCGUUACUCACAUUUUGGGCGUAUCCGGUUUGCCGUUUAUGGAAUCCGAUAAGCCGGAUUUAUGUUACCGUUUGAAUUUUGCCUAUCCGGCUUACUGGUUACGAAAUCCGGUAAGCCGUUUGCAUUCUGGAUGCUUACUGCCCCAUAUCCGAUUUUCCAGUUUUUAUAUCCGGUAAGUUGCUUGCUACAGUAACUUGGUACAGUGAAAUUUUUCCUAAAUUUUUAAUUUGACCCCCAAACUUUACAAAACUGUAGUAUGACCCAAAACGUUAUAAAAAUUUACAAAUAGGUCCAAUUUAAGAAUUUCUAAAUAAUGCUUCGUUAAUCCCAAAAUUUUUUGAAAUUAUGAUUUCGCCCAAACUUUGUGAAAUUAUAGAAUGGCCCAAAAUGUUAUAAAAGUUUGCAAAUAGAUCCAAUUUCAGAAUUUCUAAGUAAUGCUUCGUUAAUCCCAAAACUUUUUGAAAUUAUGAUUUUGCCCAAACUUUGUGAAAUUAUAGAAUGGCUCAAAAAUAUUUAAAUAGUUUCAAAUAGGUCCAAAUCCGAAAUUUAAAACAUUAUCAAAUAUUUUGAAAUUUUAGUCCAAAAUGCUUUAAUUCUAUAACAUCAUUUUCUUAUUAUAAAAGCACAAUUCAUAAAUCUUUGCUUAAUAAAUACAUGUGGUUUGUUAUCAUCAAAAUCAAUAUUUAUAACCAUAUAGGCUAACAAUCUCCCCCUUUUUGAUGAUGACAAAGCACAUUCAAAUUUAAUCUAGUUAUGAAAAGCUCCCCCUUAAUCAAUGCAAGUUAAAAAAUGAUUUGAAAAUUAUUUAACAAAAACUCCCCCUGCAUACAUGCUCCCCCUAGAUACAUGCAUAUUUUCAUAACACAUUAAAUCAUUCUCCCCCUUCAUCAUCAAAAAGAAUAAAGGCUCCCCCUAUCAAUCAUCAAAAUCGCAACAUAAGCACAUUAGUAAAAAAAAAUAUCCAUAAGCAUAAGAAAAUCCAUAUAAUCCAUAAUGAUCAAUCAAAACAAAUCCAUAACAUCCAACAUAAAUAGUCACAACAAAUCCAUAUAAUCCAAAACAAAGACAUAAAUCGAAAAGCAUAAUAACCAUCCAUAGAUUCGAAAAUAAACAAACACACAAUGCAGUAAAUGAAAUGUAGAUGUGUCCAAGUACAAGCAUAAGAUACUACUCAGGUGGUGAGGAUGGAGGUGAUGGAGGUAGAAACGGAUAUGGAAUGCCGAAGUGCUCGAAGAGGAGGCACUGUCCAUGAAUAAGCUGCUGCUGCUGCUGCUGAAACUCAGUUUGCCGCUGCUGAAACUCAGUCUGCCGCACAGAGAGUGUCUACACUUCAUCCAUAAUCUGCUGAAGAGUGACCUCUUCAGAGGUAGGAGGAUGUGGAGGUGAUGAAGCGGAUGCAGAUGCACUAGGAGCUGAAGCAACCGUGGAAGAAACUCGGCGUCUACGCUCCCCUCGAAAUGAGAGUGAGAAAACUGGAAGUUGUUCAGCUGGAAUCACAGCAUUAAGUGGCCGAUCAUCACUUGGGGUUAGAAGGGUAAACUUGUUAUCGCUGUAUUUGACCCAAGUGUCAUCCUUCCACUCAAAGCCUAACCCAAUAAUAACCUCAUCCCCGAUACCCUUGGACGGCCUACAAGAUGGUUCUAGAAUCUGUACUUCAAAGAAUUUAAGAAUUCGGGUAAUGAAGUGACCAUAAGGAAGAGAGAGGGUAAUCAAGGCGGGAAUGCUCAACAUGGUGCGGAUGAUGGAAUAGCCCAAGUUAACCGGGCGACCUCUAAGAAUACAGUCAAUCAUGGCGACAUCCAUGUGAGAAACCUCAUCCAAAUGUCCUGAUCUAGGAAGUACAAUGGACUGGAUGAUACGAAGCAAAAUACGAGUUUGAAGACAAAGACACUGAGUACGAAAAUGAAUGGUACAAUCUUCAACAGAAAGAUCACUACGUCGACAAAUAUUACGAACGGCAUCAACAUGAACAUAGUCAUCAAUAUCAGGAGGUUUCCUAGGAGAAAAAAUGUCCAAGCCAUCAUCGGAAGAUCCUAGGAUGGAGUUCAACUCCGAAUCAUCAAAUUCAAUCAAAACUCCUUCAACUGUGGUGAUUACUUGAUUCUCUUUCUCCGCGGAACAAUCCAUAUUCGAGUAAAAUACUUUCACCAAGUCGGGAUACACAUUCUCCUCAAUCAACAAUGCAUCAAUCCAACCAACAUCUCCCAACAAUUGAUAUUUCUAUAACUAAUCUUGAGAGUAUGCAUAACAUCCGGUAAAACAAAGAAAGUGUUGAGUACCUCACGAGUCCGAAAGUUUUGUUGAAACCGUUUGAUCAAGUGUUGCUUGUUCUGAAAAUGAAUGGACUCAAAAGUGGAUUGAUUUGAGGUGCCCCUUGCUUCCCGUGGCCGGGUGGUUUGUUGAACCGGUUCUUUGCCUUUUCUUCGAACCGGCCGAGAGUUUGACAUUUUGAUUUUGAUGGAUGUGAAGAUAAAAACACCAAAGAGAAUGAAGAUGAUGAAGAUUGAAAGUGAUUUAGAGAAACAAAUUGGAUCAAAAACGGCUUGAGAGUGAGAAAUCUAGAGAGAGAAAAAUCAGCCAAAAACCUAGGUUGAAAUUCGGAUCUAGGGAUUUGGAGGUUGAAAAUGAGUUUUGAGUGUGAUUUUAGGUAUAAGAACGGAUGGGGAUUAGGAUCUAUGGAUUGAUUUGCAUCAAAACCGUGUAGAAAAGGUGGAUUUGUGAGUGAAAAAUGAGAGAGAAGGACCGGUUUUUAGAGAGCGAACAAGAACCGGAUUGCUGAAUGAAAAAGGAAGAAGAACAGUUGAAAUAGCUCCCGAAACUGGCUUGCCGGUUUGCACUAUCUGGCUAGCCGGUUGAGACCAGAAGCUUGAAACCCGUAAACGGCUUGCCGGUUUGACUUGAACUGGAAAUCCGGUUGUGACCAGCAAGUCCUUCACUCGAAUCCGGUUUUCCGGAUAACACGAACCAGCUUGCCGGUUGGAUCCAAAAGAUAGCAAGUGAGAAUCGGAUUGCCGGUUUUCCUGAACCGGUUGGCCGAAUGAGUCUAGAAUGCUGCCAAAGUGCAGCUCGAAUUCGGAUUUCCGGAUUGACAGAACCGGAAAUCUGGUUUUGUUCCAGCAAGCUUUCCUUGCGAAUCCAGCUUUCCGGUUUUGCUAACCGGUAGUCCGGUUUGAGGCAGAAAGUUACCUCUUCAAUUCGGUUUUUCAGAUUUUAAGAACCGGUUAUCCGGUUUUUAGGCAGAGAGAAGGCUUAGCAAAUCCGGUUUUCCGGAUUGAAAAUUCGGUUAUCCGAAUGUUGUCCCGAGAGCAACCAAAGUUAAUCCGGUUUUCCGGAUUGAAAAUCCGGUUAUCCGGAAUUUGUCCCAAGAGAGAUCAAUAAAAAAAGUGUUUUUCCGGAUGAAUGGAAAGGGAAUAUUUGCUAGCUCUUAUACUUGUACUACACACACCAUUUUAUUUCCGGCCUUAAAAAUUGAUUAAUUUUAAAUCAUUUUGAGAUUUAAAACUUUUCAAUAAGCCAUUUAAUGCAUAAAACACAAAAUCAUAAAAUCAUAAAUUUACAAGCAUAUCAAGUUAUUUAAUUCAUGAAACAUAAAUCCAUAUGAUAACAAAUAUAUUAAGCCAUGUAGUAAAACAUGAAUUAAGAUUCAACAUUCAUCAUUCCAAGCUCAUGUCUUAUCUUUAUAAAAUACUCUUCGCUAAGAGGUUUUGUAAAGAUAUCCGCAAGUUGAUUUUCAGUGGAAACAAAUUUAAUUACGACAUCUCCUUUUUGAACAUGAUCUCUAAGGAAAUGAUGUCUAAUUUCCAUAUGCUUAGUCCUAAAAUGUUGAAUAGGAUUCUUAGAAAGAUUUAUAGCACUAGUAUUGUCACAUAAGAUAGGAAUUUGAUCAAGCUUAAUACCAUAGUCUCUAAGGGUUUGUUUCAUCCAUAGAAUUUGUGCACAACAACUACCUGCGGCAAUAUAUUAUGCCUCGGUGGUUGAAAGCGCAACCGAGUUUUGUUUCUUACUAAACCAAGAGACAAGAGAAUGGCCUAGGAAGUGACAUGUUCCACUAGUACUUUUUCUAUCAACCUUAUACCCAGCAAAAUCGGCAUCCGAAUAACAAGUUAAAUCAAUAUGAGUUCCUCUAGGAUACCAAAGGCCAAGAUUAAUGGUGCCAAUUAAAUAUCGAAAAAUGCGUUUGACAGCAAGCAUGUAAGACUCUUUAGGACAAGAUUGAAAUCUAGCACACAAGCAUACACUAAACAUAAUAUCAGGCCUACUAGCAAUUAAGUAGAGUAAGGAUCCCAUCAUACCUCGAUAUGUCUUGAUAUCAACUUCCUUACCUUUCUCAUCUUUGUCCAGCUUUGUGGUAGUACUCAUAGGAGUGCUUUUUGCCGUUCCAUUAUCAUAGCCAAAUCUUUUGAGUAGAUCUUUCACGUACUUGGCUUGGUUUAUGAAAAUUCCUUCCUCAUUUUGUUUGAUUUGAAGUCCAAGGAAGUACUUCAACUCUCCCAUCAUGCUCAUCUCAAACUCUUGGCUCAUACAUGAUGAAAAAUCUUUACACAACAACUCAUUAGUAGAACCAAAAAUAAUAUCAUCAACAUAAAUUUGAACAAUAAGUAUGUCUUGGUUCUUAUGCUUAACAAAAAGAGUUGUGUCCGCUUUUCCUAUUGAAAAAUCGUUAUCCAACAAGAAAUUUUUAAGCCUAUCAUACCAAGCUCUAGGUGCUUGUUUUAAACCAUACAAAACCUUAGAUAACUUAUACACAUGAUUUGGAAAUUUUUCAUUUUCAAAACCAGGAGGUUGUUUCACAUAAACUUCCUCCAUAAUAUAUCCAUUUAAGAAAGCACUCUUGACAUCCAUUUGAUAUAAAAUAAAAUCCUUAUGACAUGCAUAUGCUAACAACAUCCUAAUGGAUUCUAACCUUGCUACAGGUGCAAAAGUUUCAUCAAAAUCAAUUCCUUCUUCUUGGUUGUAACCUUGAGCCACUAAUCUAGCUUUAUUUCUUACAACCACACCGAAUUCAUCCAUUUUGUUUCUAAAUACCCAUUUAGUACCUAUAAUGGAUUGAUGUUCCAGAUUAGGAACUAACUCCCACACAUUGUUUCUCUCAAAUUGAUUCAACUCCUCUUGCAUUGCCAUAAUCCAAGAUUCAUCAUUUUCCGCAUCCGCAAAAGAUUUUGGUUCAAUUUGAGAAAUAAAUGUAGCAUGCUCACAUGUGUUCCUAAGAGAUGAUCUAGUGGUAACACCUCGUGAAGGAUCUCCUAAAAUUACAUUCUUAGGGUGAGAGGAUACAUACCUCCACUCCUUGGGGAGUGUUUGAGAAGUACCUUCAUUUUGCUCUACAUUUGUUUCUUCAUGAUGUUCCUCUUGAAUUCCAUGUGGUGAGUCUUCUUGGUUGUCAUUCGAUGCUUCUUCUUGUUGUUCUUCUUCUGCAUUAUCAUCAACAACGACUUUCUCCGUAGAGGAGGGGUUAGACUCAUCAAACGUAACAUGCAUAGAUUCUUCCACAACUAAAGUUCUUUUGUUAUAAACUCUAUAAGCUUUUCUUGAAUUUGAAUAACCAAGAAAGAUACCAACAUCAGAUUUUGGAUCAAAUUUACCAAGAUUAUCUUUUGUGUUCAAAACAAAACAUUUGCAUCCAAAAACUUUAAAAUAACCAAUGUUGGGUUUUCUAUCUUUCCAAAGCUCAUAUGGAGUUUUAUUAAAAUUAGGUCUAAUCAACACACGAUUUAAAACAUAAUAAGCGGUGUUGACGGCUUCGGCCCAAAAGUACUUAGGCAAAGAGUUUUCAUUCAACAUGCUCCUAACCAUUUCUUGAAUAGACAUAUUCUUUCUCUCUACUACUCCAUUUUGUUGUGGAGUCCUAGGUGAUGAAAAUUGAUGUUCAGUGCCAAAGUCAUUACAAAAAUUUUCAAACGCAUGAUUUUCAAAUUCUCCACCAUGAUCACUUCUAAUACAAGAAAUAGAAUAACCUUUUUCAUUUUGAACCUUUUUAUAGAAAAUUCGAAAUGCAUCAAUAGCGUCAUCCUUAUUAGCUAAGAACAAUACCCAUGUGUACCUAGAAUAAUCAUCCACAAUUACAAAUGCAUAAAAUUUGCCACUUAAGAUAGCAUAUCUAGAAGGUCCAAACAAAUCUAUGUGAAGUAAUUGAAGUAGUUUUGAAGUAGAGACAUGAUUCUUGCUUUUGAAGGAAGUUUUGAUUUGUUUUCCAAAUUGGCAUGCUUCACAAAUUCUAUCUUUUUGAAAACUGAUUUUUGGAAGACCUUUAACUAAAUCAUUUUUCAUGAUUUUUGAAAUCAAAUCCAUGCUUGCAUGACCUAAUCUUCUAUGCCACAACCAACCAUCAUCAUGCAAUGCGGAGAGACAUUUAUCAUGUAUUGAUACACAAUCUAUAUUAAUGGUAUAGACAUUAACACAUCUAUUUCCUACAAACAAGACUUUCCCAUCACAUGCAUUCUCAAUAACACAUUUUGAUUCAUCAAAGAUAACUCUAUAUCCUUUAUCACAUAAUUGACUAAUACUAAGCAAAUUGUGUUUCAAGUUUUCAACUACACACACAUUUUCAAUGAGAGUAGAGGAUACAUUACCGACAUUUCCAAUCCCAAUGAUUUUUCCUUUUGAAUUAUCUCCAAAUGAUACAUCUCCACCAUUUUCGAUCUUAGUAAAGCUUGAAAACCAAGAAUAAUUCCUUGUCAUGUGUCUUGAACAACCGCUGUCCAAGUACCACUUAUUCUUCUUCUUCUUCAAGCCCUGUAGAGAAAAUCUCAAGUUUUAGGUACCCAAACCUUUUUGGGUCCUUGAGAGUUAGCAAUGGUUCCUUUCGGAACCCAAACACAUUUCACACCAUAAUAUGCAUUUCUCUUCACUGCACAUCUAUUUUUCAUAUGACCAUCUUGAUUACAAUAAUGACAUACAAUUUGAUUGUUGAUAGAUGUAUUCUUCACAAAAUAACUCUUGUAAAAUUUUUGUUUAAAAUUUGGUUUAUAACCAAUGCCACUUUUGUCGAAUACACAUUUUUGUGAGUUUAGCAAAUUGUCCAACAUCUUUUGCCCAUUUGUGAAUUUUAGCACAAUUUCAUUUAGUUCAUUGCUCUUCUUUCUAAGCAUUUCAUUUUCAUUUUUCAAGUCAUUCAUUUGUGACUCUAAGUGCUCAUGUGAAGUGCUAGAAUUCUCAAAUAAUGCAAUACUAUCAUGCAAUGUUUUAUUUUCUAAUUCUAGGCAUGUAAUCGUUGCACUAAAUGAUUCAUUUUCAUUUUUAAGCUCUAUCAUCUUCUUUUUAAGACAUAUAUUCUUUUUACCAAUCUUCAUCAACUCAUCAUGCAAAUCCUUAAAGGCAUAAUGUAAUUCAUCAUAUGUAGGAAGAACAUUUACCUCAUCGAGUUCAUCACAUGAUUCUUCCCCAACGGCCAUGAGAGCUAAAUUUGUCAUUUCUUGUUGCUCAUCAUCAUCACUUGUUUCCUCAUCGCUAUCAUCCCAUGUGGCCACCAUAGCUUUCUUUUUAAGUUUGUUGAGAAGAGGACAUUUCGGUCGUAUGUGUCCGGGCUUCUUGCAUUCAUAACAAGUGAUUGGCUCCUUCUUCUACUUCUUAUUCUUGUAGCCUCUGAACUUUCUCUGCUCAUUAUUCUUUUUGUAAUAUUUUCUGAAUCUUCUAGCCAACAUAGCCAACUCCUCAUUAUCCAUUUCGCUUUCCUCAUCACUCUCACGUUUUGAAGCCUUGAGAGCAAUAGUUUUCUUCUUUUCCUCAUGCCCUUUUUCAGCUGCCAAAUCUUCUUCAUAUGAAAUGAGAGAACCAAUUAGAUCAUCAAUAGGUAAAACAAUAGACAACUUUAAGUUUGUGCCAAAUCUCAUUAGCACUUUCGCAACUAGACACUCUAUGAAACUCUUUCUUAUCUAAUGCACAAAACAAGGCAUUCAUGGCCUCGAAAUUUAGAAAAGCUUUUCUCUUUUCGAAUUCAUUCCAAUCCCGUGAAGGUUUUGGAAUAUCUUCUCCGACUUCAUUUUUAGUCAAAGGCAUGAAAGGACCAUCAUUAACGAUUUCCCAAAUUUUAUAAUCUAAGGCUUACAAGUAAAUUCUCAUCCUAGUUUUCCAAUAUGGGUAAUCGUUUCCAUCAAAGUAAGGUGGUCUAGUGGUGGACUGUCCUUCCCUAAAUGUUGAAUCAUUUUGAGUUGCCAUUGAUCUUUAGCUCUUGACGGUUAAGUCUAAAUACGAGCACCUCGCUCUGAUACCAAAUGAAAUAUAAGUGUGCAACCCAAGAGGGGGGGUGAAUUGGAAUUUUAAAAAUUAUCCUAGCAAAUCCACACAACAAGCUAUCUAAUGUCUUAAUAAAAAUUGAAAGCAAUAAGUUCAAUAAAAGCACAAUAAUUAAAUAGUAAGGGAGAAGAGAAACAAACACACGAAUUUUUACGUGGUUCGGCAAUCCCCGCCUACGUCCACGCCUCUAAGCGAUCCAAGCUUGAGGAUUUCACUAUCCAAGCUUUUCCAAGGCUUCAACCGAUUACAAUUGACUUUGAGGUGUCAAUAAACCUUUACAACAAAGAGAUUAUAUCCCAAUCUCUUCACUCAAGUGUCUCACACACUCAAACUCUUACAAUUGAGAUGAAUAAAUGAAGGUUACAAUAAAACUCACUCAAUGAGUAGAUAUUCAAAAAUGAAGAACAAGAAAUGAUUCAAUGUUUGUAUUUUGCAAGUUUUAAGGCUUAAGAUAUCACGUGUGCUUUUUGUUUUUGCUUAUUGGAGAAAUUCAAAAUGAGUUGGAUUUGAGUUCUUAUAGUUUGAGCUCAAAAAUUAGCCGUUACUCACAUUUUGGGUGUAUCCGGUUUGCCGUUUAUGGAAUCCGAUAAGCCAGAUUUAUGUUACCGUUUGAAUUUUGCCUAUCCGGCUUACUGGUUACGAAAUCCGGUAAGCCGUUUGCGUUCUGGAUGCUUACUGUCCCGUAUCCGAUUUUCUAAUUUUUAUAUCCGGUACGCUGCUUGAUACAGUAACCUGCUACACUGAGAUUUUUCCUAAAUUUUCAGUUUGACCCCCAAACUUUAUAAAACUGUAGUAUGGCUCAAAACGUUAUAAAAGUUUGCAAAUAGGUCCAAUUUCAUAAUUUCUAAGUAAUGCUUCGUUAAUCCUAAAACUUUCUGAAAUUAUGAUUUCGCCCAAACUUUGUGAAAUUAUAGAAUGACCCAAAACGUUAUCAAAGUUUGUAAAUAGGUCCAAUUUCAUAAUUUCUAAGUAAUGCUUCGUUAAUCCCAAAACUUUCUGAAAUUAUGAUUUCGCCCAAACUUUGUGAAAUUAUAGAAUGACCCAAAAAUAUUUAAAUAGUUUCAAAUAGGUCCAAAUCCGAAAUUUAAAACAUUAUCAAAGAUUUUGAAAUUUUAGUCCAAAAUGUUUUAAUUCCAUAACAUCAUUUUCUUAUUAUAAAAGCACAAUUCAUAAAUCUUUGCUUAAUAAAUACAUGUGGUUUGUUAUCAUCAAAAUCAAUAUUUAUAGCCAUAUAGGCUAACAAUAUUGUUCACGUAUACGGUACUAUUCCCAUAUACGGUACUGUUCACAACUGCGGUGGAGACGACCAUUUAUACUUGGGAGACAGUCUAUUGUAAGUAGUGUGUAUUUUUACAUGUCUAGAAAAGUUCUGUCAACAAGGCAAUAAGAGUCUAAGGAUUCCAGUUUUUAAUUGGGACCGAGUUCCCGUCCAAUCUCUAGAGAACUUUCCUAGUGCAUUUAUUUACGCGAAAUAAACAUCAUAGAGGCUGUUUUUUUAAGUGUAAAUAGUUGUUGAAGAAACUGAUCAUUUGAGAUAAAAAGGAUGGCAGAGGCAUCGUCGUCAUCUUCAUCAGCGAGGACUACUGUGACUAAUACAAAGUUUGAAGUGGAGAAAUUCGAUGGUACCAAUAAUUUUGGUAUGUGGCAAUGUGAGGUGUUGGAUGUCUUAUGUCAGCAAGAGUUGGACGUUGCUCUUGAAGAAAAGUCUGACAUGAUGGAUGACAAGGAGUGGAUAAAGAUCAACAGACAAGCAUGUGAUACUAUUCGCCUAUGUUUGGCUAAAGAUAAAAAAUACUCUGUCAUGAGGGAGACAUCGGCAAAGAAAUUGUGAGAGACACUGGAAGAAAAAUAUAUGAAGAAAAGCCUUGAAAAUAGGCUUUAUAUGAAAAAGAAACUCUAUCGUUUCACAUAUACACCUAGCAUGUCAAUGAAUGACUAUGUGAACUCAUUUAACAAAAUAUUAGCAUAUUUGCUAAAUUUGAAUGAGCAAUUUGAAGAUGAAGAUAAGGCACUAUUGUUGUUGAAUUUCCUUCCUGAUGAAUAUGAUCAUCUCACCACUACUUUGUUUCAUGGGAAAGACAGUGUCACAUUCGAUGCUGUAUGCAGUGCAUUGUACAACUCUGAGACCAGAAAGAAAAAUAGAAGGAUCACAGAGAUACAGUAGCGGAAGUAUUAACAGCGAGAGGCCGUUCACAAAGCCGCAAACCUAGAAAAAGAAGCAAGUCUAAAGGAAGCCUUGCUAAAGAUUAGUGUGAUUUUUGUCGCGAGAAAGGGCAUUAGAAAAAGAAUUGUCAUAAGUUACAAAAGGGUAAGGCUACUUCUGAUGCAUGUGUAGCAGAACAUGACGAGGAGUCAGACUUUAGUCUGGUUGGCAUGACAUUGAUGUCUCACUCAGAUGAGUGGAUUUUAGAUUCAGGUUGUACUUAUUAUAUGUGUCCUAACAAAGGCUGGUUUUCUAACUUCAAGGAGCUAGAUGGUAGAGUUGUUUUUAUGGGCAAUGACAAUGCUUGUAAAAUCAUGGGAAUAGGUACAAUCCAAUUAAAGAAUCAUGAUGGCUCAAUCCAAGUCUUGACGGAUGUUCGCUAUGUACCAAGCUUGAAGAAAAAUCUCAUCUCAUUAGGAGUCCUAGAAUCUAAAGGGCUCACAAUUACUUUGGGAGAUAGAUUGUUGAAGGUAGUAGUUAGGGCGCUGAUGGUAAUGAAGGACAUAAGAAGAAAUAACUUGUAUUAUUUCCAAGGAAGUACAAUUAUUGGAUCAACAUCAAUAAUUUCUAGAAAAAAUACAGAUUCCGAAGCGACCAAGUUGUGGCAUAUGCGUUUAGGACAUGCUGGUGAAAAAGCUUUGCAGACUUUGGUAAAGUAAGGCUUAUUGAAAGAUACAAAUUCCUGCAAAUUAGAAUUUUGUGAACAUUGUGUUCUGCGCAAGCAGACAAGGGUAAAGUUUGGUUCAACAAUUCAUGAUAUAAAAGAAAUUCUGGACUAUGUUCACAGUGAUAUGUGGGGACCUACCAAAACAGCUUCUUUGGGAGGUAUGCACUAUUUUAUUACUUUUGUUGAUGAUUAUUUAAGAAAAGUAUGGGUGUAUUUGAUGAAGAAUAAGAAUGAAGUUUUGGGCAUUUUUUUGAAAUGGAAGAAAAUGGUUGAGACUCAGACUGGUCAAAAGGUCAAAAGACUUCGCUCAGACAAUGGUGGUAAGUACAAGAGUGAACAAUUUCUUCAAAUAUGCCAAGAUGAGGGAAUUGUGCGACACAACCACAACAGAAUGGGGUGGUAAAAAGCAUGAACCGGAUUAUAUUGGAGAAAAUUCGGUGUAUGUUGUCCAAUGCUGGAUUGGGCAAAGAGUUUUGGGCUGAGGCAAUUAUACAUGCGUGUCAUCUAAUCAAUCAUUUGCCAUCAGCUGCAAUUGAGGGUAGAACACCCAUGGAGAUGUGGACCGGUAAACCUGCUACUAAUUAUGAUUCUUUACAUGUUUUUGGUUCCACUGCUUAUUAUCAUGUAAAGGAAUCUAAGUUAGACCCAAGAGUAAAGAAAGCAUUGUUCAUGGGUAUAACUGGUGGAGUAAAAAGAUAUCGUCUCUGGUGUCCUGUUAUGAAGAAGAUUAUUUUCAGCAUAGAUGUAACUUUUGAUGAAUCAGCCAUGUUGAAACAAAAAGAAUCUCAAGAGAAUGAGAAGACCAGAAGAACUUUGCAGCAGGUGGAGUUUGAAAAGAUUAAAGCUGAUCCAGCUGGUGUCAAUGAGAUGGAUAGUGAUUCUCUAUCGACCGAUGAUGAUGAAGGGGUUCUGACCCAGGAACCUUCACAGCAACAAGAUUCAAUUGCAUAUAGAAGGUCACACAGAGAGAUUCACAGACCUGCUCGCUUUGUUGAUACGGUGGCCUAUGCACUUCCAACUGUAGAUGAUGAUUUCCUUCCACUUACAGAGAAGCAGUAAGUAACCCAGAAAGUAUACAGUGGAAGAAAGCAAUGAACGAAGAAAUGCAGUCUCUUCACAAAAAUGAAACUUGGGAGUUAAUUACACUGCCCAAGGAAAAGAAAGCAAUUGGGUGCAAAUGGGUAUAUGCAAAAAAGGAAGGAUUUCCUCGUAAAAAUAAAAUUCGAUACAAGGUUAGAUUGGUAGUGAAUGGUUACGCUCAGAAGGAAUGAAUAGACUACAAUGAGGUAUUUUCUCUAGUUGUGAAACAUUCGUCUAUUCGAAUUUUGCUAGCCAUAGUUGCACAAUUUGAUCUUGAACUAGUUCAGCUUGAUGUAAAAACUGCAUUUUUACACGGUGAUUUGGAAAAUAAAAUUUGCAUGACUCAGGCAGAUGGAUUCAAGGUUGCUGGAAAAGAAAAUUGGGUUUGCAAAUUGACAAAGUCGCUUUAUAGAUUUAAACAGUCUCCGAGGCAGUGGUAUAAGUGAUUUGAUCGAUUUACGAAAGGGCAAAGGUACACACGAAACAAAUUUGAUCAUUGUGUGUAUUUUCGCAAGCUACAAGAAGGAUCUUUCAUUUAUUUGCUAUUGUAUGGCGAUGAUAUGCUAAUAACAUCCAAGAGUAAAUAUGAGAUUGAGAAGUUAAAGACUCAACUCAAUCAAGAAUUUGAAAUGAAAGACCUGGGUGAAGCUAAGAAGAUUUUUGGCAUGGAGAUAUGCAGAGAUAGAGCUCGUGGCAAAAUAAGCUUAUCUCAAAAGCAAUAUUUGAAUAAGGUAUUACAACAGUUUGGUAUGACUGAGCAGAAAAAACCUGUAAGUACCCCAUUGGCUUCUCAUUUCAAGCUUUCUACACAACUAUCUCCUUCGACAGAUGCAGAACGAGAAUACAUGUUACAAGUUCCAUAUUCAAAUGCAGUGGGUAGCUUGAUGUAUUCAAUGGUGUGUACAAGGCCUAACAUUUCACAUGCAGUUGGUAUAGUGAGCAAGUAUAUGCAUAAUCUUGGUAAAAGGACAUUGGCAAGCUGUAAAAUGGAUUCUAGGGUACAUUUAGAAGACUGUGGAUGUUAGUUUACUGUUUGAGAGAGACGAUACACUUGGUCAAGGUGUGAUCGGGUACGUUGAUUCUGAUUAUGCUGGUGAUUUGAACAAACGACGGUCAACCACCGGAUAUGUAUUUACUUUUAUUGGAGGGCCAAUCAGUUGGAAGUCUACACUACAGUCUACAGUUGCACUGUUGACCACAAAGGCCGAGUACAUGGCAAUUACGAGGCUGUUAAAGAGGCUAUUUGGUUACAAAGCUUGCUUGAAAACUUGAGAUUGGUACAGAAGCAAAUUAAUGUAUAUUGCGACAGUCAAAGUGCUAUUCACUUAACGAAGAACCAAGUUUAUCAUGCACGUACGAAGCAUAUUGAUGUACGAUUUCACUUUGUGUGGGAAAUUGUUGAUGAGGGGAAGGUUCUUCUUCAAAAACUUAAGACUGCAGAUAAUCCUGUAGAUAUGUUGACGAAGGUAGUGACGGCGGCAUUGUCUAAACGUGAUCAAUAUCCUACAAGUUUGAAAGUAGUCGGAGAAGGCAGAGAUUGGAGGAUGAUUUGAUGUACUGGAAGUUUAGUAUUCGGCUCAGAAUUGAAUAAAUCUUAGCCGAGAUGGAGAAUUAUUGAAAAGUCAAAGAAUGACUUGCAAAUUUCAAAAGGCAAAGCUGGUGGGUUUGCCAAAUUCAAAAAAGUAAAGUUGGUCGGCUUGCUAAUUUCAAAAGACAAAGUUGGGUGUUGAAAAGCUUGUGCAUGCAAUACAAGAUCUAGCUCAACGUUUUGACCAAUUGAACCCAACUUGGAGCAAAAUGCACUCUAUAAAUAGAGAAGCAUUUUGCAAUUGUAAGCAUCCAAUUUGAGAGAAGCAGAGAGCAAUUGCAAGUGAGUUCUUUGAGAGAGCUUUAACUUGAGUGUUCUAGUGAGGUUCCAUUUGGGUGUAUUGGGGUUGUGGGUUUUGUAAGUUUUUCUCACUUUUGUAAAUUCCCAUUUGUUGGUAAAAUUAUCUUUCAGUUUUUUACCCGUGGACGUAGGCAUUACGCCGAACCACGUAAAUUAUUGUGUCCUAUUUUCUUUGCAUUUGUUUAUCACCACAUUUAUAUUUCUUUAGAAGUUGCAGUAUUAGUAAUUGCUCAACCCACACUUCCGCAACACAAAUUUCACAAAUUUCACAAAUUUUCCAGAAACGUAUGGGCCCUAUUUUUUUUCAUUUUCAUUCCCUCUUCUAUUUUAAGAAGCAUUCUGAAUUUGAUUCCUGAGUCCCAUGAGUAAACACACUAUUAAUGUAACUCAUGAGUGUAACCAGAGUAGUAAAGGCCAGUAAAGACAGCUGUUAGGAAAAAAAUUACAGCAAAUUGGUCGAAAUUGAUUACUAACAACUCAUUGUAUCCGUAUAUGAAACAAAGUGUUUCAUGCAUGGGGCUGGAAUCAGAUUACCUAAGAGUUUACAAAAUAAAUAAUUAAAUGAUCUCACAAUAUGUAAUAGUUUUCUAAAAUAGAUUUAGGUUAAAACCUUGUCUUUGGUCUUAAUUUUAAUGCGUAAAAAAUAAAAUAAAAACUUUCAAAAGAAAAAAAAUUAAUUUGAAAGACAGUGAAGCAAUUAGCUAGUUACACAUAUCAUAGACCUGUAAGUGGAGCAAUUAGUUUGGAUUCGCAACAAGCACUCGUCUCCUUUCUUAUUUACAUUUUGCCAAAUUCAGAGAGAGAAAUUUUAUGUACAAUUAUUUGUUAAUAAUUUAAAUUACAUAAUGCCCCUUUUGCUUCACACAAGCUCUACUAAACGGAGCAACAUAUAUUAUUCGAGUUAAAAAAUUAACAAGAAUUUAUAAUCGAGAGGAGACGACAUUGCCGGUUACAAGAAAUGGACAAUGUGCCUAAUUAUAUACGACAUGCCGGUUUAUUUUGCGAGGGGGAUCGUAUGAUGAGUAGUUAAUGUCGUCUAGCAGAGUAAGUUAUGUACGUGCUGAUCACUGAUAAUGAACAAAAGUUACAAAACCACUACUCCAUUCUUCAGGAGGACAAAGCCUAGAAAUAGUUAAAUCUCUAUCAUUAGAGUGUUAAGACCCUUUUUUACAUUGAGGUGUUGUAGAAAAAAACUGUAAUUAUAAAAUAAAAGUUAAUAGUAUGUAAUAAACAUAAUUUACAAAUAAUAAUUUUGAUAAAAUUAGUAAAGAUAUAAUAGAUUUUUCAUCAUACAAGUAUAAAAUUAAAUUAACUUAUCUUCAAAACUAUAGCAGAUAGUAUUUACUAAAUAUUUUAGUGCUGCAGCUUUGAAAUUAUAUCUGUCCAAACUCAAUCUUAAAAAAAUCCUAAGUGAGGUCUUGGGGGGUGGGGUGUGCCAAGACUAACCAUCAAGUGAUCUUGAUCCAAGAAUUUUCUUACUAUUUGAGAGUUUUUAAACCUUCACUCAUCAUAAGCAAGAUAAUUCAGAGUAGAAUGAACUAGGUAUGGUACUUGAUUCUGCUAAUUACCCUUGAUUAAGCUCUGAAUUCUCGUAAAAAUAGGACAACUAAACUUGAUCGUAUGCUUACAAAAGAUAUUCUAACGCUCAAGUAAGUGUUUGGAGAUUUUGAAAGCUAAUUUAAAUCUGAAUUUUCUCUUGACUUGAUUUUGGAAAUUGGCCACAAGAUCAUUUCUCAAUCUUUCAACUCAUAUUUAUUGACUGAGAGAUGAAAGAUUGGGGAGAUAAUGCUUUUUAGAUUUGAAUCAUUGCCAUUCAUUCUUGUAAUUUGAUUUUGAUAGUUAAAUUCAUUAACUAUUUUUGUUUCUAUUCGAGUUUUCUGCUCAUGGUUCUGUUAGUAAUCACUUAGCGUUACUUAUCAACAUUUUUGGGUUGAGAAAUAUACAAUUUUUAAACAAGUACAGGAAAUGCAAAUUAAUUCUUAAAAUAAAAAAGAAAUGUAGAAGAUAAAAUUUACAGCUUAUUGGAACUCCAGUGAAGUAUUUGCUCAAAGGAAAGAAGGUAAUCAGAUCACACAAUUUCUAGCUCCGCAUCCUCAGCUCUAUUUGUAUGUUUGUAUUCCAAAAGCAAGUCUUAGUGAAAAUUGACUUGCAUAAUUAAUAUUAUUCGUUAUAAACUUCCAUAAUUCUAAAGCACUUGUUAAUAGAAAAUCGCUUUAGAUUGUACUUAAUCAUACUUCGGCACUCUCAUAAUGUAUUCCUUAAUCUCAUCUAACCAUAAAAGAAAAUAUUUAGGACUAUAAUUUCCAUCAAGCAUUCGAAACAUGAGGUCUUUUGAAUAUUCCAAUCACAAAUGCAAAGCCAAUGCAAAACUAUAAACAAGGCUGAACUAUCAGGUGUGGUAUGGCUACCAGUUGGUGGCCAUAAUUUGGUGUGAUGAUGGUUAAAUCUUGUAGAUAUUGUGGUAAGGAACAUGAUGGUCACUAUGGACUGGUCAGAUUCACAACAGUAAAAGUGGAUCGAAGAGGUGAAUCUCACAGGUUUUGAAGGUUUUGUGUGGUGGGUUAUGGUGGCUUUAAGAUGGCUAAUCAGACACAGUGGUGGCUUGGAUUGGGUGUAGUAGACAGAAGGAAGUUUGAUGAUGGUUGAUUGAUGGUGAGGCAUCAGUGUUAGUGGUGGCACUAGAUGAAACUAGGAAACUACAUUGCUUCAGGUAGAGUUUGCUUACAACAACAUGUCAAAUCGAUCUACUAGCAAUACUACUUUUGAGAUUGUCUAUACUUAUUCCAUAUGCUAUGUCUAUUAUCUGGUUGGGAUGCCAAUAGUAGUCGGAGGAAGUAAAUCAAUGGAUAAUGUGGCAGAAAAAGACUGCAGAUUCAUGCAGAGGUGUGAGCUGACUUGGAGGUUGCCAAUGCUAUGUACAGGGCUAAUGUGGACAAGCAUCAACGCAAAAAAGUAUUUUAGGAAGAUGAUUUGGUGAUGGCACAUCUAAGGCAUACCCAUUUUCCUGGCAUUCACACUAAGUUGGACAAGCAGAAGUGUAGUCCAUCUCAUGUGGCGAUGUAGAUUAAUGAUAAAACUUAUGUGCUGCCGCUGCAAGAAAAUUGGAAUAUCUCUCACACUUUUAACGUGGUUGAUUUGUUUGAAUAUCAUCCAAAUGGUGAAGAGUUGAAUUGGCAUAACUCGAGGGCGAGUUCUUUGCUUUGAUACCAACUAAUGAUGCAAAAAUGUAAAAAAAUUGAUUGAUAAUAUAAACUAGGUUUUUGAAUAGCGAAAGUUUUAUUAGAAAAGUCUUAAUAAACAAAACUAGGGUUUGAGGUCCCCUUAUCGUGAAUUUACUAAAAUAGGAAAAUUUGAAAUAUUAUUUUAUAAUAAAUACUCCUAAUCUAAUUAAGGAAAGCAAAAUAACCGCACCCAAAUUCAAUGUAAAAAAAAAAAGAUAAAAAUCAUGAAAGUAAUAGACAAAUAAGAAAAUAACUUAAAAAUAAAAAAAGGACCAAGAAGGAAGCAAAAUUCUCAGCUCAAUCACAGGCAAAAUAGUACAACCAGCUCUGGAUUUGAUUCAUCUCGUCGUAAGCUUUGAAACGAUAUAUUUUAUGGCAAAAAUAAACACCUAUAGCCCAUGUUAUAACCUUCGGAAGAUACCCUACUCAUUCAACACAAAAGUCCUACAACAAUAUGGCAAGUACAGAGGCUAUUAGGGAGGCUAUUUGAUUACAAGGUUUGUUUGAAAUCUUGGGACAAGUACGGGAGCAAUUAAGAUGUUUUAUGACAGUCCAAGUGCUAUUCACUUAGCAAAGAAUCAAGUUUAUCGUGCACGUACAAAAUAUAUCAACAUAUGAUUUCAGUUUGUGCAAAAAAUAAUCAAUGAGGGGGAUAUUCUUCUUUGAAAGGGCAAGACCGUAAAGAAUCCCACAAAUAUGUUGACCAAGGCGGUGGUGACAAUCAAGUUUAAGUAUUAUCUAAAUAUGAUCAACAUCUUGCAAGCUUAAAAUAGUAAGAAAGGCAGAGAUUGGUGGGUGAUUUACUGUACACAGUUUAAUUUCUUUCAAAUAAAGGUAGAGAUUUAUUGAAAUAUUGAUGUCAUGUGGGAAAUCAUUAAAGACAAAUUGGCGAAUAAUUGAUUGGUAAAAGCGUGAAGAUGAAAUAGUAAAACUAUUUGACAAUUCUUUUCGUAAAAUUAAAUGCUAUACGGCGAUUUUGGCGAAAAUGGAACGUGGCAACAAAUUGCACAUGCAAAAUUGUUAACAAAAUGUGCAUGGCUUUAAUGCAUGCAAUUAAAGUUGCUAUCUCCAUGUCAUGGGAAAUUGAAAGGAUGGCAAUUCAUGCUCCUUUUGUCAAGAUUUGCCCAGCAAAAUGGCGGCUUGUCCCAGUGGAUUUUGUUCCAUAAUUGUCAACGGGCAAAGCCAUUAGAUGCCUAUAAAUAGAGCCUCAUUCCACAGAGUUAAAGUCAUCCCAAAUUGUAAAAAUUUGAGAGCAUUUGCAAAUGAGCUCUUCAAUAAUGCAGAGAGAGCACUUUCUUAGAUGUUCCUUGAGUAUGCUGCAGUAAUUUUUUACUUUACUGAUUUUGUAGAUCCUUUUGUUUUUGCUGCUCUAUAAGGCCUCGGCUACUGACGGUCUUUCUCUAACCGUUUCUGUACCUACAGCGGAACCUUAUAAUAAACUUUCCAUGUUUGUAGAGUUGCCGUGCUUGUUCAGCUGAAUGAUACUUUUGUCCCCUGCUCUUCUCUGAAGUAAAUUUUAUAAAUCAAAUAUAUGGUAUAAAUCAGAAUAGUACUUCAUCCAUCUCUCAAAUCUUAUUAUACAAUUAUUAUUCAAUUCCAUUUGUCUUUAUAAAUUAAUUUAAUUUGUACAGUUUCAUUAAUUUACAGCAUUUUGUCAGACUUAAAAUUGAUUUGAUUUGCCAAAUUCGGGACCCAGCCCUCUUUCUCCCCCCAAAGUAUCCAGUAUUUAACUGAGAAUUGAGUAGUGUAGAUAUAUCCCUCUAAUUAUGAGGGUAGAAUUCUGGAUUGUACUUUAGUGAGAAUUAAUCAAGGUGAGUCCUAGUAGAAUUCUAAUUGUAAAAUAUGUAAGUAGAAUUUCCACAUAUUGAAAAAAAAAAAUUGAUUUAAUUUGUAAUGUUAAGUGAUAUUCCACAAACAUCAGCCACAAUAUCAGAAGUCACCCCCGCCCAUGUUAUUCAAGUGAAAUCCAUAAAAUUUCAAUAAGAAUAAAUCUCAACAACCAAAGCCUUUGUAAGCUUGAUGUGCAAUAUUACUUAGAAGAGGCAAGCUAAGCUAUUCAACUAGAACACCAGAAGCUGUAAGGAAGGGGGAAAAAAUCCAAUCAGAUUGCAAAAAGCUAGGCUUAUUAAUUUAGAGGAUUGCUACACAUCCCAAAUCCUUUAUCCCAAAAAAUUUAUUCCAAAUGUUGUGUCAUUCAUCAAUUAGUUAGUAAAUAUUUUACUUAGAUCUUGUAAAGAAUUACCAACCACUCAAUUAAUAACACCUCAUUUGGGAUAAAAUUUAGGAUAAAAAUUUUGAGAGGUCUAUCAUUACUCCUAAAUUUAUUGUUUAUCCAAAUGUACACAAAAUAUAAGAUAUUUUGCAGGAAAAAAAAGAAAAGGAAAUAGACGGUUUAGUAUUACAAUCUAAUUUGAGUUAAAAACCCCUCUGUGAGCCAUUUUCUUGCCCCAGAUUGAAAUAAAAAUAAAGUUAUCCAGAUGGCCUUCAGCUGGACAUAAAAUGAGGUUAAUGAGUGCCAUAUACACGUGUGCGCGCACGCAAUAGUGGAUGCAAAAAUAAGAAAGCUGUACGAAGAAACAAUGCUGCAAUGAUAAGAGAAAUUAAGAAUACAAAACAGAAUAUUUAUUUCAGUCCUUUAGUUUUCCCUAAAUCGCAAACUCACAUAGCUUCAAUUUCAAAGAUCAUGAAUGCAAUUUUGAUUCAUGGAAGCCACAUUCUGAACAACUAUUGGAAUAUUGUUUGUUUCUGAUCCAAGCAGAGCAUUCUCUGGUAAUUCAGCAUAAGAAAAUUUUCAAGAGUAGAUAUAGUAAAUAAUAAAAAGAAUGUAAAUGAAUUAUAAAUAGCAAAGUACAAAAAUUGAAAUUGAGAUAUAUGCGCAAGAGGGUAAUCACCAGGCUUCACCCAAUCGCUCUUCAUUCGAGCUCUCUAAACCUUUUAGGUUGUGGUUCCUCAUCAUCACAGCAGCCACUUCCACUGGCUUCUGCCCCAAAGUAUUCAGUAAGGCUUCGCUUUGACGUUGUGGCUACAAUCAUCUUCGAUCCAACAAAAUGUUAUCGAAUUCAUUCAGAUUAUAAACAGUAAAACGACUUGGUUGGUUUGUCGUUUGGUCUAACUCCUCCACUUCGUCCAUAUAAACUGGAUGUAAACCACACAUCUUCACCUCCAAUCCUUGGCCCAACCAGGGUUCAAGUGAUACAUUAACAUGAUUAGAUUCAAAGGCUCAAGAUUAGACUCUAAAGGCAAUCUAAUAUCGUAGCAUGUUUGACGAGACAAAUAGAGUAGCCAAAGAUGGUCUGACCCAGCCUGACCGAAUUUAUCUCUAAAAUCAAUUCGAUAACUGCCAUGUCCAAUGCGGCAAUUCAACUGAUGUGUGGGAUAUGAACCAAAACGAUUGUUACCACGUGAAUUUUUUAGGACAUGAAAAACACAGCAGAUAGCAUAUCCCACCAACUUUUUCUUAUUAUACAGAUUUGAAGGCCUUGUGACUGUUAUUGAAGAUCCCUCAUUCUGAUACAUGAACCACUCCGGUAUUUCACUUCCUGGAACAACAACGCUUAAAUGUUGUCUUGUAUUUGACACUGCCUGCAUCCAAAAUAAUAAUAAUAAUAAUGAAGUCCAAACCAUUGCUUAAUGUUUUGGCAUAUAUAAUUUUGGCAUACGGAGUAAAAAACUGACCUCUAGGUACUCUCGUAGCAUUGAAAACGCCAAACUUUUGUUGCCGAGCAAUUUUAAGCUGUCUAAACAAUUAAUCAUUGUGCUGUCGGGCUUGCAUAAUUUUAAAGCAUCUAAUAAUGUCACUAACGAAGCACAACCAUUUACUCUAACUUCCCUGAUAUUGGGUGGAAGUUGUGGCAGAGAUUGAAGCCUCUUGCAAUCCUCCAAUUCAAUAUUCCAAAGCUUAGAAAGACGGGUAAUGCUUGUUGGAAGUGAAACAAAGCUGUUUUUACUCAAAUAUAACUCUUCUAAUGAGCAUAGGUUGCCAAUAUCACUUGGAAGGGCUCCUUCCAUUAGAUUACAAUCAGUGAGAUUCAAUUUCCUCAAAGAACACAAACCUGAGAGAGAAGGCAACUUCAGAGCCACAGACUUUCGCAUUAAGUUGAUUGGGAUGUACGAAUACCAUGACGUCGAAUGUGGUACAGCUGUUCCACUGAUAUCAAGCUCCUCCAAACAUUCAAUUUGUCCAAGUGUCUCUGGCACAUUUUCAAGUUUGAAGCAGCCAGAGAGAUUCAGAGUUUUAAGAGAUUUCAAGGCAAUUAUACUGCUUGGAAGUCUCACAAGAUUUUUACAGUCACUCAAGUUCAGCAAUUCAAGUUUUGUCAAAAGUUCUAUGGAUGAUGGCACUUCUUUGAUAGAAGUUCCAUCUAAAAAGAUCUCUGACAGAUCUUUCAUACUUCUUACAAUCUCAGGAAACUUCUUAAGUUUCGAGCAACCAGAGAGCUUUAAAGUCCUAAGACAUUUUAAACUACUUACAGUAACUGGAAGAAUCUCGAGACUCCUGCAAUUUUUCAAAUUCAACAAAACAAGGCCGGACAGAAGUUCAAUUGAUAGUGGCAAUCCUCUAAUGGCUGUUCCCUCCAAAUGAAGCUCCGACAGAUGCUCCAUAUGUUCUACAAUCCCUGGAAACUCUCUAAAUUUCAAAUCACCAGAGACAUCCAAAGUUGAAAGACAUUUUAGACCACUUAUGGUCGUUGGAAGACUUUUGAGAUUCUUGCAAUUGUUUAGAGCCAGCAAGACAAGUUUGGAUAGAAGUUUAAUAGAUAAUGGCAGUUCUUCAAUAGCUGUUCCAUCCAACAAAAGCUUCGACAAACACUCCAUACUUCCCACGAUGUCCGGAAAUUUCUUUAAUUUCGAGCAACCAGAAAGAACAAGUUUUUCAAGAGAUUUCAUCAAAAUCUUGCCAGGAAGAGUUAUAAGACUUGUACAAUCUUUCAUGUUCAAUAUGAUAAGCUUAUUGUGAAGCAGCAGAGAUGGGUGAAUUUCAUACAACCUUGUACAUCCUUCAAGAAUCAGCUUCUCUAAAUUUGGGGCCCCUGUGAAGUCUGGCAUCCUUAUCAAGUUCUCGGAAUGGCUGAGUAUCAUGACUUUCAACUUGUCUAAACGCUGUAGAAAAUAAAAAGGAGCGAGAAAGAUAUUUCUUAAUUCAAUUAGAGAGGAAUGGCAAAACUAAUAAAUUUAUAUACUAUUAUUCACUGAGAAAAUAUAUAUUAGUGACAAAAUUGAUCUUACUUUGAUUCCCUUCCACAAUUCUCCUAUGCGGCUAUAAGACAUGUUAAUUUCAAUAGUUUUAUCCAUUUGCAAAUUUGAUGGCAAAAAUUUCAAAGGAUAUCCAUGCCAAUCAAGUAACCUUAACCAAUUAGACAGGUAUUCAAGGCCAUUAGGAAGUUGCGGAUUACAAAUUUUGAGCAAUCUUAGGUUGGUCAUCUUCGAAAAUGCUUUAGCACUCGCACACAAAUACACCUCAUUUUGAAGAUGGUAGUUAUCAAGUACUAUUCCUUCCACUAGUUCAGUUCCCUGAAAAAAUCAUAAGCAAAGGAUAGACAAUAAAAUAAUAAUGUAAAGAUGUUGAAAAGUUGUCUGAGAUUUAAGUAGGUGAAAGAAAUUAACAAGCACGAGCUGAGGAAUACAUGUUUUCCAAACAAAUUAGUCACUUACUGUGCUUUCUGUCAACACAUGGCAUACUUCUUCUUCCUUCCAUAAUCUGCUGCGUUUCCCAGGUUCUUCAGGUGAUUGUCUCUGGACAAUUUGUUGCCCUAAUUCUUGUAACAAAUCAUGCAUCCACAGUGUGUUAUUAUGCACAGUUAUUAGACAUUUUUCAAUGAGAACUCUUAUUCCAAUAACUGGAUGAAAACCACAUCCCUCUAGAAAAUUCGUGACAUAAUCCCUAUCAUUUCCUUUAAAGAAACAUGCAACAUCGAGAAAUAUUUUUUUCUCUAGCUCCUGUAGCCCAUCAAAACUUAUUUGAAGUAUAUCCAGAAUCUCACUAGGAGGUUCUAUUUCUAGCCGUUCCAGGGUACUUCUCCACUCAUCCACAGAUCUACCAGACAAAAAGGAACCCAAAACUUCUACAGCCAAUGGAAGACCACCAGCAUACCGGAUAACACGUGCAGAUAGCUGCACACAUUCUUGCAAAGGUUGAUAAGUUUUAAAAGCUUUCAUAAUGAAGAGUUGAAGAGCUUCAUCAUAAUUUAGCCCAUGAGGCCUAUACACUUCAUCAACCCCAUGUGUUUUCAACAACUGUUCGUCUCUUGAUGUUAUGAUGAUCCGGCUGCCUGAACCAAACCACUCACGAUUUCCAGCUAAACUUUGUAAUUGUUUUACAUCAACCACAUCAUCAAUAACAAGAGCCUUUUUUCUUUGCAGUCUACUUCCUAACAUGUCGAUACCAUCAAAGACAUUCCAUAUACUAUUAUCUGCAAGCUUUAAUAACUGGGAAAGGAGUUGCCUUUGUAAAGAGACUAGGCCCCCUUUACCGGAAAUUUCUCUAACAUUGGCAAGGAAACCACUUGCUUCAAAUUCAUGAGAGAUCAAGUCAUAAACAACUCUUGCUGUCUUACCUAGACCUCCCAUCCCACAGAUCCCUAUCAUACGCACAUCACUAGACCCUGAGUCCAUAAGAAACCUUAGUUUCUCACAACGUGAAUCCAUUCCUACUAGCUCCUUAAGAGUCUCUGGUUUUGUACGAAUUUUACUUGAUACCACAUUGACAAUUUCCUCAAUAAGUUUUGACUCAUUGCUACAGAUUGAAAUCAACGAGAAAAGAUUAGUGUUAAAUUAAAGUAAGUGUGGACGUGGAGUCAAAUUAAUUCCAUUAAAUGUACAUAAAAAUUAUGCAAAAUUCAUUGGACCAAAUUGAAAUAAUAUAUUUUACAUAUGGAAAAUCUUUAGUUGUGUUCUUCAUGUAAAUAUCUACAUUGAUCUGUACCUCUCAGUUUGCAAAAAUAAACUUGUGGAGCUACUAUUUCAAAUACUACACAUCAUAUGAAAUAUGUAUUAACUAGAAGCAUUUUAAUUGAAAACACUCUAAAAGCUGUUUAAGAAUGGUUACCUUUGUUUUAAUUCCCAACCGGAGAUAUUAGCCACCUCUUUCAAAAUGUCUCUCCACUUUUGCACCUUUUCUUUAUUGUCCCUAAAAACUUCUUCAUGUUUAGCAAAUGCCUCAUGAAAAUUUCUUGUCUGUUUUCUUACCACAGUCGGUUCCAUAUCAUAGAAAAUAGGAAAAAUUUGAUCUUCUGCGUUCUUGCAUUCAACAAUCUUAACAAGUUCAUCCAAGCACCAAGUGGAAGAAGCAUAGUUUUGCGAGAAAACAAUAAUUGAUAUUCUUGAUUCUUCAAUUGCUUUAAGGAGUUCUAGUGGAAUGGAUCUUCCUCUCUCAAGUUCUUUGUCAUCCUUGAAUACAUAAAGUUCUUUAUUUUUCGACGCAGCAUAGAGAUGACCUGUGAAGCGUUUACGGGUGUCUGCUCCUCUAAAUCUUAAGAAGGCAUCAUAUUUCCAAUGAGAGAUAUUUUGGAUGCUGGUGGAAGCCAUUAUAUCUUUUUCCUGAAAAUUUACAAUAAACUAAGUGGCUUCCUGGGAACAAAAUACCCAUCAUUACUAUGCAAACAAAAAUGCAAUAUAUAUCUCAAUUGUCAAAGUUGUAUAGCUCUAGGUUGCACUGCACUGAAUUGCAUUAAGCUCUGAAGCAAUACCAUGUGUUAGGUAAAUAAGAGCACCAACUCGGCCAUGCCAUCAAUGGUACGAGCAGAACACUGAUAAUGAGCCCUCUACAAACAUGGGCCGACUAGAGACGAGUACCAGCCAGAGGAAUAUACCGACCAGAGACAUAUACCGAGCCGAUACCCAUUCCCCAAAGAGCGGGAACACGAUCCCACAGAAUCACAACAGUUGUGCUUUUCCCAAAACCGUUGAGGGAAGCGCGAGAUCCCACGUUUGCCCAUAAUGCAGUAGUUAGAGUCCCAUGAGGGGCUGCCACUACCCGAACAAGGGGGGAUGAAGGGUAAACGGAAACGUGGGACAGCGGCUAUAAAAGAGGAAGAAAUCGAUGAAGAAAGGGAUAGAAAAAUUGAGAGAAGGGAAAACUCUGUCAAAUUGAAACCAGACCAUUUUCAAUACAAAUUGUGAGCCCAUUAUAAGCAAUUUAUCGAAUCUUAAUUGUACCGUUUUCCCGUAAACACCUUGUGCUAACUUAGGCAUCGGAGGGUUUAUGCCGGCAAAACCACUGGCGUCUCUGAUCCACUUUUGUGAACGCAGGCUUAGUGGGAGAAAGAAGGAUAAUUCCAACUUCGGUGACUAGAGCAAUCGUCGAAGCAAGAAGAAAUUGACAUCCUCACUGUUGAUAAUAUAAACGUUGGUGUAAAGAUCUGGUCGGGCAAAGGACGAGCAGAUUUCAGCAUCAACAUUUUGGCGCCGUCUGUGGGGAGCUGGAUAAAAAGCUACCACCAAGUUAAUAGUAACUGGAGAAGCAACGAACGAUUAGAUAUGGAUGUGUCAAGGAAGGAUGCUUUGAGGGAUGACAAUGAAACUGUUGAGACAAUCACUCUCCGGGAAAUUGCGAAUGAAGCUCAAGAGAGGAUGAUGCAAGAUCGACUGGAGCGGAUGGAGAAAUAAAUGGAGACUCUCACGGCCAUACUGUAUGAGCUGAGGGAUGAGCGGAGAAGGGAUUGUGAAACCCCCGCGAGGAGAGAUGAAGUUGGAGCAGAACCCAGCCUCCGGAGGCCUAAAGUCGAGGAAAUUCCUCCGCCGGUGGACCAACCUAAUGGGGUACAUCCCCACAGAAGUACUGGUCAGGUUCCAACAGAACACGUGGAUGAAAGGAGGGACCAACCUCGUCCCGGACGGGUAUUGGAAAUUGAUGGCCGAGCAGCCAAUGUUGAUGAAGGAGAGCUCAGGCAAUGGUUGCAGAAUGCCGAGCAAGAACGAGAUCAGAUAGCUGCACGUGAUCCUGACCGUGCUGUAGAAUUGGAGGGAGAGGUGCGCAGAUUGGCACAGGUGAUGGAGGAGAUACAGGGCAAGAGAAAGCCCCCGAGCUGGAGGAUAAUGCUAGAUGAAGAAUCUCCGUUAUCAACCGAGAUCAUGGGUACUGUAAUCCCAAGAGACUUCCGCUUCCCCGACCUCAAAUACUCCGGGCGAAGUGACCCGUUGGUGCACAUUGAACGUUUCAACGACAUGACGGGUGUGCAGGGGCUGACACCAGCUCAGAGGUGCAGGGUGUUCCCAUUGACGCUAAAGGGACAAGCCCGAGAAUGGUACUGCAAGCUGCCCCGAGAAAGUAUAAAAGGGUACGAGCAGAUGUACCAAGAGUUGGCCGAACAGUUCCGAGGAGCAGUAGCCUUAAAGGACGACAUGAUAGAACUGAUGGGGAUGAAGCAGGAGGAGCAUGAAUCCCUUCAGGAUUUUGUAAAACGAUAUCAUCGGGCCGUGCUGGAUCUGGGAGCUUUUAAUCACCCGCAGGCGUUGAGGGGAUUAAAAGAAUGUGUAAGAAUCAGCCGAUUGUGGAAUAACUUAAGAAGCCCCAUAGUGCAGAAUUACUCGGCGGGGUAAGAACAGGCGAGGCGAGAUAUAGAAAUCGAAGAGGAGAAAUCGGCAAGAAUAAAAAGUGAACAGCUGGAAGAGCUGAGACGAAAGGAACGGAGAGCCCCGAACGAGAACGAAUCGGGAAAGCGAGCUGGGGAAUCCUCAGUAAUGGGCGGAAUAUCAGCUCUGUCCCACCCUUACCCCAUAGCUCAGAGACCACAACAGUUCCAACACGGCCGGGCUCAACCUUCACGCCCCCCAUUCCCGGAGCGGCAACGAGAAUUCAGACAGAUGGCUGCCUACCCUUAUCACAACACUCCCAGAGCGUUACAUGCAACUAAUUCCAGGGCUGGACGACCAGAUCAGCUACCGACGAUACAAGCCCGAGGUGAUAUCCAUGAUAGCCGAGCAGUUCAACUGGUUGACCAGAGCUUGGCGUAUAGACAGUACACCCUAUUAAAAAUCUCCAUGGAGGAAUUGUAUGAGAGGAUCGAAGGACGAGGUCUGCUAUACCCUCCGGCCCCUAUAACAAAAUCUACUCACCGACGUGAUAAGAGCAGGUUCUGCAAAUUCCACAACACUCAUGGUCACACUAUCAGUCAAUGUCAUGACCUAAAGAUUCAGGUGGAGGAUUUAGUGAGGAACCGGUACUUGGAUGAGUAUGUAGAUGGAGUGUCCCCCGUCAUUGAAUCACAGUACAUGCGGGAUGAAGGAGUUGAGAGGGGUCUGGAACGGGAACAGCCGACCAUCCGUGUGAUAGUAGGAGGGCCAACAUUGGCCAGGGAUUCGAACAGGGCACGGAAGAACUAUGGGAGAUACGCCAUGACUGGCAAAGAGGUGCUUCUCAAUUUGCCAAUAGCCAAGAGAGCAAAGGGGCGGCAAGUUCCCAUUAUGUGGACGGAGGACGACGAAGAGGGUAUUUUAUAUCCUCAUGAGGAUGCACUGGUGAUUAAAGCAUUGGUGGCUAGUACAGAAUUGCAGCGAAUACUGGUGGACACGGGCAGCUCAGUUGACAUUCUGUUUAAGUCGGCCCUAGAUGAUAUGGGGAUUUUAUACUUGAAGCUGAAGCGGACGAAUACAUCCUUGAAGGGAUUUGGAGGGGGACGGUUAACUCCUAUGGGGAUCAUCGAACUCCUAAUUACUAUGGGGUCAAAGCCGUUUGAAAGAACGAUGAUGCUGGACUUUGUCGUGGUGGAAGAAAGAAGCCCUUACCAGAUGAUACUGGGGAGACCGUUCAUGAGGAUAAGCCAAUGUGUAAUGUCCACGCAUUAUCUGGCGUUGAAGUACAGAAUAAAUGGAGUUGUUGGCGUAGUAAAAGACGACCAGAGAAUGGCAAUGAGCUGCUAUGCUACAGCGGCCAAGGAAACGCUGCAGGUUACCUCUCUAGAUAACCGAGGGGAUUCAAAAAAGGGUCGCCAGGAACCUGUUGAGAAGCUGGAGGGAGUUGUUGUAAGCAAGAAUAACCCGAGCAGAGUGGUUAAGGUCGGGUCAGAAUUGGGCGAAGCAAUAAAAGGCGAGCUGGUGAAGUACCUACAGUCCCAUGCAGAUAUAUUUGCCUGGUCUCAUGAGGACAUGUCAGGUAUUGAUCGAGGGAUAGCUUGCCACAAGCUGACAAUCAAGAAAGGGGCAAGGCCGGUGAGGCAGAAAAGGAGGUGCUUUAACCAAGAAAGGUACGAGGCCAUAAUUGCCGAGGUAGAGAAGCUGUUGAAAGCGGGAUUUAUAAGGGAGGCUAAAUACCCAGAGUGGAUUUCCAACGUAGUGUUGGUGAAGAGGCCAACGGAAAAUGGCGAAUGUGUGUGGACUUCACAAACCUUAAUAAGGCAUGCCCGAAGGACAGUUUUUCCUUACCAAAAAUAGACCAAUUGGUGGAUUCAACGGCGGGGCAUAGUCUGCUCAGCUUUAUGGAUGUCUUCUCAGGAUACAACCAAAUACCCAUAAACGAGUAGGACGAGGAGAGUACCACCUUUAUAACUAACAUGGGUUUGUUUUGUUACAGGGUGAUGCCUUUUGGCCUGAAAAAUGCAGGAGCUACCUAUCAAAGGUUAGUGAACAAGGUCUUCAAACCAUUGAUCGGUCACACUAUGGAGGUAUAUGUAGAUGAUAUGAUCACAAAGUCAAGAGAACCGAAGGAUCAUGUGAAGCACUUGGAAGAGACCUUUGAAUUGCUGAGAAGGUAUGAAAUGAAGCUGAACCCGGAGAAAUGUGCAUUUGGGGUCAGCUCGGGCAAAUUUUUGGGAUACCUGGUGAGCCAUCGAGGGAUCAAGGCCAACUCAGAAAAAAUACGGACGGUGAUAGAAAUGAGGUCCCAAUGAACAGCUAAGGAGGUGUAGAGCCUUACAGGGAAAUUGGCAGCAUUGAACCGAUUCAUUUCGCGAGCCACUAAUAAGUGCCACCCUUUCUUCCAAACCAUAAAGAAAGAGAGGAAGAUGGAAUGGACAUCAGAAUGCAAAGAGGCAUUUGGACAGCUGAAGGAAUACCUAGCCCGCGCCCCGUUACUAUCAACUCCGAGAGAGGGUGACCAGCUGCUUUUGUACUUGGCAAUCUCUAAAUGGGCUACCAGCUCGGUCUUAGUCAGGGACGAAGAAGGGAAGUAACACCCGGUAUACUACACAAGCAAGGCCCUGGUAGACGCAGAAACCAGAUAUCCACUGAUGGAGAAGUGGACGCUGGCUCUAAUAACGGCAGCACGCAAAUUCCGACCAUAUUUUCAGGCCCACCAGAUUGUUGUGAUGACUGACCAGCCCCUUCGGCAAAUGCUUCAAAAACCAGAUGCAUCUGGUCGGUUAGUAAAAUGGUCCGUGGAGCUGAGCAAAUUUGACCUAUCCUAUAGGCCCCGAAGAGCAAUCAAAGCCCAAGCCCUGGUCGAUUUUAUAGUUGACCGUGCUGAACCAGGGGAAGAAAUUCAGGAGGAACAACCAAUAGAGCAGGAGAAACCAGAGGGGGUGUGGCUGGUGAUGGUUGAUGGGCACAUAAUGAACAGGGAUCCGGAGCAAGAGUUGUAAUACGGAGCCCAAAAGGGAUCGAGGUAUCCUAUGCAGUAAAAUUCGAGUUCCAGCUUACGAAUAACCAAGCUGAAUAUGAGGCCUUCAUUACUGGGCUCGGGCUUGCACAUGCACUACGAGCUGAAAAAGUAGAAAUCCGAGCAGAUUCCCAGCUAGUCUGCAAUCAGCUCUGCAACUAAUUCCAAGUAAGGGAAGAGAAGUUGGGGCGUUAUUUGAAGAAGGUGAAGCAAAUGGUUGAACUCUUCAAAGAGAUAGAGGUAAAGCAGAUAUCCCAGAUGAGAAUUACCAAGCAGAUAUGUUGGCUAGAAUGGCUGCAAUUGUAGAUCCAAAAUUACCUAAGUCAGUUCCACUAGAGGUGAGGACCUCGCCUAGUAUAGGGGAGGAAGUAGAGGUAAUGAGAGUAAGCACUGAAGAAUCCUGGAUGGACCCGAUUCUCGCAUACAUCCGCGAUGGCAUUUUACCGGAGGACAAAAGGCAAGCAAGAAAAUUAAAAUGCCGAGCAGCGAGGUACACGCUACUCGAUGGGAUGCUCUACCGCCGAGAAUUCACCUUGCCCCUUUUGAGAUGUUUGGAUGAUGAGGAGGCAGAUUAUGUAUUAAGGGAGAUUCAUGAAGGAAUAUGUGGAAAUCACUCGGGAGCAAGAACUUUAGCCUUCAAGGCACUCCGGCAAGGAUACUUUUGGCCAACCAUGCACCAGGAUGCGAAAAGGAUGGCAAAGAAUUGUAAAAUCUACCAAAGUUUCUCAGAUAUUCCUGCACAACCCCUAGAAAAGUUUACCACUAUGACAUCCCCAUGACCUUUUGCUCAAUGGAGAAUCGACCUGAUUGGUCCGUUACCGAAGGGCCGAGGAGCAGCAACACAUGCAAUUAUAGCAAUAGACUACUUCACCAAGUGGGUAGAAGUGGGAGUCUUCAGCCAAAUCACGGAGAGAAAGACGACGGAUUUUCUUUGGAAUAAUAUCAUCUGGAGAUACGGAAUCCCUUAUACCAUCAUUACAGACAAUGAGAGGUAAUUUGACAACAACUUCAGAGAAUUUUGCCGGAACCUGGGGGUAGACCUGAAGUUCUGCACCUUGCACACCCCCAGGCAAAUGGACAAGUGGAAGCAGCCAACAAAGUAAUAAAGAAACUCCUGAAAACUAGACUGGGAGAGAAGAAGGGAGCUUGGGUCGACGAGCUGCCAGGAGUAUUGUGGGCUUACCGGACAACUCACAAAACCGCCACAGGGGAAACCCCGUUUGCUUUAGCUUUUGGUCAUGAGGCGAUUGUCCCAGCAGAAAUUGGAGUGGAAACACAUCGGACGGAAUAUUUCAAUAAGGAGCAAAACGAUGAGUAGAUCUGCUUGAGCCUGAACCUGCUGGAGGAGAAAAGGGAAGGGGCCUCGCAGAAAGUGGCCCAAUGUCAGCAAAGGGUGAUGCGUUAUUACAACAAGAACGUAUGCGUGAGGCAGUUCCGAGCAGGGGAUUGGGUGCUUAAGAAGGUGAAUCAAAACACUAGGGAUCCUAACCAUGGCGCGCUCGGCCCGAAAUGGAAAGGCCCAUACAGGGUGAUUCGGGCGACUGGACCAUGAGCUUACAAGCUAGCGUACCCAGACGGACGAGACGUGAAGAGGUCGUGGAACGCCGAGCACUUGAAGAAGUAUUUUCAGUAAGCAGAGUGCUCUACUAAGUCUUCAUUUUGACAAGUUAUUUCUAUUAAAUGCAUGAUGAAUUGUUACACAUGCAUAUAUUCUGCAUUUCUGUAAAGCAUUCAAAUUUCAAUAAAGAUGAAUUCAGCAUGAAAUCCCUCUGCUAGCAAGCCCAUUAAAUUUUACUAAGGCAAGUAAGUGUUUGUUCCUGCUCGGUCAACGAAAGACCAGCAGGCAAUUUCACGAAAUUUUACUAAGGCAAGUAAGUGUCUGUUCCUGCUCGGUCAACGAAAGACCAGCAGGCAAUUUCAUGAAAUUUUACUAAGGCAAGUAAGUGUUUGUUCCUGCUCGGUCAACGAAAGAUCAGCAGGCAAUUUCACGAAAUUUUACUAAGGCAAGUAAGUGCAUGUUCCUGCUCGGUCAACGAAAGACCAGCAUGCAAUUUCACGAAAUUUUACUAAGGCAAGUAAGUGCAUGUUCCUGCUCGGUCAACAAAAGACCAGCAGGCAAUUUCACGAAAUUCUACAAAGGCAAGCAAGUGUCUGUUCCUGCUCGGUCAACGAAAGACCAGCAGGCAAUUUCAUGAAAUUUUACUAAGGCAAGUAAGUGUCUGCUCCUGCUCGGUCAACGAAAGACCAGCAAGCAAUUUCACGAAAUUUUACUAAGGCAAGUAAGUGCCUGCUCCUGCUCGGUCAACGAAAGACCAGCAGGCAAUUUCACGAAAUUUUACUAAGGCAGGUAAGUGCCCAAUCUUGCUCGGUCAAUGAAAAACCAGCAGGCAAUUUUAUGGAAUUUUCACUAAGGCAAAUAAGUUCCUAUUCCUGCUCGGUCAACGAAAGACCAGCAAGCAAUUUUAUAAAAUUUUACUAAGGCAAGCAAGUGCCUAUUCCUACUCGGUCGCCAAAAGGACCAGCAGACAAAUCUACAAAUUUGGUUAUAGCAAACAACUAUCUAUUCCUACUCAGUCGAUUAUAGGGCUAGCAGGCAAAGCCAACUAAAAGUGUUAAGGCAAUUUGCAAAAACGAUUUAUAAGUAAAACCACAAUAGAAGAGCCAAUAGAAAGCAUUUAAAAUUUAUGCUAAAAAAUGUUUACAAAACAGAUGAAAAUUUAGAGUUUAUACAAAAAUAGAACUAAAAAUUUGGAGGGUCGACAGCUUCAGCAGUUGAAGAAUCAGCAAUCUCGGGAGGUGAAGGAUCAGCAAUCUUGGGAGGUGAAGGAUCAGCAAUCUCGGGAGGUGGAAGAUCAGCAACACCGGGAGGAGGAGGCAUGGACCCUUGACCCAUUUCAAGAGCACGACCCCCAGCUUCCCCUUCCUACACCCCAUCUACAGGAGCCUCCACCUGAUCCUGCUCACCCUGCUCCUUACCUCCAUGAUCGGCCUCAGCCAUAUAUCUCUGCACUCCAGCCUCCAGCUUGCUCAUGUCCAGCUCGGGAUAUUCUUCCUUAAGCACAGACAUGAUGCACUUAUAGCAGAAAGCAACCCCAGAGUCAUACUAUGCAUCCAGCCAAUCAUCCACAUCAACAGAUUUGCCUUUCGCCUCAGCCAACUGCUCAUUCAAGGAUUUGAUUUCUCACUCAAGGGCGGUCCUCAAAGUAUCUCUUUCACUUUGAGUAGCCUGAAGAUCAGACUUCAGGUCACCCAACUCACCCUCAAGUUUGGAAGAGGUGGACUCAGUAACCGCAACUUUCUCCUCCAGCUCCGUAAUCUACUUGUUUAGCUCAGCCAGCUUCUCCUUCGAGCGAUCAGCAGAUUCAGUUUUUUUCUUCAAAUCCUGAUUGUCAGCUUGAAGCCUCCUCUCAUGGCGCGUGGACCUGUUCUUGUAACAAGAAACUAUAGUGGCCAGCUUGAAGGAGACCCUCUGGACAGAACCAGCCAACUCACUGAGGCUCAUACUCUCGAUUUCCUUCACCAUCUUGGGCCCCACCGAUUUGCCGUAAUCCCUCUAGUACGGGCUCAGGUAGUCACCUUGAUCCCGAGAUGGAAGAGGAGCAGACCGGUCCCCGGAUUGGAUGCUGACCUCGGGACCCUUGUCGGAAGUUUUCUCCCCACCACUCUUACGAGGUGGAGGAGGAGGCAGAGCAGGAGCAGGAGCUUUGGAAGGACUGACGCUGGUUUUCUUUGGAGGAGGAGGAGGGUUACUGGAGCUGCUUGGAGCCCGAGCACAUUUUCUGCUCAUCGCGCUGAGGAUCUUGUUAUCCAUUCCGGCUGCAAUGUCCACUAAGCCCGAACCGACCAAGUUUGUUGGUGACAGGAGGUCUUGGCAAAUAGACGCGUUCACUAGAGCAGUUUCCACCUGAAGCAAAGGUUGGUCUUCAAGAUCCUUAACCAAACCCCACGAUUCUGAAAAAACAAAUAAGGUUAAAGAACCCAAUAAGUGGCAAUUUGAGAAAGAAUAUAGGCAAAAAAUGAAUGACCUGGGGUGACAAAAUGCGUUGGAAGGUAAAUAUCACCACCCAACGAGCGGGCUGCUGGACACCAAUUUCCUCCAGCAAAGAAGAAUUUGUUCUUUCAAUUUUUGCACGAGGAGGGGAAGCCAGUAAUUGGCUUCCUCUUCGCAAAGCUCGACAUGAAAUAAUACCAGCCUGCUUCCUUUGGGCUACUCCUCAGCUGGUAUAAAUGCUUCACUUCAACAAGGAAGGGCUCAUCUGAUCCACACCUCUCCCAUAAUACGAACAUAGCCGAGAGAACCCUCCACCCAUUCGGAUGUAACUGACCUGGGGCCAGGUGCAUACCCCCCAGUAUCUUGGCAAAAUAACGCUGAAGGGGCAGCCGAGCUCCUAGUCUAAAACUCUUCAGGUGCAUCGUCACAUACCCCCGCGGAGGCCGACUAGGAACAUCACCUUUCCCAGGAACUACAAGGGGAACCUCCUCAGGAAUGUUGUAAAGGUUCCUAAGCUUGAAUAGAUCAGUUUGGGUGGUGGCACAGGCUAUGUAGUCGAUAAGGUAAGAAUCCGCCUCCACCCUAUGGCCAAGGUUUCUCUUCUUAGGAGCUCGGCUCGGCUCGGAACUGCUUCUCUCACCAUCACCCACUUCUUCAGGGACCCCAACCCCAUCAGAACUGUGGUUCUCACCAGAGCCCGACGUAGGUCCCCCUCUAUUUCCUACAAGCUCUAAUUCAGGGGAAGGUGAAAUGGUCAGGGGACGUGGGUACUCAAGGGUAUCCCUGCCAUGGGAGGGGCCUACACUACUCGAGGGACGUAAAAAAUCAGUGUGUAUUGACAAGUUAAGGUGUAAAUCCUCUGUUUCUUUGUCACUCUCAUCUGCAAUCAACUUCCUUCUCCGAUUUGACAUAUCGAAGUCCCAAAAGGAAACCAAAACAAACCCGAGUAUACGAAUACAAAAAGGGGCAACAUAGAACCCAAUCAACAACAACCAAAGAAGAGGUUAAAGGCUAUACUUGGAAUAGACUGGCACUGAUAAUGUUGCUGUGAUGGAGGAAAGACCCAGUAAACGGAAAUCCCAGACGCGGAAAGUAUGAACGAAGUUCGUAGGAGUUGUCUCACGACAGAGAAGCGAAUAGUAAAACGAUGAUGAUUUCAAUCUAGGGAUUUGAAACGAAAAGGGGGAAAUGGAAGCGUUUAAGUGAUGGGCAUGCCAGCUCACUCACCUUAUAUCGAGGAUGGAUAGCCCGUCGUUUCAAAUUUCAAAUACGAAGAGUCGGGAAGCGCCACGUCACUAACUAUUAUAAAAGGCCUGACGAGACAUAGGCCCAAAUAUUUACGAGAUAUAUUCAUAAAGGCCCAUACUCGGAUAAAAAUCUCCUCAGACGAGAGAGGGAACCUCAGGUCCAUCCCAGUAAACAGAAGACCAAAUGGGAAGUUUCCCGGGCCGGUAAGAUUCGAUUAUCAGUUUCUACUCUCAACUCCUUUCACUCGCAAGACCAGAAACUGGGGGACUGGUGUUAGGUAAAUAAGAGCACCAGCUCGGCCAUGCCAUCAAUGAUACGAGCAGAACACUGAUAAUGAGCCCUCUACAAACAUGGGCCGACCAGAGACGAGUACCAGCCAGAGGAAUAUACCGACCAGAGACAUAUACCGAGCCGAUACCCAUUCCCCAAAGAGCGGGAACACGAUCCCACAGAAUCACGACAGUUGCGCUUUUCCCAAAACUGUUGAGGGAAACGCGAGAUCCCACGUUUGCCCAUAAUGUAGCAGUUAGAGUCCCAUGAAGGGCUGCCACUACCCAAAAAAGGGGGGAUGAAGGGUAAACGGAAACGUGGGACAGCGGCUAUAAAAGAGGAAGAAAUCGAUGAAGAAAGGGAUAGAAAAAUUGAGAGAAGGGAAAACUCUGUCAAAUUGAAACCAGACCAUUUUCAAUACAAAUUGUGAGCCCAUUAUAAGCAAUUUAUCGAAUCUUAAUUGUAUUGUUUUUCCGUAAACACCUUGUGCUAACUUAGGCAUCGGAGGGUUUACGCCGGCAAAACCACCGGCGUCUCUGAUCCACUUUUGUGAAUGCAGGCUUAGUGGGAGAAGGAAGGAUAAUUCUAACUUCGAUGACUAGAGCAAUCGUCGAAGUAAGAAGAAAUUGACAUCCUCACUGUUGAUAAUAUAAACGUUGGUGUAAAGAUCUGGUCGAACAAAAGACGAGCAGAUUUCAGCAUCAACACCAUGUUUAAAAAAUAAUAAAAAAUUAGAUUAACACUACUGUAGCAACGUUUUUCUAAACAGUGCAGCCAGCCCAAAACCUGCUCCCAGAAUAUAUUUUAAUGCUGGUCUAACUACAUCAGCAAACAUUGCAACUAAAACUUGUAGCUAAAUAUGGGAUAACAAAAUUCUGAUAAGGAACAGUAUUUUAAUGCAGGCUGCCAAACGAUCUUCUUCUUCUUAAUAAUAGAUAAACUUACUAAGCUUGCGAAAGGUUCUGAUUUCGAAGUUAAUCAUCUUCUUCUUAAACAAACUAAGCAGACCCAUCAGCUUCUUAUUUACUUCAUUUACCAAAAAGGAAAAAUUAUACCUAAUAAAUCCCAAAUUGUAAUAAAAAAAUUUAUUUUCAAUGCUGAUUGAAAAAAAAAAAAUCCUUCUUUUACAGUCAGGGCAUGCAAACUAAUUGUGAAAAUAAAAGAGAAAGGACCAAGCUAAAACUUACAGGUUGAAGCGUGUAUCGCAGGGAGCCACUUAAUUGAACUCCAAUGAAGUGUUUGAAUGAAAGAAGGAAAAUAUAUUUCUUCUGUGUAAAAGCAAUCAGGCAAUUUCGGAGCUCAGUGUUCUGCUGUAUGUCUUCAGAAGUCCUAUUUCCAAAAGCCAAAAGCCUUGGUCAAAACUAACUUUCAAAGGUUUUGCCCCCACGAAAUUUCCUUGAAGCUACAAGAAAUGUUUUAUUUUUUUUUAAUACGCGUGUUGAAAAGCGGGAAAACACUCUUUUUGUCACUUUUAUCUUUUUUUUGUUCUUUUUUCCUUCCCACCCCCCGCCCCCCUCCAGCUACGGUGGCGCUAUUUAUUAGAUGUAGGUGUCCAGUUGUUUUCACAAUUAUUUUAUGUGACAUCAUUUUCUUAAUAUUUUUAGAUUGCGGUAAUACCUAGUUGGGGACAGAAAUGUGAAGGUUGGACAUGUGGCAAUCUUUGACUAAACAAGCCAGUCGGGAUAAAUAAAAUAAUAUUUGAAACGCUUUUUUCAACUUUUUAUUUUCAAUUCAAAACCGAAAUGUCAAAAAAUUGAAACCACAGGUUAUCAGCAAAAAGUAAAACUAAGACAAAAAAUAAAAUAAGACCAAAAAUAAAAAUUUCUCAAAUUUAUGAGUAAUUAUAUGUAAUGGGGUAAUGCUAGACACACCAUUAGAAUAAGGCUAACGCUACGUUACGUUAAACGUAAGAUACAUUCCACAAAGAUAAUAUCAAUAAGUGCCCCUAAUUAUUAUGGAAACUACAUUAUUUGAAUUAAAAGAAAUACUUUUAAAUCUCAAAGAAGAAAUGAAAGAAAUCAAACAAGAAAUAGGAAAGAUAAAAAUAGAAUUGUCUGUAAUUCAAUUAAGCCAAAAGAAAAAUAAAAGAGUGGAAAAAUUUGAAAUACUAAAAUCUGGAAUAAUUGGAACAAGCCUUAAAAAACCCAUACAAAAACCUCAACCAGGCAGCUACGAUGACUGGUUUGUAAAGACUCAAUACCCAAAAAUAUUAGAAGAAACAGAAAAAUUAAAAGCAGAAUUAAAAAUUGAAGAAAAAGGAAAAGAAAAACUAGAAAUAAAAGAAACAUCACUUAGCGAUACUGAUUAAUGGAUGAAAUACUAGAAGAAGUAACUGAAAAAUUCAGUGACAUAAAUCUAAGUGAUUUGGAAGAAUUUGAAAGAGAAUAUUGUGUAAAAAUGAAUACUGCUGGAGGACCAGAAAUGAAACCUAAUGUAGCAGAGCCAAGCCAUAGAUAUGAAAUACAAAAGAAGAAAAGACCAUUUUUUGAAUAUAAUCAAAUAGACAAUCCUUACAUGGAAGAAGAGGAAAAACCCCUAAAUCCAAAAGAAGAAGAAUAUAAACAAUUUUCUACAUGGAUAUAUUCCACUUGUUCUCAUAAUAAUACAAUAUUUAGAGCACCUGGAAAAAAUAUGUACCCCAGGAUGAUUGUUACAAAAGGAGCAGACCCACUCCUUGUUGGGAAAAUAGCAAAAUAUGGCUAUUUAGACUUAGUAUAUCCUAGUGUAGAUCUUCGAGAAAUAGCCAGCUUUGAUGAGUUACUAAUAAAAGAAGUCUCAAGGUUUGCCCAAAAAAGACCCAUAUAUUUAAAGUUUUAUACUAUAAGUCCAGAAUACCAUCAGAAUAUAGAAUACCAAGCAUUCUACAUGAUUUCUGUAGGUCAUAUUACAAAAAAUUUUAAAGUCGAAGUAGGAACAGAAUAUACAAAUGUUCCUCACAUAAAUGAAACCUGGAUCAGAACACGGAGAGCCAGAGGAAUAAAGGCUAUAUGGAGCAUAGCAAAGGAUUUAUAUAAGAGAAAUUUCAGAUCCAUCAUUAAAUUUCAAAAUUACAUCCUUAUAACUUCUGAGGAUGGACAUACACCUUCAAAUCUGUUACUAGAGUUCAUCAAUGAAAUAAGUACUAUGCGUUUCCCUAGUAGCAGCAAAACCACAGAACAAGCUUAUCAACUCAUGGAUAUAAAGCAGUGAUUGACAGGCUAUGGCCGACAGCAUAAAACAAAGAAAAGAUAAAGAUAUGGUGGACAAGAUAAAAGGUGAUGUCUGACAAAAGGAUACGAAGCAUGAAGAUAAAGAUUCGAAGAUAAGGCAUAUGGAAAAGCAACAACAAGACAAGAUAAAGUGGCUUGACAAGAUACGAAGCAUGAUAGACAAGAUAAGGAGCAUGAUAAAUCUACAGGAAGAUGCUUGAUAAUGAUGUAAAAGCACAAUAAUACAAGGACAAAAAUGUAACUUGCUUGAUAAUAAUGUAAGAGCCCAAUAAUACAAGGGCAAAAAGGUAAACAUAAACCCGAGACGACUUGAAUAUAAAUAAAGAGCAAUAAUCUCUAAGGGAUUAUUCAACCAUUUUUACAAUAAUUCCAUUGUCUUCUAUGAUCAUGAAUAGCUAAUUCUCUCAGCUCAGAAUCCUAAAUCGAUACAUCAUUAAUAAAAAACAAAAAAUCACCAUAGAAAGGAAAGAGAAACCUAAAUUUAUUCAACAUUUCUAAGCUCAACGAUCGCAUUCCAUACAGUAAGGCCACUCGAGUCCGCCGAUCCCGUUGAGGCAAGGAGGCCGUUGAGGGAGUAAGGACAGUAAGGCUGCAGGUCACUGGAGAAAGAUCGGAAGGCAAAGAAACAAGAAUAGCUUGGGUAAUAAUUCUCAAACCUUAUCUGUUGGUGGAAGUUUGUUGAUUAUUAUUGAUGAGGAGAUUUAUGGAGGAAGAGCUAAUUUCUUUGAAGUGAAAUAUUUUAAUGAACAACAAUAUCAUAUUAGGAAAUUCUAAGGAAUACAUGAUAAAUCCAACAACUAGAAUAACAUAUAAUGAUUAUACAAUGAUUAUAGAUUUCAAUUUAGGAUCUUUCAAACAAAGUUCUUAUCUUUUAAAUAAAGACGAACUUGUUAGAACUGAAGAACUACAAGCAGUAUAUGCUCUUGAAUUACCAAAGGAAAUAAAAAGAAAAAUAAUAAAUCAUGUAGAAAUAGAUACUUUAAAGCAUAACAUCAUCAUGCUAACUAUAGAACAAGGAAUUGACAUAGCUCUGGCAUAUACAGAACAUGAAAAUAGAGAAGCUGGACCAUCAUACAUAAACUACUUAGAAAAUUCUGAUAAUGAAGAACUUGAAUUAUAUGGUAUAUAGGCAAGCAACCCAUGACGUAAAUUGGAUAGACGAUCCCGAAUGGGCGUUAGUAUCCUCUGUACUUUGGGAUAACAAGCCACGUACCUAUAAUCAGUAUAGUUUAUAAUCAUGGAAAUUUAUAAUGAAACCAGAUAUUACACUAGUAUAAUAAAUAAUUUUAUAUAUUUUAUAAAAGUAGAAAUAUUCUAUUCAGAAAAUGUAACAGAAAGUUUAAAUAAUCAAACUUUAAAUCCUACAUAUAUUUUGGAAACUAAUAGUAGCUAUUACGACUUAUAUGUUCCCAUUCUUCCUAAUACAUUUCCUAGAACAAUUGAUGGAGAACAAGUUAUAGCUGUAUUUUUAAGAAAUAAUAAUAAUACAGGAUAUGAUAGAUAUGUGCUAUAAAUAAUAAAAACCUUUACAAAAAAAAAAAAUUUAUCUGUUUUUAGUAGUUUAAUUUUUAUCAUUUUUUCAGUUUAUUCAAUUUAUUUCAGUAUAAUUUUUAGUUUCACCGAAACAAAUGGUAUCAGAGCCAAAGUUCUGAAAUAAAAUUCUCACAAAAAACUUAAUAAUAAUUUAUUAAUGGACCCGAUACAAACAAUAGUUAAUAGCUUAUACACUUUAAAGGUAUAUAAUAAAGAAGAAAUAAAAAAUCUCAUUAUGGCUUUAAAAAUUGAUAAAAAUAAUAUUAGAAAUAUAGAACUCGAACUAACAGAAGAACUUAGAGAACGACAUAUAGACACAACAGGAGGAGAGAUAUUAAUAGAAAAGAAAAUGAAAUUUAUAGAUGAAUUUAUAAAAUUUCUAGUAUACUGGUAUAAAAAAGAAACAAUAUGAACCAUAAUCAACAUGCAUUUAAUAUAAUACAUGGAUUAGUAGAUAGUAUAGAUCAUAUGAUUUUAGGAUGGGAAAAUACAUUAAAUACAUAUAUAACUUUAAUAACUCAGAAAAUAGAUUUACUAGAACAAGAAAGAAUAGGAAUAAUAAAUUUAGGACCAGAAAUUUAUUCUGAAAUUAUAGAUCUAUAUGAAUUUGAUAACCAUUUAAUGUUAUUUAAAGAGGUAAUCAAAACCUUAGAAAAAAUAAGAAAUAGAUGUAGAAGGGAUGGAAGAAGACAAAUACAUCUAUAAUUAAUAAAUAGAAGGACCCAAGAAAAAUUAACCAGAAAAAGAAAAAGACAAAAAACGUAAGAUACAUUGAUCGUAACUUAGGUACUCCCUUAGAAUAAACUUAUCCUGUAACUAAAAAGAAAAAAAAGGCGGCGGUUAAAAAUUAAAAUAAAUAAAAGAACUAAAGAAGGAGCUGUAAACAGGAAAACAUAUACACACGUGUGAGUGAGAGAAGCUACCAAAACCUGACCCGAAACCCGACCCAAACCCGCAAGCCCGACCCGGCCAUAUCUCCAAUUUCCGGCCACCUCAUCGGCCGAGCAACGUACCAACCUGAAGCUUGAAGACCAUCAUACCCCAUCUGUCCUCGUCGCCGGAAAAUGGUUAGAACGCCGGCGAUCAAGCUCGAUAAGCGGCGGUAAAAUCCACCCCUUCUCGCCGUCGAUUCCGCCAGUUUUGGGUGACGUCACCGCCUGGAUCUUGAUCCUCAGAUCAUUCCCAUCAUUUUCCGACCAACCCCGCCACCUGAAACCGCCGUUUUGGCAGCGAACGACCGCCGGAAAGCUUGCGGCUUGGGAAACUCGAUCCGCCGCUUUUGCCGCGCGUGCAAGCUCACUGCCGGCACCAUUAGGCUCAGCGUGGCCGAACCUUUCAGGCUUGAGCUUCCCGGCUACUGUUGACUGAAUUUCGGUCACUGAUGACCGGUGAGGGCAAUCUCGUAAUUUUAUAUUUUGAGGGCGAUUUUGUAAUUUCGGAUCAUGUGGAGAUUUUACUUAUUCCGAAAAAUUAAGGAUUCGUUGUAAUUAGGAUUUUGAGGGUAAUUUGGUAAUUUUUAAUUCGGGAGUAUUUUAAUAAUGUACAAACUCAAGGGUAUUUUAGUAAGUUUUUUGGCACAAGAGUUAUAAAUUAUGGAUUGAUAUUGGUUUUGAGUUUAUUGCAUAAAUUUGGUCCUAAUUUCGAUUAAUGAAAAAAUAAUUAUGUCAUUUCCUUAAUUUAGGAGGAUCCACAAGCUAAUCAAUCCGUAGACGUGAGCGAUAAUUGAGUCUGAGCAUCGUCACUAUGAGUGAAAUAUACAAAACCUAUUUUUAUAGUUAAUUAUGAUAGUGAAACAUGUUCGUGAAAUGAGAAAUUUAAAUGUCUUGAUUCAAUAAAUUUCUCGAAAUGGAUUUAAGUUACGCAUUAAUAUUUUAUUAAAAUGUUUUGGAUUAUGAUUUUCCAUAUCGACUUUGGAAAAAAUAUUAUAAGUGUUUUAUAGACAAGAAAAGUGAUUUGGAUGUGAUAUAAAAAGAAAAUAGAUUUAAAGUAUGUUAAAUAGAAAGGAAAUGAGAUUUAUAGUAUGAUUUUAUGUUCAUGUAUAUGUGUAUAAAAUGUUGAUUGUAAAAUUAUUGGACAGUACCAUUCUUUGGUUGCAAUGAUACAGAUAUGAUGAGGCUUUUGGAGCCCGUUUAAAAACACAUAAAGGCUUUUGGCCGUGUGUUUGGGUGUUUCUGCCUUUUGAGGGCAUAUAUAUGUGAUAUGAUGAUAAUAGUGAUAUAGAUACAAAUAAUAAAGAUGAGAUACAAGCUUUUACAGGCUCGUCUAAGUACACACAGAAGCUUUGGCCCGUGUGCUUAGGCUCUUUUGUCAUUUAAGAACUAGAUUAUGCAUGCACAAAUAUGAUGAUAUGUGAGAUGACACUUUUAUGUCUAUCUGUGUAGCUCUGGGGCAUAACCGUACCUAGAUAAUACAUCAAUACCCAUCUGUUGAGGUCUGGAUACGGUGAGAUUAUUUCUUUGGGUACUUAUUUAAUGAUAAUUUUAAAUUUGUGUAUUUUAUAUGAUAUUGUAAUAUAAUUUCCAUGGUUAUUAUGUACGAUAUUACAUAUGUUCUUCAAGGUUAAUAAUCUGAUUUAAAUGUUAAAUGAUUUAUAAAUAUUUUCUCGUAUAUGGUUUGAUGAAAUCGAAUUUAAAAAUGAUAUGAUUAAAUUAUUUUUAAGUUAAAUUAAUUUUCAAAAAUCAUUAUCCACUGACCUCAUUGAGUUUUAUAUUCAUCAUGUUUUUAUUAUAUUUUUCCCCUCAAAAGGAGAUUGUAGGUACACCAAAUCAACCUAGGGACUGUAGAUAUUUUGAAUUUUGGGCACAUGAUAGUGUUACAAGAUAUAGAUGAUUUUUAUUAGGACAUCCUGAUCAUUUCAUUUUUCUUUUUUUGCGAUUGUAUAAUUUUAUUGUAUUAUUCUUUUGGGAUUAAGAAUAAACUAAUGUAUAUUAAUAUUGGUUAUAAUAAAUACGAAUACAAUAUUAAAAUAAAAAUACUAACUAAAAUAGCACAUUAAUACAAAUAAGAUAUUAAAAUAAAUAUAAUUAAAAAAACAAAAUAUAUAUGUCAUGCAAAUUAUUUUAAUAUUAAAGCCAUUAUCAACAUGUCUCAAUAGAUUUUAUUAAAACUUAAAUUUGUUAAUCCAAAAAUUUAUUUUUUAUUUAUUCUAUUAUAGACAUAACUCAAAAAAAGUAAUAUAUAUAAUAUAAUAUAAAUAUCGAUUUUAUAAAUUAUUUUGAACGUUAAAUACAUUUAUUUUAUAUUAUUAAUCUAUGAAACCAAUUUUAUUAAUAUUAAACAAAUCUAACAAAUUAGUAAUAUCAAAAAAAAUAUUGUUUAAUAUUAAAAUAAUUUAUAAUAUUUAUAAUAUUUUAUUUAAUGAACUAUUUAAUAUUAUAUUUCUAUGUGUUAUAAAAAUUUAUUUAAAGUCAAUUUCUAUGUUGUUGUAAUCUAAGAAUAUAAUCUUUAGAAAGGGGUAUGUGUGAUCAUUUGUGAGAGCAAGACGACCUAUGUUAUAUUUUAAAUAAAUCUUGGAGGCAUGGGUGCAUUUUUUCCUAAAGAAAAUAAAGACUUUAAAAAAACUUAACUUGAUUAAAGGACCCAGGGUUUAGAAUUCGUAAUAGCUAGCAUGAACAAAUAUCGUAUUCGGGGCAUCAAUCUUUGUUAUUAUUAUUAUUAUUAUUAUCACCAUCAUCAUCAUUAUUAUUAACAAUUACACAAAUAAGAAUAAUAACAAUAACAAUUAUAUAAUAAUAUUUUAAUUGAAGACAAAAACAAAAUUAUGAAGUUUAAGUGGGGUAAAAUUUGGAGCUCAUAGGAAUAAGAACUUGACUCCCAAAGGUCCAUAAGAAUCAAUUCUCAUUCAUUAAUCCUAGAAACGUAUCGGCCCCCCACAUUUUAUUUUCGUUCCUUUUUCUAUUUUUAAAAAUAAACAUUAUCGAUCAUUCUCAUUUUGAAUUUUAAUUUCAGAAUCUAACUAGUAAGCACAUCAUUAAUGUAUCACACGAGAGUAAUAAGAGUAGUAAUAGGCCGGCGAAGACAACGGUUAGGAAAAUAACUACAGCAAAGCGGUGGAAACAAAGUGUUCCAUGCAAGUACGGGUUCGGAAUUAGAUUUGUCUAGGAGUGUAAAAAAUAAUUAAAUUGAAUAACUGAGUUACGUAAGACAAACAUUCAUGUAAACUUCUAAAACAAAUGCUAGAAUACAAAACUGCGAGGAAACUUACCGCUCUGAGCGCGUGGGAGGCACUGAAAGAUGAUGAAAUUUUACUUAGAUUACAAUUAGGACAGUGUUUAUUUUUUAGAGUGGGAGUGAGGAGUGUGGAUUCCUCCCACUUUAGUGUUGACUUCAACAAAAUAGAGAAGGAUUGGGAAUCCCACUCCGUGGGCUCCACUCAUUUUUGGAGUGGGGAGUGGGAGUGGGACUCCCACCUCUCCCUUUUCUAUUUUUUUUUAAAUUUAAUUUCAUAAAAUAAAAUAAUUUAUAAUUAUAUUUAUUUAAAUAAUAUUAUUAUAUUUAACUAAAUAAUAAUUUACAUUGAUUAUAAGUUAAAAUUACUUUAAAAUAAUAUUAUUAUAUUAAUAGAGAAUUAAUAAAUAUAUGCUAUCUUUAUUUAAUAAUAUAAUAUUAUUAUAUUUAUUUUAAAAAUAACAGUACUAUAUUUAUUUAAUAUUAAUAAUUAAUAAUAAUAAACAGUUUAUUCUAAGAAAAUAUUAAUUUUGUACUAAAUAAUAUUAUAUUAAUAAAUUUAAUAUAAAUAUAUAAAAUAAAAUAAUGUUUCAUUUUAUAUUUACCCUUCUUUUUAUUAAAUUUACUACAACUAUAUUUAAUAAAUAUUUAAAUAAUAUUAUUAUAUUUAACUAAAUAAUAAUUGUGUUUGAUUCUAAGUUUAAUUUACUUAAAAAUAAUAUUAUUAUAUUAAUAGAGAAUUAAUCAUAUUACUAUAUACAAUCUUUAUUUGAAAAUAUAAUAUUAUUAUAUUUAUUUAAAAAUAAUAGUAUUAUAUUUAUUUAAUAUUAAUAAUUAAUACUAAUAAAUAGUUUAUUCUAAGAAAAUAUUAAUUUCAUACUAUGUUAAUAGUAAAAAUAUUUCAUUUAUAUUGCCCUUAUCAACAAUUUUUAAUUUAUAUAAUUAAAAUAAAAAAAAUUGUGAUGUUCAUAAUUAAGAAUAUUAAUAAUUAUUAUAAAUUUACAAAUAUAAUAAAAUAAAUGUUUAUUCAUUAAAUAUAUUUUUUAUUAACUUUGUGAUUAAAAACUAUAAUUCUUUACAUAAGGAUAAAAUUGUAAUUUGAAAUUAUUUACUCCCAAUUCAAGACAAAGUAAACACAUAAAUUAGAUUCUGAUCUCUAUUCCAUGCUUCUAUUCAUGUGCAAGUAAAUAACCUACUCCCACUCCCACUCUACACUCCCAAUCUUAAAAUUCUCACUGCUCAAGAUUCCCACUCUAAUUCAAAAAGUAAACGCAGCCUGUGUUUCUUUCAAAGAAAUCAGUUAGAGGAUUUCAUGUUUUCUAAUUAAUUCUUCUUCUUUUGUUGGCCGACAGCAAGUCUUGUCAGCGAUAUUUGCAAGAGAUAAUUAUAAAGGACGGCGAAUGGAAUAAAAGACAUGUUCAACUGUAACAAAUGCUUCGAUAACGUAGAGUCCUAGACACCUAAAGCAAUUGCAUUAUCUCUAAUUAUUUAAAUAAUAAUAAUUUAGACUACUUAAUGAAACAAGACAUAGAAGAUACAUGGUAUGAACCAACCUCUCCACUGAUCAUCUAUUUUGUCUUCUUUUUCUCUUCUUUUUCUCUUCUUCAAGUUCUUUUAGUACGUGACGCGGCAUUUUAUUUUGUUUAUUCAGUGUCGAUAAAACUGUGUCGGAGCAUCUUCCAAGAAAUUAUAUAUGAAACAUAAAUUAUAAGUAAGUACAGUAAUAUUAUAUUCAUAAAUUAUGUCUACAAAUAGAAAGUAAAUUAACAUAACAUCAAUGAAAUAAUAAACAUAUAAAUAAUAAUGAUAGAUAAAAAAAAAUGUGAUAUGAGCCUAAUUAGAUAAAUCAGUAAUGCCUUAAUAAACAAUAGUAUAGUUUAUGGUAAGGCUAGCCUUUUGAAGAGAUGAAAAUCCGCCAAACAUCGUUUCCUCAAAAAAUAGGAACUUUUAAAACCAUAUGCAUAUGAAAAUUUAUCAAAAAUAAACUUUAUUAUACACUAAUUGUUCCGUGCCAUUUUCCUGAAUACUUUUUGUAUAUUUUAGAAACACAUACCUAAACAAUCUGAUCAAGCAUGAAAUCAUUUUCGAUUCAUGGAAGACAACAACUUUGGGGAUGAUAUUUUGCUCUUGUGGUAAUUGAAGAUGCAUACUUACUGAAAUAUUCAGAGAAUAGUAAGUAGGCUUCUCCUUUUGUAUGAGUUCACUCAAUGAAUCUUUGAGGUUGUGGUUCCUCAUCACCUCAACAUAUGCAGUAAGGCUUCGCCUUGAUGUUGUUGCUACAACCAGUGGCGGACUCAGAAACUAAAAUGAGGGGGGGCUUAGUUUAAAAAAAAAUUAUUUAACUUAAAUUUUUUUUAAUGUUCACUUGAAUACAUUUUAAGUCUUAUAAAUUCAAAUUUUAUUACUUUUUUUUAAUUCUAAAUAAUAAUAGUAAUAAAUUAUUUUUUUAAAUGCGUGAAAAUAUCAUUGUUUCGAAGUAGUUUCCACAAAAUAUUUUAAAAAAUAAAAUAAUGUGGCUAAUGGGAUUUGAACCAAGGUUUUAAAACCAUUAAAUAGCACUCUUACCAUUGAACUACAAGUCUUUUGAUGUAUAAAAAAUAUGUCCAAAUUCAUUUAUCUAACUUUUUCAGAAGGGGCUUGGGGCACAUUUAAAAGAAAAUUUAACGGCCCAGGGGGGGCUAAAGCCCCUCCUGGGCCUUCAUUGGGUCCGCCCAUGGCUACAACCAUCUGUGAUGCAACAAAAUUUUGAGAGGGUUCAUUCAGAUUAUAAGUGGGUAAAGCGACCCCAUAUAAACUGGAGGGAUAUCAUACCUCUCACCUCCUAUCCUGGCCAAAAUAUGUUGAAAAAAUAGCAUAUCAAUAUGCUAUAUUGAGGGCACAUUUUGAAUGGGUCCCAUUUAGCAAAAAUGAGAAAUCUUUGUGAAGUUCGUGUUCUUCUUCGUGAAUAUUUCGAAAGUAAUAUUUAUUUACUCAAAAUGGUGCUUGGGUGAAUAAGCAAUUGUCUCUCAAAGUUCACUCUUGAAGUUGAAAAUUUGAAAGGAAAUGAGGUUUAUCCCACAAGGGAAAAAUAAUCCAAGGGAUUUGUGUUUAUAUAGGCACUUACCCAUACAUGAGAAAAAAGUAUAAGGAUAGAAGCUUAUCUUCACACGCGUGUGCGCAAAGGGGGAUGCGAAUCCAAGAUCGAUUUGGUUGCCCGCGUGUCUUGCGUACGCGAAUGUCAGUCCAAAAUUUCAAUUUUUUUAUAACAGUUUCACAAUGUUUGAAUUCAAAGGAUUUGUAACAGCUUCGCAAUUAUUUUUUGGGCUGUUAUGCAAUUCAAUUUUUGAAUUCAAUUGGCUGUUACAACAAUUAAAUGGCAUAUAUUGAAUUCAGAAAUUCAAUACUAUGCUGCUGUUAUAUCCUCACAUGUGUAUAAAAAGGCAGCUUCCUCUUCUAUUUUUCGAACACACAGAAACCAGCACACAGAGCACUUAAAAUUUUCUUUCCUUCUUCGUCCGUCUUCUUUUCUGAUCGAGUUUGUCGCUGUUGUAGUUUGCCGAAAUUAUCUGUCUGUGCUUGACGGAUAUUUCUUGCCCAUUGUAUCAUGGGAAACAGUUACCAGCAAACCUAAAGCACUGCAGUAGGUGGUAAAUAUAUUUUAAGGAUACUGUGUUACAGGCCUUGGAUUUAUUUUCUUUGUUUCGUUUGAUUUCCAGUUGCUGUUUUUUGCUGCUGUUUAAUUCCAGUUGCUGUCUUGCUGCAGUUUAAUUCUAUUAGCAAUUAAUUUUGUAUAAUUACCUACUGGUUUUAUUUGUUAACUCGCUGUUGUUAUUUUUCUAACAAAAUACACCUCUGAGAAGGUACAAAUUUUAUGAAGACGCGCAACCCUAAAUUUAUAUUAUUGAAUCACACUCAACAGCUUGGGAAAUUGACCUUGUUGAUUUGAUUGCUUUUGGUUUGGAAAUCGUAGUGGUGGCGCAACGGAUAUCAUCUUCUCUUUGUUCAACACUUCAGUUGGGAAUUGGGAUGGCAUGGUUCCUACUUGGGCAUUUUAUCAAACAUGUUCUGGGCAUGGGUAUCAUACAAUUACUCCUCAAACACAUUUUAUCAAAUCUGCAAAAUUUAACUCAAAUUAUAAUUUAAAAAAUGUGUCAUGUAAUUUAAGUGAAUGAUUGAAAUUUAAAAAUUUAUCAUUAAUCAAAUUUUUUUCAAUUUACGUGUAGGGAAAAAAAGGGAAUAUUAUUUUGAAUUUUUAAAAUAACAAAACAAUAUAAAUUUUUUUUUUUAUUAACACAUUUAUUGAAAUUCAAAUUUUAAGCCUGUCUUUAAAAAUAUAAAAAAAAAAAGAAAAAAAAGGAGAUUUUAUGAUAAGAUUGGGGUGGGGUAGGCAAAUAGUCCAACUCCGUAAAAAAUAUAAACAAAUAGUUCAACAAAAGUCAAAAAGUACAAAUUAAAUAAGCAAGGUUGAAUUCAACAAGCCCAUAAAGGCCUACAAAAUUCCAACAUCAAAAUGGAUGGGAAGGGCACUUGAUGAAGCCUUAUUUUACAAUGAAGACAACCUGUCAGUGGCUAUGAACAAUAAUUGUUUGCCAAAAAUAUUUUUGGUCAAAUAUGUGGUAUGAUCCUUAUAAAUAAAUGAUAAUUUACUUCAUCAAAAUAAAUUUUAUCGAUACAUAUGCAUUUAAUUUCAUUUUUCUCGAUAAAUUAUUGUGCUUUCAAGUUUCUUUAAUUUGCAGCAUUUUAUUAGAAAUUUAUUAGGGCCAGUUUGAGAUUGCAGUAAUUGAUGAAGUAAAUAAUUUCUGCCAUGCGGAUAAAAGAAACUGCUUACUUAAAAAAAAGUUCAAUGUUUGCUAAAUUAUGUUAUUGCAGUUGCUAUAAGUUUAAAAAGCAAAGUAUAUGCAUUUGAUAAAUUUUAUUAUGAAAGUGUUAUUUAAUUAUAUAAUUAUCAAAGUAGAUAUAAGUUUAAAUUAUUUUUUAUUUGUAUAUUAGAGUGAUUUCAUUGGAAAAUAAGAUAUAAUUAUCGUUGUUUUUAAAAUGUUAAGGAUAUAAUAAGAACUUUAAUAAGAUCAACGACUUAUUCAGUAAGCUGCUUAUAAAAAACAACUUCUAUCCUAUUUCAAAAAACUGUUGACAUAAUAGAAAAACUUAUGAAAUAAACCGUUUUAAAAAUAUUACUAAACACUAUUUUUAUUAAAAUUUAUGAAUUAAGCAAUUCCUAACGGGAUUUGUACUAGGAAUAACUAGAACUCUUAAGGCGCUAAUGCUAUUUAUGUAAAAUCUAUACAAAUUCAAUGAAAAUCUCAACGAGCGAAAAUCCUUAUCCGCUUCAAGUACUAUUUAUAAUUUACGAUAAGCUUAGCUGGGCUACUCAACCAGAACAACCGAAGCUAUAUGCAAAAAAGAAUUAAAAAAUAAAAAAAGAGUAUACUCAACCAGAUUGCAAUGAGCUAAUUAGUUUAUUGAAGAUAUUAAUUAAUUAAUUUAUAAAGAAAGUUAAUAAUCAAAAUAACCUCAAAGGUAAAGUACAAAUGAAUAUAAUUUUUAUUUUAAUUUUGGGAUUAAUUUGGUAAAUUAAUUUUUUAAAUAAUUAUUAGAAAGACUAUAAUUGUAAGGGUAUUAAAAAUUGCUUUAAGUUAGUUAGUAUUAAUUUUAUUUUAAAUCAUUAGAAGAUUGUUGUAAGAGUAUGAACAAUACCAGUUCAUUCAGACUGAUAAUAAUUGGUUAAUUUACUAAUAAAUAAUUAUGGCUAAAUUUGUUAAUUAACAUUUUUCAUAGAUUAAUUAAUUAAUGUCUCCAAAAUUGUAGUAAGUGUAUUAUUGUAAAACAAAAGAAAACAAAAGGCAAGAGUGCAUAAAUUCAAUAAUUAGGGUGUCUUGAGAUAUUUUUUAAAUAGAAAUAUUAAACAGAUAUUCAAUCUAAAAUAUAAAGACUAUUCGAACAUUUACCCUCACAACUUUUGACAUGAAUCAUAAAGGAUAAUCGCAUAUUAAAAAAGUAAUUUCUAGUUAAAUUUAUAAUAGUUAUUCAAAAUAGAGAAACUUUGUUAUAGUGAAUGAUAAAAUAAAUAUUAAGAUACGUGCAUAUGAGAUUAUUAUAGAACGAACCUGCUAUCAAACCCGAAGCUUGAUCCUCAGCUGAGGUUUGUAUUGUACAACUCCCAUCAUUGUCUAAAUCCAGAUUCCGUAAAAUCCAAACGUUGAUAAAAAGUUCUCCGAACAUCAGUUGCUAGGUAGCUGGACACGGCUAAUGGACUGUUUAAAGACACUUAUAACCUUUUUUUUUAUCCGUCCGUGAAAAUCACAACAAAAAUAAAUUUUGUUUUAUUGUACAUUCAUUUUUUUAAAAUCCAUCUGUGUAAAUUAUAAUACAAGUAAAUUUUUUUUUUUGUCUGAACCAGGAGGUGUUCUUGAGUGGACUUCAACUGUGGGAGGCACCUUUAAGCUCGUACCACAACCCAGACUAAUCCCCGCUCGUACCGAGUCGACCCGUAAGGGGUAAAGUACUAGCCAAAGUGGUGACUCCAUACGAGAGCGGGACUUGAACCCCUGACCUCAAUUAAAGAGUGAGAAUGCCAAACCACUCACACUAACCAACAUUGGUUACAGUACAAGUAAAUUUUUUAUUGUACAUUUAUUAUUCAAAUUUAUUUUUCUGCAAAAAAAUUAAUUUGGUAAGCACAUUUUUUCAAAUUUGUGGCAUGCGCAUAAAGUAGAGCUCGAAUCUAAAACUUGAGUCGUAGAAAGGCUUCCUUUAUGAUUGGAGCUAAAUCUAGCCUCUAACAUAGUACGUGCCCUUUCUUCAAGUAAAUUCAUGUAAAGCAAACCCUGAGAUGCAAGUAAAAUUGAAAAUGUAAGAAAAUUAACUUACAUGUUUGAGCUUAUUGGAAGCAAUCAAAGAUGAUAAAUUUUUGCUUGAAUUUCCAAUUAAGUUCGUUUCAAAGAAAUCAAUUAGUGAGAGGAUUUUUAUGUGUUCUAAUUAAUUUCUCAAAGACAAAAAAUUUAAUAAAAAGUGUAUGCCGAAAGUAAUUAUGAAGAAUGAUUUUGGUUUUUAGUGGCGCAUGGAAUCAAAGAUAUGGUCGACAUGAUGUUGACAAAAGCAUGUUAUUAAUGGCGUCUUCAAUGUAACUGCAUUUUAUAGGGCACAUUGAAUUCCACUUUAAUCUUUUAAGAAUUUAUUCUUGUGGAAUAAUUCCACUAAAAAUCUUUUAAGAAUUUUUUAUUUAAAUUGUAGAAUUUUCUUGUUAAAAUAAGUAAAGAUGGGGGAGUAAAGGUUAAAAGGCUUGGCAUUUUUUUACUUGAAUUUCCAAUUAAGUUUGUUUCAAAGAAAUCAAUGAAAGGAUUUUCAUGUGUUCUAAUUAAUUUCUCAAACAACAAUUUUAGUCUAAAGCGUGUGCCGAAAGUAAUAAUGAAGAAUGAUUUUGGUCUUUAGUGUAGAAAAGACAUGGUCUAUUUGAUGUUGACAAAAGCUAGCUUCAAUAAUCUACACAUCAAAGAAAGGAUUUCAUAUGUAUCGGAGGGUUUAUCUUUUAUAAUUAAUCACCAGCCAAAUUUUAUACAGUUAAACUUCAUAGUAGAUAAAUUAGGACCAUUCUAUUUAUCAAUUAAUUUUAAGCCAACAAUAUCAAUCGAUUAUUCUUCUGGAAGUGGGGCGGAUUACCAAAUAACAUAGAGUCUUUAACAGCAAAUAAGGAAGGAAAUCAGUCACUGAUUUGAAUUGAAUUACUUACUAUAACCACUUUCGGGCUUUGUUUUACAGUUACAGAGCAUCACUGCCUAUGCGUAUAUUUAUCUAUAUACAAUGUUAUUAAUUACUGCAGCAUCGUCAUCACAAAAGCGAAAAGCUUCUAAGCGACAAUAUUCUACUUGCAAAUUUCCAUCAUCAUUUAGAGUAAUUAAAAUAAUUAAUUGGAAAAAAAAAAGAAAAGAAAGAAAGAAACAAUCGAACAGGCAGAGGCAAAGGGUUUCAUUUCUCGUAUUUAGACAAUGAUAAAUUAAUAAUAAUAUGAGCAAAUCUUGAGAUAUGAUAUGAACGAAAAAGAAGGUUGACAUUGAAGAUAAAGAGAUCACCAUCAAAUGAUAGUCAAACAGCAUAUUAAAGAUGAUCGGUUACUACUUACCUUCUUCAUAGAAGCCUUCUCUACCAGCGUUUUCACGAACAUUUUUGCAACAAAAAUCUCCAGGGAAAACCAAUCACUUCAACUGAAGAUCCAAAACGGCAGUUUCAGAAUUUUAUUCAUUUUUAGGGAAAAAUGAAUAAAAUAUUCUUUUGGAAUAAAGAAAAAGAGCAUAUUCCAAAAUCAAUUUCUACUUAAACUUAUAGUAGUCAUGCAAAAGAGAGAUAGUGAAUGUAUAUCACUGUGCAGAAGUAAACAAAGUAUGCAAGCAUGAUGAAAUAAAGAUCAUGAUAUGUGCCUAUGAGAUUAUUAUAGAACGAACCUGCCAUAAAAAAUGAUGCAGAGACUAACCCGGAAGAAAAGGCCACCUAAGAUGUGAAUUUGCUGUUAUUUGAUUCAACUCUUCGGCAUGGCUCUUGAGGUUUGAAUCAGCCUAUGGCAGGCAAGUGAGCAAGAUAGCUUGAUGCCCUUAUCAACAUUCUUUUUCCAUGAAUCUGAAUCUUUCUGUCGAACAACAUUAAUAAGAAUGCACAUAGAAGUAAUACGGUAUUGCAUGUUAUAAAGGAAAUUAUUAAUUUUGUAAAGUACCUUAGCAAUUCUGCUUUUGCUAACUUUGUUACUGUCUAGACUGCACUCUGUUCCACAGUCGAAAUCAUUCUGCAUUUUGGCACAAUUCCAACGCAUCUUCUAUUUAACAAAAAAGAAAAAAUAAGAAUCAACCAUUGUCAAUUCUUAUCAACAAAGUCUUCAAAUUGACAUUGCGGUCUCUGUUGUUUAAAGGGGAAAAAAAUCGAUAGUUGUGAAUUCUUAUCAACCAAAAUUAAACAUGGGGGUGGAGAAAAGAAAAAUAAAAAUCAAAUGUUGAAUCCUCUUGAUUGUAUCAUGGAUAAAUCUGAUUUAGAUCUGAGUCCAUAUUUUAAGAGAUUCAUCGACCCAUUUUCAGACAUGCCAGGAAUUGUAAAUUAAGUCAAAUAUUCACAAAAAACAGAUUCUGUGUUCAGCCGCAAAUGGGCUAUUUCACGGCCAAGCAAGAAAACAAAUGAAGAAAAUUAAUUGCUUUCCACUGGUUCAAGAAUUAAUACCAUGAUUGAUUGCUUCUCUUUUGGAAGAAAUAAUUUUGAAUAAAACACAGCAUCAUUACAAAAAAUGCGAUGAUAUUUUUUCAAUAAUCAGAUGAUGAUAAUUUCUCCAUACAUUCAUUCUACGGCCUGACUCUGUUUUAUGUCUAAGGCUAAUGUGGUGCACUUGCAGCAAGAUAACCAAACCGGUAUGUGUUGGGAAAAUAUGCUCUUUAAAAGCAUAUAUGUUUAUUUAAUUGUAAUAAACUAUUUUUCUGAUUAAUAAAAUAAAUGAGGUAUUUUAUUCAAAUAUCUUAAUUGCAUUAAUACUUGUAUUAAAGUCCAUUUAAUCAUAUUAUAUGUAUUUAUGUGAUUACCAUGUGGAUUCACAGAAGACAUAAAUACAUGUUAUCUUAUGAUUAAAUAAAUUUAGUUCGCAGUUGAUAAAUAAAGUUGGGCACUUUAUUUAGGUAUAGACUGUAAUAAAUUCAUUGAAUGAUUUGUCUUAAUCAUGUAUGAAUUUAUUGAUGUAGUACGACUACAUUGAACAGGAUCACAUAUGAGAUUUAAUUAACUUUGUAAUAACUGUCAGACUUAUUAAAUCUCAUAGGCGUUGAUUUUACUGUAAUCUUAAUCUUGAGUUAAUUAUGAUUUCAUGAUUGUAAUUGUUAUUCCAUUUGAGUUACCAAUGGGCACGACACAUCCUUGUGGUCAAGAUUACCCGGUAUCUUGGUGGGAGCAAUUAUGAGUAUUGGAGUUAUAGAUUAACAAUAUAGAAUUUGUACAACACAUCUCUUCAUGGGUUUUCGGCACUUGAUCAUGGAAUUCUCUGGCCAGAGUGUGUCAACAUAUUUAGUAUGUUGAAAAUGAUCAUUAGAGAAAACCAGUAAGGAUCAAGGAAUAAGAUGUUAUUAAAUUGAUUGGACAGUUGAGAUAUCAAUUUAAUUAACGAUGUGGUACAAAGGAUUGUGCAGUAAAGAAAUCAAUGUGGCUUGGGACGAAUUAUUAUUCGAGCAUACAAUUAUGGAAGUCAGUUCCAAUCUUUUAGUGGAGUAGAUUUGGAAUUAAAUAAUUGGGCUAGUUUAAUUACAGGCCUAAUUAUUGUAGCCACUAUUGUAUGUUCCCAAAUGAUCCCCGGGUUAGCUCAUUUAAUUGACUGCACCACUACUGGACUAAUAAGUAAGAUAACUAGCUAUUUGGGUCAAAAGCCUAAAUAUAUCAUUUAGUGGGAGGCUCCAUUUAAUUAGCUUUUGUAUAAGGGGCCUUAUGUUAUUUUACAAGGUGGGUCCCCUAUUGAAAAAGCAAAUAAACGUGGGUUUUGUUUUUCAUUUAUUUGAAGCCUAGGGUUUUCACUAAAGGGUGAUAUAAAAGGCUUAUUUUUCCCUAAAGAAAAAGUGAGAAGCCACUUUAUACAGAUCAGAGAAAAAGAUUUUUCUCUCUAUUGUUGAGAGAAAAAUUUUCUCGUGCUAGUUGCUUUGGUAGUGAUAAAGGCGCCCACACGUCAAGUGCAGAUCGAACCUGAGUCAUAACCUGGAAGAUCAUUGGAGACUGUUCGUGAUCUAACAAGCGUGGUGGUGACGGAUCGUGAUCUAACAGGAGCGGUGGUGGCGGAUCGUGAUCUAGGAGCCUAAAACACUUCAGCGGAAAAAGCCAACUCGGAUUUUCAAGGUACGAUUUCUAGAAUACAAAUUCUUAUAUAUUAUAUGAGAGCGAUCUUCAAAAGGUUUUAUAAAAAAUUAAAAACCUAAUUUUUCCCCAACAAUUGGUAUCAGAGCCAUCUCAUAUUAAUAUAUAAGAAUUUCGUAUGAAAUUAAUCUUGAAAUUUAUGUAUUAGAGUGGCACAUUUUAUUCAGAUAUAUAUUAUUUGUUUAAUAUAUGAAUAAAGCAUGUUAUGGUUUGUCUUAAUUCAUGGUUAGAUGUUCUACUGUAUUUUUCGUUUGGAUCUGUAACAAGAGGGGUGGCUUAUUAUCACCAUGUUUCCCUCUUGAUUUAUUGUAAUGUAAUUAAAAUUUUGUAAGCCAAAAUUAGCAUCGGAUUAUUGUAAAUCACUGGAAAAUUGCGGAAACUUGCUGGAACCUGCAGCAACGAACCAGCACACGCAGCAGCGAGCGGCCACCAGCACACGCUGCUGCACGAGCAGCGCGCGGCCAGCAGCACAUGCUGCCAGCAGCGCGCGUUGCACACGCAGCGGCCAGCAGCCACGCUGCAAGCAGCUCGCGCUGCACAUGCAGCAACUGCAGCGCGCGUUGCAACGCUGCAAGCAGCGCUACCUGCAGCGAGCGAGCAGCAGCUGCAGCGCCCAAGCAGCAGCGCGAACGUGGGCUGGAGGCGCGGAGCGUUUUGGUUGACGUCUUUCCGGCGUUAAUGACGGCUGUCCGGUGUGGAAACAGUGAACAGCGGCUGGAUUUUUUUGGAGAUGGCGGCUGGGGAAGAGAGGAAGAAAAAUAUGGAUUUAGGGUUACAUGGUUUUUAUCAUGGAAGUCCCUAUGGUUCCAUAAUUUUUCAUUUGAGCAGAAAGUUUUUUAAUUUUUUGCAUUUAAAUCCAAAAACAGUUUUGGGUUUAAUGAAUCCUAGUUUUAGGCCCAAUUUCAAUUGGGCUUAAUGGAUUAAAAAUGCAUAGACAAAAUUAAAUACAUUAAAUUUAUUUUUGGUCCAAAAGCUUUAUUUUAAAAAAAAAUAAAAUAAAAUAAAACUAUUUAUUUAUUUAUUUCCUUUCAAAAUUAAAAUUGGACCAAUUAUAAAUUUAAAAGCCCAAUUUCCCCUAGUCCAUUAACAAAAACAAGCUUAUGGAAGAUGGACAUUGACAAGAAGCCCAAUGAAGAUUAGGCUUAGGGUUAAUGUAUUUUUCAUUAUUAGGAAAGCCAUGAAUUAAGAUUAUUUAAUUAUUUUUCUAUAUGUUAUGUUUUGGAUGAUAACAUGCCAUGAUAACAUGUCAUAUAGAAUAGGUAGUGUCACUCUAUGCAUAAUGAUACAUGUCAUUCAUUAAAUAAUGAAUUUCAUUAUAUUGUUUGAAAUUUGCAUUUGCUUAAUAAUAUUUGAUAUCAUCUAGAUAAUAUUAUAGGAAGCAUGCAAUUAACAAUAUGUAUGUUUUAAAAAGGAAAAAUCAAUUUUAAAAUAUUGAGUGGGAGAGGGAAAAUUCAAGAUAAUUUUUCCCACGGGCUCCAUUGUUAGUUCAAUAAUAAAAUUAUAUAUAUACCUCAACUUCAUGAUACGGUGAUGCUCCCUACGGAGGGUAUAUAUAUUGGAUAUUUUAUUUGAUGAACUUCUUCAAAGAUAAAAUUGAAAUAUUUUUUCAAUCGAUUGCUCGCCCCAACGGUGACUAUUGAUAUGAAAAAUACGUAGAUUGAAACAAUGGUUAUACACUCAACUAAAGUUUGUUAUUAACCUUCCCAACGAAGCUCUGUUAACAAAUUUAGGCCCAAAGGGAUAACGAUAAUUAUUUAUCAUGUCUCUACAUGAAAGUAAAUAAUCUAAUGGAUAAUUGGGUCUAGUAAGUGUAGACAUGACUUCCCCAACGGAUAGCUUGUCAAAGCGGUACUAGAUUAUCGUUACAAUAAAUUAAAAUGCAUUUAUGGUUUUUUGUAUUUUUGUCAUUUAUUGUGAAUAUUGUUUCAAAGUAUUUAUGCAUGUCUAUUUUGUUUUUUCAGAAAAUGUCUUCCAUCAACCCAUUAUUAAUUAUUCUUGUUAAAAAUGAACUCACUGGCGAAAAUUAUUUAGAUUGGAAACGCAAUCUAUUUAAUAUUCUCACUGCUAAGGGAAGCAAAUAUGUUUUGACUCAGCCUUGCCCUCCUGAACCAUCGUUAUACGAUUAUAGAAAUCAGAGGGAGCCUUAUGAGAAAUGGUGCGAAGCUAACAAAAUGGCUAAGCGCUAUAUAUUGGCUUCGAUUUCUGUGGAACUGCAUAAGAAACAUCGGAGCAUGGAAACAGCCACUGAAAUAAUGGCUAGUCUUCAUCAGAUGUUUGGGUAAAAUACCCAUUUUUCUAGAGAAGCAGCAUUGAAACGUAUUACGGAUACUAAGAUGGAAGAGGGCACAAAAGUUCGUGAUCAUGUCCUCAAAAUGAUGGACUAUUUGAAUGAGGUAGAGAUUCAUGGUGUUCAAAUCAAUGAUAAAUCAAAGAUUAACAUGGUGAUUGAAUCUUUACCUGAUACAUUCAAAGAGUUUAAGGUCAGUUAUAUCUUAAACAAUAAAGAUAUGACCUUAAUUGAAUUAAUGCACGAACUACAUGCUAUAGAAGAAUUCUAUCAUAGCAGAAAACUUCCUGAAAAAGGAUUCUCUUCAAGGCUUAAGUCGAAAGACAAGAAUGAGCAAGCAAGAGUUGGGAUCGGCAAACUGUCCACUAAAAGAAGUGGCAAGCCAAAAGGCAAGUGUUACAAAUGUGGACAGAAGGGUCGCUGGAAGAAAGAUUGUCCUAAGAUUAUUAAAAUCAGGUAUAGGAAAUCUUUAAGCUUCCUAAUUAGUUCAGAUUUCUAUUGCAUCAUACAAUAAUGAAUUCUGAGAUAACUAAUCUUAUUUGUAAUUCAUUUAUUUGGUUUUCAGGAAACCAAGAGAUUAAGUGAAGAAAGUAUCAAACAGCAGUUGAGGACAUGCUAGUUUAUAUUAAUUGAAAGACUAGAUCAAUUUUACAAGACUUUAGUUUUGAUAUUUGUCUUUAUAUUAGAGGAAUUUAAUUUCGGUGGCUUGUUUUAAUAAACAGGAGUACACUGUUAUUUUUUGGAUCCUCUAUUUAUUAUUUAUUUUGGUUAUUUAUAAAGACAAUUUAUAUCAUAGAAGUCCAUUGAUCUAUUCAAAGUAAGAUAUAAUGAUAAAAAGUAUAUGCAUUUAUCUAAGAAAAGAAAUGUUUCUUCUAACCAAAAAUCACCUCUGAUAUUUAUGCCUAAGUCAUAUAAACUAUAAUAAGAUUUUAAGAAAAUGAUUAAUGAUAGACUUGUUGGCCUAUUAAGAUUGAUCAUUGUAACUCCAUAAAUCUUAUUUAGAAAAGUAAUAUGACAAGGAUGCUCUUUUUGAGCUAAAAGCAUAACUAUGUAUUUGAUGAUUUAGCGCAUACAAAUGUAUACGGACUAAUCAGUUUACAUGUUAUAAGGGGUUAUGAGUAUUCUAUCAAUCUUGUUGAUGAAUAUUCAUUUUAUUUAUGUUUGUCUAAAUGCGUCAUGAUUCCAUUGCUUUUGAAAUUCAAAAGAGUACGUGGAUAAGACAGAAGCAAUUAGACAGGAACAUAAAAGAACUUCGAUAUGAUCGAAACAAAGAAUAUCUCUAUGGAGAAUUCAAGCACUAUUUGGUUGUCAAUGAACACUAUAAUACAAUAGUGUAAUUAAAUGAAGAAACAAGAUUCUUUUGGAUAAGACAAGAUAUAUACUAAGUGGUUUAUCAUUUACCUUUUUUGAUUCCAGAUAUUAGUAUUUAAAACUACAAAGUUUAUUGAACUUAGUUUCAUCUAUCUCGGUGUCUACUACUCCAAGAAAUUAUGAAAAAGUCACAAACAUGGUUUGAGACACAUUCAUAUUUGGAGUUUACUAGUAUUUCUACUAGAAUCAGAGAUAGACAAGAUGGAUUCGUGUUCAGAAGCUUGCAUGUUUUAGGUAUCUUAAAGGAAUAAGGGAAAGUCUGAAUUAUAGUCCUCAAGAUAGGAAUGUAUUUAUAGAAAUAUUCUUUACUUUCUUUGAGGAAGACUCUAUAAUGACUUAUAACCUAAGAGUAAGGUAAAACUAGAGAAAUAAAAGAGAUCAGGUUGAUGCUCAGCUUUCAACACCUGUUAUAGAACAGGAAGAACAGCAACAACCAGCUGAUCAGCACAGGAUUAUCCUUGAACAACCAUCACUUUUAGAACCUUGUCGUAGUGGGAGGGUAACUAGGUUACCUGCGAGAUACAUAUUUUUGGGAGAAACCUAUAUGGCUAUCUUAGAUGAACAUGUACAAAAUCCCACUAGUUACAACGAAGCUCUAAUAGAUAGAAAUGUUAAAUUUUGGAAAAAGGCCAAGAACACAUGGUAUGUAAGUUGCAGAGAUCCAUUUAUAGAUUGAAGCAAGCAUCCCGGUCAUGGAACAUCAGAUUUGAUCAAGCGAUUAAAUCACUUGGAUUCAUUCAGAACAUUGAUGAACCAUGUGUGUACAAGAAAAUUCAGGGAAAAUUUGUAGCCUUCCUAAUUCUUUGUGUAGACAAUAUUCUUCUGAUUGGAAACGAUAUAGGAGUAUUGACUACAAUAAAGAUUUUGUUAGCAAAAUAAUUUGAUAUGAAUGACCUGGGGGAGGCAAGUUAUAUUCUUGGUAUCAAGUUACUACGAGACCGGAAGAAUAAAACUUUAGCAUAGAUAGAAAUGUUAAAUUUUGGAAAAAGGCCAAGAACACAUGGUAUGUAAGUUGCAGAGAUCCAUUUAUAGAUUGAAGCAAGCAUCCCGGUCAUGGAACAUCAGAUUUGAUCAAGCGAUUAAAUCACUUGGAUUCAUUCAGAACAUUGAUGAACCAUGUGUGUACAAGAAAAUUCAGGGAAAAUUUGUAGCCUUCCUAAUUCUUUGUGUAGACAAUAUUCUUCUGAUUGGAAACGAUAUAGGAGUAUUGACUACAAUAAAGAUUUUGUUAGCAAAAUAAUUUGAUAUGAAUGACCUGGGGGAGGCAAGUUAUAUUCUUGGUAUCAAGUUACUACGAGACCGGAAGAAUAAAACUUUAGCCUUGUCUCAAGCGGUCUAUAUCGAUAAGAUAUUGGCUAGAUUUAGCAUGGAAAAUUCCAAGACUGGUUUAUUACCAUUCAGACAUGGAAUUACAUUCUCUAAGGAUCAAUCACCUAAAACAUCUGAAGAGAUAGAGAGAAAGAGACGAGUUCCCUAUGCAGACGCUGUGGGAAGUCUCGUGUAUGCCAUGCUUUGCACUAGGCCAGACAUCUGUUUUGCGGUAGGGAUGGUUAGCAGAUAUCAAUUUAAUCCUGGAUCUCUAUACUGGACUGCAGUCAAGCAUAUUAUAAAGUAUCUGAAAAGAACUAAAAAUUAUAUGCUUGUGUAUUCUGGUGAUGAACUCAUUCCAGUGGGUUAUACUGAUUCUGACUUUAUGUUAGAUAAGGAUUCCAGAAAAUCAACUUCCGGCUAUGUGUUUACAUUGGGAAGUGGAGCUAUUAGUUGGAUGAGUGUGAAACAAUCUUGUAUCACAGACUUAAUAACUAAAGCUGAAUAUGUGGCUACAUCUGAAGCUGCAAAAGAAGCUAUAUGGCUCCGCAAGUUCCUACGAAAUCUUGAGGUGGUACCUAUUGUAACUACACCCCUUAAACUAUUUAUGUGAUAAUGGUGGUGCAGUAGCUCAAUCUAAGGAACCAAGGAACCACAAGAAACAAAACAUAUUGAAAGGAAGUAUCAUCUUAUAAGGGAAUAAUGUAGAAAGGUUAUAUGACAAUACCCCAAAUGGCAUUAGAUGCUAAAUGGCAGAUCUUAUUACAAUGGCCAUUAGUGGGAAACCUUUAUAACCUGCACUUAGAGCCCUAGAGCAUGUGCAAUAUGCCAGAUAUGCUUUGAGAGCUAGUAGGAGAUUGUUGGGAAAAUAUGCUCUUUAAAAGCAUAUGUGUUUAUUUAAUUGUAAUAAACUAUUUUUCUGAUUAAUAAAAUAAAUGAGGUAUUUUAUUCAAAUAUCUUAAUUGCAUUAAUACUUGUAUUAAAGUCCAUUUAAUCAUAUUAUAUGUAUUUAUGUGAUUACCAUGUGGAUUCACAGAAAACAUAAAUACAAAUUAUCUUAUGAUUAAAUAAAUUUAGUUCGCAGUUGAUAAAUAAAGUUGGGCACUUUAUUUAGGUAUAGACUGUAAUAAAUUCAUUGAAUGAUUUGUCUUAAUCAUGUAUGAAUUUAUUGAUGUAGUACGACUACAUUGAACAGGAUCACAUAUGAGAUUUAAUUAACUUUGUAAUAACUGUCAGACUUAUUAAAUCUCAUAGGCGUUGAUUUUACUGUAAUCUUAAUCUUGAGUUAAUUAUGAUUUCAUGAUUGUAAUUGUUAUUCCAUUUGAGUUACCAAUGGGCACGACACAUCCUUGUGGUCAAGAUUACCCGGUAUCUUGGUGGGAGCAAUUAUGAGUAUUGGAGUUAUAGAUUAACAAUAUAGAAUUUGUACAACACAUCUCUUCAUGGGUUUUCGGCACUUGAUCAUGGAAUUCUCUGGCCAGAGUGUGUCAACAUAUUUAGUAUGUUGAAAAUGAUCAUUAGAGAAAACCAGUAAGGAUCAAGGAAUAAGAUGUUAUUAAAUUGAUUGGACAGUUGAGAUAUCAAUUUAAUUAACGAUGUGGUACAAAGGAUUGUGCAGUAAAGAAAUCAAUGUGGCUUGGGACGAAUUAUUAUUCGAGCAUACAAUUAUGGAAGUCAGUUCCAAUCUUUUAGUGGAGUAGAUUUGGAAUUAAAUAAUUGGGCUAGUUUAAUUACAGGCCUAAUUAUUGUAGCCACUAUUGUAUGUUCCCAAAUGAUCCCCGGGUUAGCUCAUUUAAUUGACUGCACCACUACUGGACUAAUAAGUAAGAUAACUAGCUAUUUGGGUCAAAAGCCUAAAUAUAUCAUUUAGUGGGAGGCUCCAUUUAAUUAGCUUUUGUAUAAGGGGCCUUAUGUUAUUUUACAAGGUGGGUCCCCUAUUGAAAAAGCAAAUAAACGUGGGUUUUGUUUUUCAUUUAUUUGAAGCCUAGGGUUUUCACUAAAGGGUGAUAUAAAAGGCUUAUUUUUCCCUAAAGAAAAAGUGAGAAGCCACUUUAUACAGAUCAGAGAAAAAGAUUUUUCUCUCUAUUGUUGAGAGAAAAAUUUUCUCGUGCUAGUUGCUUUGGUAGUGAUAAAGGCGCCCACACGUCAAGUGCAGAUCGAACCUGAGUCAUAACCUGGAAGAUCAUUGGAGACUGUUCGUGAUCUAACAAGCGUGGUGGUGACGGAUCGUGAUCUAACAGGAGCGGUGGUGGCGGAUCGUGAUCUAGGAGCCUAAAACACUUCAGCGGAAAAAGCCAACUCGGAUUUUCAAGGUACGAUUUCUAGAAUACAAAUUCUUAUAUAUUAUAUGAGAGCGAUCUUCAAAAGGUUUUAUAAAAAAUUAAAAACCUAAUUUUUCCCCAACACAUGCAGCAAUAAAUAAUCAAAUUCUGUCCUGUAUAUUUUUAUUUAGAAAAUUGCAAAAAAGCUAGUCGCUAGAAAAAAGUAAUUAAUUAAGUAAACACUGGCUUUGCACUUUGCACUGUGUUUGCGGUAAACUUUUGUUAAAGACAAGUAUACAUAAACUACCAAGGCACUGAAAAUAUGAAAUCAAAACAAUAUAUUGAAUCAAAACAAUACAUGUCUAUAGCGAAGGAAUCUCAAAAUCUGCUCACUAGCUAUGGCUCGUGUAGAACAAACCUUCACAAACUGACCUUGUUGGUUGAUUGCUUUUGCUUGGCAAAUCAUAGAGUUGAUGCAACACAUCAGGUGGGAUGCACGUUCCUUCAUGGGCAUAUUAUCGAACACGUCCUAGGCAUGAGAAUUAUACCAUAAUUCCCCAACAACUCCCCUCUUCAGCUGGGCCUGCAAAUUCCAUAUAAUCAUUCCAUUGUCUAUUUUUCGUUCGUUCUGAACCUAAAUCAAGCUUGCCAAUUCAUCUGAUCAUAUUCAUAUAGAUAUUUGUCUGUCUUCCUAAAAUUCAACAUUUGUCCACCAAGUAUUAGACCCAUAAAAAUUCAGAGAGGAAAUGACAAGGAAGAGGGUGAGCUCAAUAGACAGUCUCUACCUCAGACCCUGUGUUUUUUUCCAGCUGCCGCUAAUUGCUAAACACGGUUAAGAAACUUGCACACCAAUCUGGACAGCUCAUCAAUGCCACGUCACUACCCCUUAAACUGAUUUUUAACAGAUUUUUCAAUAAAUAGAAUGCAAAUGAAAUAACAUUUGAAUGCAUGGUUAGUGACAAAUUCAGAUAAUAGUAGGUAUGUAUUUGAGUUCAUCUUUGAGGUUGUGGUUCCUCAUCACCACAGCAGCCAUUCCACUGGCUUCUGUACCAAAAACAUAUUUAAUUUAUUUAUAUUAAUAAUAUAUUUAUAUUGAUUUUUAAAGUUGAUUAUUGAGGGAUUAGAAACACUUAAUACAUCCCAUCAUCAUCAUCAACAACAACAACAACAACAACAACAACAACAAAGAAAGAAAGAAAAGACUCAAGAGUAUUUGCAAAAGAUAAUUAUAAAGAGCGACUAUGGUCAACGGUGGAGAAUGGAAUCAAAGACAUUGUCAAAGGUAGCAAAAGCUUCGAUAAUCUAAACACAGAGACUUUUCUUCAAGUAUAGUUAAAUAAUAAAAUAAUAAUUUAGAUUACUUAAUGAAACAAUAAGUAUUUAUGAUAAAUAAGAUACAUGGAAUAAACUAACCUCUCCGCUUAUCAUUUUCUCUAUUGUGUUUUUUUUUUCCUCUGUCUCUCCUUCUUGUUGUUUAGUAGAUGACACAACAUUUCAUUUUGUUUAUUCAAUUUGCUAUUGGAGCAUCUUUCAGGAAAGUACAGAAAUGUAAAUAUACAGCUAAUAUUAUAUUUAUGAAUUAUUUAUAUGUACAGUACAUACUAAGUAACUAAAAUAAGACAAAUGAAAUAAUAAAAAUAAAAAUAUAAAUUAGAUAAGAUCAAAAAUAUCAUAUGAUCAAUCUCUUUCAUCACCAACAUCUAAAACAUUAUUGCUGUAACGUUAUACAUUAUGUACGAAACAGGAAUGUAAGCACAGUAGUAAUAUAAUGUUAUACAUAUCAAAAUUAUGUCUACAAAUAAAAAGUAAAUUGAAAAAAGAUUAGUGAAAUAAUAAAAAAUAUAAAUAUAAAUGAUAGAUCAAAUAUAUCAUAUGAUCCUAAUUUAAUAAAUCAAUAAUGCCUUAGUAGACAAUAUAGUUUAUGGUAGAGAAUAUUACUUAUCCUCUUAACAUUGUUUGCUCAAUAAUCUUUACUUUUGAUCCAAGCAUCUUUGAUCCAAAAAUUGGUAGAGAAUAUUACUUAUUAACGUUAUAAAUCCAUCCGCAAUUAAUAAAGGAUCACAGCAUAUUCAAAAAGCAAUUAAUUUCUAUUUAGAUUUUUAGUACUCAUGCGAAAUAGAGAAACAAGAUAUGUGCGUAUGAAAUUAUUAUGGAUUACAAGCUACUCGAUCAAAACUCGGAAUCAAAUAAUUGAAUGGGUGUCGAGCACGCUUGUGGAAAGAGUCACGGCACGAGCUCCCCUUCAUCAUCUCUAAAAAACCACACUUCAAAUAAAAAUAUUUUUUUUUCCUGCAAAUUACUUGCAUUCAUAACCAACUAUUUUUUUUAAUAGUUAUCAUUCAUGACUUCCUCUCUAUCCAAAAUAAAUUUGCUUAAAUUUAAAAUAUUAAAUUAUUCUUUUUCUAAUUUUUAUUGAUUGAACCUUAUUUUUAAAUUAAGAUUACUUUCAAAUUAUAAUUUGGAAUAUGUGUAAUGAAGUCCUAAUUAUAAUUUAAUAAGUCAUAAUUAUAAUUUAAAGUAUUUGUAAUUUAAGUCAAUGAUUUAUAUUAAAAAAUUCAUCACUGAUAAUUUGUAUAUAGGAUAGAUUGCAAAUUAACAAGAAUGUUAAAGAAAAGAAAAAUUAGAAGAGUGUAUUAAGAAAAAGGAUGUUUUUGGAAUUAAAAGUAAGAAUAACUAAAAAGAGAGAGAGAGAGAAGGUUUCAUGACAAUAUUAGAGGGGUGGCACUAGUCCAGCUCCAUACAUAGAAAUUACAAAGAAUCAACAAGAUAAUAACAAAAACACAUCCCAUACUCACAAUAUCCAAUUAGAGGGGCACCAAAUUUUUUUUGGCGAAAAUCCUCCAAUGCUCAAGUCAGUAAUUGGGUCUCUUUUAGAAAAACUUGUAUCACAAACUCAUGGCUUAAUUAUAUCAAUUGAAAGUUAGAAAUCUUAAUUCUCAAAAGAAGAAAAAUAAAUGGAGAGAAUUAUCGAGAGAGAAAAAGUCAAAGAGAGAGAAAAUAUGGAAAUAAAAAAAAAAUUGUCCAGCCCUUUUUACCUCCCAUUCUCCGUAGCUUUUAUACCCAACCUGAACCAUCGACUCCAUCUUCCCCACGAUUACUGUUGGCUUGGAAGUGAAAAGCGUGCUGUGUCUUUGAAAUCAUGGGUCAAUGGACAAUGUAACUGCCGCUGAAUGGGCUUUGUGCCCGAGUUUCUUGGAGACAAACUACGUGUUGGCCUUUGAUCAAGCCUUCGAUCUGACUCGAUUUUGGUCUCUCCUCGCAUGCCCUCAGGUCUGCUAUAUAGUACUCGUACGACCAGUAUUCAGAUUUUUUUGAUACAAGCAGUGGUCAAUAGAGUCAACUAAGAUAAAACUUAAAUUUCCCGCCCAAACAAAAACUAACAUACAUAAAGAAUUCGAAUCAUCCUUCAAUAAUAACAUAAAUAGCAACUACUGAGGCUAGUAAUUUGAUCAUUUCUGUAUUUGUCAAUGCAUUAUGGAUUCUAAGACCAGGCUCUAAAAUCAGCAAAUCCAAAAAUUGUUGAUAAUAUUACUUAGUAAGGUUACGAAUCCAUCCACAAGACAGCUGUAAAUAGUCAUAUAUCCUGACAUAUGAACUUUUUAUAUGAUUAAUAAAGGAUAAUAGCAUAUUCAAAAAUCAAUUUCUACUUAAAUUCAUAGUAGUCAUGCAAAAUAGAGAUAGUGAAUGUGUAUAUCACGGUGCAGAAGUAAACAAAGUAUGCAAGCAUGAUAAAACAAAGUUCAUGAUAUGUGCCUAUGAGAUUAUUAUAGAACGAACCUGCUAUAAAAAAAUGAUGCAGUGACUAAGCUGGAAGAAAAGGCCACCUAAGAUGUGAAUUUGCUGUUAUUUGAUUCAACUCUUCGGCAUGGCUCUUGAAGUUUGAAUCAGCCUGUGGCAGGCGAGUGAGCAAGCUGAUAUUGCUGUUGUAGAUAGCUGAAUCUUAUCAACAUUCUUCUUCCAUCUGAAUCUUGAGUGAGCAAGCCUAUGCCCUUAUCAACAUUCUUCUUCCAUGAAUCUGAAUCUUUCGGUCGAAGAUAUUGAUAGGAAUGCACAUAGGAGUAAUACGGUACUGCAUGUUCUAAAGGCAAAUAUUAAUUUUGUAAAGUACCUUAGCGAUUCUGCUUUUGCUAACUUUUUUACUGUCUCCACUGCACUCUGUUCCACAUAGUCGAAAUCAUUCUGCAUUUUGGCCCGAUUCUAACAAGACAAUCUAACUUCCAAGCUUUCAACUUUUCCCAAGGUCUCUGGCACAUUUUUAAGUUUGGAGCAACCACAGAGAUACAACGUUCUAAGAGAUCUCAAACCAUUUAUGGUACUUGGACGACUCUUGAGAUUUUUGCAAUCUUUCAAAUUCAACAAGACAUUGCCAGAAAGAAGUUCAAUAGAUGCUGGCAAUCCUCUUAUAGCAGUUCCUUCCAAAUGAAGCUCCAAGAGCUGAUCCCUGCUUGAAGUUUUCUCUGGGAACUCUCUGAAUUUCAAAGGGCUGGAGAGAUUCAAAGUUGAUAGAUAUUUUACAGCACUUAUUGUCCUUGGAAGACACUCAAGAUUUUUGCAGCCAUUCAGAGUCAACUGCGCAAGUCCAAAUAGAAGUUCAAUUGAUAAUGGCAGUUCUUUAAUAUCAGUUCCAUCCGAAAGAACUUCCCACAAUGUCUAGAAAUUCCUUCAAUUUCCAGCAACCAGAAAGAACACGUGUCUUAAGAGAUUUCAUAAAGAUCUUGCCUGGAAGAGUUGAAAGACUUGUACAACCUUUCAAAUUCAACAGAAUCAGCUUCUUUGAAGCAGAAAAAAUGAGUGAAUCUCCUGCAACCUUGUAAAUCUUUCAGAAAUCAGCUCCCCUAAAUUUGGUACUCUAGUGAAGUCUGAUUGGUCAUAUUAGAAAAGGCUUUAGCACUGACAUGCAUCUCUUUGAUGUUAAAGCGAUCAAAUAUGAUGCUUCAACUACAUCAGUUUCCUAAACACUAUAACAAAAAAUAAGUGGGAACAAAAAAAAAAUGAAACAAAGAAAAUAUUGAUAAAACUAUGCAAAGGUUUAACUAGUUAAAUAAGUGAUCAUGAUCCCAAAAUUGCAAGUUUUCAACCUAACUGAACAUUUACUUGUGCUUUGUGAUAAUACAUGGCAUAUAUCUGCUUUCUCCCACAAUCUAUUGCAGUUUCUAGGCUCCUGAUGGGAUUGCCUCCUAACAAUUUGUCUACCCCAUUUCUUGUAACUACUCAUGCAUCCACAGUCCGCUGAAAUCAUCUACAGUUAAUAGAGAUUUUUCAAUAGGACCAACAAUUUCAAUAAUUGGGUCAAAAUCACAAUAUUUGAGAAUUUUUGUCACAUAAUCUCUGUACUUCCCUUCAUAGAAACAUGCAAGAUCGAGAAAUAUUUUCUUCUCUGUUUCUUUUGACCCAUCAAAACUUAUUUGAAGUACAUCAAGAAUCUCAUUCUCAGGAUCUCCCUAUAGUCAUUGUAGUAUAAUUCUGAAAAUAUUUUCUUCUCUGCUUUGGAAAUUAAUGAUCUUCUUCUUCAUAUUUAUUCUGAAAAUUCAAAAACAUAAAUGAAAAUAAAGAGAACUGCAUGGCAUAAAACUUACAACUUUGAUUAUGUCGCAAGCAGCAUAGUAAUCAAAAUUUUUUAAAUAUCAACUACAUGUCAACGAUGCGGAAUUCCAAGGCAUCUUCUAUUAAACAAAAACAAAUAAUAAGAACCAACAGUUGUCAAUUCUUAUCAACAAAGUCUUCAAAUUGACAUUGUGAUCUGUUGUUUAACGAAAAAAAGGAAAAUCAAUUCCUAUGAACUAAGUCCUCGGACCAAAAUUAAACAUGGAGGUGGAGAAAAGAAAAAUCAAAAUCAAAUGUUGAAUCCUCUUGAUUGUUUCAUGGAUAAAUCUGAUCUAGAUCUGAGUCCAUAUUUAACAUAUUCAUCUACCCAUUUUCAGACAUACCAUGAAUUGUAAAUUAAGCCAAAGAUUCGCAAAAAGCAACAAAGAAACAAAAAACAGAUUCUAUGUUCAGCCACAAAUGGGCUAUUUCACAGCCAAGCACAAUGGUUAAGGAAGAUUGCUAGUAAACAAAUGAAGAAAAUUAAUUGCUUUUCACAGGUUCAAGAAUUAACACUAUUAUUGAUUGCUUCUCUAGUGGAAGAAAUAAUUUUGAAUAAAGCACAGCAUCAUUCCAACAAAUGUGACGAUAUUUUUUUCAUUCAUUCCAUGGCCGGACUCUGUUUUAUGUCUAAAACUCAAGAAAUUCUACAAUUCCUUCUUUCUACCACAUCAUUCACGAAACAACAAAUAAUCAAAUUCUGUCAUGUAUAUUUCUAUUUAGAAAUUUGCAAAAAGGUUAGCCGCUAGAAAAAGAAAAUAAUUGAUUAGAUAAACAUUGGGUUUGCACUGUGUUUGUGGUAAAAUUCUGUUAAAGACUAAAGACUCUCAGAAUCUGCUCACUAGCUAUGACUCAUGCAAGACAAACCUUCACGAAUUGACCUUGUUGAUUGAUUGCUUUUGCUUGGGAAACCAUAGAGUUGAUGCAACACAUCAGGUGGGAUGCACAUUCCUUCGUAGGCAUAUUAUCGAACACGUCCUAGGCACGAGAAUUAUACCAUAAUUCCUCAACAACUCCUCUCUUGAACCUGGCCUGCAAAUUCCAUAUAAUCAUUCCUUUGUCUAUUUAUCGUUUGUUCUGAGCCCAAAUCAAGCUGAGAUCGAUCAUAUUCAUAUUCAACAUAUGUGCACUAAGCAUAGUAACCUCAAUUCCGAGGUUCAAGUAUUUAAACCCAUAAAAAUUCACAGAGGAAAUGACAAGGAAGAGCGUGAGCUCAAUAAACACUCUAACUCUUCGCUCUACCACGGUUAACAAACUUGGACACGUCACUAACCCUUAACUGAUUUAUAACAGAUUUUUGAAUAAAUAGAAUGUAAAUGAAUUAUCAUGUGCAAAAUAACAUUUGAAUUUGAGAUGCGCGCGGUGAUAAAGUCAGAUAAUAGUAAAAAUAAAAUAGUCAAGAAUAAUAAAUUUAUAUUUUUUAUAUUAAUAAUAUAUUUAUAUUUAUUUUUAAAAUAUAAUAUCAAUUUUUGGCUUACUAUAGUCAAGAAUAUAAUAGUAAAAAUAAAAUAAAAUAAAAUAAAAAUUACACAAAAAAUAAAUAAGCAUGUCGAAAUUGUAAAAAGAAGUCAACUAUUAUGUGAUCACUUAAGUUAUAGUUACGUAUGAAUCAAAUUUCUACUUUAAUUGAUCUUGCACAAUUUUAUGUUAUCCUUUCUUUAAUGAAAAGAAAAUACCAUACCGAAAAUCCCAAAAUAUAUCAGAAAAUUUUACUUUCCACAUCCUGACGGGAGAGUGUACCUGAGCAAAUCUUAAAUAGAGAGGAUUUUUGUAAGUAAAUGAAUUCCAAUGAAGUACUUUGCUUUAAGAGAACUUAAGCUAAUCAGGGAAGUAUAUUUAUUUUAAGGAAAAGCAGAGGAUUUUUAUGAGUAAAUGCCUCUUAAAUUGAAAGAAAACAAAAGGAUUCAAGAGCCUACCUUUCUUGAUGAGUCCUGCAGUGGAAUGAUCGAAUGUUGGAUCACGUUAAUGGCCGAAAGAAAAUCACAAGUGGAAAACUUCCUUUUGAUCACAAUAUAAAUGCCUUCUUUCUUCAAUGGAUUGUUCAAUGUUCUCUUUUUUUCAGCAUAUGGAUAAGAGAAGAAGUUGAAGAAGCAAUUGUUUUUUUUUGUGUUGUUGGGGGAAAAAAUGUGUACUCACAUUGAGUUCCAACUCAACAAGUACCGAAAAAACUGUACAUAAAUAAUCAAAUUAGCAAAGAAGAGAACAUAAUCUCCCUCUAAUAUUGACUGAGUGAGUGAUUAGGAACACUUAAUCUAUCACAUCCAAAAAAAAAAAAGAAAAAGAAAAAAAGAAACACUUAAUACAUAAUAAUACUUAAUACAUAAUAAUGUAAGACAAACAUUCAUGGGAAGCAAUGUUGGAAUACAAAACUGCGAGAAAACUUAAUGCUUUGAGCGUGUUGGACGCACUGAAAGAUGAUGAAAAUUUACCUUGCCAAAGAUAAUUCCUCUUUAUAAAGGAGAAAUGUUCCAGUCCGGAAUUUUAAAGUGCGGGAAAGUGCAGGAAAUCUUUAAAACUGCAUGGUUUUAAAGGCUUAAACUGUAAGCCUUUAAAACCGUGCGGUUUUAAAGCUUUCCCGGACUUUCCCGCACUUUAAAAUUCAUGACCAGAAAACUACUACUUUAUAAAGAUCUUUUCAAUUUUGUUUGUUUCAAAGAAAUCAACGAGAGGAUUUCAUGCUUUCUAAUUAAUUCCUCCAAUAAAUGUAAUAAUAUAUACAUUGUAACAUAAUUUCAAUACUUAGAAAAUAUUUUAAUAUUUUACAAUCUAUUAGAUAUAUUUUAUUAUAUAACAUAAAAUUUUAUAAUAAAUAGAAUCAUAAUAUUAAAACAAGUGUAUUAAAAUUUAAAUUAUUUUGAAUAUUAUGGAAAAUAAUAAUAACAUUAGUAUGUGAGACUUUGUUAUUGUAAAAUAUAUUUAAUGCAAAUAUUUAUUUAAAAUAUCUAAAAUAAAUAAAUAUAUUAUUAAAUAAAUAUAACAAUUUAUAUAUUUAAAUUUAUUAAAAUAUUAAGUUAUUUUAAUAUUCUUAGUCUAUUGCGUAGAUUACAUUAUUUAUGUAAUAUUUCUAUUUAUUAAAAAUUUUAAAUUCAAUUUUUUAAAUGACAUAAUGGUCAAAAAGGGGUCUUAGUGUCCCUUUUUUAAAAGUUGUGGGUGUUGGUGACAAUUUCUUCAAAUUUAGGGGUUUACAUGUCCCUUUUCCUUAAAAGAAAGAAUAAUUAAAAAAAAAUGGGUAAAAGCUCGUUUAGUCCCUAUAUUUUGAAGUUAAUGUCCGUUUAGUCCCUAUAUUUUUAAAAAUACUUCAAAGCAUCCCUAUCAUUAAAUUAUUGACAUUCUUGCCAUUAUCUUUUGUUCAUUUUGACUUAUUUUUACAAUAUUACCCUAUUACAAUAAUGUUCCUUUUUUUAAACAUUAUUAAAAAGAAAAAUUAAAUUAUCAGUUUAACACUAAAAAAUAAAAUAAAAACAAUAUAUACAUUAAUUUUUGUGGAACACUCUGCUGAGAAGUUAAAAUAUUAAUUUUUAAAAAAAAUUGAUAUCUUAAUUUUUUACAAAAUUAAAUUUUUUUGGACACACAUGAGCUUCCACAAAAAUUAAUAUAUAUCUUUUUUGUUUUUUAUUUUAUUUUUGGGUUUAAUUUGAUAAUCCAAUUUUUUUAUUUAUAUCUAAAAAAGAAACAUUACUGUAAGAGUGUAAAAUUGUAAAAGCAUGCUAAAAAAAUAAAAAAUAAUGGCAUAAGUGUCAAUAUUUAAUAGUAAGGACGUUUUGAGGUAUUCUUAAAAAUAUAGGGAUUAAAUGGGCACUAAACUCAUAAUAUAGGACCAAACAAGCUUUUACCCAAAAAAAAAGUCUAAUGAGAAUAUUAGAGGGGUGGCAAUAAUCCAACUCCGUGAAAAAGAAUCAACAAGAAAAUAAUAAAAGAUAUUUUUGAAAUUAACUCACGCAUCCGUUAAAGAUCAAGACAAGAACUUAAGUCUUAGAAAAGCUUAGCUGUGAAGCUAGACCUCAACUUCAUGUGAAAUUUAAAGUAAAUUUUCACAAAUAAAAAGUAAAUGAAAUACCAUAUGCAAAUUUAAAGAACAUAAAUUGAAAUUGGGAUGCGUACUCUCACUGUUACACCAGGCCUUACCCUUCAUUUGAGUUGUUUAAAUCUUUUAGGUGGUUGUUCGUCAUCAUCAUCACAGCAGGCAGCAGCCACUGCCACUGGCUUCAGCUGCCACUGCAUUUUCUGCAAGGCUUCGCUUUGAUGUUGUGGCUACUUCCAUUUUUGAUCCAACAAAAUUAUGAUGGGAUUCAUUCAUAUUUGAACGUCAUAGUGAAUGCUUAGGGACAUGAAAAACAAAGCAAAUAGCAUAUCCCACAACCUUCUUUGUAUUAUACAAAUAUGAAGGCCUUGUGACUGUUUUUGAAGAACCCUCAUUCUGAUACAUGAACCACUUUGGAAUUUCACUUCCUGGAACAACGAUGUGCAAACGAUGGCUUGGAUCUGACAUUGCCUGCAACAAAUGGGCUAUUUCACAGCCAAGCAAGAAAACAAAUGAAGAAAAUUAAUUGCUUUCCACUGGUUCAAGAACUGACACCAUUAUUGAUUGCUUCUCUAUUAGAAGAAAUGAUUUUGAAAAAAGCAGAGCAUCAUUAAAACAAACGUGAUGAUAUUUUUUCAGUCAAUAUUAAAUUAAUAUUUUAUUGAAUUUUCUACGUGAAAAAAAAAAAAUUGUGGCAAUAGAUGUAUCAUAAAGUUGCAGCAUAAUUGACUUUAUUGAUUAACUGGGAAAUCAUAAAGUUGAUUUUGUUGACUGUUUGAUUCUGAUUGCUUAGGAAAUCACAAAGUUACAGCAACAGAUGCAUCAUGUCGUUGCUCUCCAACAGGUUAAAAAUUUAUUUAGUCCUUAUAUUAUGAGGUUAGUGUUCAUUUAGUUCUUAUAUUUUUAAAAAUACCUCAAAACGUCCCUGAUGUUAAAUAUUGGCCCUCUUGCCAUUAUUUUUAUUAUUAUUUUAGCUUGUUUUUACAAUAUUACACUUAGUAAUAUUUCUUUUUUGGAUAUUAAUAAAAAAUUAAACUAUCAAAUUGAACCCAAAAAUAAAAUAAGACAAAAAAGAUAUCUAUUAAUUUUUGUUAAAGCUCACGUAUGUCCAAAAAAAUUAAUAUUGUAAAAAAUUAAAUUAUCAAUUUUUUAGAAAAAUUAAUAUUUUAACUCCUCAGCAAAGUGUUCUACAAAAAUUAAUGUAUUUUUUGUUUUUAUUUUAUUUUUUGUGCUAAACUAGUAAUUUAAUUUUUUUUAAUAAUGUCUAAAAAAAGAAACAUUAUUGUAAUAUGAUAAUAUUGUAAAAACAAGUAAAAAGGAACAAAAGGAAGUGGUAAGGGUGUCAAUAAUUUAAUAGAAAGGAUGCUUUGAUGUAUUUUUAAAAAUAUAGGGACUAAACGGACACUAACUUCAAAAUUUAGGUACUAAACAAGAUUUUACCCCUCUCCAACAUACCAGGUGGAUGCAUUCCUUCUUGGGUAUUUUAUCAAACAUGUUCUGGGCAUGCUCUUGACCUGCAAUUCUAUAUUAAAAGACGAACGAGGCCGGCCCUGGGUCAAUUGUUUUAAAGUUUUUUAUUUUGUGAUCAAUUACUUUUAAAUAAAUCCAAAAUAAAAAUUCAUUUUUUUAUUAUUUAGUCUAAUAAUAGCAAUCUGAUUUCCUCUCUGUAAUUUUUAUUUUAGGAUGCCAUCUAGUUGAGAUACUAUACUUAUUAUGUUGAAAACAAGAUAUUCGGAAUUCUAAAAUAAAAAUUACUUUUUUUUGUUUAUUUAUUCUAAUGUUAUGUUUGUACUUAUUUUAAAAUUUAAAAUCAAUUUUAAUAUUACUAUAAUUAAAAGGUAUAAUAGCCAAAAAAAGAUAUUAUAAUGGAAAAAGGAUAUCUACACCCCCAAAGUUUAGAGAAAUAAUCAUUGACAGCCACACAUUUUUAAAAUGGAACACCAAGACCAUCUUUUAACAAUAAUACCCUUUAACCUCUAUUAUCCAAAAAACAAUCAACUCUAAUGUUUUAUAAUAAAUAGAAAUAUAACAUUAAAAUAAAUGUAAUAAUGUAUAUGUUGUAAAUUAAUUUCAAUACUUCAAAAAUAUUUUAAUAUUUUGCAAUCUAUUAGAUAUAUUUUAGUAUAUAAAAUUAAAUUUUAUAAUAAAUAGAAUCAUAAUGUUAAAACAAGUGUAUUAAAAUUUAAAUUAUCUUGAAUAUUAUGUAAAAUAGUAAUAACAUUAGUAUGUGAGUUUUUUUAUUGUAAAAUAUAUUUAAUGCAAAUAUUUAUUUAAAAUAUCUAAAAUAAAUAAAUAAAUAUUAUUAAAUAAAUAUAACAAUUUAUAUAUUUAAAUGUAUUAAAAUAUUAAACUAUUUUAAUAUUCUUAGUCUAUUGCGUAGAUUACAUUAUUUAUAUAAUAUUUCUAUUUUUAAAUGGUCAAAAAGGGGUCUUGGUGUCUUUUUUUAAAAAAAGUUGGGGGUGUUGGUGAACAUUUCCUCAAAUCUGGGGGGUGUGGAUGUCGUUUUUCCUAUUAUAAUUGCUAUAUUAGAAUGAGAGAAAUAAAAAACCAACAAGUACAUAUUAAUGAUACGAAAGUUUUCAGAUUACAUAAUUCAAAUGAAUAUAUAGUUUAUCAAGAAAUCAAAAAUCCAAGUUGGAUUGCAAUUUCAAUUAGCUAAUAGCGAAACAUGAACAUAAUACUAAGCAUGAGUAUAAAAGGGCUUUGCUCUUUAUUAGAUUUCUUAAAUUCUUGUAGCAUGAGGUUCUUCAUCAUCAGUAAGGCUUCGCUCAAAAAGAAAAAAAGAAAAAAUCAAAACACAAACACAAUAUCUAGAGAUGUUUAGAGAGAAAAUUGCAAGCAACAGAAUGGGCAUCAUACAAUAUACCUCAUCGGUCAUCAGCUUAUUAUGGGUUUGUAAUAAUUUCCCGCCCUUUCUAACCGAUUUAACAGCUACAUGCUGACACUAAUGCUCUUCAAAACGACAGUAUUUUCAGGUCGUUUGAUCAUUAUGUAUAAGUGAGUGCACGUGACCAACGCGUGCACUCACUUACUAAGUUUAGACGACUUGAGCCAGACGUCGUACACGAGUCCUCUAGGAGUAAUCGAGAGAUCGUAUGCAAAGAAACAUCAAUUCAUACUAUCAUUUAUUAUUCAGCCCACAUUGCGUCUGGUCUGGGAAUUAGAUUCUGGUUCAUUCUUGAACAAUAGGCAUAAGUGGCAACUAUCACUUGGGAUUUCUCCUCCUUCCACUGGUAGAUUACAGUCACUGAGAUCCCAUUUUGUUAAAGAACAUAAGCCUGAUAGAGAAGGUAACAUCAAAUUAGUCAUGGGAUCUAAACUCCUUCACAUCAUAUUGGUAGGGAAGCACAAAUCCCAUGAUGUAGAUGAUAGUGGUCCACUGGUUUAAGAUUCUUCAAGAUAGAAACAGACGUCGGAAGUUGCCUAAUUGCUGUUCCACUAAUAUCAAGCUCUUCCAAGCUAUCUACUUUCCCCAAGUUCUCUGGCACAUUUUCAAGUGUGGAGCAGCCAGAGAGAUUCAGAAUUUUAAGAGAUUUCAAACCACUGAUGGGACUUAGAAGACACUCGAGAUUUUGCCAAUCUUUAAAAUUCAACACAACAAGGCCAGUUAGAUAUUCAACUGACAAUGGCAAUUCUCGAAUAGCAGUUCCAUCUAAAAUGAGCAUAGUUAGAGAUUUUAAACUUCCCCAAAACUUUUCCAGCUUCGAGCAACCAGAGAGCGUUAGAGUUCUUAAACAUUUUAAUCUACUUAUAGUAAUUGGAAGACUCAAGAGAUAUUUACAACCUUUUAAAUUUUGCAAAAAAUGCCAGAGAGAUAUUCAAUUGACAUUGGCAAUCCUCUUAUAGCGGUUCCCAACAAUCGAAGCGCCAACAGAUGUUCCAUACGUCCCAUGAUCUCUGGAAACAAUCUGAAUUUCAAAAGGCCAGAGAAAUUCAAAGUGGAAGGAAAUUUUAGAGCACUUAUGAAAUUUGGAAGACACUCAAUAUUUUUACAACCUUUCAAAUUCAACUAAACAAUUCCAGAUAAAAGUACAAUUGAUAAUAGUAGUCCCUUAAUAUCAGUUCCAUCCAAAAGAAGCUGCCGCAAAAACUUCAUAUUUCCCACAAUCUCUGGAAAUUUCUUCAACUUUGAGCAACCAGAAAGUACCAAUGUUUUUGGAGAUUUCAUAAAAAUUAACCUUAAGUUCUGAAAAGUCAUAUACCAUGCAUUCGACUACUUCAGUUCCUUACAAAUCAUAAAAGCAGAUGAUAAGUGCAGACUAGGAUGUGAAGAUGUCCAUAAAAUUAUUUAUGCAUAGAUUUAAAGCAUAGAAUGUCAAGCAAAACAAAUGUUUGAUAGAAUGAGCAAUAUGCUCAAUGAAAUGCCUCUAUGAGUCAAGCAUGUCAGAUGACUCAUAAGAGUGAUUCAGCAAGAGAUGAGAAUAAUUUGGAAUAGUCAUGAAGAUAAGAUCAAAGAUUGAAUUAAGCAAAUGUGGGCAGACCUUUCUCAGGGCACAAAGUCGUUUCCUUCGUAUCAAUGUAACGAUGACCAAAGGAUCUCCUUAAAAGCCUACAUUGUGAAAUUGAUAGCUUGGGCAAAGGAAAACAUUUUGUACGUGUAUCAUUAAAAAAAUGAAUAAAAUGUAGGCUGCAUUACAGAAUAUGUUUUACUUUGCAUUAUAUAAUGAUAGCAAUUUUAUACUUCAUUUCUUGACUUUUAGAAUCACGAACUCAAAAUACAUGCAUUGCACUUUGUCACUUACCCUUUUUUUUGUUAACACAUGAUGUACAUCUGUUAUGUUCCACAAUCUGCUGCUGUUGUUCAGCUAAUGUUCUUACAACAUUAGCUGAUUGGUUUACAACACUUUCGACAGCUACACAUAUCCUUUCCCUGGCUGAUUGGUUUUGAAGGCUUUCAUACAAAGAAGUCCAAGAGCUUCAUCAUAGUAUAGUUGCUUAAGGACCAACAAUUCGUCCACUCUAUGUGUUGUCAACGAUGCUUAUCUCUAGAUGUUAUGAUGAUCCUGCUGCCUGAACUUUCUAGCUAACCUUUUUGUGUCGUAGCCCACUUCGAAUUAUGUUGAUAACAUUAUAUACAUUCCAUUUUGUUAGGAAAUCUGACCUCUUUUUUCUGAGGUUUAUCUAACGUUGGCAAGAAAACUACUUACUUCAAAUUCAUGAUAGAUCAAGUUAUAAACAACCUUUGCAAGAGCUGCCUUACCUAUACCUCCGAUAUCACAGAUCCCUAUCAUACGAAUAUCAUUAGGCCCUUUAUCCAUUAGAAUCGUUAGCUUCUCCAAGUGUGAAUCCAUUCCUACUAGCUCUUUAAGAGUCUCUGAUUUUAAAGGAAUUUUGCUUGAUAUCUCAUUGACAAUCUCCAUAAUAAAGUCUGAUUCAUUCCUGCGGGUUGAGUAGAACAAGAAAAGAUUUGUGUUGGUGAGCUAAAGCUAGUGUGAGCGUAACGUAGUGUCAAAAAAUUAGAUAAUAUAGAUCUACAAAACGGAAGUGAUAAAGUCAUAACUUGUGUUUGAUUAAUCUCUAGGUUAUUCUUCAUGUAACUCUUCUCUAAUUUCGUCUAUAACUCUUCGUAUGUAGAUAUUCAUUGAUCAAGUUAUUAUUUCAAUUAAAUCCUAUGAUUUUAACAAAUUCUUAUACAUUUAUUCUAUUGUCUCUCCCUGUUCUUAUGCCUAAAACUUGAUAAAUUCUAGAAUCCCUCUGCUCUACCACAUCAUUCACCCAACAACAUAGUAUAAAAUCUUGUCAUGUAAAGUUUAUUGGAAAAUUGUAGGUAAGUUGGUUGUUUCAAUAACGAGAUGAAUAUGAACGCUAUUUUGGUAAAAUCUUAUUGUUGAUACAAAUAUGCACAUGCACAUGCACACACUGAACAUGAAACUAGUAAAUAAAUAUACUGAAUAAAUAUUGGCAGUUUUUUAAUAGUGGAGAAAUCCAGACAUCUUCUCACUUAUUAUGAUUCAUGCAGAACAAACAAAAAUUAGUUGAUCCACAUCUUAGAAAAUUAAUCAUUGAGAAUAAGAAUGAUUACCUAUCUUUCAAUUCCUAGCCAAAGAUAUUAGCCACCUCUUGCAGAGCGCCUCUCCAUUUUUGCACCUUUUCUAUAUUCUCCUUCAAGAACUUCUUCAUGAUUAGCAAUCGCUUCUUGAAAACUUCCUAUAUGUUUCCUUACCACUGUUGGUUCAACAUCAUAGAAAAUUGGAAAAACCAAUUGUUGGCGAACAUGACGUGUUCUUCCAUUCAACAAUCUUAACAAGUUCAUCCAAGCACCAAGUUGAAGAAGCACAGUUUCUUGAGAAGACAAUAACUGAAAUUCUUGAUUCUUCAAUUACUUUAGACAGUGUUGGUGAAAUGGAUAUUCCCCUUUCACGUUCUUUUUCAUCACUGAAUACAUUAAUUCCAGUUUUAUUCAAAGUGGACUAGAGGUGAUCUGAAAAGUUCUUGCAGUGCGGGUGUCUUGUCUUCACCUCUGAAGCUCAAGCAGACAUGGUAGUUCCUGGGAUGCUCAUGAUGCAAGCAAUUGACUCCACAACCUCUUAUUGCAAUAAGUAACUGGCUGUUAAAUAAUCGUACUUCAGCAAACGAAAAUAAAAUACCAGCAAGUAAAUUGAAACAGUGGAAAACACCCAGAGUAUACCAGUAAAGUGGCAACAGUUUUGGUUCUUGGCAACAAGAGAAAAAAAAAAUUCUCAUUCAACUGCUUUAAUUGAAUUUCUUAUGUGAAUAAAUUGUAGCAACAGAUGUAUCGUCUCAUUGUUCAACAUAUCAGGUGGGAUGCAUUCCUUCUUGGGCAUUUUAUCGAACAUAAUUUCUCAAAAAUUCCUUCCUUAAACUUAGCUUGCAAUUCCAUAUAAGGUGAGAUCGAUCAUCUACAUAUUUGUUUUUCAUCCUUCCAAUGCUUGAAUUUCUUCGAAAAUCCCUGCGAUAUAAUUUACUUGAUCUAGGUUGUUCUAACUUUUUUUCCUUUUUUUUUUUUGAUGAAUCCUCACCAAAGUGAGGAGGUUUUAUUAAAAUAAAAUAAAAAUAUAGCAAGAAAACCAGCCAAACUAAAAUUACAAAAGCUAGCUGAACAGAUAGCUAGGCAGCCUAAAAACAUCCUCAUGCAAAAGAGAAGCAACAUGAAGGGUGCAGAGUCCCACCAAGUAAAGGAAUCCACCAUGGCACCUAAAUUGCUCAAACAAUCAGCUACCCUAUCAGCCUCCCUGAAGACACGAGAAAAGCGCAACGUCAUGGAAUCCAUGAGAGCAAAACAAUUAUUCCAUCGAUGAAUAAGAAACCAUGGGUGGAAGCCGCUUGUUACAAAGAUGAAGCACAGUUAAAGCAGAUUCACAUUUGAUCCAUGACGUAGUCCAACAUUCAAAAGAAGCAUGCUCAAUCGCCAAGAUAACAGCAAACAGUUCAGCAACAAAAGCCGUUUCAACAUGUAAUGGACAAGAGAAAUCCCCCAGAAAUUCUCCCUCACAGUUUCUGAACACAGCCCCACAAGCGAAAACAUGCAAAGAACCUUCAGCGAUUUUUGACUAUAAACGUAAGCAGAUUUUUAAUUUUAAUAUACGCAUUAAUGAUUUAACUAAUUUUAUGUAUGUAUUUAUAUUUUUAAUUUUUUCUCAUUCCUUUUUAUGUAAGAGUGAGUUGAGGCUCGACCCCAAUUCGGCCUUUAAACUAAGACCUUGUUCCUUAUACAUGGGCCCAAAUGGGCUUGGGUCAUUUAUUUCAAGAGUAGCCUUUUGACAUCCCUUAAAAUUUCUUAUAAAACUCAUUUUCUAUUAAAACUACUUGAAUAACUAUAAAUAAAUAAUUUUUUUUAAAUUUUAAAUGGGAUUUCAAUUAAACACUUAAAUAAAUUAAGGUUUUAAUAAAUAAUUUACACCCACAUCAUUUCAUAAUUUAUAUCUAUAUUUAUGAGAAGAUAUUUAAUUUUAAUAAAUGAGUUUAUAUUUUAUAAAUUAAAUAAGAAGUAUUUUUGGAAAUAAAAUUCAAUAAGUGGUGUUGUCUAUUAUGUUUCAGAUAGAUCACCAAAACUAUUGGUGUGUUAAAACUUCACUUACUUUCAAAUCUUAUUGAAGACAAUAUGAAUUUGAUCCAACUUAAUGCUAGUUAAUAUGUUGGUUUAAUGCCUAUGUUGGGGGUGUCAAUGCCUUUGCAUUCAACCAUUUCAACUAUAGACAAUAGAUCUAUGCUGUAUUUUCUUUGUGAUAAAUAUACACAAUGUGCGUCUUGCAACACUUUAAUUCCAAGGAAAUAAGAUAAUAUUCCUAGGUCUUUUAAGGCAAAUGCUUUCCUAAACUGAAUUAUAAAACUUUUUAACUUUAUAGUACUUGGACUUGUAAUGAGUGUUUCUUCUUAUGAAAAGAGAGGUAUCCAAAUUAGUAUUAAUAAAACCCUAAUGGAAUAAACAGCUUUUUAGCUUAUCAAACUAAGCUCUAGGAACUUGUUUGAGUCUCUAUAGACAUUUGUACAAUUUGCACACAAACUCAGGUUUCUCAGCAUUAAUAAAGCCUUUCGGCUGACGCAUGAAUACUUCCCUAGUUAACUCUCCAUUAAAAAAGGCAUUGUUAACAUUAAUUGCCUUAUUUUCCAUUAGUUCAUCACUCCUAGGCUCAGUACCACUCUAAUAAUAGCUAAUUUAACCACUUGACUGAAUGUGUUAAAGUAAUUCACCCCUGCCACUUGCUAAAAUCCUUUAGCAAUAAGCCUGGAUUUAUACUUAGCUACAUUUCCAUCUUUGUUAUACUUGAUCCUUUACACCCAUUUAUUGUCAGCAACAUGAUGACCAGCUUGUCUUGGAAUUAAUGUCCAUGUAUUAUUCUUAACCAAAGCAUUAUAUUCUUCUUUCAUAGCUUGCAGCCCUCUGGAGUCAUCUAAUGCCUCUUGUACAUUAUCAGGUUCUUUAUGAAUGAGAGCAACAGUUGUUGUAUCUUUUUUUUUUGUUUUGUUUAUUCAAUAACAAAAAAACUGAUGUUAGAGCAUCUUCCAGGAAAUUAUAUACGAAAACGGAAACAUAAGUACAAUCAUAUUAUAUUCUUAAAUUAUGUCUACGAAUACAAAGUAAAUUAAAAUAAGAUUAGUGAAAUAAUAAAAAUGUAAAUAUUAAUGAUAGAUAAAAAAAAAUAGCAUAUGAUAGUAAUGCCUUACUAAACAAUAUUAUAGUAGAUGGCAAGUCUAGCUAUUUGAAGAGAACUUUAAAACCAUAGGCAUCUAAAAAAUUACCGAAAAUAAACUUUAUUAUACGCUAAUUAUUCCGUGCCAUUUUCCUGAGCACUUUUGUAUAUUUUAGAAAUGCAUACUUAAACAAUCUGAUCAAGUAUGAAAGCAUUUUCGAUUCAUGGAAGGUAACAACUUUGAAGAUGAUAUUUUGGUUUUGUGGUAAUUUAACAUAUAUGAAAUAAAAAUUGCCAACUGAAAUUGAUGAUGCAUGCUUACUGAAAUAUUCAGAGAAUAGUAAGCAGGCUUCUCCCUUUAUUUGAGUUUACUAAAUGGAUUCUUGAGGUUGUGGUUCCUGAUCACCUCAACAUAUGCAGUAAGGCUUCGCCUUGACGUUGUUGCUACAACCAUCUUUGAUGCAAAAAAAUUUGAGGGGAUGCAUUCAUAUUAUAAUUGGUAAAGCGAUUCCAUUGGAUUGUAGUUUUGUCAAACUCCUCCAUAUAAACUAGUGGAUAUCACACCUCUCACCUCCGAUCCUGGCAAGAACACACCCCUGAGAAGUUACAGAAUUUAUGAUUACAGUCCACAAAGCAUUUGUACUUUUCAUGGGAAUGAAUGGAAAAAAUAUUAUCUAUUUAUUACAGUCCACCGCAUGGUUUUAAAGUUUUUCCGGACUUUCCCACACUUUAAAAUUCUGGAUCAGAAAACUACCCUAUUUGGCAAUGACACAGUCCACAAAGCAUUUAUACUUUUCUUUGGCUACUAACACAUGAUAGAUUGAAAACGAAAACGAAGCUAAUGAGGAGGCAUAUUCCAAUAGGCAUUAUAUAUGAUCAUUAUGUUUUUUCGGUGAAGGAUAUGUUGCAUGUUCUUAGGGAUUGGAUCGUGGAAAAAAGACUUUGGAACCGAUUCCUCCCUGUGGCACAAUGCCAUCAAUUCUUUUCUCUUAAUCUAAAGGAAUUGACUUGUCAAAAUCUAUUGAGUAAAAGGCUGUUGGGUUCAAAUUUGAAGUGGAGUACUUUAUUUAGAGUACUUUGUUUGGAACUUUGCAAGUUCGUUAGUGAACAUCAAGCUUGCUUGGCAUUGUUAAAGUUUUGGAAAUAUGAUGGGUGACCUUCAAGUAGUUGGAAGAGUUAAAAAGCUCGACAAGAAAAAUUACAAUACGUGGGCAACAUUGAUGGAGUCUUGCUUACAAGGUCAAGAUCUCUAGGAGAUUGUUUGUGGUAACAAUAUGAGACCACUAACUGAGGAUGCCGCUUUAAAGAAGUGAAGCAUUAUAGCUGGAAGGCCAUGUUCGCCAUCAAGACUACAAUUGAAGAAGAAAUGCUGCAACACAUAAAAAAGGUUAAAAUACCUAAGAAAACUUGGGAUACUUCUACAAUGAGUUUUUCAAAGAAGAAUAACAUAUGGCUACAACUUUUGAAAAAUGAGCUACUAUCAAUUUUAUAAUGAAACAUGAUGAUUGACGAGUACUUAAACAAGUUAAAAUUCCGAUACCAUAAAAUUUCUAGGUUAGAUUCUACUGCUGUAAUUUCUAAAUUUAGAAUAAAGAGAAUUAUUGUCAAUGGUUUGAGGCUUAAGCUUAAGAGCUUUGUUACAACUAUCUAAGGUUGUCCAACUCAACCAACCAUUGAGAAUUUUGAAAACUUACUUACUGAUCAAGAAGUAAUUGACAAGCAAUUGAGUGGGGCCUUAGUAAUGGAUGAUGAGGAAAUGUUAUUUAUUGAUAACCCUACUAGAAAAAUGACUUUUACUAAUAUUAAGUUGCUGAUACUAAAUAAAAAAUAUCAAUAUUUGAUGACUUAAUUAACUUUUAGUGUGUUUUACAUAUUAAUGCCGGUGGUUAUUAAUAAUAUAGUAUCAUAAACUCUUACUGAUACUAAGAUAUAUAUUUUUAAUUUUAAUUUUAAUUUUUCUUAUUUCACACGACGUGGUUUUACUUUUAAAAUUAGGGUAUCUUAAAUUCUAACACUUGAGAAAUUUUUUGGCCUUAACGAAAGUACUAUUCCCUCUUCAUCUUGCCUCUCUCCCAAAUCCUUCCUACUCAUUUGAAGAAACCCUAAAUUGAAACAAAGCAAAUCACCCAGCCUUUUCAGUCUUAACAAAACAAUUACUCUCAGUCUCCCAACAAAGUAAAAUCAUCCUAGUUUUACUUUAUGAAGCGUAUGGGUCUUGAUUCUUCGGUCACCACCGAAGACAACCAAAGGAUAAAAAAAGUCAAACAAGAUGAGGAGGAAUAAGAAAGAGGAAGAGCAAGUCAAAGAAACUAGCUUCACAAAUCUAUAUGAGAACUCCCUGUUCGAGGUGUUGAAACACGCGGACACCAGGACUUCGUUGCAGGCGGCCUUGCGUCAACAAGCUAUGGCACAAGACACUCAAAAUGAGCACCUUUGGAAGUUAAUUUGCACCCACCACUUCGCUAACGUUGGGUGCGCUACCCAACAGCUCAGAUCUGUAGUCCUGGCUCUUGGUGGCUCCCGUCGCCUUCACUCCCUCUAUCUCGGUGGCUCCCGUCGCUUUCUCUCUCUGCCAUUCUUUCUCUCACAGUCGAAACCAAAACUCAAAUCCCUAACUCCCCAGCCACAAAACCUCUCAUUUGCCUCAAAACAAAACAAAAUCAAUCUGUACUCCUCUCUGAUUAUUCGAAAGUUAGAAGCACCUUCAAUAGUUCUCUCUGAAAAGCCAUUCACCUUAAAUAGUUCUUUCUAAUUUUCUCUUAAUUUCGACUGUGAUUUUAUUGUUUCUAUAGCUGUAGUUUGAUUAAUUUUGAUAAAUUUUGCUUGAUUUGAUGGAAAGCAUGAUUUAUUACAUGUCUGCUUGAGAUAAGCCGGUUAGUAAUUUUUUUAAAAAUAAUUAUAUGUAAUAUUUGUUUUGAUUCGCAUAUCGUAAACACGAUGUUAUUGUCUACUAACUAAUUAUAGACUUCGAUUUACAUUCACCUAAAUAGGAUAUGAUUAUGUAUCCUUUUUUUUUUUUUUGGCUGUUUGCUGAUUGUGUUAUUUAUAGUGUUGUUAUUGGCGGUUUAUAUGGUGAGUAGGGCAGUAUUUUAAUUGAAACAAUUAAAGAUAUGGGGAAUUAUUAGGUAGAAAGUGGCUGCAGGAGGAGGUUCUUCUAUUUCAGUGUGCCUAAAUAGUAUUCAUUUUGCCCCCUUUUUUUUUUUACUGCUGACUAUUGUUCCUUGUGAAUGCGUUUCUAAUCCAGAGACUUCGCCCUGUGGUAUCCACUUUGAGAAACUACUCAUCUGCAACUAAACAGGUAAUUGUGCCUUUUAUAACUUAUUACUUGUAAUGCACUGAUUUUGGCUGUAUGAUGAUUGUAUUCUUCUAUAUGUAUAGGCUUUUAUUAUUAUUAUUAGUGAAUCAGCUGAAUGCUUAAGAAAUUCUAAUACUAAUAGUUAUGUUCUUCAUUAUACUUACUAUGUAUGGAUUUUGAUGCAUUUUAAGAAGAAUAUGAAAUUAAAUAUUUGACUGUAGGGACAACAAAUAUGUUCGAGCUUUUAUUAGUAUAAUAGUAUGUGAAUUAAAAAUAUUAUAAUUUGAACAAACUCCGAAGCUUUGAAACUAUGCACUUUCAUGUUGCUAUUUGUGACAGUGGAUUUUGAUUGCUCUUUGUUAGCGACUCGCUUUUACUUGUUUGAUAAUGUUUAUAAUUCGUCCAUCUCAUUAUACUUGAAAGUUGGUGAUUCUAUGUAAUUUAUAAAUCCAACCGGUAUCUUUUUAUUUAAAUCGGUAGGCCAGAAGCAAAGCAAUCUUUUUAUGCAUUGGCUGUAUUAGUAAAUCACAUAGAUAAAAUCACAGGGUUUAUAUUGUUAUUUAUUUCUUUUCUGUUUGCAGGAAAAUUCCAAGGGAUUUGACAGAGGCAUCACUAUCUGGUGCAGGAUUAUCCAUAAUAGCAGCCCUUUCUAUGUUGUUUUUAUUUGGAAUGGUAGGUUGCCGCUUGCAUAGUUGUGCCUCUUUUGUCGGAUAUCAUGGGUGCAUUUUGCAUAUUCAGUGUAUAUUAUCGUCCACCUGGAUUGUUUGUGUAACAUGAUGCUUUCAUGGAGUUCUAUUUGGCUUUUCAUUGUUUCUAGAACAGAUUAAAUUUAACAAAAACUAUUCGCAAUUUUUCUAUAGGACCUGAUUUAAGACCCACUGGUUCUGAAUUCCACUCAAUGCUUGUUAUACAUUCGCUUAAGCAUGGAGAGGAAGCUGAUGAUGAUUCUGUUGAAGGUUCUCAUACGCUACCUGCCAAUAAUUUUGAUAGUUAUUCACACGAGUAAGUGAGCCUUCUCUGAACCACAACUUAUAAUUUUUAUUUUCAAUUCUGUGAUCACAAUAUUUCUCUGCUAUGUGGCAAUUGCAAUGAUGCCUUCUUUGAUUUGUAUUAUAUUUCCUUUCCAGGUAUCCUAUUUUAGCUGUCAAUUUUUAUGAUCCAUGGUGCUACUGGAGUAAAUGCCUGGUAUUUUUAUUUUCACCUUUUGUUUCUCAAAUUUUGUCUUGUUGCUUUUUGAUCAUUGUUGUCUAGAUUUACCUUAUUGGAUCUAUUCUUUCUCAUGUUUGUGUUGAUGUAAUUGCCAGAUAUAAUAUUUUAAAUUUAUUCACUUGGAUGUCAUGUUUGUGCCUGCUCAUAUGCACACAUUGCUCUGUUUGUCCACUGACAGUUGCACAUAAAUUCCUUCAUUACUUUGGUUAACUCCAUUGGUCUCUGUGUUUGUGUUGAACUUUCCAUGCCUGUUAUACAACCAAGCAUGGGUUUUCUUUUGUUUGUAUGACUGUAUUGUUAGACUUCCUCUCAUGAUGUUGUUAAUAAUUUCUCCUCUUUUUCUUGGACAACGGUUAAAAUAAUUUUUAUUGUUAAUAUAAUAUGCUUGUCUUGCAUGCAUUUAUAUGCCAUUAGGAAACUAUGUAGAUUUCAGCAUGUAAAUUUUAUCAGUUUUUUUAUUGUGCAUGUCUUGAAUGGUGCAGGAUGACUUACAAUAAACCAAAGCAUGUAUGUGGGUCAAAACUAAAUAAUCAGAGCAAAUGUCAAAUUGGAACAUGGAAACAAUAAUAAGCAUGUAUGUGUUGGAAGAUUGUGCUGUUACUAUAUAUCAGAUUAUAAAUUAUUUGUAGUUGGUAAACAAGGUAAUAAGUUUCAAACAAUGUAAUAAUUUUUAAAUUGUUCAUUGCAAUGUAAUAGUUUUCAUAUUGAUGAAUGUAAAUUUCAAUUCAAAUGCCAAUUGCAAAUGUUCAAUUUCUAUUAUAUGGAUUUCUAAUUUUUUUUAAUUUUUUCGCAAAUAAACAUUGAUACCAAAGUAUCGUUAUAUUUAUUAUGCUUUUGUAUCAUUAUUUGUUUGAUAACAUAGUCUCGUUAUAUAUGUGAUGUUCAAGCAUCAAUAUUUUUUUGAUACUACGGUGACAUAGAUUCGUUGAUACAAAAAACUCGUGUCAAUAAGUUUCUUGCACCGUAUUCAGUGACACUAAAUUCGGUGUAGUAAAACAAGUUCUUGAUACUAAAAUAGUAUCAAAGAAGGCUAUUUUUUUACUAGUGUAAAAAGAGACAUCGAUUCAGACAAUAUAGCGAUAAAGUAAUGUAGGAAGCAUAUUAGAUAAAAUAAAUUAGAAUUUAUUAGGAAUUAUAAUAUUUGGGUAUUUAGUAUUUUAUUAGAGUUUAUCUUAUUUUUUAAACUUAUUCGAUCAUGUUUGGAAUUUUAAUCUAAUUAGCAUUUUAAAUUAUUUAUUUUAUUUAUGAAGGAUUAAGAUUAAGUUGGCUACUUAGUAUAUAUAGGCUUCUUACUAAUAGUUCUUUAUAACAUACAUAAGCUUAUCAUCAAUAAUAUUUAAUAUUUCUUAAUUGAGAUAUUUUCUUCUUCAUAAGAGCCUUUUUUCUUGAAUUUUCAGAAACGUAUGUUAUAAUGAAAUUUAGUAUCGCUUCUGCGAUGCGUCAAGUGGUGUCAGAGUCUUUCUUUGUAUUAGGCAGAGCUUUCCUGACCAUCAACCAUUCCCCAUACACAAAUCCUCCCUCCAUCAUCCAUUGUUUUCAUUAAAAAAAAAAAAAAAGAAGAAGAAGAAGAAAAAGUUAGAAAAAUAGCAAAACCCGAAGCCACCUCACGUCCAUCGUCUGCAGCUGCUACCUCUGUCAUUCUUCACCUUUUUCAUGCUUUAAUAAAAUUUAACAUAAUGCUCACUAUUUUGUAUAUUAUUAAGGACCAUUGAAUGAUUAAUCAUGAAGUGUAUAUUAUUUUUCACAUCAAUUUAGCACAACCUAUACCAUGAAAUUAUGGAUUAUGUUACAGUGAAUACUUUUAUAUGGUAGGAAUAUAAGUUUAAGUUUUACAAGCCUAUUUUCAUUUAAUUUUCCAAUAUCACUUUGUUGAUUUCGUAAAGUUGAAAUUAACAUAAAUUCUUAAUUAGCUAUAUAGUUUAUGAAUCAUGAAAGAUUGUUUUGUUGAUAUUCAUUGAUUGUGGUUACAAAAUUUUAUGUCACUAAGAGGCUGAUUGCAUUUAUGAUGGUAAUUAAUAUAAUAAGUAAAUAUUAACUCCAAUAAUAUUCAUGAAAUAUUAUCUAUUUAUUUUAUAUUCUCGUUAUAAAAGCAUGGUUUUGGAUAUUUUAACUUAAAUUUUGACACAAAAAAUGAGCCAUUAAUCUCUCACAAUCUAAUGGUUAAUGUUAAAAGUCAAUCACCCUAAGAUUAAAUAAAUACUUUUAGGUUGAUCAAGUUCUUAACCAGCCAUAUGUUACUUUGACAUGGUCAAAAAUUUUUCUUGGUGUUUGUAUUUGCCAAGAUUACAUAAUACAUUUUCUUCUUGGCACAAGAAAUUUAAGCAUAUUUAUCUAGGCAGAAUCCAGAAGAAAUAUACUUAUAUUGAUUCUAUUAGUGACUCUCACAUAUUCAAAUAUGUAAAAAGAUAAGUAGUUAUAGCAAGAGAUUUUAUUUUAAUUGUUAAUCCUGACGUGAUAAUCAAAUCCAAUACCAAAUACUUUCAUUAAUUUUCUAUCUCUCUUAAAAUAUUUGAGUCCAAAAAUCCGCAAAAUGUUGAAUGUUAUUUACAAGUCUUAACAUAAUGUUUUUGAUCUGGCUAAUUAAUUAAGACUUAAGUGGUGGAGCAUUCAUUAUAAUUGAUCCAUGUUCUUCAACCGCAUCCACGUUAAAUUCAAAUAAUUUUUUUUAAAGAUCUAGGGAGUUUUGUUUUGUUAAGUUUGAAAAUAGUUAAAUAGUCAAUCUUAAGAUUUAUUUUUAAUACUAAUGUUAGACACUUACCUAGUAUCUUGAGUUUUUGAAUUAAAUGAUUUACUAAUUGACGAUAUUAGUGCUAAAGUUUCGUAUUUGAACUCUCCACAACAAGUUCAUUUGUAUCGAUUAAAUUAUGUUUCAAUUAUUUCUCAUUGGCAUGCAUCGAACUCUCUCAUGCUUGCUUUGUGUUAAUUUACGUUUUUUUUUUCUUCUAAUUCUGAAUCAUUUUUCAAGUCCAGUCCUUUUAUAUAUAUUUUCAAAAUUUUGUCCGAUCGCUCACCGCAUCUAUGUACGGCAUCUUUUGCAGGAAAAACAGAGUAAUAAAACAAAGCAGGAAAAACAGAGUAAUAAAACAUCUGUCCAACUGUUUGACCCAAGCCAGGCAUUUUCUGGUAAUUUAACAGGGAAAUAAGUAACAAGAACAGAUACAAUAAAUAAAUACAAAGAAAGUAAAUGAAAUGCGAUCUGCAGAGAAAAAUAAAAUUUGUGCCCUUCAUUCGAGUAGUCUAAAUCUUUUAGGUUGUGGUUCCUCCUCAUCAUUACAGCAGCCACUUCCACUAGCUUCAGCCGCCCCAACAUAUCCUUCAAGACUUCGCUUUAGAAAGCUUCGCUCAGACGACGUCGUUGAUCCUGCAUCAUCCCGGCAGCAACUUCCACUGGCUUCUACCCUGUCUAAGUCAUCAUUAAGGCUACGCGUAAAGGAUGUUGAUCCAGAACAAUCGUGACCGAAUUCGUUCAAUCUCCAAACCGGACCAAUUGUUUGGUUGAACUUAUCCCCUUGAUGCACAUAUAUUGGAUGCAAACCGCACCUCUUCAGCAUCAAUCCCGACGGCGAAGAAAAUUCCACUUUACAAAUAUUAUGGUAGUAUCGCCACACCUCUUCCCUAUUCAGGUAGUAUAGCCAAAGAUGGUCUGACACAGCCUGACUGAAUUGCUUUCCAAACAAAAUUCCAUAACUAUUCACGUCGGUAGGCCGGACACGCAGAUAAUGUACGGGAUAUGGAUACGGUCGUAUAUAAUAAGGAAGUGAAUAUUUAGGGGCAUGAAAAACACAGCACAUAGCAUAUCCCACAAGCUUACUAUUCUUAUACGUCUUUGGAGGCGUGCUUAUUGUUAUUGAAGAACCCUCAUUAUUCUGAUACUCGAACCACUCUGGGAUUUCACUUCCAGGAACAAUUAUGUUAAACAGAUAGUUCUGAAACCCCACAAAUACAUAUAUAUAUAUAUUAGAAAGCCAUACCAAUGCAUAAUUUUUAGGCAUGAUUUUAGCAACAGGUGAGAGAGUGUAAGAAAUUGACAUUACCUGUUUAAUGUACUUGUCCGACAGUGACAUAUUCUGCAACCCCACGGAAAAAAAAAAGUGAGUAAAUAAAUAAAAUAAAAAGACAUAACAUGUAUUGCAUCAGUUUUAGGCAUGAUGUAGCACAGGUGAGAGUGAGAGACUGACCUCAGAAUUUUUAAUGUACUCUUUCAGCAGUGAAAGCGCCAAAUCAUAGCUGCCAGUCAAUUUCGAGCAAUCCCCACAAUAAAGGUUUAACGACGGGAGUCGAUGCUCGUUUAAGUUUAAAUUUAAUACAUCUGAUAAUGUCUCCAACGAAACACAACCCCCUAACGAAAUCCGAUGUAUACUGGCUGGAAGUCGAGGCAGAUUUUGAAGCAUUUUGCAUUCCUCUAAUUCAAUCUCCCGAAGAUUAGAAAGACGGUAGAUGCUUGCCGGUAGCGAAACAAAACUGUUUCUACUCAAACAUAACGUUUCUAAUGAGCAUAAGUCGCCAAUACCACUUGGGAUUGCUCCUUCCCCUAGAUCACAGUAACUGAUAUCCAAUUUCGUUAAACUACACAAACCUGACAGAGAAGACGGCAAACUGAAAUCCAUCGGAUCUGAACUCCUUCGUAUCAAAUUGAUAGGAAAGCGCAGAAACCAUGAUGCAGAUGAUGGUGAUCCUUUGCACCCACGACAAGAUAGUUCUUUAAGAUUCUUCAUAAGAAAAAUCGACGAUGGAGGUUGCCUUAUAGCUGUACCACUUAUAUCAAGUUUUUCCAAACUUUCUACUUGCCCAAGCGUCUCAGGCACAUUUUCAAGUUUGAAGCAGCCUGAGAGAUUCAAAUUUCUGAGGGAUUUCAAACCAUUUAUACUGCUAGGAAGUCUCACGAGAGUUUUGCAGUCAUUCAAAUUCAACAAUCGAAGUUUGGUCAAAAGCUCUAUAGAUGAUGGCACUUCUGUGAUAGAAGUUCCGUCUAAAAAGAGCUCUGACAGAUCUACCACACUUAUCACAGUCUCUGGAAAUUUCACUAUUUUCGAGCAACCAGAUAGCACGAGCGUUUGUAGACAUUCUAAACUGCCUAUUGUAAUUGGAAGACUCGCGAGAUUUCUGCAAUCUUUCAAAUUCAAUGAAACAAGGCCAGACAUAAGUUCAAUUGAUACUGGCAGUUCUUUGAUAUCAGUUUCAUCCAAAAGAAGUUCCCGUAGACACUCCAUACUUCCCACAACGCGUGGAAGUUUCCUCAAUUUCAAGCAACCAGAAAGAACAAGUGUUUUAAGCGAUUUCAUAAAUAUCUCACCCGGAAGAGUUGUAAGACUUGUACAACCUUUCAAAUUCAACAAGAUCAGCUUAUUGUGACGUAGCAAAGACUGGUGAAUUUCACGCAACCUUGUACAUCCUUCAAGAUCCAACACCUCUAAGUUUGGGACCUUUGUGAAGUCUGGUGUCUUAAUCAGAUUCUCCGAAUGGCUGAGUUUCAAGACUCUCAACAUGUUUAAAGGCUGUUGAAAACAAAAAAAGGAGCUAAAAUGAUAUUUCUUAAUUCAUAUACUACUAUAAUAAUAAAUUGUUAUCAACAAUUAUUCACUGAAAAAUAUAAAUUAGUGACCAAAAAAAAAAUUGAUCUUACUUUGAUUCCCUUCCAUAAUUCUUCAAUGCGGCUGUAGCACAUUUUAAAUUUAACAGUUUUAUCCAAUUGCAAAUUUGAUGGCAAAGAUUUCAAAGGAUACCGAUGCCAAUCAAGUAAUCGCAACCUGUUCGAGAGGUAUUCUAGGCCUUCAGGAAGUUGCACAUUACUGAUUUUGAGCAAUCUUAGGUUGGUCAUCAGUGAAAAUGCUUUAGCACUUAAAUGCACAUCAUUUCCACGAAAGAAAUCAUCAUCAACCAUUAUUCCUACAACUACUUCACUUCCCUGAAAAUUAUAAAGAAAGUCGUUCGUUAGAAAUUUAACUAGCUAAAAGAAGUGAGCUGAGCUAGAAAUAAAUACUUUUAGAUCCCCUUUAUUAUUCACUUACUGUAUUUUGUGACAAUACAUGGUGUACAUCUGCUUCCUUCCACAAUCUACUGCGUUUUCCAGGCUCGUCGGGGGAUUGUCUCCUAACAAUUUGGUGACCCAUUUCUUGUAUCAAAUCAUGCAUCCACAAUCUGUUAUUCUCAUGUACUGUUAAUAAAGAUUUUUCUAUAAGAACUUCUAUUCCAACGACUGGGGAAAAACCACAUCCCUCUAGAAUUUUCAAUACAUAAUCUCUAGUCUUCCAUUUAAAGAAACAUGCAAUAUCGAGAAAUAUUUUCUUCUCUAAUUCUUGUAGUCCGUCAAAACUUAUUUGAAGUAUACUCAUAAUCUUAUUGGGAGGCUCUAUUUGUAGCCUUUCCAAGGUGCUUCUCCAUUGAUCCACGGAUCUACCAUUCAAAAAGGAACCCAAAACUUCGAGAGCUAAUGGAAGACCACCGACAUACCGUAGAACACCUUCUGACAGCUGCACACAUUCUUCAAGAGGCUUUUGGAUUUUAAAAGCUUUCAUGUUGAAAAGUUGAAGAGCAUCAUGGUAAUUUAGUUCAUUAGGCUUAUAUAUUUCAUCCAUUCCAUGUGUCUUUAAUAGAUGUUCAUCUCGCGAUGUUACAAUGAUCCUACUGCCUGAACCAAACCACUCACGCUUUCCAGCUAAAUACUCUAAUUGCUUUAUGUCAACCACAUCAUCAAUAACAAGAAGAACCUUUUUGUGUUGCAGCCUGCUUCCUAAAAUGUUGAUGCCAUCACCGACAUUCCAUAUGCUAUCUUUUUCGAGCUUCAAUAUUUCGAAAAGGAGUUGCCUUUGAAAAGAGAUUACACUGCCUUUGUUUUCAAAUUUUUCUCUAACAUCGGCAGAAAACUACUCCCUUCAAAUUCAUGAGAGAUCAAGUCAUAAACAACUCUUGCAAGAGUCGUCUUACCUAAACCUCCCAUACCACAAAUCCCUAUCAUACGAACAUCAUCAUUAGGCCCUUUGUUCAUAAGAGGACCUCAGUUCUUCAAGCGUGGAAUCUUAUCCCACUAGAUUCUUAANNNNNNNNNNNNNNNNNNNNNNNNNNNNNNNNNNNNNNNNNNNNNNNNNNNNNNNNNNNNNNNNNNNNNNNNNNNNNNNNNNNNNNNNNNNNNNNNNNNNNNNNNNNNNNNNNNNNNNNNNNNNNNNNNNNNNNNNNNNNNNNNNNNNNNNNNNNNNNNNNNNNNNNNNNNNNNNNNNNNNNNNNNNNNNNNNNNNNNNNNNNNNNNNNNNNNNNNNNNNNNNNNNNNNNNNNNNNNNNNNNNNNNNNNNNNNNNNNNNNNNNNNNNNNNNNNNNNNNNNNNNNNNNNNNNNNNNNNNNNNNNNNNNNNNNNNNNNNNNNNNNNNNNNNNNNNNNNNNNNNNNNNNNNNNNNNNNNNNNNNNNNNNNNNNNNNNNNNNNNNNNNNNNNNNNNNNNNNNNNNNNNNNNNNNNNNNNNNNNNNNNNNNNNNNNNNNNNNNNNNNNNNNNNNNNNNNNNNNNNNNNNNNNNNNNNNNNNNNNNNNNNNNNNNNNNNNNNNNNNNNNACAACAAAGAUCAGUAUGGUUAAAUUACAGUUAGCCUGAAUGCGGUAUUAAUAAAUUUAGUAAUAGAAAAAACCCAAAAUAUGCAAUAUUCGUUGGAAAAAAUUGAAGUAAUGUAAGAUGUUGUUACAUAUGGCUAAUCUUUAGGUGCGUUCAUGUAAAUAUCUGCAUCCAUUUGUACCACUUUUGUUUGCAAAUAUUCGUAUGUGGAGAUAUUGUUUCAAUUAGUGCACAUCAUAUCAUACAGGUAUUGAAUGAAAGUUGUUUAACUGACAACAGGAUGCUGAUUAAAGCUAUUUAAAAUGAUAUACAUAAUAAUAAGAAUGGGUACCUGUACUCUUUCAAUUCCCAGCCAGAAAUAUUAGCCACCUCUUUCAAAGCAUCUCUCCAAUUUUUCACUUUUUCUAGAUUCUCCUUAAAAGCUUCUUCAUGUUUAGAAAAAGCUUCUCGAAAACUUCCCAUUUGUUUCCUUACCACAGUGGGUUCAACAUCAUAGAAAACUGGAAAAACCAUUUGUUGAUGAUCGUUUUUGUUCUUGCAUUGAACAAUCUUAACAAGUUCAUCCAAGUACCAAGUGGAGGAAGCAUAGUUUUGAGAGAAAACAAUAAUUGAAAUUCUAGAAUCUUCAAUUGCCUUAAGAAGUCCAGGUGAAAUGGAUGCUCCUCUCUCAAGUUCUUUGUCAUCCUUGAAUAAAUAAAUUCCUUUUCCAUUCAAAGCAGCAUAGAGAUGACUUAUGAAGCUUUUACGGGUGUCUGCUCCUCUAAAGCUUAAGAAGGCAUCAUAUGGCCAAUGAGACACAUUUUGUAUGCUCGAUGAAGCCAUCACAAUAUUAAUUUGUUCUGAAAAUUUUGAAAAAAAAGCAAGAAAUGAUUGCCUAGGAACAAUACUAUGUAAACAACAGAAUUCAUCUAGAGUUAUGGAUUAUCUCAAAGUGUCAAAGUCGUAUACACUAGCGUAGGGAGUGUGUGGUGCACUACAUUAUAUCGCAGUACUAUGUUUUAGUGUAGUAUGUACAAUAGUGUUUAUUGAAAUAUUUUAUACUAAUAUUAUUAUCAAAAUUUAUUAUUUGACAAAUAAAAUUUAAAAAUUUAUUAAUAAAUAAUACUUAAUUAUAUUGCUUGAGCUUUAUUGCGUAGCAAUAUUACAUUAACCUUUAAAACAGUGCCAUAUUUAGUGCGGUAUAUGCGUGAUCUUGUUUAUCUAAAUUUUUUUAUAAUAUUAUUUUAUUAAAUUUAUUGGUUAAAUUCAUUAUUAAAAUAAAAAAUUCAUUAAUGAAGUAGUACUAUUUCUAUUUAAGUAAAUUAUAAAUGUGUUAGGUAAUAAAAUAAUUGAUUAAAAUUAUUUUUACAUAAUAAAAGUAAAAUAAUAAAAAUGAUUUUAUAUCAUAAAAGUAAAAAAGUACGCAAUUAUUUAUAUUAAAUUCAUAUUAUAUGGAUUUAUUUAUAUUUAAUUUUAUUAUUUGAUUUAAAUAUCUUAUUUAAAUUUAGGUAAAAUGACACUUAGAUGGCAUAUUUUGAAUAAGAAACACUAAAAUCCUCUUUUGACUAUGAUACCAUUUAGCUCUAAUAACUCAAAAAAAUUAAUUUCAAUGUUUUAUAAUUAAUAUAAAUAUGAUAUUAAAUAAAUGUAACAAUAUCUAUUAGAAACAUUUGUAAUAAAUAGAAUUAUAAUAUUAAAUCCCAAAAUUUUUUCAAGUGUCGAUUGGAGAGUGCGUACACCGAUCUCUACUUGAGAAAAUCUUGAUUAAAGCCUCUUAGAGAAGGCAAAGAGAUUGUGCCAAAUUAACAUUAAAAGAUUUCUUUCAAUUUACAGCUUGUACAAAAUUAACAUUAAAAAAAUUCUUUCAAUUUUAUCAUUAUUUAUUUGUUUUUAAACAUCAAGAUAUGCAAAUUAAUUAUGAAAGUAAAAGAGAGAGAUGUAUGAGAUAGAACUUACAGCUUUUGAGUGUAUUGCAGAAAGCCAUUUAAAUGAACUCCAAUGAAGUAUUUGAUUCAAAGAAUUUAAAUAUUUAAUCAUGCAAAUAUAUUCUUUUGGAAAAAAAAAUAAAGCAAUCAGCUAGUGUAUGUAUUUCCAAAAGCAAGUCUUGGUCAAAAAGUGACUUUCUUAAUAAUUAAUAGACAUUUGUCACUGUUUACUCACAUGCUGGAGUUACCAUAAAACUUCCUGGAAGCUUCGAGGAAACUGAGCGAAGAUUGUCUGGCUUUUCAAUUGAUGACGCGUCCAAGCCACUCUGCCCAUUAGCCACGUUGGAUUUCAUUAAAAUGGAAUGGAAUCCAACGGUUGACAUCAAUAAUUGAUAAAAAUAGUUAAAUUGCCGCAAUCUAUAGGAAUGGUAAAUCUUUUAUUAGAAACCUUUUAUUAGUAAAAUUUCAUCUGAGUCUUUAGGAGAUGUUGGAUCAAUUUAAUAAUUUGUAGUUUUACGAUAAUUGUCAUAAACUGUGUUGUAUAAAUAAUCAUUUGUAAAGGUAAUUAAUUAAACGUUUGAUAAAUUUACUUUUAAAAGUUCUGCAAAUUUUAAAAAUAAUCGUAUGUGUUUGAUAAAUUUUAUUUUAAAAUUGUGUUUGGUGUUUCAUCCAAACACCAAGUAGAAAAAGAGCAGUUCUUUUAGAGAAAAAUAAUCGAAAUUCUUCUUCAAUUGCUUUAAAAAUUUUCUGGGAAAAUGGAUCCUCCUUUCGCAAGUCUUGGUCCAAAAGCGACUGGUUACUCACACGAUGAAGGUCGCAUCAAACUUCCUGGAAGCUUCAAGGAAUCUGAACGAAAAUUAUCUGGUGUUUCAAUUGAUUACGAGUCUUCUCCACUCUACCCAUUAGCCAUGUUGAAACCAUUGUAUUCAACUAAAAUGGAAUGGAAUCCAACGGUUGAUAUCAAUAUUUAAUUAAAUAUCAAGAUACGGUUGAUAAAUCAUUUUACCUGAAUUUCCAAUUAAGUUUGUUUCAAAGAACUCAAUGCAAGGAUUUUUAUGCGUUCUAAGUAAUUUGUCAAACAACAAACAAGUUUAGUCUAAAAUGUGUGCCGACAGUAAUGACGAAGAAUGAUUUUGGUCUUUAGUGGAGAAAGACAUGGUCUAUCUGAUGUUGACAAAAGCUAGCUUUAAUAAUCUACACACCAAAAGCAAUGAUUUCUUUAUGUAUUUUAUUAAGGGCAUCUUCAAAUGUAAUUGCAUUUUUUAGGGAAAAAUGAGUAAAAUAUUUUUUGGAAUAAUUCCACUACAAUCUUUCAUUUUUUUUUAAUUAUAGUAUUUUCUCAUUAAAAUAAAUAAAGAUUGGAAAGUAAAGGUUGAAGGCUUGAAAUUUUUCUUUGAAGUUGCUUAAACCUUGGGAAGAAGGCCGUCCAUUUCCCUUAGAAAUAAUUGGUUUUAGGCAUCUUUUGGUUACAAGCCUCACAAGUUGUAAGUUAUUUUUCAGAUUUUUUAUACAAAGAAUUGGUCGAGGAGAGUCAAACUCAGAUAAAACUUGUUAAUGUAGUCCACGUCAGCCGCUUGAGCAUCUGAAUUUCCCGCCCAAACAAAAACUAAUAAACAUAACGAAUUUGAAUCAUCAUUCAACAAUGACAUAGCAACUUGUGAGGCUUGUAUUUUGAUCAUUUCUGUAUUUGUCAAUGCAUUAUUCAUCUACGACCAGGCUCUAAAAACAAGUAAAUGCUACAGUUGUAUGCAAUUGAUGAAUAUAGAUAAGCAAAUCUAAAAUUUUUUGAUAAUAUUACUUAUUAAGAUUACAAAUCCAUCCGCAAGGCAGCUGUAAAUAAUCAUAUAGCCUGACGUCUGAACUUUUUACAUGAUUAAUAAAGGAUAAGAGCAUAUUCAGAAAUUAAUUUCUACUUAAAUGUGUUGUAGUCAUGCAAAAUAGAGAAACCUUAUUAUAGUGAAUCUGUGUGUGUGUAUGGCACUGUGGCAGAAGUAAACAAAUAAUAAAAGCAUGAUAGCAUAAAGAAUUAAAGAUCAUGAUAUGUGCAUAUUAGAUUAUUAUAGAACGAACCUGCUCUCAAAACUGAUGAGUGACUGAGCAGGAAGAAAAGGCCACCUAGGAUGUGAAUUUGCUGUUAUUUGAUUUGACUUUUCGGCAUGGUUUUUGCCGUUUGAAUCAGCCUAUGGCGGCCAAGUGAGCAAGCUGAUGCUGCUGUCGUAGAUAGCUUGCUGCCCUUAUUUACAUUCAUCUUCCAUAUUACAGUAGAACAACAUUGAAAGGAAUGCACAUAGAAGUAAUACGGUAUUUCUUGUUUUAAAGGGAGAAAUUUACACUCGUCCACUUGUUUGUUUUGUCUUUUUCAAAAAUACACAAACACUUUUUUUUUCAGCGCGCCAUCUUAAGUUUGCUUUUUGUUGCAUUCGUCCACUUCCGUCUAAUUUCCGUUAGUGGAUUUAACAGAAUGUUAACAAAAUGACCUUUUUACCCCUCAAAAUUACAAUUUAACCCAAAAUAAAUAGAAAUUGGAGAUAAAUUAAAUGGAUUUAAUUUUUUUAAAAGGUGAAUGCUAGAAAUUGAAGGAAAAUAGUGUUUGUUGCUUGCUAAAUUUAGAAAAUUUAUAUUUAUUUUUUUGAAAGAGAAAAAAUAACUAAGUAGUUCAGGAGAUCUAUUCCUCCAACUUCCCCUAUGUGACUCAGUAUUCCGAUGGUAAAGUGAAACUAUCGUUCAGGAGAUCUACCUCAUCCAGAUUUUCUGAUAAAGCGUCGUGCUCAAGCAAUCCUUCAUUAGAAAGGAAAUUUACAAAAAUACCCUCUGUUAUAAAUCUCCCUUUUCAGUCCAUAAAAAGUCAACCUAGGUUUUCUACUUCAUAUAUACCUAGUACCUCCAUUCGAUCAGUUGAUUACACCACUAGUGUUCCUCAUCCGAUCUACACUAGUAAUCAACAUGUACAAAGUCAGGAAGAGAAGGAACCUUCUCCUCCAACUUCCCCUACAUUUUCUGCUGUUACAGAAAAUGUCAUUAAUGUCAUUGAAAAAGAAUUUGAAUUAGAUAAAACUUUUCUGCAUAAUGAUUUUUAUUAUGAUUUAAACAAAGAAAAAAGACUUUGGUUUUUCAAACACUUUUUAAACCAAAGAAAAGAAAUCCAACAAACUUACUAUGAAUUUGUGAAUUUUCAUAAAAUUCAUAUAUUGUUUUUUGAUUGGUUUGAGAUAUAUUCUUCUGAUAACAACAUCUCUUAUCCUUUUAAAGAGUCAAACCCUAUUACUAUUAGGAAGAAAGUUCCUGAAUGGAAACUUCUUGAUAGUGAUAGAACUAUAGAGUCUGAACACCCACCUCUUCGGAGUGUAACCGUUGAUCACGGUGAACCUCCUGUCCAAAUUCGAGCUUCACCUUACAAAAUUCCAAAACCAAAUGAUUCUGAGGCAAAUUUAAGUAGUAUUAUCCAACAGAAUAAUUUCUGUAAUACUAACUUAAAUACAAUCGGAAAGCAGUUGACUAGGAUAGAAAACCAAAUCCAGAAGUCAACCAUUACUGUUCCAUCAAUUUCUCCUAUUCCAACAAAAUCGGAUUCUGACAAAAAGCUUAAGGAACCUAUUUUCAAACCCUUUCAGGUUUCGAAAACUAGCCAAAAGCUUGUUCAAGAGUCAAAAUCAGAUUUUGCUAAAGCCAUUAGAGAACAAUUAGAUAUGAUAGAAGCUGCUUCUUCCUCAUCUAGCAAAGUUCAGAUAGCCCCUGAUACUCCUCAAUCUAGCAAGAUUGGAGUAUUAGAACAAGACCAAAUGUCUAUAGCCUCUUCUGAUAUAGAAGCCUUCAAAGAAGAACCUUCUACUCCUAAAGCCAACAAAAUUCAUUGGGAAUUAGCCCUUCCCACUGUCAAGACUCCACCGGAUCUAGCAAUAGAUAAUAGACCAAGUGCAUUAAAUCAAUCCCGAUAUAAUGCAUCUUCAGUCUAUGAGUGGAAUAUUGACGGUAUGUCCGAAUACAAUAUCCUAGGAUUGUUGCAACAAAUGACAAUGGCAGCCAAUGCCUAUAAAACCCAAGCAGGAACUUCUGAUCGUGCUAUAUCAGAAAUCCUCAUUGUCGGUUUUACUGGUCAAUUAAAAGGUUGGUGGGAUCAUCUUCUCACUAAUCAGCAACAAUUAGACAUUCUAAAUUCCAUUCAAGUUGAUGAAAAUGGAGUCCCUAUUCUUGAUGAGUUCAACAAUCCAAUCCAGGAUGCUGUUGCUACUCUAAUUUUAACCAUUUCCCUCCAUUUCAUUGGUGACCCUUCACACCUUCGUGAUAAAAACGCUGAGUUACUACACAAUUUAAGAUGUAGGAAACUUAGUGAAUUUCAAAGCUAUAAAACCUCAUUUUUUACCAGACUAUUUCUAAGAGAUGAUGCAAAUCAUAUAACUUCGAAAGCAAAAUUUCUUGCUGGAUUACCUACCCUUCUAGGUGAAAAAGUAAGAAAUUCCAUCAAAGCCCUUUAUGAUAAUCGUAUUCCUUAUGACGAGCUUACCUACGGUGAACUUGUCAGUUUCGUCAAUAAAGAAGGUUUAAAGAUUUGUCAAGAUUUGAAAUUACAGAAACGUCUUAAGUGGGAACUUAAAAAGUCUAAACAAGAGUUAGGCGGUUUCUGUAAACAAUUCAAUUAUGACCCCUUUAAAACUUCUUAUUCCAAAGAUUGUAAUAGCGAGUGUUCGACUAAACCCCGCAGGAAACAUUACAAAUCAAAAAUUUUUAGGAAACCCUUUCGUAAUUUUAGAGAACUUCCUUAUAAGAAACCUUCGAGGCCUUAUAAGAAACCCAAAUUAUCUAAAAGAAAAGAGUUUAGAGCCAAGCCAAAGACCCCUUUCAAUUACAAAGAAGCUAUAUGUCAUAAAUGUGGCAUGAAAGGUCAUACUGCAAAUUAUUGCAGGAUGAGCAAAACGUUUCAUGAACUUGACCUCGAUGAAGAGAUCCUCUCCAAAAUAGCCCCCCUUCUUGUCGAAUCUUCUGAUUCCGAAUCUUCCAUGUCGGGAGACAGUGAUCCAUAUCAAGUUGAUGAGCUUUUUGACUCAGAUGACUCUGUAUCUAGCAGUAGUGAAUCUGAAUCUGAUUCAUAUUCAAAGAAAAUCAAUGUUUUGACUAAAGACCAAGAAACUUUUCUUGAACUUGUAAAGCAUAUUUCUGAUCCAAAUCUUCAAAAAGAAUAUCUUGAUAAACUUUUGAAAACUUUGGAUUUUAAUAAAGCCGAGACUUCUAAAGUCCCAGUUGUUAAAAAGAAUUCUUAUGAUCUUACUCAAAUUUUGGAUAAAAAGAAAAUAAAAAAGACGGUUCCUAAUAUCCAAGAUCUUCAGAAAGAGAUAAAAGAAAUCAAAUGUGAAAUCAGAGAUUUAAAAGAAAAACAAAAAAGUGAUUCUGAUACUAUCCAACUUCUUUUACAAAAACAUUUGCAGGAUAAUUCAGACAAUGAAUCUAAUCCUGAUGAUGGUGAUGAUAUUAAAGUAGAAAACAUUGAGUCUGUACCCAAUGAUUUCCUAUUUGUUUUAAAGCAAAUCACCACAAGAAAGUAUUUGAUUAAAGUCACUUUAAUCUUUUCUGAUGAUUUUGCAAUGGACGCCAUUGCCCUUUUUGAUACUGGCGCGGAUUUAAAUUGCAUUAGAGAAGACAUCGUCCCCAAAAGAUUUCAUGAAAAGACAAAAGAAAGACUUUCUGCCGCUAAUAAUUCAAAACUGAAUGUCAGUUCCAAGGUUGAAGCCUCAAUCCAUAAUAAUGGUUUUGAUUUUAAAACUUCUUUUGUCCUCACAAAUGAUAUUCAUCAUGCCAUCAUUUUGGGAACUCCUUUUAUAAAUCUUAUAACUCCAUAUACUGUCAAUUACGAUAGUAUAUCCUUCAAAGCAAAAAAUAUAAACCUUGUUUUCCCUUUUAUUGAAAAACCUAAAACAAGGAAUUUGAAUAUCGUUAAAGCCUGUUCUGUUUAUCAAAACAGAAUAAAUAACCUACUUAAUUCAAAACAGUGUGAUCUAAUGUUUUUACAAAAGGAUUUAAACUUACAAAGAAUUGAAAGCCAAUUACAAAGAGAUUUCAUUAAAAGAAAGAUUUCUGAUUUCAAAACUCUCAUUGAAAAAGAAAUUUGUGCUGAUCUACCUUCUGCUUUUUGGAACAGAAAACAACACAUGGUAGAUCUACCCUAUGAAACUUCUUUUCAUGAAAGACAGAUCCCCACUAAAGCACGUCCAAUCCAGAUGAACAUGGAAUUGGAACAACAUUGCAAAAAUGAAAUCAAGGAUUUAGAGUCAAAAGGACUCAUUGUUAAGUCAAGAUCCCCAUGGUCUUGUACCGCUUUUUAUGUUAAUAAAAAUUCUGAAAUUGAAAGAGGUACUCCUAGAUUAGUUAUAAACUACAAACCUCUUAAUAAUGCCCUAAAAUGGAUUAGGUAUCCAAUACCUAAUAAAAAGGAUUUACUUCAAAAACUAUGUUCUGCUCUUAUUUUUUCAAAAUUCGACAUGAAAUCUGGUUUUUGGCAAAUUCAAAUUCAUCCUAAAGAUCGUUACAAAACUGCUUUUACUGUUCCAUUUGGACAGUAUGAGUGGACUGUUAUGCCCUUUGGUUUAAAGAAUGCACCCUCAGAAUUUCAAAGAAUUAUGAAUGAUAUUUAUAAUCCUUAUUCUGAUUUUUGCAUUGUUUACAUUGACGAUGUGUUGAUAUUUUCAAAUACAAUCGAUCAUUUUCAAACAUUUAAAGACUUUUUAUUUUGCUACCAGAAAGGCUGGAUUGGCAAUCUCUAGCUCUAAAGUUUCUUUAUUUCAAACAAAAGUCAGAUUCCUUGGUCAUCAUAUUUCUAAAGGAACAAUCACUCCAAUUGAGCGAUCCCUUUUGUUUGCAGAUAAAUUCCCUGAUAAAAUUCUUGACAAAACCCAAUUACAAAGAUUUCUUGGAAGUUUAAAUUAUGUUCUUGAUUUCUGUCCUAACAUUAAUAGGAUGUCUAAACCCUUGCAUGAUAGAUUAAAGAAAAAACCUGUUCCUUGGACAGAUGAACAUACCAAGGUUGUAAAGCUUAUAAAAAAUUCUGCUAAAACCAUCCCAUGUUUAUAUCUUGCUAAUCCUACAUUACCUAAAAUUGUUGAAACUGAUGCAUCUGAUUUAGGUUAUGGAGGCAUAUUAAAGCAAAAAGAAAAUGAUAAAGAGCAGAUAGUACAAUAUGUUUCUGCACAUUAGAAUGAUUGCCAGAAAAAUUAUUCUACUAUCAAAAAAGAAAUCCUUUCCAUUGUUUUAUGCAUUACAAAAUUUCAAAGUGAUUUAUUAAAUCAAAAAUUUCUACUUAGAAUUGAUUGCAAAGCUGCAAAACAUGUUUUGGAAAAAGAUGUUCAAAAUAUUACAUCAAAACAGAUUUUUGCACGAUGGCAAGCCAUUUUAAGUGUUUUUGAUUUUGAUAUUGAAUAUAUUAAAGGUGAUACAAAUUUUAUUCCUGAUUUUCUAACUUGGGAAUUUCUUCAAAACAGAUAAUGCCGCCGAAGAAGAAAGACAAAGGUAAAGCUGUUCUUAAAGACUCUGAAUCUAGAGCAACCUCUAAAGAACCCCAAGUUACCCCUUCUAAAGACAAAUUACUUUCCUCAGCCAUGCCUAUUAAAUCUUGGAUUGAAAUGGUUGAAGAACAUGGUACCCAUUACAAAACCACUUCUUCUGAUGACCAAGUAAAAAAAUGGAUGAGUUCCAUUACAAGGUCCCCUGAGCUUAUGCUCGCCUUACAAAACCUUUCCCAAAGCCAGAUUUUCUCAAAAGAAGAAAAAGAAAACUAUAUCUCCAAAGAAAUAUCAAAACCCUCUUCUCAAAAAGUGAUUGUUUCUGGUGAAAGCUCUUCUUCCCAAAUUGUGCUUUCCCAACCAUCACCUUCAAAGAAAACCUCUGAUUGGUUUGAUAAAACCCAUUUUCAAAAUAUUUUUUCUUUAGAAGAUGGAUUUUACCAUGCUGAUCCUUUUCAAGCAAUUUCAAAGUUUUUCCUAAGGGCUGGUUUUUUAAACCAUGAGAUUUAACAAAACCCCAGUCCUACUAUCAAAGCAUUUUAGAAAUCACUGAUUCAGUUAAGUUCAAACAUUUCUUUCUCAGUGAAUCACAUUCUGAACCAGCCUAUUCCACGGCUACUAUUUUAAAAGUUUUGAGCCCAAAUCAAUGGGGUGACCUACUCCAUAAUUUUAAAACUUUCCCUUUAAAUUUUCAAACACGUUUACCUCAUUGUCGGACUUAUUCCUACUGGGAUUACCAACAAGCCUGGUAUAACACCUUUUUUAUCCAAAAUCCCAAAAAAUCCCAUUCUUGGUUAUUUUUCUUCAACCCAAAAAUAACCGUCCAAAGCCUUCCAAACUGGUUCCAUCAUUGGUGGAAUACUUUUGGCCCAAUACCACAAAUUUUAACCCCGAAUGCCACCCAUUGUUUAAACCUCUUCAAAGUCCACUAUACUCCUUCUGAAUCUGAGAAAAGGUUUCCCCCCCUUUCUCUGUUUCUGUACAAAUUUCUUCCUUCCGUGGGUAUGGAUGUGGAACCUUAGGCUUCAUACCCAAGAUUCCCAACUCAUCCUUCAAAGAACCUUUAAAGUAAAAUGGUGGUCCAAAUUUGACGAACAGUCAAAAUUGACUGAAAAUUUGGUCCGAGAUUGGCUCUCUGCCAAAGGCCUUCUUCAACCCACCAUAACACAUUCCAAAGCCCAACAAACCUUUUUGACCCAAAAGUCCAAAGCCCAAUCACUAUUGGCAGGUGCCAAAACAGAAGAAGAAUACUUCAAAGCCAUGGAACAGCUCCUCGCCUCCUGGUCAAAGUCAUCAGUGGCUGACACCUCUGAAGACGAAGAUGAAGAUGAAGAUGAAGAACCAUUCAUUUCUCUUGGAGACGAAAAUGAAGAUGAUUGUUUUGGAAUUUUUUCUCCUUUAAAGCAUUGUAAAUAACUAUUUAGUUAUUUACUUAAAAAAAAAUUAUUAUUUGUUCUGUAUAUUCGGGUGGUCCUCUGGACACAAGUGAGAGCGCACAUGUCUCUUCACCCGUAUCGUAUUUCAAUUUUUGUACAAAGAAUCGACUAUUCAAAGAUACGAUCCAAAUGUUACUGUGCACUUAAAGCUCCGCUACAGUGAACAGUGCAAAUUCCCAGAGUUUACUGUUCACUUAAAAUCCCGCUACAGUGAACAGUUUAAAGAUCUUUGUAUAAAAACCGAGAGGAAGACUCAGACUCCUCAGGUUUUUCAUUUUCUAAGUUUAGAACUUCUCUCUCUUCUUCUCUCCCUUCUCUCUAGAAUUCUCUCUCUCUCUCUCUCCGGGAAUAGGAAUCUGGAAUCCGAAGACAAAAAGGAAUUUCUCAUGUCUUCAGAUUAAUUUCUCAUUAUUUUCCUUUCUUCUCUACAAAGAAAACCAACCGAUGUAAGCAUUUCAUUCCAGUUUUAUUAAAGCAUAUAAAGCAAUUUACUUUCCGCACUUUAAAUUUCAGCAAUUUAAAUUUCAGCAAUUUAAAUUUCAGCAAUUUAAUUUCAUGUAACAUUUAAAUUUCCGCAAUUUACAUUUAAAGCAUUUAAAUUUCAGUCUUUUAAAGCUUUCCAUGCAUGCUCAGCAGACUGAUCUGUAUCAGAUCUGCCAUAUAAAUUGUACGUUCCUCUGAGGCAAAGAGACCAGAUCUCGAUCCUCAAUUGUAAAUCUUCUCUUCUCCCUCCAUUCCUUCAGAGCACCAUUUCCGGGAACCGGAUCUGGUACUGUGUUUGUACCCAAGCCUUUAGAUGUAUGUGUUGCUAGGCUUGCUAAAGAAUUUAAUAAAGAUUUGGUAAAUUGUUUAAAAUCUGACAACCGCGUUUAAAGAACUUAAUUAUUAUUUGGUAAAGCAAAAUUAAGUUGAUAUAUCGGCUGGAAACCCGAACGUGCGGGCUAUUGAUCUGUUCUAAGUCAGAUCUGGGUCCAAAGGCAGAUACUUAAUCUGCAUCAUUCUGGUUUAACAACGCCACGUACUAAUAUAAAACCUGACCAACCGCGAUCCAAAGCAAAUCUACUUAAUCUAAAGUUGGUAACUGAAUUUAAAAUUUGAACAACCGCGAUCCAAUUUGUUUUUAUCUAAAGCAAUCAAUAAAGAAUUAUUUCGAAAACACAUCGAUCCUUCGAUCCUAUUUCCUUCUGGUAUCAGAGCUUGAGUUCAUGAAGCAUUUUGCUCAUCCUGCAAUAAUUUGCAGUAUGACCUUUCAUGCCACAUUUAUGACAUAUAGCUUCUUUGUAAUUGAAAGGGGUCUUUGGCUUGGCUCUAAACUCUUUCUCUUUUAUUUUUUUGAAAGAGAAAAAAUAAAUACAAAUUUUCUAAAUCUAGCAAGUAACAAACACUAUUUUCCUCUAAAAAAUAAAUACAAAUUUUCUAAAUUUAGCAAGCAACAAACAUUAUUUUCCUCCAAUUUCUAGCAUCCACCUUUGAAAAAAAUUCAAUCCAUCCAAUUUAUCUCCAAUUUCUAUUUAUUUUGGGUUAAAUUAUAAUUUUGAGGGGUAAAAAAGUCAUUCCGUUAAAUUUGCUAACGGAAAUUAGACGGAAGUGGAAGAAUGCAACAAAAAACAAACUUCAGGUGGCGCAGUGGAAAAAAAAAAGUGUUUGUGUAUUUUUGAAAAAGACAAAACAAACAGGUGGACGGUUGUAAAUUUCUCAAAAGGAAAUUAUGAAUUUUGUAAAGUACCUUAGCAAAUUUUGCUUUUGCUAACUUUGUUACUGUUUUAAUUGCAUUCUAUUCCACAGUCGAAAUCUUUCUGCUUUUUGGCCCGACUCUAACAAGACAACCUAACUUCCAAGCUUUCAACUUUCCCCAAGCUCUCUGGCACAUUUUCAAGUGUGGAGCAGUCAAAAAGAUGCAACGUUCUAAGAGAUCUCAAACCAUUUAUGGUACUUGGAAGACUCUCUAGAUUUUUCCAAUCUUUCAAAUUCAACAAGACAAGGCCAGAAAGACGUUCAAUAGAUGCUCGCAACUUACAGUUCCUUCCAAAUGAAGCUUCAACAGCUGCUCCCUGCUUGAAGUUAUCUCUCUCUGAAUUUCCAAAGGCCAGAAGAUUAUAGAUGCUUUAGAGCACUUAUGGUACUUGGAAGUUUUGCAGCCAUUCAAAGUCAAUGAACAAGUCCAAAUAGAAGUUCAAUUGAUAAUGGCAGUUCUUUAAUACCAGUUCCAUCCAAAAGAACUUCCCACAAUGUCUGGAAAUUUCUUCAAUUUCAAGCAACCAGGAAGAACAAGUGUCUUAAGAGAUUUCAUAAAAAUCUUGCCUAGAAGAGUUGUAAGAUUUGCACAACCUUUCAAAUUUAAUAAAAUCAGCUUCUUUGAAGCAGCAAAGAUGAGUGUAUCUCACGCAAACUUGUACAUUCUUCGAGAAUCAGAUCCUCCAAAUUUGGUACCCUUGUGAAGUCUGGUGUCCUUAUGAGGUUCUCAGAAUGCUUGAGACUCAUGAUUUUCAACUUGCUCAAAGGCUAUAAGAAACAAAAUGGCACAGCAAAUACGUGCUUUUCUCAAUUUGUCACAUUACUUAAAAUUAUCAAUAAGCAUUUACUGAAAACUAUAUCGCAAAAAAGCUGAUUUUAUUGAGGAAAUCAAUAAAGUUAGUUGUUGGAAUAACUAAUUGAUUAAAUAAACACUGGGUUUGCACUGUGUUUGCGUAAAAUUCUGUUAAAGACAUGCAUACAUAAAUUACUGAGUCGCUGAAAAUAUGAAAUUAACUGCCUCAGUGACUCUUUUAGAUAUAUUGGAUCAAAACAAUACAAAUUGAUAGUGAAGGAAUCUUAAAAUACCUGCUCACUGUUCACUAGGUGAGUAACCUUAGUGUUAGAAAAUCAAUUUUUGAGGAUAAGAAUGGUUACCUGUCCUUCAACUCCCAGCCAGAGAUAUUAGCCACCUCUUGAAAGCGUCUCUCCACUCUUGAAAGCUUCUUCAUUUUUAGAAAAAGCUUCUUGAAAACUUCCUGUUUGUUUCCUUAUCACAAUACUUGGUAGAAAAUUGGAAACAUCAUUUGUUGAUGAUCACUUGUGUUCUUCCAUUCAACAAUCUUAACAAGUUCAUCCAAGCACCAAGUCAAAAAAGCAUAGUUUCUUGAGAAAAUAUAACUGAAAUUCUUGAUUUUUCAAUUGCUUCAAAUAGUUCUGGUGAAAUGGAUUUUCCUCUGUCACAUUCUGUCAUUGCUGAAUACAAUGAUUCCUUUUUUAUCCAAAGCACAUAUAAUGGUCUGUGAAAUUUUUUGCAAGUGUCCUUGCCUCUGAACUCAAGAACACUUUGUAUUUCAAUUACAGAGAGGAGAUGGGACAUAAAAAAAACUCCCCGGAUUGCUCAUGAUUCAAGCAAUAACUGGAUGCUCAUGAUUCAAGCAAUUGAUUCCACAACAAAGUUGCAACAAGUACCAGAAAAUUGAUUUUGCAAUAGAUAAUUGUCGCUUAUAUAAUGGUAAUCACCAAAAAAAAAAAAACAGUUAUGAAAGCAAACAAAAUUCGAUGUGGAGCCGAAAAUGGAAAACCCACACUACCAGAAAAUUUGCAACAAGUUCGAGCCUUGGCAACAAGAGAUUAAAAUUUCCUCGUAAAUCGAAUUAUGUGAAACACUUAGUACAUAAAAUAUGAAAAGUCAAACAUAACUGAAAUACAAGAGUAAGUAAACACUAAAAUGUAAGAAAAUAACUUACAGCUUUGAGUGCAUUGUUCCACUGCAAGAUGAAGUUUUACCUGAAUUCAAUUAAGGGUGCGUUUGGGAUUGAGAUUGGGCAGCUGUAGCUUAAAAGCUACAGCACUAAAGUGUUUGGUAAACAUUAGCUGCUGUAGCUUUUAAGCUAUGUUGAUAUGAUUUUUCACUUGUAUAAUAUAAAAUUUAUUAUAUCUUUAAUAAUUUUAUCAAAAUUAUUAUUUAAAAUUUAUAUUUACUAUAUAUUAUUAACUUUUGUUUCAUAAUUACAGCUUUUUUUUCACAAUAGCUGUAGCUUAAAAGCUACAGCACCUCAAUCUCAAACGCACCCUAAGUUUGUUUCAAAUAAAUCGAUAAGAGGAUUUUAUGCGUUCUAGUUAUUAAUUUCUCCUCUUUUGGUAGCUACAGCAAGUCUAGCAAAAGUGUUCACAAAAGAUAAUACUAAAGGAUCUGUGGUCUACAGUGGUGUUUCCAAUGAUCAUAUUUUCUACAAAAAAAAAGGUAAAAUAAAUUAAUUCAAAACGAACCUGAAGGUGACACAGACCAAUUUGCCAUUUGCUAUCUUUGAGCUCCCAAACUCCAAGCAUUGGUUUGUUUUGGCCUGUAUAAGCCAUGGUUGCCUGUUCCUCCUUGACAGACGCAAGCUGAUGUUGCUGUUGAAGAUAGCUGCUGCUCUUUCUCAGUCUCUUCCAUUGUUGUAGUACUGGUGAAGAAGGGGUAGAAAAUCUGAGUCUGAGUUUCAUAGCUAGAUCAGUUCUGCUAUUCAUUGCUAGCCGCCCUCAUCCACAUUCUUGAUGCAUGAAUCUGAAUCAUUCUCUCGAACAACACUGAAAGGAAUGCACAUAUAAGUAAAACAGUAUUGCAUGUUAUAAAGGAUAUUAUGAAGUUUGUAAACCACAUGAGCAAGGGAGUAUAUCAAUAUCAUAGUUUCGCAAUUGUCCGGCAUCCCUCGCUGCAAUUUUUGCUGCUGCUAACCUUGUUACUGUCUCAACUGCACUCUUUUCCACAGAGUUGAAAUCAUUCUGCUUUUUGGCCUCCGUUGUCUGCACCCAGACCUUCACAAAUUGACCAUAUUGAUUGAUUGCUUUUGCUUGGGAAAUCAUAGAGUUGAUGCAACACACCAGGUGGGAUGCACUUUCCUUCUUGGGCAUAUUAUCGAACAUGUCCUAGGCAUGAGAAUGGCCUGCAAAUUCCAUAUAAUCAUUCCUUUUUCUAUUUUUGUUUGUUCUGAAGCUAAGUCAAGCUGAGAUCGAUCAUAUUCAUAUUUUUUAUUCUUCUUAAAAUCCUCAACAUUUGCCCCCCAAGCAUUAUAGCCUCAAUCCCUAGUUUCAACUAUUUAAACCCGUAAAAAUUCUCUGAAAAUCAUAGAAGUACAUUUAAUUAUAGGUAUAUUAUUCAAAUCCUACACCUACAUCCAUGGCCAAUAAUGGCUUGAAGAGAUAUUAUUAAUGGAGGAUUUUAUGUUAAAAUCACAGAGGAAAUGACAAGGAAGAGAGUAACCUCAGUAACACUUUUUUAACUCUUCAAACGGACACAUUAAAGACUGCCAAUAAAUCAGCCCGCGUUUAUAUAUAGAUGCUGCUAACCACGGUGAACAAACUUGGACACCCAUCUAGACAGAAUGCCACGUCACUACCCCAUUAUUUGAGAUGCCUGCUUACUGAUAAAUUCAGAGAAUAAUAAAUUGCCUUUCCCCAUUAUUUGAGUUCGUCUUUGACUCUUUGAGGUUGUGGUUCCUCAUCAUCACAGCAGCCAUUCCACUGGCUUCUAUUCCAAAACCACAUUUAGUUUAUUUAUAUUAAUACUAUAUUUAUAUUUUAUUUUUAAAAUAUAAUAUCAAAUUUGGGUUACUGUAGUCAAGAGCAUAAUAAUAAUAAAAUUUUUUUACCGUUCUAAUGGAGGCAUAUUAAAUUUGGACUCUUUGAGGUUGUGCGUUUUAUUUUUAAAAUAUAUUAAUACUAUUCCAAAACCACUGGCUUUUUUUUACCGUUCUAAUGGAGAAUAAUAAUAUAUUAAAUAAAAUAUAUUUUAUUUAGUGAAUUUUAAAAUAAAAACUAUCCAGAUGCGAGUUCUGGAUUUCCGGGUUCAGGUAAAUGUGAAACCGGAAUCAGAUAUGCACGGGUUCAAAAUACAACUUUCGGAUCUGCAUUAUUUUAGCAUUGAACCCAGUCCGGAUCAUCCGGGUUUAUCCGGGUUUUGGUUAAGUUGCCAUCCCUAAACCCAAUGAUGAAGCUUUGGACGUGUUCUUCAUCAUUAAGGCUGAAGCUAAUUAUUUGACUGACUUUUUCAUCAUCCCGGCUGCCGCUUUCACUGGUCUCUGCCCUGUCAUAUUCAUCAAUGAGGCUUCUCUCAAACAGCGUUUUUGAUCCUGAAGAAUCGUGAUUGAAGUCGUUCAAAUUCCAAACAGGAGUUGUUUUGUUGAACUUCUCCACUUGAAUCUCAUAUCCUGGAUGGAAACCACACCUCUUCACCUCCAAUCCCGACGAAGAUUCAAAUGACAACACCCCAUUAUUCAUUCCAAACAAAUGUACAUUGGGCUCAUAGUGUAGCCAAAAAUGUUCUGACACAGCCUGACCGAAUUGCUUUCUGAACAUAGGAGUAGAAAUCCAAGUAUCACCGCCAUCACAUUUGAUUUUGCAGUCCAGCUUAUGAAGAUGACUAAACCACUCUAGAUAAGGAGGUGAAUGCUUAUGGACUUGAAAAACACAGUACAUAGCAUAUCCCACAAGCUUAGUGUUCUUAUACGUCUUUGAAGACCAGCUUAUUCUUAGUGAAGAACCCUCAUCAUUACGAUGCUCGAACCACUCUGGGAUUUUACUUCCAGGAACAACAAUGCUACAAUAUUUGUGAUAAUCUGACAUAUCCUGCAACCCCGAAAAAAUAAAUAAAUAAUAUAAAAGCCAUACCAUUGCAUAAUUUUUAAUUUAGGCAUAAUAUUAGCACUGGUGAGAGAUAGUGAGAGACUGACUUCAUACUGUUCCAUGUGCUCUUUCAGCAGUGAAAGCGCCAAAUCAUUGUUGCCAAGCAGUUUCACGCAGUCCAUACAUUGAAUUUCAAAGUCCUUUAGCUUGUUUAAUUCUAAUGGAUCUGAUACUGUCUCCAAUGAAGCACAACUAUUUACACCAGCGAUUCUCAUUCUGGCUGGAAGUGGAGGCAGAGAUUGAAGCUUCUUGCAACCAUUCAAAUCUAGGCUUUCAAGCUCAGAAAGAUGGCUAAUGCUUGCUGGCAGAGAAACAAAACUGUUGUUACUCAAACAUAGAACUUUCAACGAGCGUAAGUUUCCAAUAUCAUUUGGGAUUGAUCCUUCCCCUAGAUUACAGUCACUGAUAUCCAAUUUUGUUAAAGAACACAAACUGGACAGAGAAGGCGGCAAACUCAAAGCCACCGGAUCUGAACUCCUUCGCAUCAAAUUGAUCAGGAAGCGCAGAAACCAUGACUUAGAUGAUGGUGAUCCUUUGCACCCUCCACAAGAUAGUUCUUUGAGAUUCUUCAUAAAAAAAAUCAACGAUGGAGGUUGCCUUAUAGCUAUUUUGGAUGCUCGUAGAAGCCAUUGUCUAUUAAUUUGUUCCAGAAAAUUUAAAAUAACUCACGUGAAAUCCUGGGAUCAAUAUGAUGGGAUUCGGUUGAAUUUUUUGUAUACGGUUUGCUAUAACUUUUGAAAGGAGCAUGCGUCGCGUCUUACGUCAUUCAUUGUUGUGUUGGUUACCUUAUACCACAAGUAAUUUCCGAGAAAUUUCUUGCUUUGGACAAAAAUAAAUAAUUCAAAAAUAAUAAUAAUCACGAUGACUUUUUAAUUUGACAAAUAUUACCUGUCAACAGCUUUUCCUUCAUCUUCUUCGUAUGCCCUGAAAGAUUUUACCAAACACACCAUAUGGCUCUUUCCGAUCAAUUGGCAAACGCGCCUGAAGAUAUCUCGACAGAGAGAUUACGAUCUUGGCUUUAUCGUUCUUUUUGGCUGGAGAUGACAAGAAUAAUCGGAGGGACAACCGGUUAUGCUGAAGAUGAUGAAAAUCCCAAUUGUACUGAAAAAGAUGAAAUCAGAAAGGCAUCUAUUUCCGACCUCCAACCCAAAACUGUUCGUAUAGGGUUUCCGUCACGGUGGCUGGAGAAGUUGAUUGAUCGUCCAACUAGGGCAGAGAAUUUGGCGUAAGUAUCUCGUCGAUUUGAAGAAUUCAAGAAACGGGUCUUCACACGCAGCUAAUGUUAAGGAAUCUUCAUAUCAAAAUUUCCCUGCGCUGUCGAGGAUGGACAGGGAGACGGUCUCUGAUUCCUGUCAUGCUCAAGAUGAAAAAAUCAGAACGGCACCUAUUAAUCCCAUCUCCGACUUCCAGGACCCAGCUGGUCGAGCUAGCAUAGAGCAAGUGGUAAUACUUUCUUUGUCAUUAAGAUCAGCCCAUGUUUCGCGAAUUUGGUAUGAUUGGGAGAGUCCGUCUUUAUGUGGAAUUAACCUUCCAACUGAACCUCGGGCAGAUGUCCGUACUGAACGUCUUGAGUUAGCGUUGGAUAAACCGCUGGCCGUCAAAUGGAAGAAUUCAAGAAAGUGGCCUGAUACGCUGCCUCAAGUGGAAAAACUUUUGGCACAGAUUAAUGGUUGGCCUGAUCUGAAGCCAUAUAACAUGUUUGGAACAACUGCUUUUAGAAGUCAGCCGCAUUGGGGAGACAAUGGUGGUGAGAAAGAACAUUGAAACGGAUGCAUAUGGAAGUAAUACAGUUUGCAUGUUAAAAAGGAAAUUAUGAAUUUUGUAAAGUACUUGAGCAAAUGGCAUAUGAUGCAUAUAACAAAGUCGCCUUUGUUCUCCCAACAAAUGCGACUUCCUUGCGACUCGAACUGGGGAGCAAACCCAGUCAAGCCAUUUAAGGAGACUCCAUUGCCAGUAGAGCCAACACUUUAUUGGUUCGAGCGGGGACUUCUAGUCUGGGUUGUGGUACAGGCUUAAAGGUGCCUCCCACAGUUGGGGCCCUCCUCAGGAUACCUCGUGGUCAAAAACUAAAAAAAAAAAAAAAAAAAAGUACUUGAGCCAAUGGCAUCCCUGAAGCAAUUUUUGCAUUUUCUAGCUUUGUCACUGUCUUAAAUGCAUUCUGCUCCAUAGAGUACGCCUCUGUUCUGUGCACAUAAAUCUUCUCUUCAAGCAAAACUGCCGUAAUAUCAGAUUCUAUAGCACCGCACGAUGAUUGGUUAGUGACCAAUCAAUACCCUUGAUCUUGAACAAGCGCAAAUAUUUCAGGUCGAAGAAAAGAAGUAAGAUUAAUCAGAGCAAUCAAUCAAGAACAGAGCACAAACUAGAAAAAUUGAAGAACAAGAAGAGAGUUUCAUGCUCUUUCUUUCCUAAAGAAAUCAACCGACAAUCUUUAAAACCAUACCUCAUUUGCUUCCUAAAUCACAGUACUUACAGAGUCAUCAAGCCUAGAAAGAUUGCCUAACGCUCAGCUAACAAACCCAGAAAAGUCAACCAACACUUUUUCUAACCAAUUCUUUUGACCAAGACAGCAACGCCAAUAACAGCUUUUCCCGCUAAAUACAGAUGUCUCAGUUUAAGCAAAUGCACGCCUGACAACUUUCGAGUUAUUACGAGCUAACCUCAGCGAGUUUACAAAUCUUAUAAACACACCCCUCAAUUUAUAUUAUUGAAUCAGACUCCAUUCGCCAGUUCCUCUCUUGAGCUUGGCCUGCAAUUCCAUGUAAUAUAUAACUCGAGAUCGAUAAUCUACAUAUUUGUCUUUCAUCCUUCCAAUGCGUGGCUUUAUGAGAAGAUUACGGGGGUGCCAAGGCUCAACGAAAGUCGAAAAGCCCAAAUUAAAUAAGCACAGUAAAAUUCAACAAAAUUCCAAUAUCAUCAGAUGGGAAUGGGCCUUGGGGAUGCUAAGAUGUUGUGACACUACCUGUCAGCGGCUAUGAACAAUAAUUUUUUGCCGAAUACAUUUAUUUGAUAGAUCCUUACAUAAAAUAUAAGUAGUAUUGAUAAUUUCACUUCAUCCAUCUCUGAAACUAACAAGAGUAAAUUUAACCUAAACACUGGUCAUUCAAUCUCAUUUUCCUCUAUAAAGCAAUUUAAUUUAUACAGUUUGUUUAACAAUUUAAUUUGUACAGUUUAUUUAAUUUGCAGCAUUUUGUCAGACUUGGUAUUGGUUUAAUUUAUAAUGUUGAUAACUAAAACUCAGAAGGCGCUGGAGCUAUUCAAGUAAAAUCUAAAAAAAUUAAGUAAGAAUCUCAACAAAGGAAAAUCCAUAUCAGCUUCAAGUGCUAUAUAAUUUAGAAUAAGCUUAGCUGAGCUACUCAAAUAGAAAGAACAGCAGAAGCUGCACGCCGACAAUAAAAAUAAUAAUAAUCAGAUUGCAAUGACCUAAUUAUUAGUUUAUUGUUCACUCGUAGCAAUGCAAUUGAUGUAGGAUAGUUGUGUAGGAUAAAUAGAGUAUCUUUCCGAAGACAUAAGUUCUAAGUGUCCGUUUGAGACAUAUAAUACUAUUUCAAAGCUUACAAUGAGACGAAUCUAAACUAAUAUGACUGUACCAAAAGAAAAAAAUCAAUCAGAUUGAGAUGGCCUAAUUAGUGUACUGUUUACUCGUAUCGAUGCUACAAUUCGUCAAUUAUGUAUUCAAAAAAUGAGAGAGCUUCAAGAAGAGACAAUGCUGCAAUGAAACAGGCAUAAUAAGGAUAUAAAGCAGAGGUUUACUUCAGUCCUUUAUUUUUUUUCCUUUCUUUAAUUUUCAGCUCAUGAGAAAUCACAAAAUUCAAAGCUUCAAUUUGAUCGUGCACGAAAGCAAUUUUGAUUCUUGCAAGACAUAUUUUGAUUCUGACCAACUAUUUCACCCUAGCCGAGCAUUUUCUUGUGAUUUAACCCAAAAAAAAAAAAAACUGCAAGAGAAGAUAUAGUAAAUAAAUAAAAAGAAAGCAAAUGAAAUACCAUAUGAAAAGAAAAUAAAUUAUUGAAAUCGAGAUGCAUACUUUCACAAAAAUGCAGAGAAUAAGUAACAAGUAGGCUUUGCCCUUCAUUCGAGUUGUCUAAAUCUUUUAAGAAGUGGCUCUUCAACAUCAUCACAGCAGCCACUGCCACUGGCUUCAGUUGCCCCAAUAUUUUCUGCUCGGCUUCGCUUUGAUGCUGUGGCUACUUCCGAAUUUGAUCCAACAAAAUUGUGAUGGAAUUCGUUCAGAUUAUAAGAAGUAAAGCGAGUCCAUUUCUUUGUUGUUUGGUCAAACUCCUCGACUUCGUGCAUAUAAACUGGAUGGAAACCGCACCUUUUCACCUUCAAUCCAGGACCUGACUGAGGUUUAAAUGACAACUCAAUAUGAUCAGAUUCAAAAUGCCAAUUAGUAUCAUAGCAGCGUUGACGAGACAAAUAGAGUAGCCAAAGAUGGUCUGACCCACAACGACCAAAUUUCUCUCUAAAAUCUACAAAGUAAAAGGUAUUAGAACCGACCAUUUCGCAGUGCAAUUGAUGUGUGGGAUAUGAAUGCCAUAAUUUGAUACCGGUUGAAUGUUUAGGGACAUGAAAAACAGAGCAAAUAGCAUAUCCCACAACCCUAUUCUUAUUAUACAAAUAUGAAGGCCUUCUGACAGUAAUUGAUGAACCCUCAUUCUGAUACAUGAACCACUUGGGAAUUUCGCUUCCUGGAACAACAAUGAAGAAAAAAUUUCUUUGAUCUGACACUUCCUGCAACCAAAAAAUAAAAAAUUAAGGAGUCCAUAUCAUUACUCAAUUUUCGGGCAUAAUUACAGCAUAGCUGGAAGACACGGAGUGAGAGACUGACCUUAAGGUACUCUCGUAGCAUUGAAAAUUCCAGACCGUUGUUUCCGAGCAAUUUCAAGCUGCCUAUACAAUUAAUUAAUGUGCAAUAGGACUUGCGCAGUUUUAAUGCACCUAACAAUGUCACCAACGAAGCACAACCAUUCACUUUAACUUUCUUUACGUUGGGUGGAAGUUGUGGCAGAGAUUGAAGCCUUUUACAAUCUUCCAACACCAAUAUUUCAAGCUUAAAAAGACGAUUAAUGCUUGCCGGUAGCGAAACAAAAUUGUUUCCGCUCAGAUACAAUUUUUUUAAUGAGUAUAAGUUGCCAAUAUCACUCGGGAUUGUUCCUUCCCGUAGAUCACAGUAACUGAGAUCCAAUUUGCUUAAAGAGCACAAACCUGACAGAGAAAUCAACCUUAAAGCCCCUAGGUCUGAACUCCUUCGCAUCCAAUUGAAGAGAAAUUGCAAAUGCCAUGAUGUAGACGACGGUUGUCCAUAGCACCCAGAAAAAGAUAGAGUUUUAAGAUUCUUCAUAAGAAAAAUGGAGGAUGCAGGUCGCCUUAUAGCUGUUCCGCUUAUAUCAAGUUCUUCCAGACUUUCUAUUUGCCCAAGCGUCUCUGGCACAUUUUCAAGUUUGGAGCAUCCUGAGAGAUUUAGAGUUUGAAGAUAUUUCAAACCAUUUAUACCGCUGGGAAGUCUCACUAGAUUGUUGCAGUUAUUCAAAUUUAGCAAUUGAAGUCCGGUCAAAAGUUCUAUAGAAGAUGGCACUUCUGUAAUGGAAGUUCCAUCUAAGAAGAGCUCCGUCAGAUCUUUCAUACUUCCCCAAAUCUCUGGAAACUUCCUAAACUUCGAGCAACCAGAGAGCUUAAGAGUUCUUAGGCAUUUUAAUCUUGUUAAAGAAAUUGAAAGACUCUUGAUAUUUUUGCAAUCUUUCAAAUUCAACAGAGUAAGUCCAGUUAGAUGUUGAAUUGAUAAUGGCAACUCUUCAAUAGUUGUUCUGUCUAAACAGAGUUCUGACAGAUCAUUCAUAUUUCCAUCAAACUCUAGAAACUUCUUUAUCAGUUUUGAGCAACCAGAAAGAACGAGUGUUUUAAGCGAUUUCAUAGAAAUCUUGGUUGGAAGAGUUGUAAGACUUGUACAAUCUUUCAGGUUCAAUAUGAUAAGCUUACUGUGAAGCAGUAAAGAUGGGUGAAUUUCACGCAGCCUUGUACAUCCUUCAAGAUCCAGCUCCUCUAAAUUUGAGACCUCUGUGAAGUUUGGUGUUUUAAUCAAGUCCUGUGAAUGGCUGAGUUUCAUGACUUUCAACAUGUUUAAAGGCUGUUGAAAACAAAAGCAGGAAAAAUGAUAUUUCUUAAUUUAUAUACAACUGUAAUACUAUCAACAAUUAUUCACAGAAAAAAUUCAAAUUAUUGACAAAAUUAUUGAUCUUACUUUGAUUCCCUUCCAUAAUUCUUCAAUGCGGCUGUAGCACAUUUUAAAUUCAACAGUUUUAUCCAAUUGCAGAUUUGAUGGCAAAGAUUUCAAAGGAUACCGAUGCCAAUCAAGUAAUCGCAACCUGUUAGAGAGGUAUUCUAGGCCUCCAGGAAGUUGCACAUUACUAAUUUUGAGCAGUCUUAGGUUGGUAAUUUUCGAAAAUGCUUUAGCACUUGCACUUAAGUAAACCUCAUUUUCAGGAAAGUAGGCAUUAAUUAUUAUUCCUUCCAUUACUUCACCUCCCUGAAAAUUAUAAGCAAACAAUAAGCAAAAUAAUAAUAAUAAUAAUAAUAAUAAUGUAAAGAUGUUGAAAAUUCGUCAGAGAUGUAAUUGGGAAAAAUAAAGUAGCAAGCAUCAACAAGUUUUUCAUUUAAUAAUUCACUUACUGUGUUUUCUAUCAACACUUGGCGUACUUCUUUUUCCUUCCAUAAUCUGCUGCGUUUCCCAGGUUCUUCGGGGGACUGUCUCGUGACAAUCAGUUGUCCCAAUUCUUGUAACAAAUCAUGCAUCCCCAGUGUGUUGUCGUCAUCAACUAUUAAAAGAGAUCUUUCAAUAAGAACUUCUAUUCCAAUGACAGGGAAAAAACCACAUCCCUCUAGAAUUUUUGUUACAUAAUCUCUAUUCUUCCCUUUAAAGAAACAUGCAAUAUCAAGAAAUAUUUUCUUCUCAGAAUCUUGUAGUCGGUCAAAACUUAUUUGAAGUAUACUCAUAAUCUUCUUUGGAGGAUCUAUUUGAAGUCUUUCCAGGGUACUUCUCCAUUGCUCCACAGAUCUAACAUUCAAAAAGGAACCUAAAACUUCGAUAGCUAAUGGAAUACCACCAGCAUAAUUUACAAAACGUUCAGAUAGCUGCACAUGUUCUUCCAAAGGCUGAUUGUUUUUAAAAGCUUUCAUGUUGAAGAGUUGAAGAGCUUCAUUGUAGUUUAGUCCAUUAGGCUUAUACACUUCAUCCACUCCAUUUGUCUUUAACAAACCUUCAUCUCUUGAUGUUAUGAUGAUCCUACUGCCUGAACCAUACCACCCAUGCUUUCCAGCUAAAUAUUCUAAUUGCUUUGAAUCAACCACAUCAUCAAUAACAAGAAGAACCUUCUUGUGUUGCAGCCUACUCCCUAAAAUGUUAAUGCCAUCAUCCUCAUUCCAUAUCCUAUUAUCUGUAAGCUUUAGUAAUUGGGAAACGAGUUGCCUUUGAAAAGAGAUUACACCACCUUCCCUUUCAGAUUUUUCUCUAACAUUAGCAAGAAAACUGCUUCCUUCAAAUUCAUGAGAGAUCAAGUCAUGUUAAGGAAGCUCAUCAAGCAUCAAAAGAAUGCACACACUUGGCACGUGUGAUUUGAUGUCCAGUCAGCUUAGCAGUUAGGAAUUAGAAUGACAGCUCAGCAAAGUCUGUUAUGUAAUCUCUGUAUUCUGUUAGUACUGUUUUGUGUUCAGCUUUGUGAUUAGCAGCAUGUAUAUAUAUAAUCAUUACAGCCGAGGUUUGUAAUUAAUGAAAUAACAAGCAAAGCAAUAAAAGAUUUGGAAUAUUCAUUUUCUUUCAUUUUCUCGAAAGCCAAACAAAUAUAUCAACUCUGUUUUUAACAUUUCAACAUGGUAUCAGAGCCACAGAGAGCAAGCUCUAGUAAUCAGCAAACAACUAAUACAAAUCAAUACACUCAAAUCAAUUUCUCUUUCAUGAAUCCAAUCAAACUAGAUCGCUCAAAUUACCUGCUAUGGCGUUCACAAGUUCUAGCUUCAAUUAGAGGAAAUCGACUGGAGGACUUCAUUACAGGAGACAAACCAGCACCUGAGAAAUAUCUUAUUCUUACUGGAGCUAAUGGAUCUACUCAGAAGGUUGAUAAUCCAGAGUAUCAGAAUUGGAGAUCACUGGAUCAAACCUUACUCGGAUGGUUGCUGUCAUCAAUAAAUGAAGGUAAUCUAAGCCUUGUUAUCAAUUGUGCAAGUUCGUUUGAUGUUUGGAAAACUCUAGAAAAGAAAUUUGGUGUUCAGUCUGAAGCUAGGGUUCUCCAGCUUAGAUAUGAAUUGAAUACUCUCAAAAAGGAGUCUUUAAAUGUUGAAGAUUAUUGCAUAAAAAUGAAGUCUAUAGCUGACAAGCUUGCUAGUGCUGGAAGUCCUAUAACAGAAAAAGAUCUUAUGUUAACCAUACUGAAUGGACUAGGAUCUGGUUUUCGUGAUAUUGCAACUUUCAUAACUGGAUCUAAAAUGGAGUAUGAUGAUGCUUAUGCAUUGUUACUUACACAUGAAACUAGACUAGAGCAAGAACAGGAAGAUAAAGGUAUGUUUAAUGCAAAUUAUGCAUACUAUCCCAAGAUGUUUUAUGCUCAAUCCAGAGGUAGUUUUAGAAGAGGAGGAUAUACUGGUGGUGGUUUUGGAAACUUUGGUGGUAGGAAUCAUAUUAUGGGGAGAGGUAAUGUUCACCCUCAGAGGUUUCAUUCUGGAGGUUUCAGAGGAGGAUAUGGUAGAGGAUACUCUCCUGGACAAACUAAUACUUUUAAUUCCUUUCAAGUACCUAGAAAUCCAUCACAAGUUGCUAGAGGUGGAUUCACUGGCUCAAAUGGAAUGCAAGGAAGUUCUGGAAAUUCAGAAGAGAUAACAUGUCAGAUAUGUUUUAAGACUGGUCAUACUGCUGAUGUCUGCUGGCAUAGGUUUGUUGAAGAUUACAUGCCUACACCAAGGGGUUUUGGAAAGGGUAAAGGACCAAGAGCAGCUUAUUUCAGUAAUUUUGAGGGCUUUACUCCUUAUCAAGGAUAUGAAGACUGUGAUAAUCUCAAUUACAUGUCACCAAAUGCUUAUUCUCCCUCUACUGCUAACAGUUACUCUGGAAGUGAGUCUUAUAUUCCUGCAGCAGCAUUUGUAGCCAAUUGUGAAGGACCUGCUGAUGAUGGCUGGUACUUGGAUAGUGGAGCUACUCAUCAUCUGACUAAUAACAUGGAUAAUCUGCAUCACAGGGAGGAAUAUAAAGGUAUGGAUCAACUUAUUAUUGGAAAUGGCCAAGGUUUGCACAUCUCUCAUAUUGGAAAUUCUUUUCUGUCAUAUAGAGCUUCAUCACACUCAAAUCUAAAGCCUACACACACUGCUAUAGCACUUAAAGACAUGUUACUUGUUCCAUCAAUUACCAAAAAUUUGUUGAGCAUUUCUAGAUUGACAUCUGACAACCCUUUAUCUGUCGAAUUUUGUGGUAAUGUUUGUUUUGUAAAGGACAUGAAGGGACAAGUGCUUCUGCAGGGUUUUGCUGAGAAAGGUCUAUACAAGCUGCUGCUGAAAACCAAAAACUCCUCACCUGCAUCUCACAUGUCUACCUUUCAAUUGAAUAAACCAGUGUCUAUGUUGUCCUUUUUGAAUAUUCCUUCAACUUCUCAAAAUUGUACAGCUCUUGAUAAAGCUUGUUAUCAUGCUAUUCAAAAUAAUUGUAACCAGAAACAUGAUGAUAUGACAAUUUUACAUAGACGAUUUGGACAUCCAAGUUCUGUCAUUCUGAUGCAUUUGCUUAACUCUUGUUCUAAGCUUAAAGUCUCUCAAAAAUCUGUUCACUCUUCUGCACUUAACUUGUGUGAAGCUUGUCAGCUAGGAAAAGUCCACAAACAGCACUUUCCAGCUACUGAAACAAAAACCAAACAGGUGUUAGAACUAAUUCAUACUGAUCUAUGGGGGCCAUCACCUACUGUGUCUAGGAAUGGUUAUAGGUAUUAUAUCAGUUUCAUUGAUGAUUACAGCAGAUAUACUUGGAUUUACCCACUUAAACUCAAAUCAGAAGCCUUUGAGGUUUUCAAGCUCUUUAAAAUCCAAGUUGAAAAUCAGUUUAACACUCAGGUCAAGAUGUUGCAAUCUGACUGGGGGGGAGAAUAUAGAGUGUUUAAUGAUUUUCUUAACCAAAGUGGGAUUCUCUUCAGGCAUUCAUGUCCAUACACUCAUCAUCAAAAUGGUUUGGUUGAGAGGAAACAUAGGCAUAUAGUUGAGCUAGGAUUAACUCUUUUAGCUCAGGCAAAUCUCCCUUUCAAAUUUUGGUGGGAUGCUGUCCAUACAGCUGUAUAUCAUAUAAACAGACUUCCAACACCUUUACUGAACCUAAUCUCUCCCUAUGAAAAGUUAUUUGCUCAUAAACCAGACUAUAACUUCUUAAAGUGUUUUGGGUGUCUAUGCUAUCCAUAUUUGAGAGAUUUCAAUAAACACAAGUUUGAUUUCCAUACCAGCAAGUGCAUUUUUAUUGGCUAUAGCCCUUCUCAUAAAGGCUAUAAGUGUCUCACAAGUUCUGGUAAAGUUCACAUACUGAGACAUGUGAUAUUUGAUGAAAAAGUGUUUCCUUACUCAACUGAUAAUGCUUUCAACUUGUCUCAACAAAACAAAAACUCUGAAACACCAGUAUCAGUGUCUAAUUUUUCUCCACAACAAGUCUAUCAGUUAUCUACCCUUUUCUUACCUCACAGCAGCUUUGAAGAUGCUUACUCAGCAAGCUCAGCAGGACAUCAACAAACACCUUCUAUGCCUGUACAUACAGACAUUCCAUGUCAACAAGAACAAGGUAACCACACUCUAUCAGAAUCAUCAUCAUUUUCUUUACCUUCACAAAAUCCAGAGUCUUCACGAAAUCCAGAACCACUUCAAACACAACCUGAAAACCAAAUAGACAUCCAACAAAACACAGCACAUAUCACAAACAAAAUUCUUGCUUCACAACCUUCUCAUAAAAUGACUACCAGAUCAAAAUCUGGAAUCUUCAAACCCAAGCUAUACACUGCAACUUUAGCCAAUAAGGAACCUGAUACAAUUCAAGAAGCUCUUUGUGAUCAGAACUGGUACCAAGCCAUGAGAGAUGAGUAUGAAGCACUGAUCAGGAAUAACACUUGGUCAUUAGUUCCACAUUCAGCUGAGCACAAAAUUGUUGGCAAUAAAUGGGUGUUUAGGAUUAAGCAGAACACUGAUGGUAGCAUAGCUAAGUACAAAGCUAGGCUAGUUGCUAAAGGUUUUCAGCAAACUGAAGGAGUUGACUAUUUUGAGACUUUUAGUCCUGUUGUGAAACCAUGUACUGUGAGGAUUGUGUUGAGCUUAGCUAUGAUGAACAAGUGGGUAGUUAGACAAGUUGAUGUGAACAAUGCCUUUCUAAAUGGAGAGUUGAAUGAGGAUGUAUACAUGUGUCAGCCAGAGGGAUUUGUUGAUAUGCAAAAACCUGGUCAUGUGUGCAAGUUGAAGAAAGCUUUGUAUGGUCUGAAACAGGCUCCUAGGGCCUGGUAUGACAAGCUAAAGAACUCCUUAAUCACAAUCUGGAAUUUUCAGAACUCUAAGGCUGAUACAUCUCUUUUCUUUAAGGAGAUACAUGGAUCAAUAAUACUAAUUCUGAUAUAUGUCGAUGAUAUCUUAAUUACUGGUGCAAAUAGUAAGGAAUUGGAAAGGUUCAUCUCUGAGUUUAGUAAAAUGUUUGUUUUAAAAGAUCUGGGAACACUGUCAUACUUCCUUGGCAUAGAAGUUGUUUAUGCUCAAGAUAGUAUGUAUUUGUCACAGAAGAAAUACAUUAGAGAUCUACUGAACAGAGCUGACAUGUUGGAUUGCAAGAGCUGUGACACUCCAAUGGUUACAGGUUACAAACUUCAGAAGGAAGUUAAAGGGCAUCUAGGACAGUAUAUUGAAGAUGCAACAGUCUACAGAAGCUUAGUUGGAGGCCUGCAGUAUCUGGUUUUAACUAGACCAGAAAUUGCUUUUGCAGUUCAUAAACUAAGCCAAUAUGUAGCAGCACCAACCCUUCAACAUAUAUUAGCUUGCAAAAGAGUCCUCAGAUAUUUGAAAGCAACAGAAGAUUAUGGAUUAAAAUUUUCAGCUGAAGGGGAAAUGAAAAUUACAGGCUACACUGAUGCAGAUUGGGCAUGUGAUGUUGAUGAUAGAAAAUCGAUAGGAGCCUACUGCAUUUACUUUGGAAACAACCUGGUGUCUUGGUCAUCAAAGAAGCAAACUGUAGUCACAAGGUCAAGUGCUGAGAGUGAGUAUAGAGCACUUGCCUCUGCAAGUGCAGAAAUUACCUGGAUACAAUCACUACUUAAAGAACUUAAAAUUGAAUGCACAACUUUACCAACAAUUUGGUGUGACAAUGUCAGUGCAACAGAGUUAGCUAAGAAUCCUGUCUAUCACUCAAGAACAAAGCACAUUGAGUUAGACAUGCAUUUUGUUAGAGAUAAGGUGCUGGCAAGAGAGCUUGAAAUCUACUAUAUUCCAAGUGAAGAGCAGAUUGCAGACAUCUUGACAAAGCCUCUCACAUUUACUCAUUUCAAUUACUUUAGAGCCAAACUCAAGGUUCAUCCAUGUCCCUUGAGUUUGAGGGGGGCUGUUAAGGAAGCUCAUCAAGCAUCAAAAGAAUGCACACACUUGGCACGUGUGAUUUGAUGUCCAGUCAGCUUAGCAGUUAGGAAUUAGAAUGACAGCUCAGCAAAGUCUGUUAUGUAAUCUCUGUAUUCUGUUAGUACUGUUUUGUGUUCAGCUUUGUGAUUAGCAGCAUGUAUAUAUAUAAUCAUUACAGCCGAGGUUUGUAAUUAAUGAAAUAACAAGCAAAGCAAUAAAAGAUCUGGAAUAUUCAUUUUCUUUCAUUUUCUCGAAAGCCAAACAAAUAUAUCAACUCUGUUUUUAACAUUUCAACAAGUCAUAAAUAACUCUUGCAAUAGUCGUCUUACCUAAACCUCCCACACCGCAUAUCCCUAUCAUACGAACAUCAGCACUAGGACCUUUAUCCAUAAGAAACCUCAGUUCCUCCAAGCGUGAGUCUAUUCCUACUAGCUUCUUAAGAAUCUUUGAUUUUACACGAAUUUGACUUGAUAUUGGAUUGACAAUAUCGGAAAUAAAUUUUGACUCGUUCCUGUAGUUUAAAAAGACCAAAGAAAGAUUGGUGUUGUUAAAUUAAAGUUAUUAUGAACGUGGUAACAAAUCAAUUCCAUAUUAUGAAUAAAAUCCAAACCAUGCAAUAUUCAUUAGAUCAAAUUGAAGUAAUGCAUGUAACAUGUUGUUACAUAUGGCUAAGUAACACUUUAUUAUAUAUGGCUAAUCUUUAGGUAUGUUCUAGCGAAAUAUCUACAUUCAUCUGUACCUAUUCAUUUGCAAAUAAACAUAUAUGGAGCUAUUAUUUUAUUUACUGCGCAUCAUAAGGUAGACAUAAUAAUCAGAAGAAUUUUAGCUGAAAAUAGUAUAUUAGAUGUUGUUUGAUUAAACUAAUAAACAUAUUAAUCAGAAGAGCUACCUGUACUCCUUUAGUUCCCAGCCUGAGAUAGUAGCCACCUCUUUCAAAGCUUCUCUCCACUUCUGUACCUUUUCUAUACUCUUCUUAAAAACUUCUACAUGUUUAGCAAAUGCUUCUUGAAAAUUUCCGGUCUGAUUCCUUACAACUGUUGGUUCCACGUCAUAGAAAAUUGGGUAAACCAUUCGUUGAGCAUUUUUGUUUUUGCAAUCAAGAAUAUGAACAAGUUCAUCUAAGCACCAAGUGGAAGAAGCAUAAUUUUUUGAGAAAACAAUAAUUGCAAUUCUUGAUGCUUCAAUUGCUUUAAGGAGACGAGGAGAAAUGGACUCUCCUUUCUCAAGUUCUUUGUCAUCCUUGAAUACAUAAAUUCCUUUCCCAUUCAAAGCAGCAUAUAGAUGACUUAUGAAACUUUUACGGGUGUCUGCUCCUCUAAAGCUUAGGAAGACAUCAUAUGUCCAGUGACAGACAUUUUGGUUGCUUACUGAAGUCAUUUUAUUUGUUCCUGCAAAUUUAGAAUAAAGUAAGUCUUACUAGGAACAACUGAUACUUUUUAGAAUUAUAGAGAAAAUUCAUUCUUAUUAAUUUCAAAUGGCUCUCAAGCCUAAUUUAGAUAAAAUAUUCAAUAACAUAAAAGUAAUCAAUCAUCAGAAAUCAAGGAUCCAUAUUAAAAAAAAAUAAUAGUUGUAAUACUUUUCAUAUGUGUAUGACUAUAAUGGCCUUGAUUAUUGCCAUAUGUGAAUGCCACAAUGGUCUUGAUUCUUGUCAUCCAAUUAUCACAUAAUGGGUUUGAUUCUUGCCACCUGUGCAUGUUGUGAUGGUCUUGAUCUUUGUCAUGUAUGCAUCACAUUACGGAUUUCAUCCUUGCCAUAUACGCAUUACAUCCAUGUAAUUCUUAUCACAAUUGUAAUCCAAAUUACAGAUUUUCUUGCUGAAAGAUGUGAUGAAAUCUUGUAGCCUUUUUUUUUUUAAAUGGGCUUAAACGUAACCUAAAGACCCUCUAAAACUCAACACCAGGAAAGAGUGAAAAAACCUGCUUUUGACAUUUUUUUUUUAAAUAAAAAAAUUCACAUAUAUAUCACACCCACAGCCCACCAUGUUUGGAAAGCGAUCAUCGACAUGCUAACCAAACACCCACAGAUUUGAAGACUCUCAAACCCGUUCUGAAAUCAUAAUAACUUUUCUUUUCUUUUCUUUUCUUUUUAUUUUGUGCAAUGGUGCGAGGGAAUUUUAUUAAUUAAAAUUAGUUGACAAUAAAUUGUACCAAAAUAUUGUUUAAAGAGAAUGCUUCUCAUUUGGAAAUUAAUGAUCUUCUUCUUAAACAAAAUAAACAGAUGCACAGCUUCUUAUUUGCUUUCUUUACUCCAAAAAAAAAAUUAUGCUUUCUUUACUCUAAAAAAAAAAAAUUAUACUUAAUAAAUCCCAAAAUGUAAGUAGAAUUUUUUUUUCAGAUGCUGAUUGUAGAGUUCGUAUGCCGGCCUUUAAGUUCAUAUAAAAUUAACAUUCAAGCUUUCUUCCAAUAUUUAAACAUACCGGAUAUGCAAAUUAAUUCUGAAAAUAAAAGAUAAAUAUACAAGAUAAAACUUACAGCUUAUUUGAACUCCACUGAAGUAUUUUCCCAAAGGAAAGAAGUUAAUAAAAUGGCGCAACUUCUAGCUAGUUUCUCAUCCUCAGAUCUGUAGUAUGAGCAAGACUUAGUAAAAAUUGACUUGCAUAAUUAAAUUACUCGUCAUAGACUUCUACUCGUAUAACUAAUUAUUCAUUAUAAAUUUCCACUUGUUACAAUUAAUUAUUCAAAGCACUGUUAAGAAAAAGGAUACUAAGUGUCAUGGACUGUCCAAAAUUUCCAGCCUUUUAACUUGACAAGUUCAAGAUGUCCUAGCUUGGCUUGUCUCUAGAAUGCUCCAUCUCUAUCGCAUUGCACACUUGUACCUGGUUAGGAUGUCUUCAGAAUUUGCUAGAGUGUUUUAGCAUGCAGCUUGUACAUAGAAUUCUCUAGGAUACUGUAGGCAUUGUUAGACAUAAGAGCUCUCUACGAGCCAUGAGAACUCUCGAUACAUAGAAUACUCUAGAAUUCUAUUUAUAAGGCAAACCUCCUUAUAAAUAGGGCAUGACACUAAGCAUUUGCAACAAGUAAGAGCAAUAAGCGACUCGAGCGCUUGUAGACAAGCUAUCAAAGCUCUCUUGUACAUAUACUCUUGUGAAUAAUACACGUUCUCUUUGUCUCAAUUGAUCACUUCCUCUUUGGCUCUUCCAAAAGCAUCUUAGCUUAACUAGUUAUGAAGAUCAAAGCUUACUUAACAAGUUUCGAAAAAAAAUUGUAUAAGUAUCACACAAGUUUGCUGUGCAAAAUACUCACCCUGUGAUACCAAGGUUUCCUUUUCACCAUAAUACCCAUUGGCUUUAUAAACUAAAAGAACUAUCUCCAAUAUUUUAUAAUAAAUAGAAAUACAAUAUUAAAAUAAAUGUGAUAAUAUAUUUUCUAAAAUAAUUUCAAUAUUUAAAAAUAUUUUAAUAUUUUACAAAUAUAUUUUAUUGAAUUAAAGUCAAUUUUAUAAUAAAAAGAAACAUAAUAUUUAAAAACACAUUAAAUUUUAAAUUAUUUUCAAUAAUAUGUAAAAUAAUAGUUUUAAUAUAAUUAAUACAUGAGAUAUUGUACCAAGUGUAAUUUCUAUUUAACGCUAAGAUUUAUUUAAAAUCUUUAUAAUAAAUAAAAAUAUAUUCUAAAAUAAAUAUAAUAAUUAAAAUUUUUAACAUUAUUUUAAAUAUAAAGAAAUAUUUUAACACUAUUAGUCUAUAAGACAAAUUAUAUUACUCAUAUUUAUUUGUAUUUAUUAAAAAAUUUAAAGUCAAUUUUCUAAUUGCUAUAUUUAAAGAAUUUUAUUAUUAAAAAUGAAUCUUGUUAUUCCAUUUUGAAAAUUGGGGACAUCAAUAACCAUUUCCACAAAUCUUGAUGGUUUAGCUAUCUUUUUCCCUAUUAAAUAUCAUAAAAUUCUUCAAAUAGCAUUCACUAUCAUUGAAAAUAAUGUGCUUCUUUAGUUUGUUAAAUAGUCAACAGAACUGUUGUUCGAGCAUCUUCCAAGAAAUUGUUUAUGAAAUGGAAAUAUAAAUAUAGUAAUAAACAUGGUGGUGUUGUUUCAAGUUAAAUUUUUUACUUAAAAAUUUGAUAGAUUAUUACUUUCAAGCAAUCUAAUUAUAGGUAUUGAAAGUUAAAGUAGUAUUUAAUAUUGAUUCUUCAUCGACUAUUAGAUUUCUUAGAACCAAUCUCUCAACAUUUAUGUCAAGAUUUUAAGUAAAAGUUUUAAUUUAAAAUAUCAUAGUCCUGCAAAUAUAUAUAUAUAUAUAUAUAUAUUUAUAUAACCACGACUACGUUGCAUUAGGGGUAAACAAAACCCAUUGUUUGUCCUUUACCUAAAUGACCGUUGAAUAAUAUCCAACAAUUGGAACCGGAGUACUUAGUAAUAAGACAGUAAAGGAACUGUUAGGAAAUUAAUUGCAGCAAACUGGUGGACAGUUAGUAAUAACUAAUUAUACAAUAUAUGCAACAAAGGGCCAUGCAAGUGGGGUUUGGAAUCAGAUUUAUCUAAGAAUAUGAAAUAUUAUAAGGGAAAAGGACAUUUACACUUCAAAAUUUGAGAAAAUGGUCGCCAACAUUUUCAAGCUUUUGAAAAGAGAUACUAAGACUCAAUUUUAAUUAUAAUGCCCUUUGUGUCUAUUAUUCCAAAAAAAAUUUGUACUAAAUAGAAAUAUAAUAUUAAAAUAAAUAGAAUAAUAUAUAAAUUUUAAAAUAAUUUCAAUGUAUUUAAAAAUAUUUUAAUAGUUUACAACCUAUUAGAUAUAUUUUAUUAUGUUAAAGUAAAUUUUAUAAUAAAGAGAAACAUAACAUUAAAAUAAAUGUGUUAAAUUUAAAUUAUUUUGAAUAUUAAUGUAAAAUAAUAAUUUCAACAUUAUUAGUAUAUGAGAUUCUUUUUAAUUGUUAAAUGUUUUUAGCGCAAAUAUUUAUUAAAAAUCUCUACAAUAAAGACAAAUAUAUUAUUAAAAUAAAUAUAAUAAUAUAGAUAUUUAAAUUUAUUUAAAUAUUAAAAUAUUUUAAUAUUAUUAGUCUAGUAAAGAGAUUACAUUAUUUAUAUAAUAUUUUUAUUUAUUAAAAAUUUUAAAGUUAAUUUCAGUAAAUAUUUCAAAGCAUAUUACAGUCAAAAUGGAGUCUUAGAGUCCAUUUUUUUAACUUAAGGGUCUGCAUGACCGUUUCCCCAAACCUUGAGGUAUAAAUAUCAUUUUCCCAAAUAAUUAGUUAAAUAUUCUUACAAGAUUUAUUACUCUUCUAAAAUAGAUUAUGGUUAACACCUUGUCUUUGGUCUUAAUUUAAUUCGAAAAAUCUAAAGACUUUUGAAAGUAAAAAUUAAUUUGAUUAAAGGAAACACAGUUUACAAUUCGUAAUAGCGUAAACAAAUAUCAAAUUCGGGGCAUCCAUCCUUGUUAUCCACAACUUUAAAGUUUCCAUUAUUCCGAUUUUUUCGGCCUUCCUAUGUGAAAGACAAUGAAGCAAUUAACCACUUAGAUAUCAUAUCAUAGACCUGCGGAUUCGCAUCGAGCACUCGUCUCCAUUCUUUUUUACAUUUUUCCAAAUUCAGAGAGACAUAAAUCUUCUGAACAAAUUGCUAAUAAUUUAGAUUACAUAAUGCUCUGUUUUGCUUACACAAGCUCUACUAAACAGAGCAACAUUAUUAAUAGGGUUUGAAAAUGAACAAGAAUCUGUAAUCCAAAUGAGAUGACAAUGUCGGUUACAAGAAAUUGUUGUACAGUGCCUAUCAUCCACUUAUAUACUACAUGUCGGUUAUUUUGAGAGGAAGCUCGUAUGAUGAACAGUUAAUGUCGUCUACAAGAAUAAGUAACGUACGUGUUUGAUCACUUAUAAUAAACAAAAGUAGUGCUCACUUAUAAUAAACAAAACUAGUGCUCUGUUCUUCAAGAGGACACAGGGUAGAACUAGUUGAAUCUUUAUAAUCAGAGUGUUAAGUGAGGUCCUGGGGGGUCGACAGUGAUCGUCAACUGAUCUUGAUCCGAGAUUUUUCCUACUAUUGUAAACGACGGCAUCAAGGAGACAACAAGAGAGAGAGCUCUUGUAACGGGCCUAAGCUUCUCGAAGCUGCAUUCAAGCAAGUCUCAGGAUUGCAGCACUUUGGAUUGAGUCCAUCUUGCUCCUCAAGAAGCAACUGUCACAUUUCAGGUAACCGCAGGAAUGUUAAUAACAAGUUCUUUUAAUGAGCAUAAGUUGCCAAUAUCAAUUGGGAUUGCCCGCCCCUUCCCCUGGACUACAGUUACAGAGAUCCAAUUUUGUUCAAGUGUUGGGAAAGCCGGAAAGUUGAUGAAAUUUUACUUGAAUUCCGAUUAAGUUUGUUCCAAAGAAAUUAAUGAGAGAAUUUCAUGUUUUCUAAUUAAUUUGACCUUUUCUGCUUGCCAACAGCGGAUAAUUAUAAAAAAAGACUACGGUCUAUGGUGGUUUAUGGAAUCAAAGACAUUGUCAAUGAUAACAAAAACUUGAUUAAUCUAAGCACCAAAAGCAAGGAACUUCAUUAAGGGUGUCUUCAACGUAAGUACUUAAAUAAUAAUUUAGAGUAUUUAAUGAAACAAAAUAAUUUUAAAAUGACAGAGAACAUGAAUCAUUUUCUUUCUCUCCCUUAUUCUUUAGUAGGUGACACAACAUUUCAUUUUGUCUCACAUACAAGCACAAAAUUUUCAACUAUAAUUUUAAACCAAUGGGCUUCACAUCUUUGUCCUAAUCGAAAGUUCCAAUUAGAAAGCUCCUUGGAUGAAACAUAUGUAAACUUCCAUUGAAGAGGCAGAAGUGACAAAUUUCAAAGGAUUUAUUGAAAAUCAUGAAAUUCCUCCCUCAGGAAAUCGUAUAUGAAAUUAAACAAAAAUGUAAACACAGUCAUAUUAUAUUCAUAAAUUAUGUAUGCAAAUACUAAGUUAUUUUAAUAAGACUAAUGAAGUGAUAAAAAAAUAUAAAUAUAACUGGUAUAAGGUUAAAUACAUGAUAUGAUUCUAAUUUAAUAAAUCAAUAAUGCCCAAAGAACUCAAUCAAAGCCCAAGGAAAAAACACAUUAUUUGAAGCCCAAGCUCAAUAUGGAAAAUCCUCUAAACAAUGACGUUAAGAUUUUUGAAAUUGAGAUUAGUAAGUACCACAUAAAUCUUUUAGGUUCUGGCUCCUCAUUAUCACAGCAUCCACUCCCACGCGCAAGUGCAAUAAUAGAUACGAAAUGAGAUAACGCUGCAAUGAAACAGAGAUAUUAAGAAUACGAAACAGAGGAUUUAAUUCGGUCCUUUAAUUUUUAGCACAUGAGAGAAAUCACAAAAACUUAAAGCUUCAAUCUGAUCGAGCAUGAAUGCAAUUUUCAUUCACGAAAGGCACAUUCUGAUUGUGACCAACUUUUUAUAAAUGGCAUUUAAGAAAGUAAAUGAAAUACCAUCUGCGCACUUACACAUAAAUUCAAAGAAAAUAAUAUCCACCAGGCUUUGCCCUUCAUUCGAGUUGUGUAAAUUUAUUAGGUUGUGGUUCCUCAUCGUAAUCAUCACAGCAGCCACUUCCACUGGUUUCGGCCACUUCCAUAUCUGAUCCAACAAAAUCGUGAUGGAAUUCAUUCAGACUAUAAGAAGUAAAGCGGGUCCAUUGCUUUGUUGUUUGGUCGAACUCCUCAACUUCGUGCAUAUAAAGUGGAUGGAAGCCACAGCUCUUCACCAUCAAUAUAGAAUUCAUGUCUGAUUUUUAAUUUUGACUUUAAUUGUAUGAAAAUUUAUAAUUUUUUACCAAAAAUUAAUAAUAGAAGGAAACGACAGUGAAAUCAAAACCUCCACUCGCCGUUGCGUUAAAGAAACCCAAUCGUUGCAAUCAUUUGCUGUUUCGCUCAGGGCUAGUGAAGUUGUGCCCCAUGCUUACCGAAGAAAACACUUUCUAUUGUUCAAAUUUCAAUCCUCUCAGUCGACCAGGUGAGUCGCUCGCUGUUUCUGUUCAUUCAUGGUUAGUGAAGGUUUUAGUUUUGAUUUUUGAUUUUGAAAUUACAAAAAUAUUAAUUUUUGUUUAGAUUGGUACUGCAUAUAUAUUGGGGGAAUUUGAUUUUAUUUUAAUGGUGUUUUGUAGUUGGUCGAUACUUUUAUUGUGUAAAUUUAUAGUUACUUUUGUUGGUUUUGACUGGCAAUGUUGGAAAGCGAUGAUUCAAUGCAAAUUUCCAGGUUUCAUUUAGAAUGAUUAAGGGUUUGGUAUUCAUUUUAUCUAGUUAAGCAACUUAAUUGGAGAGAAGCUUAAUUAUUUGUAAUGCCAUUAGUGGAUGCUUGAGAUUGAGGGGAGCCUGAUCAUUUCUCUUUAAUUUGUGCUGAUAAUUAAGAUAAAAAAUAUUAUUGCAUGUAUGUAUGAUCAGUACCUUUAUUGUGUGUGUGUAAUAAUAAUAGUAAUAAUAAUAAUAAUAUCCUCAACAGAGGAAGAGACAUGAUCACACACUCGCUGGCCAUUUUUCCUGCGUGCCGUACCUUCUUGGACUGACAAAUCUUUUAAAACUGAUUUUGGUCUUUACAUCAUCUAGUAUUUAUCAAUCUCCCUUGAUUGGAAAUAUGAAAAUGUUGUGCUGAAUCAGAAAGUUGAUCCUGUUGUUUGCCAGGACCCUUACCUUCGAAUGAGACUUUCAUUUUCUUCAAAGCAGGUACUAUCUACAUUCUUUUAUUCCUAAACUUAACAUCUAAUAUCUUAUAUAAGAUCAGUACUCUCUGAGUGUGUCUGACUGCUUAAGGUAUGACUUUGGAUACUUAAGAGAUACCAAAAAUAAAAAAAUAAAAAAUUAUUCAGGUAGGAAAUUGAUAGUGAUGAAGCACAAAUUGACUUAUGGGUCCUGAGGAUGCAUAUCAUGUUUGAUACUGCAUGCUUUUUCUUGAUUGGAAGUAAUGAAUUUGGACUAGUAUCUCUUUGUGAGACUUACUUAACCCACAUAUGUGAGAUAGUUACAAGCUGUAGUUGAUAAUAAAGCUGUAAAAUAGAUUUUCUUAUUACCAGUCGAUUCAAAUGGUAAGACAUAAAGGGGCUGUGCAAGAGAUUGUAGUUCUAAUUCCACCUUUUUUAAAUAGCACUAAUGUAUUGGUUUAAAGAAACUUUUUAUGGGUGCUUUUAGUUAAUAACCAACUAGUAAGGUUCAAAGAAAAGAAAAAAAGAUGUUUAUAUACAUGAUAUAUGUAUGUUUCAAUAUUUUAUUUUAUCUCACUCUGUUUUAGGCGCACUUAAAAUUAACUAUGAGACAGUAACUUUUGAUGACCCUGAGGGUCUAACCAUUUUUCUUACUGAACUAUUAACUUGAUCAAAUAAAUCCAACUAGGAAUACAGCUAUUCUUAAUUUAGUAGUACUGGAUGUUUUUAUGGAUAAUAAAGGUCAAUAAUUUAGUUCAUUGGUUUUGGAUUCGAUUGCAUUUAUUAAUUUAUUUUCUUUCAUAUAAAUUUUGUAAUUUAAAUUUUAAAUUGAGGAAGAAAAAAAUGUAUAAUUUUUUUAUUUUUAAAUUAAUAAAUAAAAUAAUAAUCAAUUUUUAAAAAAAAAAUUGUGAUAGCAAAUAGAAGUCACAACAUAUGGCACACAACUUUUAUCCAAAAAUAAUAAUUACGACUUUAACUUCAUAAGUUUAAGAUUUUCAGCCUAAAUUUUAGAAUUACAAAAAUAUUAGAAAUCAAUGUCCAUUCGACAAAGAGUUGGAGCACCGAACGGGCUAUUUCGUAACAACCGUAGAGCCAGCUGGGCCUUACUCCCUUCAUUUUGAGAGCUCUUCGCAGACUCCAGAGGUCUCGGUCUCCACUUCGCCUUUGGAUAUAAUAAAAAAACCAAAAACAUGCUUCGUUGAACUUUCCUGCAUCUGGAAAAAAUUCACUCAGAUGAUCAAGAAACCAAGUCCAUUGGUUUGUUGUUUGGUCGAAAUCCUCCCCUUGGUUUUCAUCCAGAUAAUCAAUUAACCGAUCCCGUACAUUGUUGAGCUGAGCUCCAUUUUGACACAAUUCACGCAGAUGAUCAAUAAACCGAGACCAAACGCUUGCAUUCAGAUUAUAAUCAAUAGACCGAGUCCAUAGGUUUGUUGCAUGGUCGAACUUCGCCACUUCGCGCUUAUAAACUGGAUGGAAACCACACCUCUUCACCUCCAAUCCUGGGCCUGAAUCAGACUGAAAUGACAACACAAAAUCCUGAGAUUCAAAAUUCCAUGUGCGCAAAUAGCCUUCUUCACGAGACAAAUAUAAAAGCCAAAUAUGGUCUGACCCCGCUUGACCGAACUUUUCCCUAAAAUCAAUAUAACUACUGAUAUAAGAAUCUUUCUUAUGGCAGCUCAACUGAUGUGUAGGGUAUGAGCGCAAACUUUUGAUACCAGAUGAAUAUUUAUGGACAUUAAAAACACAGCAAAUAGCAUAUCCCAUCACAUCAUUCCUUUUAUGCCAAAAUAAAGGCGUUGUGACUGCUAUUGAAGAACCUUCAUUCUGGUACCUAAAACACAUUGGAAUUUCACUUCUUGGAACAACAAUGCUUAAAUGAGGUAUUGGUUUCGACACUUCCUGCAACUUCGAAAAGCACAAAAACAUAAAAAAUAAAAGUCCAUGUCAAUGCAUAAUUUUUAGGCAUAAUCUUUGGCACAACUGGGAGACAGUGAGAGACUGACCUCAAGGUUCUCUUUUAGCACUGACAAUGCCGACCCAUUGUUGUUGAGCAAUUUUCAUACAACUAAUUACUGUGUAAAUCGACUUGCAUAAUUUCAAUGCAUGUGAUAAUGUUCCCAAAGAAGCAUAACCAUUUACCCGAACUUGCUCUAUAUUGGAUGGAAGUUGUGGCAGAGAUUGAAGCCUCUUGCAUUCCUCCAAUUCUAUAAUCCAAAGCUUAGAAAGACGGUUAAUGCUUGCUGGUAGCGAAGUAAACCUGUUUUUACUUAAAUACAACUCUUUUAAUGAGCAUAUGCUGCCAAUAUCACUUGGGAUUGCUCCUUCCCCUAGAUUACAGUCACUGAUAUCCAAUUUUGUUAAAGAGCACAAACCUAAAAGAGAAGUCAACCUCAAAGCUACAGUAUGUGAACUCCUCAUUUUCAUCGAAUUGAUGGGAAAGGAAAAUACAGUGAUGAUGAUGAUUGUGGUAAUUUGCUUCCAAGAAAAGACAGUGCUUGAUAAUUCUGCACAGAAAAAAUGGACGACACUGGGUUCCGUAAAGCAGUUCCACUUGAAUCAAGCCCCUCCAAACUUUCUACCAUGUCAAAACUCUCUAGCACAUUUUUAGAUUUGAAGCAGCCAAAGAGAUUCAGGGUUCUAAGAGAUGUUAAACCAUUCAUAGAACUUGGAAGUCCCACAAGAUUUGUGCAGUUUCCCAAAUUCAACAAAAUGAGUCCAGUCAAAAGUUGAAUUGAUGAUGGCAGUUCUUCAAUAGCUGUUCCAUCAAGAAAAAGCUCCACCAGACAUUCCAUACUUCCCACAAUUUCUGGAAACUUCUUCAGCUUCGAGCAACCAGAAAGUACAAGUUUUCUUAGACGUAUUGUGGCAAUCUUAUUCCGAAGAGUUGUAAGAUUUGUGCAAUCUUUUAGAUUCAGUGAAAUAAGGUUCUUGUGAAGCAUUAAUGAUUGGUGAAUAUCACACAAUCUUGUACAUCCUCUAAGAUCCAUCUCCUCUAAAUUUGGCAACCCAGUUAAGUCUGGUGUUCCAAUCAGGUCCUUGGAAUGCCAAAGUCUCAUGAUUUUCAACUUGCUCAAAGGCUGUUCAAAAACAAAAUCUCAACAAUUGUUCAAGGGAUGAAUCAUAAUACCAUCAACACUUAUUAACUGAAAGGAUAUAAACAAAUCUUACUUUGAUUCCACUCCACAUUCGUUCCAUGCGGCUAUAGCACAUUUGUUGAGAUUGAUGGCAAGGAUUUGGAAGGAUAAGUGUUGAUGGUAUUACGGUUAAGUUCAAAAAUUUUUUCAGGUUGAAAAUUUGAUGGCAAGGAUUUGGAAGGAUAUCCAUGCCAUUCAAGAUACCGUAAUUCAUUAGGGAGAAAUUCAAGGCCUCCAGGAAGUUGCACAUUACCAAUUGUCAGCAUCCUUAAGUUAGUCAUGUUAAAAAAUGCUUUAGCACUUGCACUCAAAUGCGCAUCAUUAUCUCGAGAAGAGUAAUCAAGUUGUAUGCCUUCAACUACUUCAGUCCCCUAAAAGUUAUAAGCAAAGAAUUAAGUGAAGAAACAAUUUGAAGACCAUUAAAUCUUAGGACAUGUUUUUGGCUUAGUUGCUUACCGUGUUUUUUGUCAACGCAUGAUGUACAUCUUCUUCUUUCCACAAUCUGCUACGUUUCCCGGGCUCUUUAGGGGACUGUCUUUUAACAAUUUGUUGACCCAUUUCUUGCAACAAAUCAUGCAUCCGUAAUCUAUUGCCAUUAGAAAUUUCUAUGAGAGAUUUGUCAAUAAGAACCCUUAUUCCAAUAACUGGAUCAAAAUCACAGUAAUCAAGAAUUUUUGUUACAUAAUCUCUAUUGUCCCCUCGAUAAAAACAUGCUAUGUCGAGGAAUAUUUUCUUCUCUGUUUCUCUAAGCCCAUCAAAACUUAUUUUAAGUGUAUCCAAAAUUUCAUUUUCUGAUUCUCUUUCAAGUCUCUUUAGUGCACUUUCCCAUUCUUUUGUUGUUUUACCAUACAAAAAGGAUCCCAAAACUUUGAGAGCCAAUGGAAGACCACCAGAGUAUUUUACAACAUAUUUAGACAGCUGUUCAUAUUCUUUCCAAGGCUGAUUGGUUUUAAAGGCUUGUUUACAAAAGAGUUGAAGAGCUUCAUCAUCAUGUAGUACCUUGAGCUUAUGUACUUCAUCUACUCCAUGUGUCAUCAACAAAUGCUCAUCUCUUGAUGUUAUUAUGAUCCUGCUGCCUGGACCAAACCAUUCGUGCUUUCCAGCUAAACUUUCCAAUUGCUUUAAAUCAAAUGCAUCAUCGAUAAUCAGAAGAACCUUUCUGCACCGCAGCCUACUUCCUAUCAUCUUGAGACCAUCAUAAACAUUCCAUGUGCUACUAUCUGGAAGCUUUAGUAAUUCGGAAAGGAGUUGCUUUUGUAAACAGAUCAGACCGCCUUUUUCUGAAAUUUCUCUAACAUUGGCAAGAAAACUACUUGCUUCAAAUUCAUGAGAGCUCAAGUCAUAAACAACUCUUGCAAGAGUUGUCUUACCUAUACCUCCCAUACCACAGAUCCCAAUCAUACGGACACCAUAAGGCUCUUUAUCCAUAAAAAACCUGAGUGUAUUCCAGCAUGAAUCCAUUCCUACUAGAUCCUUAAAAAUCUCAGAUUUUGCAGGAAUUUUACUUGACAUCUCCAGGAUAUCCUUGACAAUAUCUACAAUAAAUUCUGAUUCAUUCCUGCAGAUUGGAAGAACAAGAAAAGAUUGGUGUUGUUGAAUUAAAAUUAGUGUGAACAUGGUAUCAAAUCAAUCCCGUAAUAUGUAGUAUCCAUACAGUGCUAUAUUCAUUCAUUCAAAUUGAAGUCAUUAAAUGUGUUGAUUAAUCUAUCUGUUCUCUUGUGCUUCUUCAGUCGCAGAUAUUCAUUUUCAAAGCUAUUAUUUCAAUUACAUCAUAUGUAUUAAUAAUUUCUCCUUACAAUUCAUUCUAUGGCCUGCCUCUGUUUUUAAUGUCUAAAAGCUCAAGAAAUUCUACAAUUUAUUUGUUCCUCCGCAUCAUUCUUGCAACAAUAAAUAAUCAAAUCUUGUCAUCUAUAUUUUUAUUUGAAAAAUCGCAAACAUGUUAUUUGUCGGAACAACUAAUUGAAUACAUAAACACUGUGUUUCUGGUAUAAACUUUUGUUAAAGACAUGUAUACACAUACAUAUACUAUCAAGGCAUUUUAAAACAUGAAAUUAACUGCCUCAGUGACUCUUUAAAGUAUAUUAAAUCAAAUAAUACAUACUUGUGAAGGGAUAUUUCGAUCUGCUCAUUAGCGAUGACUCAUGCAGAACAAACAAAAAUAAGAAACCUUGGUCUUAAAAUUAAUGUUUGAGAACAAGAACAAUCACCUGUCCUUCAAUUCCCUUUCAGAGACAUUAGCCACCUUUUUCAAAGCAUCUCUCCACUUUUGCACCUUUUCUAUAUUCAUCCUGAAAGUUUCUUCAUGUUUAGAGAAAGCUUCUCCAAAACUUGCUGUCUGUUUCUUUACCACAGUCGGUUCGACAUCAUAGAAAAUUGGAAAGAUCAUAUGUUGAUGACCAUUUGUGCUCUCCAAUUCAACAAUUUUAACGAGUUCAUCCAAGCACGAAGUCGAGUAAGCAUAAUUUCUUGAGAAAACAAUAAUUGAUAUUCUGGAUUCUUCAAUUGCUUUCAACAGUCCGGGUGAAAUGGAUUUUCCUCUAUCAAGUCCUUUAUCAUCUCUGAAUACAAUGAUUCCUCUUUGAUCCAAAGCAGCAUACAAAUGAUCCGUGAAAUUUUUGCGGGUGUCUUCACCUCUGAAGCUCAAGAAGACAUCAUAUUUCCAAUGGGAGCCUUUUUUGAUGUUCAUGGAAGCCAUUAUAUUUGUUCUUGAAUAUUUACAUCGGAAUAGUUUAUCACUUCCUGCUAAAGAUGUGGAACAUUAUGCCAACCAAUUAUAUGUAAAAAAUAAAAAAAUAAAGAUUGGAUCGAAAAUCAUGGGCUUGACAAAAAUGAAUUGUGAAUGUCAAAGCUGAAAAUAGAAAGUCAAUUAGUUAAUGCGAUCACUUAAAUUACAAUUACAUAUGAGCUAAAUUGCUACUUUUAGGUCACUUAAUCCAAGAGGUAUAUCAUGUUAUUCUUUCUUUACCAGAAAGAAAAAUUCAUAGUAAAGAAAUUCCAAGAUGUAGUGAAAAAUUAAUUUUUCAGACGCUGACUGGAGAAUGAAUAUGCCGACCUCUAUUUAAGCAAGACUUUGAUUAGAGCCUCUAAGAGAACGCACAGAGUAUCUUGAGCAAGCAUCUAAAACAAAAUUUAACAGUCAAGCUUUCUUUCAUCCUGGAUAUGCUAAUUAAUUCUGAAAAUAAAAUAAGAAUUUGUAUAAAAGAUAAAACGUACAGCUUUGAGUGUUUUGAAUGCAGCUACUAAUGAUUGAAUUCCUGUGAAGUAAUUGAUUUAAAGAAGUUGAUCAGGCGAAUAUAUCUUUCAAAGAAAAGCAGAGGAUUUUUAGUUUGGAAAAUAAGGAAUCACAGAACUAGAAAAGCAAGUCUUGGUCAAAAUAAAUAAUACUAAUAAUAAUAACAAAAACAACAACAAUCAGCAAGGAGAUGGGUUAGGGACGUGACAGAACCAACGUGACAGACCCGACGAAUCCGACCAGCGACGAGUGACACAGAUGGGCUGCAAUCGGCGAGGAAUCCAACCGGUGACGAGCUGCUGAACCGACGUGAUAGAACCGACGAAUCCGACUGGUGAUGAGCGAUGGAGAUGGGCUGAAAUUGGCGUCGAAUCCUUUUGGUGACGUGCUGCUCAACCAGAGAAGGUGCUGCAGACGAUCGUCUCUUUGGCUCUAGCCUCUAGGUGGUAGAGACGUGAUGGGUUAGUGAUUUCAUGGGUUCUUUUUUAAUUUUUUCUCAGUUUAUAUUUUUUAAUUGCCAAGAGGGUAUUUUGGAAAAAUUAAAAAUACAAUAGAAGGAUCCCCUAUCUUACAACUAAUAUAAGAUACACUUAGGGAUGGCAAUGGGGCGGGGUGGGGGUGGGGAUGCCUACCCCAUUCCCCACCCCAUUAAAAAUUUUUGCCUCCAUUCCCCACCCCAUUCCCCAAUAAAUUUAGUGGGUUGGGGAUGGGGAAUCCCCACGUGGGGAAUGAUUCCCCCAUCCCCACCCCAUUCCCCAUUUAUUUAUUUUAUAGUAGAUACAAAAAUAUGAUUUCAGUAAAUUAAAAAUUAAAGACUUAAAAUAAAAUCAUCCUCAUAUUAUAAAGUAUUUAAUUUUUUUUUAAAAUCUCUAAAUGUUUGAAACAAUAUCUUAAACUGAUAUUAAAAGUGAAAAUAUUUAAAGAGAGCAGCACCUUAAAGGAGAAAAGAAAAUAUAAUAAUAUUUUAAAAUUAAAAAAUAUUGUAGGGUUUUCUUUUACUCAUAUCAUGUUUAUAUUACAUAAAAAUUAAAAAAUUAUUAAUUGACAUUAUAGUUGAUAAAAUAAAAAUUAUUAACAUAUUUAUAUAUAUUGGGGAUUGGGGUGGGGGUGGGGUGGGGAGUGCAAUACCAAACCCCACCCCGUUAACAAUUUGGGGAUUAUUUUUUUCCCACUCCCCACUCCAUUCCCCAAAAAUUAUUAAAAAAUUUCCCCAUUUGGGGUGGGGCUCCAUGGGGCCCCAAACCCGUGGAGGAUUUUGCCAUCCCUAGAUACACUUCUCACAUGAACAGUGAAUAAAUCUCACACAUAUACUGUUCAUGUGAGGGGAUGUACUUUACAUUAGUUGUAAGAUAGUGUUUGUCAUAAUAGAAAUAGUUUUGUCGUUUGGGGAAUAAGGUUUUGAUUCCCAACCCCAAUCAAAAUCUCACUAAUCAAACUUUAUUUUGCGUGGGUCUCAUGCACCUUAUUCCCAUUUCAGUUAAACAAAUAAAUAACUUAUUCAUUCUCUUGAUCCACAUUUUACUCUCCAAUUGAUGAUUUUAUCUUUAGUUAUGGAUUAUUAUAUUUGUUUAAUGAAUUUAGUAAUUUGUUGAGAAAGAUGAAGUUUAAUGAUUUAGUGAGUAGUGAGGUUUAAUUAUUUUGUAACAGUGGUAUUGGUUUGAUAAUUUGUUUAAAGUGAUGAGGGCUGUUUGUCUAAAAGACUUAUAUUUGAUUAUUAUAAUAGAAAAAAUUUAGAGGAAUCAAUUUUAAAGAACUCAAAAGUUUUGAAGCUAUUUGUAUAAAUUUCUCCAACUUUAAGGGGCUGCCUGGUUGCAUUACUAUCUUAAUUAUUAAUUGUUAAGUAUAUAUAUGAAAUAUUAAUUAUUAAUUUUUAUUAUUGUUACUAAAUUAAAAUUUAAAACCUAGCCAAACUUAUGUUUAAAAAAAAACACAUUACUAAAUAUAAUCAUGCUAAUCCAUUUAAAUCCAAUCUAAUAUGCAUUCCCCAGUCCGUUUCCUCAGCACUCCCCAGUCCCCAUAGUUGGUUCGAAGGGCUGAGCUACGCAUGACAGGUAGGGCUAGCCAUGAAAAAUUUUGCUUAUUCCCCUUAAGAUUUUAUAAUUUUCGUAACAUAAAGAAUUUUUAUUUUAUUUUCAAGUAUGUCUCUUGUUCAUCUUUUUAUUGGAGUUAGUCUUAUUUGUAAAAUGAUUUAAUCAUUAUUUAUUAAGGAAUUGAAAUUAUUAGGAGGUUAAAAUGUUAGUAUAGUUUUAACUUAUUAUAAAAAAAUUAUAAUUUGGUCUAAUUGAAAAGAAGUAUGCCAAUAUAUUAUAACAUUGUUACUAGAAAUAAGUUUAUAAUAAGUGAAUCUCGUACUUUAAUUAAUUUAUAAUGCUAAAGAUCUCUCCAUUUGAGUCUCAACUUAAAUCUCAAUACUAUGUGUUACUAAUCUAUUAGAUGAUAAAUGUAAAAUUACUUUUUCCUCUAUUCUACUAUCCAAUUGAUGAAUGUCUCACCAGUUGGAACUCAAAAUCAAAUGUUAGUAUCCCUGACAUUACUCAAUGAUAUAGUAACAAUUAAUGAUAUUUUCAUAAUUUCAUAGUUUGUUUCUUUCACAGUCAUAUUUGUUCUUUCUUCUUUUAAUUAAACCAAAUUGUUCAAAUAUGUCAUAUUCUUCUAUCACUGAAAAAAAGGAAUUUUGAAAGAAUUUUUUAAUGUAGAUUUUUAAUAAUUUAUAUUAUAACCUUAUUUGUUGCAUUGUGAUUUUUUAUUAAAUAAAUGAAUUUUACAAAGAGUUCGCUCUGGUGUUACUUGAGAUAUAUAUUUUUUAUUUCUUUUAUAUGAACUGGUAUUCACACAAAUAUUAUACCAUAAAUUUAUAAAUUAGCUGGGGCUAAUAAAAAAUCUUGGGUCCGCCCAAAUUGGUUCAUCAUCAUAGAAAAUCGGAAUUUGUUGAUGAUGAUGAUCACUUGCGUUCAUGCACUUAACAAUCUUAGCAAGUUCAUCUGAGCACCAAGUUAAUUAAGCAUAGUUUCUCGGGAAGACAAAAAUUGAAAUUUUUGAUUCCUCAAUUGCUUAAAAUAGUCCUGGGGAAAUUGACUUUCUUCUCUAAAUACAGCAAUUCCCUUUUGAUCCAAAGAAACAUGCAAAUGGUCAGUGAAAUUUUUGCGGGAGUACUCUUCGCCUCUAAAGCUAGAAUUGCAUCCGCCAGGAAGAAUUGAAGGAGAACAGCAGCUGCAGCUUGGAGAAAGAGCCAGUCACUUGGAUUUAUUUCCUAUGACUGGUUUUAUCUACUCUUUCAUCCCCAAUUCAAUUAUGUGUAACUAAAUCUUCUAUACUAGGACUAAGGAUAAAACCCUAUUCAAUGAAAUAAAUUACUUUUUUUUAUUCAAUUAAUUUCUUAUAUGAGCGCUUUAAUGUUUAUAGCUCUUGUUUCACAUAUUUGGUUGAGUAAAAUUAAAUCGUUUCAUCAAUUCUGUCGUGUAUUAUUGAUUGUUAAGACUAAUAUUUGACUCAAUUUAUGCUUGGAUCCAUAAAACUUAUAUGUGAUUAUCUUUGAUUUUGUGUCUUUCAUUAAAUUAUUUGCAUAAAAUGCUUGGGUAAACUUUAACUAUUUGUUAUUCAAUAUGAUUUCAUGGAUACUUAGAUAUCAUACUAUUAAAUAGAAAAAGAACUUACAUAAGAUUAAUUUUAAUUGGGCUUAAUUAUUAUAUUCACGAGUAGACAUAGAUUAACUUCGAGUAGUUAUACUAAAAUUGAGAAUUGAUUAGUAAUUAGAUAAUUGUUAAUUGAAUUGGGUAGAUUUUGAAAUCCUGGUACCCUCAAUCUCUUGAAUUGUUGUGUUAAUUUACUCCUUUUAAUUUUAAUUGCAUCCUUAGCUUUAAUUUUCUCAAACAAAAUAUUUUUUAUUCAACUAGGGCAUAGUUAUAAUGGACUUAGAUUAAAUUUUCCUUUCCUAAAAAUUCACAUUCCUUAUGGAUUCGAUCUAAAUUAUUUUUAGUCUAUACUUCAAUAGCCUCAUGUGCUUGCCAAUAUAUUAAAAUUUGCACAACACAUUCAGCCUAAAAUAAAAUAUAAAUUAUGUAAAUGAAACAUAAAACUUAUAAAAGGAAGGUUAAAUAAGUAAAUUAAUAUAAGAGUUAUUAAAAAAAUUACAAAUGUAAAUUAAAAGCUUAUUAUAAUAAUCACUAUCUUAUGUAUUUAUUGAUUUUGUUUCUAAAUGAAAUAACUAUAGUUUUGGGUUUAUAUAAUACAAGUCAUAAUAUAUGUGAAAUUUUAUUAAGAAUAAAAUUCAUUAAAUACAGGAGACAAGUUAAUAUAAAAUGUAAGAAAUUAACUUGCAGAAGAUUAGAUGUUGCUAAGCAAGAAGAAGCGGCCACCUAAGAUGUGAUUAGCUGUUAUUCAACCUAACUUUUCCAUUUGUUGAAGUACUGGUGAAACAAGGGAUAGAAAAUCAGAGCCUGAGUUUACUUACUUAGAUCAGUUCUGAUAUUCAUCGUUGCUGCCCUUAUCAACAUUCUUGCUCCAUGAGUCUGAACCAUUAUGUUGAUCAAUACUGAUAGGAAUGCACAUUGAUGAACUAACACAGUUUGCGUGUUACAAAGGAAAUUAGGAAUUUUGUAAAGCGCAAAAGCAGAGAGUAUUAUCAAAGUGUUGCUUUUGCUAAAUCUGUUACUGGCUUAACUGCACUCUGUUCCACAGAGUUGAAACCAUUCUGUUUUUUCCGUGGUUCGUAAAAGCCACUGGCAUCAGGUGGGAAUCGUCUCUUUUGUUUGUUCAAGACAUCAGGUGGGAUGCACGGUUCCUUUCCUUCUUGGCCAUUUUGUCGAACGACUUUUGGGAAUGGGAAUCAUACCAUAAUUGAAAGCAAAAACAGUAAUCAGAAAACAACGAACACAGAUUUUCGAGCCUAAGCCAGAUGGCCUAGUUCCUGGUGCAGAACAGGCGAACGGAUUUCAUUAAUCAUCAGGAAUUCAAGAACAAGGUCAAAAUUAUGAUGAUCUGAUUGCAUGCUGACAAAUUGCAGCUUCUAACGCUAUUUAAUAUAGCCUCGAAAACCUUCUGGGACCUCCCCCACUUGCCAACUUCGUUUCCCGCCAAAACCAACGGCUGUAACAACUAAUCAUUUGACCAGCCUCGGCGCACGUGUCCGGGGCGUGACAAGUUAAGUUUAUCUUUAACAUAUGUCACGUGCAAGACAAGUGCUCUACUAAAUGUUCGUAACCGACAUUACAUGAUGAUCAUACAUUGAUAUCGAAGGAGUAACCGUUAUCUCGAUCACGUUUAAGACGACAUAACAGUAAGCAAUAGAAUCAGAAACCGACAACGUCUUUCGCUAUAGAAGCUUAAAUUUGAGAUGGGUAAUUUUUGGAUACCUCCCCGAGGUUUGCCCUUGCUACACUUAGAGAGAAUGUAUGCAUAUAUUGACAUAUAGCACCCCCGGACGUAUAUAAUCGUUAGGAUGCCGUUUGCUCUGUUGAUGAAAGUACAAUAAUACCCUUCAUUCCACUGCACAACAACUGACAAUACUUGUAGCAAUGCAGAGUUGCAGACUUGACAAUACUUGUAGAAAUGUUGCAGAGUUGCAGACCGUCUGUUGUUUUUUGGCGUCAAAUACAUAAUAACAGUGAAUAUGUAUUUUUUUCAUUCGCGAAGCAACAGCAUCACCAGAUUUUGGUACCCCGGAAGUGUUAGUGAUACCAGAUGAAACACUAUCAGUAUCAUCAGAAGUUACAAGAUCACAGUACUCAUUCAUCAACAAAUUGCCAUCUUUAUUUUGCUUAGCAUUAUUUAAAUCCAAGCUCAAUCUACUCUCAUUUUCAAUAAAAUAUUGGUACCACGACUUAGCCACCGCCCCAUAUCCAUACCCAACGAACUUCUUACCCUCAACACUAGAAUCUCUCACUGGAGUCCCUCUUAUUGUCUCAGGAGUUGCCUUAGCUUUAGUCUUACUAAUAGGAAGUGAAAAGGCAUCAGCUUGAAACGAAACGGAUAGGCUCCUAGUUGAAGUAAUAAGCAUCCUUGUUAUUGUUGAAAGCUCUUGACUUGAAUUGCUUGCUUAGAGCUUGGAACUAGGGUAAUAGCCCUUGGACUAGAACCAAUCACCUGCCUCCUUCUAUCAACAGAUUGUGAUCUUUUAGUCCCCAAAGCUGGUAAAUUCGAUGAAUUUAUUGAACGAGACACAAGUAGAGAAGAAAAUCUCAGGCUCUGACUCUGACUUUUUGCUGUUGCUGUUGCUGUUGUUGAAGAUGAAGAUGAAGAAGGAGAAGGUGACAAAUAUCUUGAAGAGACAAAUCUUCCUUUAGGUUUCCUUGGACCAUUAACAAUAGGAACAUUAUGCGCAUUGUUUUUUCAGAAGGCAAAAGGGGAUGCCCUGACCUUGUCCUUGGGUUCUCUUCAGAAAUGGCAGCCACCAUUAUCAGAGAAACUGUAGAAAUAAAAUUAAAAAAAAAAAUUCUUUUUUUUUCCCUUCACAUUGCCUCAUCGUGAAGUCCAAUGUUACUUUAUCAAUCAUUUUUAUUUUUGGCACUUUAACCCAGAAAGCAUUUGAUUUUGUUCGGGGCAAGAAACUGCUGAAAAAAAAUAAAACAAGGCUGAAAAAGAUUAAGAGAUAUGGGAGAAACAGAAAAGGGCGGGUGAGUUUAAUCUUAUUUUCAGUUAAUGAAAUCUUGAUUAUAGUUUAUCAAAGUGUAUUUAUGCCUUUAUUGUUAUUUCGACCCAAUAAUUUGUCUUAAAAAAUUCAACAAUUAUUAAAUCAUUUAAAUCAUUGUCUUAUUAAAGAAAAAGAUACUUCUUUUUAACAUUAUACUUCAAAUAUAUUGAUAAUAUAAUACAACAUUCCGCAGUGCAGAAGCUCAUAAAUUUUAAGAUGUAGAUUUGCUCUCUCUCUAUAUAUAUUAUAUGGGUUAUUUUUAGAGACCUCCCCUGAGGUUUAGUGUAUUAACACCUAGAUAGAAUGUAUUGAUAUAAUUACAGAAACCUCCCCUGCCGUUAGUAUAAAAAUACGUAUGGCAUCAAUAUACAAGGGUAAAUUUGUAAAAUCAUAUUUAAAAUUCAAAAUAUGUUUUUACUAGAUCAAUGAUAUUUUGAACGACUUGCCCGCUGUUAACCGAACUUAACUAGUUGGCCAUGACUCCACCGGCAGCCAAUAGUGGUGCUUUGCCACUGCCGGAGUCCCCUCUUCACCCUGGUUACCAACCCCAGUCACAGAAGCCUAUGAAUCAACCGCAUCCACCACAACGCAUUAACCCAAAAAGAUGGCUUUUGUCUCACAACAGCCCCCACACCGGCAGUGCCCCUUUAGUCGUUGCUGAUGUCACCCAACCGCUAUCACCCUUGAGCCAUCCCGAUGCCAUGCAACAAUCUUUGACAUCCCAAAACUUAACCACACACAGCUCUCAAAACUAUAGCUCACGGCUGGUCACGCCGCAUACCACUGCCGUAAUUUCUGCCAUCAGUGAUGGUUCCAUUUCGUCGCUGUCUAUCCCCUCAACCAACCCCCAUGAAGUCCUGACCUCAAUAAACAUCUCAAUAGCCACAAAACCCACAAUUUUUUCAUCCCACACUUGCAGCCACAUUCAAACUCAUGAGAUCUCGCUGUCGCCAUCUUGUCAAAGUCCGUUAGUGGUGCUUCACUGCAAACGGAACCUUUUUAAGCCCAAUACACCACCAAUAGGCAUUUUGUUCAACUGAGUUUUCAAACAAUUUGUUGAUUCUGACGCAAUUAAUUGCUUUGUCGAACUGGGUUUUCAAACAAUUUGUUAGAGUCCAAAUCUAGCUACGACUGCAAGACUGUGAAAUCUCCUGAAAGCAAGAACAAUUGACGCUUCGCAUCUCUUUGUCUUUUAAAUAGGCACCAGCUUUCGGAUCCUUUGCAGCCAUCUAGAGGACACGGGUUGGUUUUGAAAGCAUAGAGCUGGGUAGCAGAGAAAGAAAGGAAGGGAACAAGGUAGAAAGAAAGACAGGAUGGCAUUGAAAGUGUAUAAGUCAAGCCAAAGGACGGCGACAAGGAAGAUGGCAGGCAGCAAAGGAGUGGUUGAAGACCCGGUUAAUCGAUGGAAGCAGCAGCCGGCCAAACCUAUUACCCAUAAAUUCUCAAAGCUACAUUUAAUAAUUUAUUAUUUUGGUGAGAAGGGUAUUUUAGUAAUUUUGACAGUCUAUUAACAGUAAACUUAACGACUAAUUAACGGCAGGGGAGGUUUCUGUAAUUAUAUCAAUACAUUCUAUCUAGGUGUUAAUACACUAAACCUCAGGGGAGGUCCUUAAAAAUAACCCUAUAUUAUAUAGUAUAUUGGUAUAUUUAUUAUUUUUUGUUCAAUUAACUAAUACACUUGUAUAUAGUGAAAUAAAUAUUUAAAAAAAUACAAACAUUUGUACUUAAAAAUAAUUAUAUUAUUAUAAUUUGUUGAAACCUCCUAAAUCACUUGUGGAAUAACAUAACCCAAAUAUAUAAAUUCAUAAUAAAUUGGAGGUGUUUAUGAUCGUGCUAGUGAGUGAUUCCUAAGAAGAUGAAAUAAUUUACUUCAAUGAUAAAACAGUACCCAAAAUUAUUAAUUCCAAAUUUUUCUUAAGGUUUACAAGAAAUAUGCAGUGUAGAGUUGUCUUUUAUUGGCAGCAUGUAAUUUGGGUCAUGAAGCAAAAAAAUUUAUCCCAUAUAAUAAAAACAAUAAAUUGUGAGAAAAUAAGGGAGAAGUUCAACAUAAGUGAAGAUUCUUUAAAUUUUUUUAAAUUUAAUAUUGAUUAUGUGUGCCUUACAGGGACAUCAAAGAGUGAAAAUAUGCAGGGUUCAGUCGGUCACUGUGAUGUACAAUGAUUUUUUUUAAUCAGUUCACGGCCUUUUUAACGAUUUGAAAAUUUAAAAUUUGUAAUUACGUUAUUGUCCUUAACUAUCAAACGGUAUCCCAACCCUUAUAAACGUCAGGGGUGCUAUAUGUCAAUAUAUGCAUACAUUCUCUCUAAGUGUAGCAAGGACAAACAUCUGGGGAGGUAUCCAAAAAUUACCCAAUUUGAGAUCAAUCUUUCACAUAUUGUUUCCGAGCAAGUUAGCGACUUGUCAAAGCUUGGUGGCAGGCAGGUUCUGUCGGAAGAAGAAUGUUUUUCAGCGGGAGUCUCAUCUCAGGUUGAGGGGUGGCUGGAGAGUCCCUAAUGGUAAAGUUGGUUACUUCAUUUUGGACCAAAAAAACUUUCAAUUUCCCUCCAUUGAAAGCAAUGGUUCCGAUGACGAGGUUGACAAAAAGAAAGAGCGUGCAGGGACUGGGAGUGAGGGUGAGCCAGCUGCUCAUGCAUCCCCAUAGUGUUGAUUGGUCUGUCAUGCUCUUCUGUUUCGGUUUCGUGGGUUUUGGUUUGUCCUUAAUCUGUAAGAAUGGAAAUUGGAAGGUGAGAGAGAGAAAGAGAGAGAGAGAGAGAGAGAGGGAGAUUUAUUAUGUUAUAUUGUAUGUCGCGAGGAGGAAUGCUCACAUGAUUUGUUGCAAUUACUACUUCCUAUUUGUGAACCAACGCUAAGAAAAAAGCAUAUCAAAUUGGAACAUUCCCAAUUUGUGAACCACCCCAAAUGUUAGUUUGGAUUGAGUUAAAAAUAUUUAAAUUAGUUUGAGUUGGGUUUAAAUUUUUAUAGUUUAAUUUAGAUUGAUUUAAAAUCCAAUUCAAACCAACCCAUGCCCACCCCUAUUUGUAUGUACAUGAGGAUUGUGCAUGCGUUUUCUCUUGCUUUAUUUACUCAAGCGCAGUUGAUCUCAUACACGGAAAAAUAGAAUUUGUCGCUGUAAAACUCUGCAUGUAGAAAAGCGACAAUUUAACUUAUCUGUUCCCACAAGGUCUCGAAUUGAUUUGACAUUUGCUCGCCGUCUUAUCUUUAAAAAAUAUAAAAUAUAAUAAAAAAAUAAAUCAAGUUACUAGAGUCGGCCAUUUCAAUAUAAAGUAUUCUGCCUAAAGCAUACGUGUUUUGUUUUUGAAUCCAAAUUGCCAUGGAAGUAGGAUAAAGGUGAACUGCGAAUAGAAAAAUAUAACAAAAAAAUCUCUUAAAACUUCGUUUAGUAUAUGGAGGUGCUGUGACUUUUAAGUUAUAUAUUUUAUGGUAUUAAAUUUUAUUUAUGAAAUAAAAAUUGAUAGUAUUUGAUGAUUAUCAUUUUUUAACCUUCUAGGAAAAUUUUUAACAAUUUGAUCUUUUAAUUAUAACAGAGUAGACAAUUCUCCAAUCAAAACAGAGAUAAUCAGAAUAAGAAACCGAGUUUCUUUUUUUUUUUUUUUGGUUGGGGUCUGUCCUUCAUGUUUUCUCUUUCUUUAAUUCUCAAAUCAUCGGAAUUCAUAAAAUUCAAAUCUUCAAAUUUGACUUUCUCUUCUUUAACAAUGAACUCAAAAACGAAAAAGGAGAAAGAAAAUAAUAAUAAUAAUAAUAAUAAAAAAAAAAGACUAAACGUACGGCAUGAGAUGCAUUUUUUCUCACGGGCCAUCCAUUUCCUCUUGCCAUUUGAAAUACGACUCAACUGCUUGUUUCUAUCAGCAGGCAUUGGAUUUAACUACAAUUUAUGAACAAACCUCAGAGAAAUUCCAGUAAGGGGCUAAUCUGAUCGGGCACGAAAGCAACUUUGGAGAUAUUCUUUGCUUCUGAUUCAAGCAGAGCAUUUUCUAGUGAUUUAAAAUAAAACUUUGCAUGAGUAAAUAUAACAGACAAAAAGAACAAAACUGAAAUUGAAAUUGCAUGCUUACUGAUAAAUUCAUAGACUUUAAACCUAAUAUUAAUGUUAAAUAACUAUACUUAAUAUGCACAAAAUUUAAUACAUGAACCAGAUGAAGAUCUUGUUGUAAGCAGUGAAGGAUUGAACAACAAUUUGAAGAAGAAAAAGCUUGAAGAAGUGCAAAGUACACCAGAUGCAAAAUUGCCUCGAAAGUCUCCAUCAAUACAGGUUCAGGUUAUUCGGAAAACCAAAGUUAAUGCAAAAUCAGAGAACAAACCAGAGGAAAGCUCUGUACUACAAUCACUCUGCCAAAACUACGACAAUGAUGUGUGAUGAUGAGCAGUAAACCAAGCAAGACUCCUGACGCAAGCAAUUUAUUGAAGGCUUUUUCUGAAGUUCCUUGCUGCAAAAACGCAUGAAUCAGGCAGUUAUUUUGCUUGGUCAUUUUGAGAGUACUUUGCAGACUCAUUCAUCUGGAGAGUAAACAUUUACCGUUUCUAGGUCGAAAUAAAGCCGUCUCUGAUCUUGUGCUAACCAAAUAAUAUGAAAGUAUAAUUAUUCUUUUUUUAAAACAAAUAAAAUAUUAAUCUGAUAUUCAUCAUUGAUUUUAUCAAUUUUACCUAAUAAAUUAUAUUAUAAUUAAUUUGUAUACCCCACAUUACAUUAUAACUGAUUCCAUAAAAGAUGAGAUUGAUCAUCUGUCGUUUCCCUGCAAAUCCACAAUCAUUCGAUGUCUAUGUUUUCAUUUGCUCUGAACCCAAAACAAGAAGCAGAAAGAUCCUUCAUAUUAAUCCUUCAUAUUUUGAAGCUUAAUCGUAAUCUCAAGUGAUGACAUAAGUUCAUCAAUUUUCCAAAUCUUAAUAUCUGUUAACUGGUAGUAAACAAACAACAGCCAUACCAUCAGAAGGCACUAGUGCAGUUCGAGUAAAAUCUAUGUUCAUUCAGUAAGAGUCUCAACAAGCGAAAACUGUGUCAACUAGAACUCCAGAAGCUAUAGGCAACACAAGAAUAUUCAAUCAGAUUGCAAUCAGCUAAUUUCUUUAUUGUUCAUUCAUUGCAAUGCAAUUCAUCUACUAUGAUACAAACCACUUUCAAGUGUACCCAAGAACCUGCGCUUAUCACUUCUGGAUCUGGCAUCUUUUGCACAAAAAGAAGGGAACAGAUAGUUAAGUCCUCAUCUCAUCUCAUUUGAGUUCAAAACCCCUCUAAGUCAUUUUCUUGCACUGCACUGAAAUAAAAAAUAAAGUUAUUAAUUAUAUGUGUUGUUGUGUGCGCACACGCGCAUGAGAUAAUGAAUACAUAAAUGAGAAAGCUGCAAGGGAUAAUUAUGCAAUGAAACAGUGAUGGUAAGAUCAAAAACAGAGGAUUUAUUUCAGUCCUUUACUUUUGAUCCAAGCAGAGCAUCUUCUGGUAAUUUAACAUGAAUUUUUUUUGCAAGGUUAGAUACAUUAAAUAAAUAAAGAGAAUGUAAAUGAUUUACCAUAUGCAGCGAACAUAAAUUGGAACUGAGAAUCUGAGAUGCGUACUUACACAUAAAUUAGAACUGAGAAUCUGAGAUGUGUACUUGCACAUAAAUUCAGAGAAUAAUCACUAGUUUAUUCCCUUCAAUCGAGUCGUCUAUAUCUUUUAGCUUGAGAUUCCUCAUCAUCACAGUAGCCACUUCCACUGGCUUCAGCUGUCCCAACAUACUCUGCAAGGCUUCGCUUUGAUGUUGUGGCUACUUCCAUAUUUGAUCCAACAAAAUUCCGAUGGAACUCAUUUAGAUUAUAAGUAAAGGGAGUCCAUCGGUUUGUUGGUUGGUUGAACUCCUCCCCCACUUGGUGGAUAUAUACUGGAUGGAAACCACAUUUUUUCACCUCCAAUCCUGGGCCCCACAAGGGUUGAAAUUCAAAAUGCCAAUUGUGUUCAUAGCAUUCUUGCUCUUGACGAGGUAAAUAGAGUAGCCAAAGAUGGUCAGACCCAUCCUGACCGAACUUUUCCCUAAAAGUAGUACUAUCACCAACUCUAGAACCUUUCAAGUGCCAGGUCAAGCACUUUGUGGGAUAUGAACGUAACAUUCUGAUUCUAGUUGAAUGCUUAUUGACAUGAAACACACAGCAAAUAGCAUAUCCCACCACCUUAUUCUUAUUAAAUGAAUCGGGAGGCCUCUUGAGUGUUAUUGAAGAACCCUUGUUCUGAUACAUGAACCAUUCCGGAAUUUCGCUUCCUGGAACAACAAUGCUUGAACGCUGUCGCAAAUUGGACACAGCCUGCAACCAAAAAAUUAGGAGGAAAAAAUAAAAAAUAAAACCACACCCGUGCAUAAAUUUAGCGCAAUAUGUUUGGCACAGUGGAGAGACAUGGAGUAAGAGACUGACCUCGAGGUACUCUUUCAGCAUUGAAAAUCCCAAGCCGUUGAAUUUGAAACAGUCCAUACAAUGAAUAUAUGUGCGGUUCAACUUGCAUAAUUUUAACACACAUGAUAUCGUUUCCAAUGAAGUACAACCAUCUACUCUAAUUGACACAAUACUGGGUGGAGGUUGUGGUAGAGAUUGAAGCCUCUUGCAAUCCUCCAAUACCAUUUUCCCCAGCUUAGAAAGAUGGAUAAUGCUUGCUGGAAGUGAAACAAAACUGUUUCUACUCAAAUAUAACUCUUUUAAUGAGCAUAAGUGGCCAAUAUCGCUUGGGAUUGCUCCUUCCCCAAGAUUGCAGUCACUGAUAUCUAAUUUUCUUAAACAAUACAAACCUGAUAGAGAUGGGAACCUCCAAGCCACAGGAUCUGAAUUCCUUCGGAUCAAAGUGAUGGGGAAGUGCAGAAACCAUGAUGUUGAUUGCAACAGUCCUUUGCACCCGCUUAUAUCAAGUACUUCCAAGCUUUCUACCUUCCCCAAGUUCUCUGGCACAUUUUUAAGUUUGGAGCAGCCAGAAAGAUGCAACGUUUUAAGAGAUCUCAAACCAUUUAUAGUUCUUGGAAGACUCUUGAGAUUUUUGCAAUCUUUCAAAUUCAACAAAACAAGGCCAGAAAGAAAUUCAAUAGAUGCUGGCAAUCCUCUUAUAGCAGUUCCUUCCAAAUGAAGCUCCAACAGCUGCUCCAUACUUUCCACGAUCUCCGGGAACUCUCUGAGCUUCCAAAG
rnacentral:lncRNA from 1 species